CUCGAUGCUCCAGUUUUACACCGAUGAGGCUGCGGGCCGCAAAAUGUCACCAAACACCGUUCUGAUCAUGAGCAUUGGGUUCAUCGCUGUUGUCGCUAUGCUCCAUGUUUUUGGGAAGCUGUACCGCACCUCCAACUAGGUUGGUACUACCAUAACCAAGAAAACAGAGGCCACCAAGAGAGGAGCCUUAUAGAGCCAUUUCAAUGGAUAGCAAGUGACUAUCAGAGAGGAACCUUGUAGAGUGAUUUCAAUGGAUAGCAAGUGACUAUCGGAUUGUGAACUGUUAUAGAAGUUUAUCUACACAACUUGCAAUGCUCAGGGCUAUGAUAAAUCCCUGCGAGUCUUGUUUAUGCUUCAUAUUUUUUUUUUGCAUGUGCUUGCAUAUGCAUCUUUCUAUUUCUGUUGUCCUGAUCUUGCCGUUCAAUCCUUGUUGCUUACCUUUGGCAAUCUGCCUAAUGGGCAAACACUAUUUCUCACUGAUAGCCUUGUGCUUCCUGUUAGCAAAGUCGUUGUCACCUCUAGCAAUCUUGACAACUCAGACUAUUGCUAACUUUGUUCAAUUCCAUCAUUAGAGAUGGUAAAACACUAUCAUCCAACUCCCUCCCAAUCAUCUCUCUUAGGGUUGAUUUGGUGACAAGGGAAUCGCAGGAGGAUUGGAAGGAAUUAAGAGGAAAAUAAACUAAUUUCCUCCUCAAUCCCCUUCCAUCCUCCCUUGAUCCCUAGUCACCAAAUCAGCCCUUAAACCGUCAAAUAGCUCAUGAGGUAAGAGAGCCCUCGGUGCCUUAAUUUGGUUAUUGAAACUCUCAGAUACAUUAUUAGUUAGGUAGUCACAUUUGCUAUGUUCAUAGAAACCACUUCUAUACCAAAUCCUAGAAUGAUCUCUGUCAAGCCAUCUUUUGUAGGCGCCACUUGAAUAUGUCCUUUGUUUAGGACCUUGUAGCUGGGUACAAAACAUUGCUAUAACUCCAAUCAAAAGUUUCUUUUUAUGCGCAGUUUCUUUGUUGGAUUUCCAAGCCCCAGUAAUAUGAUUAAUACUAGAGGGUCUAUCUAUAGACAGAAGAUGGUUCUCCAUAUAUUCCUAGCAGGUAAUCAUCAAAGAAAAGGUGUUAAAUACUUUUAUUUUUACUAUAAAAACUGAACUUAAAAUUUCCCAUCCAUCUUCGUUUUACUACGCAGGGAACUUAUCUUGAGGCUCUAUUUCAGUACGUAGGGAAUUUAUCUUUAUCUUGAGGCUCUAGAACUUAUCUUAAAUUGCUCACUGACCCACUAGAUUUGAAGUGCUCACGUGAGCACAGAAGCUCCAUGAGCACAAGUACAAAUGUUUCGGAAAUGAAUUGCAGCAUCACUUUCGCGUUUGAUCUGAUAGCAAAAUCUCCGUUCAGACAGGAAGAGCAAAUAUUGUAGGAACGCAAGAACUGGUCUGGUGAUAAUGGAUAUAUGCUCAGCCUUCGACGGCGGUCCACAAGCAAAGGCGCAAAGCAAUGUUCAAAAACACAAACAAUCAAAAGAUGGUUCCCAGUACACGAACAUUUGCAACCAAAUUCAUUGCCCACAAUACAAUGCCUUACAGGCUUGACAGCUAAUGUACAAUAUAUAGAUAAUUAAACACUGAAUUAUACAGCAGCAUAUACUACCAGAACCAGAGUACCGGUACACAUCAAUCUAUAGCGACCCCGUAGCAUGGUACCAGCAGUCAUUUUCUGACUGCUGCUUCCUACUGUACCACUCAUAGUCUAUUGUAUUGUAUGUUACAGAAGCGCGGCCGUGUGGUGAGCUCAACACAGUGAAACCGUUCAAGUAACCUAUAUAUAUACCAAUUCCAGUCAUAGCACAAUCAGGAAGGACUCCCAACUUCAGGGCUGUCACUUCAGUCUUCAGGGGCACAACUUUGGCUUACAACUCUGCAUAGAACACAAGAUCAUAUCAUCCAAUAUCUAUGACGAUCGGGUAAAGCGCAAUCAGUGGUCAGAAUACAGGAGCCACCAUAAUCUGCAGCUCGGGUAGCCCUGUAAACUGCAAUGCUGCACUAAGCUGCCAUCGGAUGACACGAAAGUAUAUGGUAACCAGCUACGAAUCAUUUUGGUUCCUCUCCAUUUGUAUUGACCGGAAGAUCCACGCUGCUGACUCCGAAGCAGUCUGCGCGUUAUGCGGAACAACCCUGAUUACAUGGUUCUUUUGGUCCCGGCCUCCGGAUGACGGCUGAGGUUGGGCUUUCGGGACUGAAGCAGUCUGUGCGUUACGCGGAACAACCCUGAUUACAUGGUUCUGCUGGUCCCGGUCCCGGCCUCCAGAUGAGGGCGGAGGCUGGACAUUCGGAGCUGAAGCCGUGGGAAAGAAUGACAACGGAGCACUUCCAUCACCUUGGACUUGGAGCCUGUCGAAAGGGCUGGUGGCGCUGCUGGCCUGUGGCUCGCUGUCCCUUGAUGCAAGAAACCUCCAAACGCCACUCGGGUGUGACAUGUUACAUGAGAUCAGCGACUGCUGGUCCAUGUGCCCAUGAGGCUGUGGCGCAGCAGCAUGGCUCCCUUGCUCCACUGCAGAUGCUGGUGUUCCUGGAUUCAUCACUGGCAUACUGAAAGGCGGGAAGUAGUUCAUAUGCAUGGCAGGGGCACCAGGAGGGACCAUGUGCUGUGGCUGGUGAGGAAUAGGAACGCCAUAUGGUGUAGAAGGCAGCCUUGACGGAGCACAGUUGGCGUAAAAUGGUGUCAGCAGAUUUCCAACUGGGGGACAAGGGCCGGCAAAAGGCUUAUAGACAAGACCUUCAGAAGGCGACAUAACUGGGACAAGCCAUUGAUUCUGCGGUGGAUUCAUGCACCAGUUAUUCUGUUUGUUGUCAGGAGCAACAUGCAUAGCUGGAGGGUUGCUUGUAAAGGUUUCAUUUGUUGCAGCUUGAUUAUGAUGGUUGUCACCAAGUCCAUCAUCAUGAGAAUGGGCCAAUAAGUUUCCUUCUGUGUCUUGUUUUGAUAACUCUGGUUGCUCUAGGGUUGGCUGGAUAUCAUCUUUGUUUGUGAUUGACAGGGUCUGAACUUUCGAAUUUCCUUUAGGAAGUUUGUUCCUUUUUCCUGUUAAUGCAUUGCCAAGGACAGGAUCACCUUCAAUAAGCAGAUGUGGAGAUGCCGCGAUUAAUUUCUGCACCUGUUUGGAAGUCAAUUACAAACGGGGUUAUAAUAGCAUUGUGCACAAAAUUGUAUCACAUAAGAUAACCUACUUAUGAACGGAAAAAGGAAGAAAGAUGUAUCGAUUUCCUGGAGACUUACUUUUAUCAGCUUAUGCAGCUCGAACACUUGGACAGCAAAAACCCUCUGCUGACUGUAGAUUUUAACAGGACAGAGUGUAAAACAUAAAAAAAGGCAUUAUGCAGCAAUCCAGAAAGCAAGAAAGAAAUAUUCACAAUAUCAGUCUUACAAGCAACAUACUAUUCUUUUGGAUGAAACUACCAUGUUUUCUACUUAAAAGAAUCAAAAUUGAAGGCAUUCAUUAUUAUCCACAGUUUAUAUUUAAUAGUACAACAGAAUAGUUAGGUACUGAAAACCAAACAACAGACUUAUCAUCUUCAUACUUUUGUCUUCCAUAUGACAAUUAACUGAAAACUAAAAGAAAAAGGAAAUAAGCAGAGUGAAACAUAUGAAUAGUAUUGUCUAAAGAAUGCUACAAAUACUUGGUACAAAACUACAAAACAGCUACUCAAGCACCAUAUACUUACUUCUGAAUAGCUCUUCUUGCUUUCCAGAAAUGCUUUGGACCAAUAGCAGCAACAAUUUCAUCUGGAGAGAUCUCCCCCCCAGGUAUGCAUUCCACUGAGGAGUCAGAUAAAUCAUCAUUUUGCUCUCCAUUGUGAUGUCCUCUUUUUCUCUUAGCACCAACUUCCCGUGGGCUUCUUUCCAGUAAAUUAGACUUCCUGUUAGAGCUAUCUACAUCAGUACAUGGUUUACAGGAAGAUGUAUUUCUAGCUGCUGUAGGGUUCUUUGCUUCUGUGAAAUUUCCAUUCACGCUUGCAGGUUGGCAACCGUUGUUGUCACAAUGAUUUAUAUUACUUGCCUUAUUCCUCAUUUGACAUAGCUUAGCAUAUUUGUCUUUGAACUUUUCUGAUGCCUGAAAUGAUGAACUCUUUUCUUUAACUUCCACAGCUUUUGAUCCUUGCACUGCUUCUUUCUCCUUAACCUUUGGAGAGUUCAUUAACCUCCUAUCAGCUUCAUUGAUUUUGUCCAAGUGCUUGUUCACAGUACUAUAGCACUCUACAGAUGAUUUGGACAUUGCAGGACUUUUGUGUGGGUUUGUAGUAGAUUGGGGUUUUGAUUUAUCUGCAUGAUCUUGAGUAGACUGUCGAUAAAAUCUAGGAUAACAGAUGGAAGGAACCAUAAAUUCAUCAUCACUGACCACUUUCUUUCCAGAAGACAUGAUGGUGUUGCCCACUCUAUGCUGUGAGGUGCACUUGGCAAUUGAUUUUGAAGCACAGACGUCCUUGUUCUUGGUCUGUGAGGACAUCCUCAAAGGUUCUCUUCUUGUACUAUUAGACUGCCCGUUGAUAGUGUUUCCUUUGAACUUUUCAGAUGAACGAGGAGGCUCAUUUGAAGGCACGUCGAAGGGCUGGAACAGCGUCCUGUCAUAACCAUAAACCUGGAUGAAGAAACUCUGUCAGUACUUUGUAACAUUUAUUGAACAAUUCGUUAAUGGAACACUAAGUUCCUAUCUUCGUUUGCCAAGGCCCAUCCAGUUAGGAUCCCUCCAUGCAAACUGGUAGAUAGUACUUCCAAAGCAUCCAACAACUUUCAUUUAAAACUGGAUUAGAGGUGAGACAUUUGAGUACCUAAGGGUCAAAAUCUCAAUUCUUUCUUUGCUCACUGCUUUACCCCGCAAAAUGGUGAGAGAAUAAGGACAGAGAAUCAUGAGUGCGGGCAGCCCCUGGAUUUCUUCUCAAGUAGCUACCUUUCUAUCACCGUAUUUGCAAAGUAACUGAUUUCUUGCUGGUUAUUGUUACAUGGUUGUCCUCUGGACCUCCCCCCCCCAAGCAUAUCAUUACAGCCAGGAUACAUAUAAAGGUCAUAACAAAUGAACCUGCAAAUAAAUUUUAGCCUUUCCCACUUAUUGUUAAUCAUUUCCUUUUAUUUUUGCUUAUGAACCUUUCCAUAUGUACUACAAAGUAAACUCUCAGCAGGCAACCCCCCCCCCCCCACACACACACACAUUAUGUUUAGUCCCAAACAACAUCACAAAUGGUUAUAAUAGCAAGAUGGUUGAGCCCCACUUUGGAAUGCGGGAUUUUUUCCUGUUUCCUGUGUUUUUUCUGUGAAAAUGAACUGAUUCCUGUGAAAUUCUUGUAUGAUUCCUAUGAAAUUCCUGCAUUCCAAAGGCGGCCUGAAACAGAACCUAAGUGAGGGCCUCAGUCCAAGAGCUUCGCUGCAAAUUCCACUAAUUAAAUUAGGAUAGCCAUAAGAACAUAACUUAAAACAAACCCCUAGGGAGAUGGUAUUCCCUUGUGGACACUGGACACACAGAUCACUGUGGUUUUUAAAAUAGAGCAUGUGUGCUUACAAAAAGGUACUUAAGCUUCAUAUAAGGAGUACUUUCCAAGCAGCAAAAUUUGGAGCCUAAACUGUAACACAACUAUAAGAGGGAGGGUCAACAUUUCAGCCACAGACAGAAGAUCACUGAGGAAGUCGUGCAAAGCAUAUUACAAACUUGGAUACCACCAGCAAAACUAGGAAAUUUCAGUACAGAUACCUGUCAGAUUUGGUUUCUUUCCCUAAACACCCAAUUGAAUCACUUGUUUAUCUGAAGUGGUCUGCGUCACUGUUAUUUUCAUUUGUUAUGUUACCUCUCAUGGUCCCAGUACCAGUAGUCUAACUCCUAAAAUCACACCACCUUAAAGGUAAGCGCAAGUAUGCAGCUACACACAACUUGCCCAAAUUGCAAUGAGGAUUAACAGAGCGGCAAAUAACAUGGUGACAGGGGCGCACAUAUCAAUUCUUAAUUCCUCAAACCAAGAAUUUGAUCCUGGAAUGGGGAACCAAAUAUUAGAGUACCUAAUGAACACAUUGCUCGGUGCUUGGCCCCCAGAAGGGGGAGAGCAGGGAUACUGACAAGUGUUAAGACAUCAAGCAACCACAGUUUCCUUUUGUUUGUGCCCCAGGCCCCGGCCAUUUAUUCUGCUUUUGCAUACGGUAUACCUACCUCCAUUUUGCAGAGUAAUUGAUUUCCUGUGGGUGAUCCUCACACGUUUGUAUUCUAGAAUAGUUUUCCUAUCCUACAAACUCGCAGAGCAUUGGAUAGUUGCUCGUCUUUACAACAUACACGCUGAAGAUCAUAACAAAUGAACCUGCAAAUAAAUGUGUCAAUUGUCAUGCACUGGGCCUCUAGCUUCUUCGAACCGAUUCUUGAUCAUCUCCUCUUAGCUUGUGCUCCUUUCUAGUUUCUACUUAUGUACUAGAAACUUCCUACCAAGUUUUGUCACACGCAACACAAUUAGCAAAAUAGCUAGAACGCUGAGCUGUGGAACCUACGCACGAGUGAGCGCUCUCAAUCCAAAAGCUUGGUCGCAGAUGGCACCCUAAAGGAAUUAAUUGUGGACAUAAAGAUCACAUGCUCCGAUGCUCGUGCGCUAUGACAACAUAUACGUUGUGGGUUUGCAGGCAGGCAAAUGCGCUCACAGAAAGGUUGUUAGGCUGCAUGCCAGGAAUUAAUUUUCAAUUUUUGAGAAAAAAAAUUGCCAUUUUGCCAAGUAGCAACAAAGGCAGGCAAAUGCGCUCACAGAAAGGUUGUUAGGCUGCAUGCCAGGAAUUAAUUUUCAAUUUUUGAGAAAAAAAAGAAUUUGCCAUUUUGCCAAGUAGCAACAAAGGGAAAGCUUAAUAUUAGCAGCUUGGAUAACACCAGGAAAAAAAAAAGCAGAAGCAAACAUCGAGCUGCUCACCUGGGCAGCCGCCGUGGAGGGCACGAGGCUGGCCCCCGCGGCGCGGGCGGAGGCCGCGGGGGAGCUGAAGCGGUUGGACGGCACGGUGAACUGCUCGUAGAGCGCCAUCUUGUUCCUUGGCGGAGCCCGCGGGCCGCCGCCCUUGCCUGCGUCGCUGACGUGGAGCCGCGGGAACAGCGGACCCAUCACCUUCCCCGGCUCCUCCUUGCCUCCUUGUCCACCGCCUCCCCUCGUCAUGCCCAGGAGCCAGGGGAGCGCGCCGUGUCAAUAUCACGCAGGCAGCUCGUGGCGGCAGCAAGAAGAUCCCGAAUCCUCAGCAGCAGCUUCAGCCACCACGUUUACCCAGUGUCAGGGCCGGCGAUGGGGGAGGCCGGGGUGCAGGCGCACAGCUGCUACCGCGGCCAUGGCGGCCCAACUGAAAGGGAAAUCAAACCGUGAGAGCAGAGGGGCGCAUGGGAUUGGGAGCGUCUGCGGGGACACGUUUGAUUCUGAUGCCAGGGAAGGGAAGGGAAAGGAAUGCUCGCUCUGAUCCACAAAGGCGGAGGUGGGCUCCACCAUGAGAGGGAGACCGGAGAGUGGAGACGCUGGCGGUUGAGUAUGUGCAAGCAGGUUUUUUUGGGGUGUGUUAAUUAGGCGGUGAGGUUGCUUCUAAGUUCUAACAACUUACUCUUUUUAAGGUUAUCUUCAAACUCACCAAUAUUUAAACUCUAUUUUACCAAUAGUGAAGUUUAUAGUGAAAAAUAGUAUUUUUAGAUAAAUUUUAGGUAAACUGCUACAGAUGGUAAUGUCAUGUCUAGUGCUGGGAAUAUGGGCCGGACUUUUCGGGCCAGCACGAGCACGGUCCGAAAAUAGGAGCCCAAAGCACGGCACGGCACGAAAUAAUUUGGACCGGACUAGCACGACCCAAAGGCGGGCUUGGGCUGGGCCUCAAUUUCCGGCCCGUCGGGCCCCCGGCAUGGCCCGCAUAGAUGGCCGGGCUUGGGCCGGCACGGCCCAAUUAAGCCCAAUCUGUUUAAUUUCUUUAAUUUAGUAAGAUAUCGACUUUAUAUUGUUGUUAUAUUUGCAGUUUAUGUGGUCAAAUGAUGCUAGAAUUAUUUAAUAUCUUUAAUUAGUAAGCUAUGAACUUUAUAUAGUUGUAAUAUUUUGAUUUUACGUGGUCAAAUAUACGGGUCGGGCUUGGGCCGGCACAGCCCGAAAAAGGCACGACGUGGUUUAGGACCGGGCUGGGCCACUGUUUUUACACUUCGGGCUGGCACGGCACGGCACGACACGGCCCAAAAAUCUUUUGGGCUUUGCUGGCCCGAACCCGUUUGGCACGAAGCACGAUGCCCGACCCGGCCUGGCCCAAUUCCCAGCACUAGUCAUGUCAUUCUAUAUUUUAAACUUAACUAUGCAAACACUAUAAUCUAAUGUAAAAUAGUGUUUUACGCGAUGAUAUAGACGACCUGCUCAAGACAACGUGAGAAUGCACUACACCAUUUGCUUAAUCACUAAAAUUAUGAACAUAUAUAGAGAAGUUUAACACACACAAAAAAAUAGCAAUGGCCUAUAACUUAGAACAUAUAGUUUUUUUAUGCCUAUAAUGGAGUUUGUCCUAUUGCUCUGCGCGCAUAAAUGGAGUUUAUACUGUUGUUUAGCAAAACGAAUGAUAGCCUGUUUGUUUUCACUUCAAUCAUAUCUUGAUGUGCCUUGGUAAACUGCUGAGUGAGUCAAGCCGUGUGAGCUUAGCAUUAUCCUUUAGGAAGAUUCGUGGGGGCCACGGCGCUUGCAAGUGAAGCUAGUUCCACGGCGUACAUGUAUCACUUGGCCUUUGUGAAAAUAUGAAAUUCCUUUGCUUUUGUGGUCUUGUGGAUCGUGGGAUAUCCCGGGACACAUUUAUAGCGUCACUUUGGAUGAGAAAGCAUCUACGUGGGUGGGUCGGUGAUACUCUUGGUGACAUGUGACAGAAACGGUCAAGUUUUUAUAGCGUCACUUUGGGUGAGACAUGAAGCUUGUCUAUACCACGGAUUGUAGAAAUUAAAAUUUCAUGAUUGAUCAACAAGAAAAGUAUUUUUGAAGGAAGGAAGAUGCGGUCGGGGGAGGAUGAAUGAGAGUCAAUCAAAUAUUUUACACUUAAAUAAUCUUAGCUUGAUUUCUAAAAAUUGAGCCGAAACCUCUAUGACAAAAAAAACUCUUUAAAAGGUUCAAAACCAAGAACAACUCAACCAAUUUGUGGUAGGAUGCCUUGAACAAGUGCCUAAGACAUAAACUCAGUUUGGACACUAAAAAGUCCCAGAAAGAGUCAAACUAAAACUUCAUUAUGCAGAGUAGCAGUAUGGCUCCUCUGGUCGGGACAUGGCAAUGUCGCUAACCCUACAUGAUAUUGUCGAUUGAGCAAAAAUGGUCAGAAUAAGGUAAAACUUUACGAGAAGUGAGGUAGAGAAGAAUCAAAAUGGUUCCAGAAGUUUGAUCGUCAAAAGAUCAAACCUGAAGAAUCAGAUUAUAAAACUUGAGACUAAAUUAGGGUUUUCACAAAAAGAACAAUUCAGUUAGAUAAUUGUGCAUAAGAUGGAUCAAUCAGUAGUAGAGCUGACAAUGAUUCUAGAAUUGUUUCUCAAGUUUCUAUUUACCCAAAGUCCCUCAUAAAUUCAAGUGUCAAAAAUUCUUUCAAAACACCAAUCAAAAAAGUUUGGAAAGAAGGAAAUCAAACCAAGAACAAGAACACUUGACUUGAACAAAAGAUGAAAAAUGUAGAGGUCAUGAUGUGGUUAAAGCCACACUUCCCAAAAUCUCAAGUGUAUAGAUGCUACAACUCAAAGCAUCUAAGGAUCUCCUAACAAAUGAAAAUAGAGAAUAAAAACACAAGCUAGAUUGAUGGAUGUUGAUGCAGCUCUUCCUCCUUAUAUUAUAGAUGGGUUUUCACAUUUCUAAACUACCCCUAGAUACAUAAAGGUCAUCUGCUCAGUCAGGGGCAAUGGAACUGCUCUUAAUAUGAUGAUUCGACGACCACUCUUCAUUCGUGAAGUUGCUUCGCCUAGAUCCAUAUGUCGCCUCUGAUUCCCUCUGGAACCAUGUCAAUGGGCUUUGAGGACAAACACACAAAAUCGGCCCUAUGUGGUUUUUGAGGCUCAACCAUCAAAACGCUACAGGUAGCGCACUCUAUAUGUGUUCCUCGUCCUAGAAACAUGUCCUAGCGGCCCACAACCACGUCCUCAUUGCCAUGUUCUCCCCGUAUGCUAAUGUCCUCAGGUGUGAGCCAUCGUAACUGGUCACCCGACUUCUCUAGUCCCUCAGACAAGGCCUAGAGCUCGUCCUUCACCGCUCUUGGUCCAUCAUCAUGAACCUGCAUGACCUUCACCUUCACCAUCUACCACUACCUCUGAACUCCACACUUGCACAUCACAAUGCAAGAGACAUGUUUCCUUAAUAAGCAUAUAAUGUUUACAAGGAAAACCUUCUAAAAUCAGGAAAUUGAGCACUUAACUUUAAUAGAUAUGAAGAGAAUGUUCAAACCAAAAAAAUCUCAACUAACUAGUGAUCGAAUGUUUUGAAAAUGUUCCAUGAUUAUACAUGAGUCCAACGAGACAAAAGGAUCGUAAAAUAGACACCGAAAAGUCCAAAACUUCCCAAAAUAGUGGCACUCACUCAUGUUAUUUUCACUAGCCCAAAUCAAGGUUCCAAAAUACAAAAUCAAUCCAAGUGAACUCUAAUUUAGCUAAAAUUUCGGACACACUUUUACAAGUGAGUUUCAAAAGUGUUCAUAAUCUUUAAGCUCAAAAUUUUUUGAACUUAAAAUUCAAAUAAAAAUACGAAUUUGGAUCUUGGUUUUCUCAAAAUUGUUUAAGUGAUAUGAUAUCCGUGCUUCAGCUUGGAUCAACCCAUACCACUUGGUGGCAACGACCCUAAGAGGUAUUGGCAUGUUUCUAUCAAGCCCAAAUAACCCCAAAAACUUAGAUUCAAAAAAUCCCACAAAAGAUUAAAGCGAAGAACUCAAGAAGAAAACUCAAAGAAAGAACUUUAAGCCAUCAAGACUGUAUAAAGAGAUACUUCAGAGAUAUAACACAGAGGUCCCGACAUGGUUAAAACCACACUUCCUAAUUCUCAAGAACAUGAAGAACAAGAGCACCUAUGGAUCUCAUAACAUAAGGAUAGAGAGCAAAAACCAAAAGCCAGAGAGGUAGUUGGCUAGUGCAUCCCUUCCUUCUUAUUUAUAGAGAGUAUUUUACAUUCCCAACAUACCUUAGAUAUAUAGAAAUUAUCCAAUUUGCGAGGAGUAAAAUGGACCAACUCUCAUCUUGAUGAUCUGAUGGACAUAGUUCCUUCUUGACGAAAUUGUUUCACCUUAACACACCCUCCAUGAUGGCUCCACGUGCCACCUUCGAUUCCCUCCUAAAUUGUGCCACCGACUUUGGAGGCCAAACCCACGAAAUUGUUGCUAUGUGGUUUUGAGCCUCAUUCACAAAAGUUCUACAGGUAGCAUACUCUAUACAUGUGCCCCAUUUUCUAAACAUAUGUCCCGUCGGUCCUCAAACGCGUUGGCAACAUGAACUGCUCUACUAUGUGCUCACACCUCCUCAUGUUCCUAAGUAUUAGCCACCAUAGGUAGUCACCUGACUUCACUUUUAUCGUCGACCGUUGUCUCAAGAGUUCACACCUGCACAUCAUAAAACAAGAGAUAUGUUGCAUACAUACUCACACACUGAUUAGUCCACAUGAUUUAACCCAAGACGUGAUUCUGUCGGUAAUCACUAAUCACAAACCCAAACCACAAAGGCACAUCUCAACAUUGUAUUAAUAUUUAUCACAAAUCCUACAUUUGAAUACGUAACCAAAGCAUUAAACAUUUGGCCAUGCAUGAACACAGAGGGUGUAUUGCUCCAUUUGCAUAGCAACAAAGUAGCCCAAAUUUGAACUAGCGACCUAACGUAUACUACCUCCGUUCACAAAUAUAUGACACUGUUGAUUUUUUUCGAAAACUUUGACCACUCGUCUUAUUCAAAAAAAAUAUUCAAAAAUGUAAAUUUCAAAUCAAGCACAAACUACCUUAAGUGGUAAAACAAAUCACAACAAAAUAAAUGAUAACUCAUAAUUUUUUUGAAUAAGAUGAGUGGUCAAAGUUUUUUAAAAAGUCAACGGUGUCAUAUAUUUAUGAACAGAGAGAGUAGUAUAUAUGGUGGCUAAAGACGUUUAAUUACCUUGUUUAUAUUUGGCAUGUAUUUGCCUCGUGGCAUAGUUAAACAAACAAGUUUUAGGAUACAAGAAGACUUUUGGGGAAUAAACGUUGGAAAGUUUUGAACAACUUUUUUUCGAAAGGAAAGAUGAAAAGGGAAAAUGAUUGAUUUUUGAAAAAAAAAUCAUAAAUAGGUCAUGAAAGAUUUUCUUGAAAUGUUUAGAGAAAAAUAUUACUUCAAUUUUUUUUUAUCAAGAAGGCAAAGAUGUCUGAAUUUCUAUGAAGCGGAUUUACAUAAUUGUUUGAAAAAAGCUAGAGAGAUAGUUAGUUAGUGCAGCCAUUCCUUCUUAUUUAUAGAGUAUUUUACAUUCCCAACAUACCUUAGAUAUAUAGAUCUUAUCCACUCUGCGAGGGGUAAAAUGGACCAACUCUCAUCUUGAUGAUUUGAUGGACACAAUUCCUUCUUGACGAAGUUGUUUCACCUUAACACACCCUCAUGAUGGCUCCACGUGCCACCUUCGAUUCCCUCCUAAACUGUGCCACCGAGUUUGGAGGCCAAACCCACGAAAUUGUUGCCAUGCGGUUUUGAGCCUCAAUCACAAAAACUCUGCAGGUAGCGUACCCUAUACACGUGCCCCAUGUUAUGUACAUAUGUCCUGUCGGCCCUCAACCGCGUUGGCAACAUGAACCGCUCUGCUAUGUGCUCAAACCUCCUGAUGUUCCUAGGUAUUAGCCACCGUAGCUAGUCAUCUAGCUUCUCCAAUCUCUUAGUCAAAAUCCAGCACUCGUCUUUUACCGCUCCUAGUCCAAAUAAACUCACAUGACCUUCACUUUAAUCGUCGACCAUUGUCUCUAGACUUCACACCUGCACAUCAUAAAACAAGAGAUAUAUUUUGGUUAUAUUUUGGCCUGCGUUUGCCUCGUGGCAUAGUUAAACAAACAAGUUUUAGGAUACAAGAAGACUUUUUGGGAAAAAAGUUGAAAAGUUUUGAACAACUUUUUUUCCAAAGGAAAGAUGAAAAGGGGAAAAUGUUUCAUUUCAAAAAAAAAAAAAAUCAUAAAGCGGUCGUGAAAGAUUUUCUUGAAAUGUUUAGAGAAAAAUAUUACUUUGAAAUUUUUUAUCUAGGAGACAAAGAUAUCUUAAUUCCGAUGAAGCAUAUUUACAUAAUUGUUUGGAAAAAAAAGGUUUCAUAAGAAGAGACGUGAAGGAAAAGAUGUCAAGAUCAUGCAGGCCUGACACAGCAGCAUACUCAUUCUAUAUUUCUAUUUCAGAAAGGAGGAUCUUAUAGUAAAAGGCUCCUUGUGGAAUAAAAAAAGAUAUAUUUUUUUAUUCAAUUUAUGAGAUAUUCUAAUUUUUUAGCUUUUUAUUUACUAUGUAUCUAGAUAUAAAUAGAUAUCUUAUCAAAACAUUUAUAUAAACUAAAACAUUAGAAUAAUAUCUUACAAAUUUAAAAGGAGAAAGUACCUAACUAACGUAAAUAUAAUGGAUGUUUUUGUAUGACUUAUUGACAUGUAUAGUAUGUGUUUACAUGCAUGGAUGGUUAUUAGAUUGUGAGCGAGGGAUCGGAUUUGGAUACGAUGUCGGCACCGAUAGUUGAACGGGAGGCUGCCGAGCGGCCAGCAGGGCUCUGAUCCGAUCCACGCCUAAGGCUAACCGCACUCAUACAACUCUAAAUUUUUACUCUAAAAGGAAUAUUCUAUCCUGGUCAGCGAGAUUCUCUACUCUAUCUUACAAUCUUCCGCAGUCAUAUUUACUCUAUAUCUCAACUCUAUACCUACUACCAUAUAUUAUAUUAAUUUUUUACAAUUAUUAUCUAUUCCCACACACAACUACCUCCUCACGUGUGCUGCCGCAUGUGCUGCCGCGUGGACAUAGAGUAAAGAGGUACGCACUCUAUCCUUAGCGUUUUCCUUGGCCGUCCUAUUUUACCGUAGCCUUUAGCGCUUUCCGCUGCACCGCUUUUCCUACUGCAAGCUUGACUCCAACUGUGUAGAGUAUUGCAUAGAGUUUGUGACUGCGGACAGCCUAAGCACCGCUGGUAGCCUAGAGUAGGGACGAUAAUAGGGAAUUUUUUUUAUUGAGGACCUAUUCAGGACCUAUUUAUAUCCGUUUCUGCUAUAAAAAAAUCAUCACGAAGAUCUCCACGAGCAUUUGUGGGAAUAUUUUUCGUAUUCUCGUUUUCCACAUAGAUAAAUUCUGGAUAGAGAUCCCGUAUCCGCUUAAAUUAUAAUUAGGACAUACAUCUUUUGUUAUUAAUAUAAAAUAUUAUCACUUGACGCAGAUUGCAUCCUCAUCGGGGUUCGCGCGAGGGAGAUGAGACGCAAAGGAAAAAAGAAAAAAUGGCGCCCGGUCCCCUGGGCCGCUUCUUCUUCCUCUGGCGUUCUCCUUUCUCCGUCGCACGGCUUGCAGCGGUGCGGGACUCGGUCUCCUGUUGUUGGGCCGUCUUCCUCGUGCCGUUCCCUGGCCCAGGGAUACAGUACCCCGACGCCGUCAGCGGAGCGGCCCCUAAAGGCGCGUUUUCCUUGGAUCGGGUGGAGUCCAGGGGUGUCGCUGGUCUCUUCGCGUCUGCUUCCCCUCUCGGGUGAGUCGCCUCGUCUGUUGUCUUCUCCGCCCGCAAAACCCUCUCCCUCGCUAGGGUUUCCUCUGGAUUUUGUUGGUGCGCAUUCUUUUCCUCACUGUGCCGCCUUCCUCUCGCACCUCUGGUCUCUCCCGUCUUCGGUGAGGUCUAGUUUUGGUGGGGGUUGGUGCGUUUCGUCUUUUCGUCCUCCGGUGGUUGAGGAGGAGUGGCCGCGUCUGGGUUCUGGUGUUCUUCGUUGCCCUGCGAAAAUCGCUGCUAUGGAUCCGAAAGGAGAGAACCCCCAGAACUCCCAAUGGGAUCGUUGGGGUCCGUCGGAGAAGCCGCAAGGUUCUCAUCCUUGGAACAGACCAAGAAACCUUAGCUGGAAGCUUAAGCCUAAUAUCGGCAAAUCUGAGCAGCAGAAAGGUGUCCUGUCUCCUCAUCCUGGUGAGGGAAAUCAAACAGGUAACCCUUCUGUCUCUCCUGUUCCUUUGAAGAAAGAUCUCGAUCUUGUUCGCCCUGCGUUCUGUCAAAAAUGUGGUGUUAAAGGACAUCAUGCCAGAAAUUGUUUUAACGCUUUGUGGUGUGAUAUUUGCCGCAAGGAGACACAUGUCACUUCGCGUUGUGUUCUUCCUAAGCAAAACAAACCCACCAUGCCCAUUGUUGGUUUGGCUGCUGAUGGUUUAGGGUUUUAUCUGUCUCACUUCGCUAAACCUUUGAUCAAAAAGCCAAAAAGGGUUUUCAUCGGUCUGGUUAAAGUGGUUGAGGGACUUGUCUCUGCUGAAGAUCUUGAGAGAUAUUUCGGGUUUCACUUCCCUUGGAACAAAAGGUGGAAAGCUACCAAAUGCCAUUCAGGAUUUCUGAUGCAGUUUCCCUCCCAAGAACGUCUUGAUGAAAUGAUAAGCUUCCCGGAGCUGAAAAUGAAGAUGUCUGGGGCCAAGAUCGCUGUUGUGCCUUGGAGUUCUAGGGCCAAACCUAAAUCUAGACUCCAUACUGUGUGGGUUAUUGCUGAAAAUGUCCCUGAGGAAUUGCAGAAUUACCAAUCUAUCUGUGAAAUUGGUUCAAUGAUAGGCGCUGUGGAGGAGGUUGACCUUAUGUCUCUGGAUUCUGAUGAUAUAGUGAGAUUUAAAAUCCACAUUAAAAGUGUGGCUAUGAUCCCUCCUGUGGUGGAAGUGGCUGUCAAGCCUUUUCUUUAUGAUAUCUUCUUUAGAAUUGAGUCUAUUUGUGAUGAAGGAUGGAAUGAUGAUUCUGUGAAUUUGGGUAAGAGAGCCUCGGUUCAAAUUCAUGGAUCUAAUGAUCCGCUUUUUGAUAAAUCUGGGAAAAAACCCAAGAAUCUGGAUGAUGAUGUCCCUGAAGAGGAGCCUAAUCCUAUUCUCAAAAUUGGGGAGUCUUCUUCUCAAGGCAAAGAGUUUGCCAAACUGUCUGACCCUAAUCUUGUGCCUUCUAAAGAUGUGUCUGAUGAUGAACAGAAACUCGAUAACCUUUCUGAUGAGAAGGUGGAUUUUGAUCCAAAUGAAGAUGAUCUGCUUAGCUCGCAAGAAUUGGAAGAAUUCGCUAAGGAUAUGGAGGAAGAUCCAACUGAUUUUCAGUCAAAAAUUGGUGCUAUGAUCUCGAUUCCCCCCAAUGAUGAGAUGGUUAUUGAAGGGAAGAACAAAAAGCCUCUGGACUUGCCUACCAACACGGCUGAAGGCGUCAGGAAAAGCUCUAGGUUGGAGAAGAAUGAUGAGGUGAAGGUGGUUGAUAAAACGAUAUACAGAGCAGAAGCCAAGGAUGCUUUCCUCAAUAAAGGUAUGAGUUCUAAUUCCUUUUCUUUGCUUGAUUCUAAUUAUGAUGAUUUGAUAGAUUUAGCUUGUAAACUUGGAGUUUCUUUGGGCCCCUCUGACUCCGAUGUGAUUGAUAAUUUGGAGUUGAUCAAAGAUCUGGAACGUUCCAGAAAAAUUUUGGCCUUCCAAGCUUGCAAAAAUAGUAUGACCCCAAAUGUGGAGGUCCCUUCCCUUGUUGAUCACAUAAACAUGGAUAGUAGUGUCCAUGAUGAUUCUGACCUGAAUAUUGAUCAGGACUUACUUGAUGUGAUGGUUUUACGAAAAGGUAGGAAAAUUAAGCAUCGGAAAAAAACGAUUAAAAAAAGGCUUCCCCUAAAAGUAGAGGUCCAUCUACGAAAAAGGGGAGUCUAUCUGUUCUUACCUCCCUCCUGAUCCGUUUUAAAUCAUGAGAGGCCUUAUUUGGAAUUGUCAGGGUUUGGGUCGUGAUUCUAAGUUUGAUUUCCUGAGGGAAAUCAUUAAGGAAGAAAAAAUUGAUUUCAUUGGUUUACAAGAAACUAAAAAAGAUCAUUUUAAUGAUUCUCUUCUGUCCUCGCUUGCGGGUAGCAAGCUUUUUGCCUGGUUCUCCUCUCCUCCCAAUGGGAGAUCGGGAGGUCUUUUAGUGGGUUUUAAUUCUGAGGUGUUUGAUGUUAGAGAAUUUGAUGCGGGUGAAUUCUUAACUCGCUCCCUUGUCCUCCACAGAGAAAAAAAAUUUAUCUGGAAUUUCGUUAACGUUUAUGGGGCUGCCCAAAAUGAGCACAAAUCUCGCUUUCUCAGUGAAUUGUCUGCUGUUUGCUCGAGAAGCCAGGUCCCCAUGCUUAUUGGUGGUGAUUUCAAUAUUCUCAGGAAAGCUGAGGAAAAAAUAAACCUGGUACCCUCAGCAAAUGGAGUUUUCUGUUCAAUAGCAUUAUAGAUCAUCAUGGUCUAGUUGAAUUUGAUCUGAAAAAUAGACUAUACACGUGGUCUAACAAUCGUAAUGAUCCUACUUUUGAAAAACUUGAUAGAUUUUUGGCCAGUCCUGACUGGGAUCUUGCUUAUAAUAAUAUUAGUGUUAUCGGGUUAAAUAGAUCCUUUUCGGAUCAUGUUCCCCUUUGCCUUCACACUGAUUCCCUGCCCAUGGUGCGUAAGGAUUUUCGUUAUGAGCUGUGUUGGAAGAUUAGGCCUGAUUUUCACAAAUUAGUGGAAAAUGUUUGGACUCUUCCGGUUGGUGUGUCCAACAGUCUUGAUGUUUGGAAAAUAAAAUUGAAACGUUUGCGUCAGAAGCUUAAAGGUUGGAACAGUAAUGUGGUAGGUCACUACAAAAAGUUGAAGAAAAACUUGAUUGAAAAAAUUGAUAUUCUGGAUAAGGCCAGUGAGUCGUCUGGCCUUUCGGAGGCUGACAGAUAUAUGAAAUUAGAUUUGGAGUCUAAUCUCAGGAAGAUUGUGGAUGAGGAAAACAUUAGCCUUAGACAAAAAGCUAGGGAUAAAUUCUUAUUAGAGGGUGAUGAGAAUUCCAAGUAUUUUCAUUUGAUGGCUAGACACAAAAAAAGGAAGUUGAAAAUCUUGACUCUUUCUCACGGUGAUAUUGUGGCUCAUGAUGACCAUGGCAUUAAUCAACUGGCGACUUCCUUUUACAAAAAUCUCUUUGGUCCUUCCCGUGAUUCGAAUAUUUCUCUGAAUAACCUGGACAUGAAACAGCUGGGGGAGGGUGAUAGAAUUCUGCUCACCAACCCCUUUUCUUUGGAAGAGAUCAAGGAUGUGGUGUUUGCUUUGAAACACAAUAGUGCUCCGGGCCCCGAUGGCUUCCCUUCUGAAUUUUUUCAGGAAAUUUGGGAUGUGAUCAAAAGUGAUCUGUUCAAUCUCUUUAAAGAUUUUCAUGAUGGCUCUCUCAACAUUGAAAGACUUAAUUUUGGUAUUGUCACUCUUAUUCCUAAGGUCCCUGAUGCGACUGAUAUUAAAGCUUUUCGCCCAAUUUGCUUGCUUAAUGUUUGCUACAAAAUCAUUACCAAAGUUCUUACUAACAGAUUGGCUCGUUGCAUUACUUCUGUGAUUAGUGACCUUCAAUAUGGGUUUAUAAAAGGAAGAUAUAUUAUGGAUGGUGUUCUUUCUUUGCAUGAGAUUAUUCAUGAAGUUAAACGGAAGAAACAGAAUGGGGUUAUUUUCAAAGUCGAUUUUGAAAAAGCCUAUGACAAGGUUAAUUGGAAUUUUCUUCAUAAAAUGAUGAUAAAAAAAGGGUUUGGAGAUUUAUGGAGUGAUUGGGUUUUGAAGACUGUGAAAGGUGGCAAAGUUGCUAUCCGAACUAAUGAUGUGGUUGGGCCCUACUUUAAAACUCAUAAAGGUGUUCGCCAAGGUGAUCCUUUCUCCCCUCUCCUUUUUAAUGUGGCUGCUGAUGGUCUUGCUUGUCUGAUCCAAAAAGCCAAGGAUGAAGGUGUUAUCAAAGGCCUUAUUCCUCAUAUUGUCACUGGUGGCUGCUGUUGUCUUCAAUAUGCAGAUGACACCAUUUUUCUGUUUCAGGAUGAUUUGGAAAAUGCUAGAAAUUUGAAGUUUAUUCUUUGCAUCUUUGAACAGAUUUCUGGCUUAAAAAUUAAUUUUCAUAAAAGUGAAAUUAUUUGCCUGGGAAAUGCCUGCAAUAGAGAACAUCUAUAUGCUGAUAUCUUCACUUGUCCUCCCAGUGGUCUUCCUAUGAAAUACUUAGGGGUUCCUAUUGAUAACAAAAAAUUGUGCAAAUCUUUGUGGGAUCCCAUUGUUGGAAAGGUUGAGAAUAAAUUGGGCUCCUGGCAAGGUCGGUUCCUUAGUUUGGGUGGCCGGUUAGUCUUGCUUAACAGCAGUCUCACCAACGUUCCCUUGUAUAUGCUUUCUCUAUAUAAAUGCCCCAAAGCUGUGUUAAAAAAAAUAGUUAUCUUCAGGAAAAGAUUAUUAUGGCAGGGAGGGCAUGAUCAGAAAAAAUUUCAUUUGGCUGCUUGGAACUUAGUCUGCUCCCCUAAAAAUAUGGGCGGUCUUGGUGUUUUGGAUUUGCAAAAAAUGAAUGAAGCUUUGUUGGCUAAAUGGAUUUGGAGACUAGAAAAUACUAGUGGUUUGUGGCAAUCCAUUAUAAAAAGCAAAUACAUUAUGAAUAAACCUAUUAUUUCGGUGAAGGAUAGACCUUCAGAUUCUCAUUUCUGGAAAGGUAUUCUCUCGGUUCGAGACAAAUAUUAUAAAUACUGUAAAAUAAAGAUUGGUGAUGGUAAGAGUUCCAGUUUUUGGAAAAAUAUUUGGUGUGGCAAUAUGACGCUGGCUGACAAAUACCCUAAUUUGUUUGAGGUGGCUUAUGACAAAGAUAUCACUGUUCAUAAGGUUGUCUCCUCUAAUUUUCAGUUGCUGACUUUCAGAAGAAGACUUAUUGGUACUUUAGGUGAGGCCUAUAGUGACCUUAUGGAUCAGUGUAGCCAGGCCUCGCUUUCUGGAAAUGCUGAUUCUUCAAAUUGGUUGUUGGGUUGCAAAGGUUAUUCGGUAAAAUCUUUUUACAAAAUGUUAAAUAAUUCCAGAAUUGUGGUUCCUGUGAAUUUUAUGUGGAAAACCAGACUUCCGCAAAAAAAUAAAGUGUUCUUAUGGUUGGUCAGAAAUAAUAAGAUUUUGACCAAAGACAAUUUGGUAAAAAGGCACUGGCAUGGGAAUACGGCCUGUAACUUUUGUGGAUUAUUAGAAUCCAUAGAUCACCUAUUUUUUCAUUGUCCUGUGGCCAGAUUCAUUUGGAGAAUCAUCCAAAUUGCUUUCAAAUUGUCUUCUACCCCAAAAAACUCAGCUGACCUCUUUGGUCCCUGGAUUGACAGUUUUCAUAAUCCUGAAAAGAAGCUGAUUCUUUUUGGAUGUGGUGCUGUUAUUUGGGCUAUUUGGCGUACUCGUAAUGAUUGCUGCUUCAAUGCUAGGCUGAUUGAUGAUCCAUCUAAUGUGAUUUUCUCCUGCUGUUAUUGGAUUGAUGCUUGGUCUAUUCGACAGACAAAGAAGGGAAAAAGACUGGUGGAACAAGGAAGCCGCAGAAUUCGAAAGAUAACAAGUGAUAUCUACAGCAAGGCCCAUGGUUGGAAGCCGGUUGACAGGCGUCUCCAGUGACAUUUUGCUGCUGCUCAUGCAUCUUUUGCUUCUGGAUGUAUACAGCGUGUCUGCUUUUGGUAGAUAAAAACUAGCGUUCUUGUCAUUCCUGGUGAUGUGAUGUUCCCGGCUGCUUUUGGGGCAUAUCCUUUGUAGAUAUUCAGUGUUAUCUGUUAGACUGUCGGUCUUUUGUUGGUUGACCGUAUUCCUUCUGCUGGGUUUAAUGCUUUGUGUAGCUGAUAUUGUGGUAGGCUUAUCGGCUUGUGUCUGUUGGUUUGUCGUGAUUCCUGUAAGAACUAUGUUUGGUUUCUAUUUCUUAAUGAAAUAGGGGGUAUCCCAUUGUCAAAAAAAUAAAAUAUUAUCACUUAUACAUAUUGUCAGAUGUAAAAAUUUAUUAUGUACCUUAAAAUGAACACUUUUGUACAAUGAGGGAUCUCUUGACAAAAUAAUUAUUUAUUUUUAUUAUUAACUAUUACAUGAAAAAUCGACACGUGCAAAGUUAACGGGUCUACGCGGGGAAUAGUGAUACAAAAUGCUUUUGCAUCUCUAUCCCCGUGGCCAUUUACCCAUCGGAGAACAAUUUCCCUGUUUACAUCUCUGUGGGGAAGAAAUUUCUCCAUCCUCGUGCUCUAAGGGUUAUUUUAGGAAAUGCAUUUUUCCAAUUAAUUCCUAUUUUUAAGAAAAAAAUAAACUAUUUUUUCUUAGAAAAAUAAAAACACCUAAGGAAAAAUGAGGUUUGCAAUCUAACUCUAACGAAUGAAUUAUUCAUGUGAAAUCGGGGAUCAGAUGCCAUUGUCAUCACUGGGAGGGAGCCAACAGCUGUGAUCCCAACAUUUAUUCAUAUAGUUUUUUUUUGAAGAAUCAACAUUUAUUCAUAUAGUUGAACGGGAGGCUGCCGAGCGGCCAAAAGGGCUCUGAUCCGAUCGACGCCUAAGCACCGCUGGUAGCCUAUAGUAGGGACGAUAAUGAGGAAUUUCCGAUAAAAAAAUUCAUCACGAGAAUCUCCACGAACAUUUGUGGGAACAUUUUUCCUAUUCUCGUUUUCCCACGGAGAUAAAUUCUCAAUAGAGAUCUCAUCUCCACUUAAAUUAUAAUUAGAACGUACAUCCUUUAUUAUUAAUAUAAAAUAUUGUCAUCUAUAUUUAUUGUCAGAUGUAAAAAAUUCUUAUGUGUACAUUAAAAUGAACACAUUUAUACAAUAAAUAAUCUAUUGACAAGGUAAUUAUUUAUUUUUAUCAAUAACUAUUACAUGAAAAAUCGACAUGUGCAAAGUUAAUGGGUCUCCGCGAUGAAUAGGGAUAGGGAAUGCUUCUCUGUCCCUGUCCCCGUCCCCGUUUAACCAUCAAGGAACAAUUUUCCCCGUUUACGUCCCCGUGAGAGAAAACUUCCUCAUCCUCAUGCUCUAAGGGCUAUUUUGGGAAUUCUAUUUUUCUAAUGAAUUUCUAUUUUUCUAAGGGAAAAUGAACUAAUUUCCUUAGUUAAAUAAAAACACCUUAGGAAAAAUGAGGUUCCCAAUCUAACUCUAAGGGCUAGUUUGGCAGCUCCAUUUUCCUAAAGGAUUCCUAUUUUCCCAAAGAAAAAUAAACUAAUUUUCCAAGAAAAAAAAUGAAAAUUCCUUGAAAUAAUGAGGUUCCUAAAUUAGCCCUAACAGAUGAAUUAUUUAUAAGAAAUCAGGGAUCGGAUGCCAUUGUCAUCAUUGGGAGAGAGCCAAGGAGGGCGGUAGUGGGAAGCUAGUAUGCAAAUAAUGGAAAUCGCAGCCACAAGAGCUAUACUGAGGUGUGCUUGCAUUGGCUGGAGCCUGCAUGGCCAAGCAUUAAAGAUAUGAAAGCUCGGAUGAUUGUCACUAGUGUUUGACGCGCGCCCUGCGCGCGCUGUUUUGUUAAUGGUAUCAGAAUGAAUAUAUAAAAACAAGGAUGGUAUAGAUUACACAACGAUGAUAUCUAAGACAAUUAGAAUGAUCAGCAUUUAGCAGUAUACAUUAAAACCAUCAACUCAAAUUUUGCUCGAUGUAUUGUCAUCCAGAAUAUAAUUUUCACUUUUGUCAUGUCUAAGAAGUAAUCUGCUGACGUUCAGGUAAUUUUACAAACCUGUUUCAAUAUAAUUUUGACUCUUUAGGUGCGCAUGUAGUAGAAUUGGUGUCCUCCAUAUUGAAAACUGAACACAUGGAGAAGAGGACAACAUAUCGAUUAAGAUACUUGCAGCUCUCUUUGAAUGAAAACAAUAAGACAUAAUCAAUGGGCAGAAAGGGAUGACAUUUAAGAAUACAAUUAUCAGUUGCAAGUUGCAACAUCUGGUGACCUAGUACCCUAUAACAAAACAUACCCUAGAAAAAAUAAACCAUCAUGGCUACAAAAGAUUAGGAUCUACAAUAAGAGGGAAAAUAAAAGAGGGAAAACUGGACGAACCACCAUUCAAAGUUCACCAGAAAUUAUAAAAAUAAAAGAAACUAUUAUCUAACAUCAUGGCUACAAAAGAUUAGGAUCCGCAAAAAAAUAGGGGAAAAUUUGGAUGGUCUACCAUUCAAAGUCCACCAGAAAUACUUAAAAUAAAAGAAACUAUUACCUACCAGCAUUAUCUUCUUAGCUAUAUCAGCAAAUUUGAGGGAGAUCCUUGUAUCAAAUACUGAAAUUACUGCUGUAAUAUGACGCGCCCGUUUUCCAAUUUGAUGCUUGUUGAACAGAGUGAGUGCUUUCACAAAAUGCUAGAUGGAUAUUUUGAAGCGACAGUUACUUCAAGGUUGGACUCAAAACCACUAAUGACACAUGAAGACAACCAAUUCUUAAAAGCAGAGAAUGGGCUCAGUAUUCCAUAAAAAUAUUGUGGUCAUCUUAAGGUACUUAAAUAGAGCAGCACGUGCAGGAUAUAGUGCUUGAAAGUCCGAGGAGCAAGAUUCGGUUCGCCUGGCGACAAAGGAACCAAAACUAAUCCGUCCAAUCAAAGGCCGACCAGGAAUGACUUACCAAUAGAGGGAGAAACAAAUCCACCGACUCUCGGGUGGAUCUCUUUGCAUUCCACUGGGCGGGCGGAGGAGGAACGCUGCCGAGGGCAGGGUGGUGCAGGAGCAUGGAGAAUCCGGCACUGAGUGUUUGGAGCGAGUGUCAUGAUGAUGAGUGGAGAUCCCCCUCUCGCUCCCGGCUCCUCCCCUAGGAGAGCGAGGUCAGAGAGAGCACAAUCAGCAGUACCGACCAUGGGAGGUAGAGCACGUCGAGGAGGGGAAAGACACCGAGGCAAGGAGCGGGGUGGGGGUGGGACUGCUGCUGGUGGUCGCCAUCGGCGAUUUAGAUGGAUCUAGGAGAGGGGCAUACCAGUUUGAAGUUGCACAUCAUCAAAAAAUGAACCAGGUAGCCCCUGUAUCUGUUACACAUGAAAAUACACCACUGCAUCAAGUGGUACUAAACAUGCAAACAAACAAAUAACUCUUGUAUUGUAUUUCUACUAAACAUGCAUCAUCAAAUGGUACUAAACUGUAUCAAAUGGUAUUAAACAUGCAUCGUCACGACUUGCAGAUGUCGCAGCCGCAAGCAUUAGAAUUGUAGCCUAUGAAUUAUUUACGCCCAAAUUGAGAGAAUAAACAAAUCUAAUAGUUACAACAUCUGUCAUACCUGAGUAUCCAUCAAAUGGAAUCUUAUGAUUCCUGUCAUGCCAAAAUCAUACUGCAUCUUGCUUGUAGCAGUUUCUUUUGCUUUUUCGUCCUGGGAAGAAAUCAGCCUGGCAUUGAUAUAAAAACUUGGAUCAACUGUAAACAAAAACAAAUAUUAGUUCCAGGAGGUGUACUUUCAAUAAUUUGCAGUUUUUUUGUUUUUUUAACUAACUAUUGCUUAUCCUCGGGUCUUGUCUGUUUUUCUUACCACUUCAGGAUUCACACAGCUAACAGCAUGUCCAAAUGAAACCUGAUAAGCAGGCAUCCAAAUUCAGUUGUUGGCAGUACAUUAGCUUUCCUCUUAAAUUCGUUUUUCCUGUUCCAGGGCAAAACCAGCGCGUAACUAUCGUCUAUGAUUGAACUAUAAAUAGAGCGGACAAUAGUCAUAAAUUAACAAAAAACAAAUGCAAAAGGAGAAACGACUAUCUUCUUCUGUAACAAAUGCGACAGUACUUGCCUCUUUUGUAACAAAUGCAAUGAAGAUGGUUGACAUAGUAUAAAUUUGAUUGUAAAUAUUUGGAUAGAGUUAGAGUUGGAAUAUAUUGGAGAGGGUCCUGUUAAAAUGCAAUGUCUAUGGGACAUAAUAAAAUAGAACCUAAAUAUAGUUGAAGGUGCGUGCAACAUGAUCUUUGUGCUUAUUUAAGAAUGUUGGGGCUAUGAGGAAUGCAGGAAAGAAAAAAUGUAUUAACUUGCAAUGAGAUAUUACUGGCAGUUUAGGAGCUGCUUACUGAAGUAUACAGAAAGCAUAACGAUGGUGAAGAUUUUGGAAGUUGUUAAAGCGUGAGCCAUCUUCAUCCCAUAGACGCUUCAUUUUCUAAGCCUCCCCUUUUCCAACUCAUACUGAUCUCUCUCUCUGUCUCUCAUAUAUUGUUCUUCCUUUCUGAAAUACAACCAUAGAAAGCGGAUUACCAUCGUCCAGAACACCACAUUCUGUUGGGGCAUAACAUCGAGCGUCUUUCGCACGUCGGUGAUGCGUUCGAACUGGCGCAGCAUGACCAUGAACUCGAUGUCAUCGUCUUCGUCGGCGAAGAACCUGAGGAGGGGAGACAUCCUAUGGUGGAUGUGGAAGCAGCGGACGAAGGCAACUGGGGUUGGAACUGAGGUGCGCCAGGGCUUGCGGAUGAGGGAGGAGCGGGGCAGCGAUGAGGGGGCGCGGGAGCCACUGCGGUGCAGGGGCGACGGGGAUGGAAAGGAGGCGACAUGGGAGAGCAUGGGGAGAGGCGACGAGGGUGUUCACGCGGGUGUGGUGUCGAGGGAGAGGAACUUCGGGAGGGGGAGGAAGCGUCUGGAAGUCUCCGGCAAUGUGGAGACUGGAGAUGCAGAGAAUGUGUUUAUUUGUGUGGAGGCAAGUGGGAGGAGUAGGACUGAUUGCGUCCACUGGAUCUGAAUCUUACGGUUGAUAUUAAUUUGAUGACGUGGAUAGUGUGAGAAGCGCCGUUUUCGUUCUGCUUUCAUAAUAUAGAAAAGGUGCGCAUGUAGUAGAAUUGGUGUCCUCCAUAUUGAAAACUGAACACAUGGAGAAGAGGACAACAUAUCGAUUAAGAUACUUGCAGCUCUCUUUGAAUGAAAACAAUAAGACAUAAUCAAUGGGCAGAAAGGGAUGACAUUUAAGAAUACAAUUAUCAGUUGCAAGUUGCAACAUCUGGUGACCUAGUACCCUAUAACAAAACAUACCCUAGAAAAAAUAAAUCAUCAUGGCUACAAAAGAUUAGGAUCUACAAUAAGAGGGAAAAUAAAAGAGGGAAAACUGGACGAACCACCAUUCAAAGUUCACCAGAAAUUAUAAAAAUAAAAGAAACUAUUAUCUAACAUCAUGGCUACAAAAGAUUAGGAUCCGCAAAAAAAUAGGGGAAAAUUUGGAUGGUCUACCAUUCAAAGUCCACCAGAAAUACUUAAAAUAAAAGAAACUAUUACCUACCAGCAUUAUCUUCUUAGCUAUAUCAGCAAAUUUGAGGGAGAUCCUUGUAUCAAAUACUGAAAUUACUGCUGUAAUAUGACGCGCCAGUUUUCCAAUUUGAUGCUUGUUGAACAGAGUGAGUGCUUUCACAAAAUGCUAGAUGGAUAUUUUGAAGCGACAAUUACUUCAAGGUUGGACUCAAAACCACUAAUGACACAUGAAGACAACCAAUUCUUAAAAGCAGAGAAUGGGCUCAGUAUUCCAUAAAAAUAUUGUGGUCAUCUUAAGGUACUUAAAUAGAGCAGCACGUGUAGGAUAUAGUGCUUGAAAGUCCGAGGAGCAAGAUUCGGUUCGCCUGGCGACAAAGGAACCAAAACUAAUCCGUCCAAUCAAAGGCCGACCAGGAAUGACUUACCAAUAGAGGGAGAAACAAAUCCACCGACUCUCGGGUGGAUCUCUUUGCAUUCCACUGGGCGGGCGGAGGAGGAACGCUGCCGAGGGCAGGGUGGUGCAGGAGCACGGAGAAUCCGGCACUGAGUGUUUGGAGCGAGUGUCAUGAUGAUGAGUGGAGAUCCCCCUCUCGCUCCCGGCUCCUCCCCUAGGAGAGCGAGGUCAGAGAGAGCACAAUCAGCAGUACCGACCAUGGGAGGUAGAGCACGUCGAGGAGGGGAAAGACAUCGAGGCGAGGAGCGGGGUGGGGGUGGGACUGCUGCUGGUGGUCGCCAUCGGCGAUUUAGAUGGAUCUAGGAGAGGGGCAUACCAGUUUGAAGUUGCACAUCAUCAAAAAAAUGAACCAGGUAGCCCCUGUAUCUGUUACACAUGAAAAUACACCACUUCGUCAAGUGGUACUAAACAUGCAAACAAACAAAUAACUCUUGUAUUGUAUUUCUACUAAACAUGCAUCAUCAAAUGGUACUAAACUGUAUCAAAUGGUAUUAAACAUGCAUCGUCACGACUUGCAGAUGUCGCAGCCGCAGGCAUUAGAAUUGUAGCCUAUGAAUUAUUUACGCCUAAAUUGAGAGAAUAAACAAAUCUAAUAGUUACAACAUCUGUCAUACCUGAGUAUCCAUCAAAUGGAAUCUUAUGAUUCCUGUCAUGCCAAAAUCAUACUGCAUCUUUCUUGUAGCAGUUUCUUUUGCUUUUUCGUCCUGGGAAGAAAUCAGCCUGGCAUUGAUAUAGAAACUUGGAUCAACUGUAAACAAAAACAAAUAUUAGUUCAAGGAGGUGUACUUUCAAUAAUUUGCAGUUUUUUUUGUUUUUUUAACUAACUAUUGCUUAUCCUCGGGUCUUGUCUGUUUUUCUUACCACUUCAGGAUUCACACAGCUAACAGCAUGUCCAAAUGAAACCUGAUAAGCAGGCAUCCAAAUUCAGUUGUUGGCAGUACAUUAGCUUUCCUCUUAAAUUCGUUUUUCCUGUUCCAGGGCAAAACCAGCGCGUAACUAUCGUCUAUGAUUGAACUAUAAAUAGAGCGGACAAUAGUCAUAAAUUAACAAAAAACAAAUGCAAAAGGGGAAACGACUAUCUUCUUCUGUAACAAAUGCGAAAGUACUUGCCUCUUUUGUAACAAAUGCAAUGAAGAUGGUUGACAUAGUAUAAAUUUGAUUGUAAAUAUUUGGAUAGAGUUAGAGUUGGAAUAUAUUGGAGAGGGUCCUGUUAAAAUGCAAUGUCUAUGGGACAUAAUAAAAUAGAACCUAAAUAUAGUUGAAGGUGCAUGCAACAUGAUCUUUGUGCUUAUUUAAGAAUGUUGGGGCUAUGACGAAUGCAGGAAAGAAAAAAUGUAUUAACUUGCAAUGAGAUAUUACUGGCAGUUUAGGAGCUGCUUACUGAAGUAUACAGAAAGCAUAACGAUGGUGAAGAUUUUGGAAGUUGUUAAAGCGUGAGCCAUCUUCAUCCCAUAGACGCUUCAUUUUCUAAGCCUCCCCUUUUCCAACUCAUACUGAUCUCUCUCUCUGUCUCUCAUAUAUUGUUCUUCCUUUCUGAAAUACAACCAUAGAAAGCGGAUUACCAUCGUCCAGAACACCACAUUCUGUUGGGGCAUAACAUCGAGCGUCUUUCGCACGUCGGUGAUGCGUUCGAACUGGCGCAGCAUGACCAUGAACUCGAUGUCGUCGUCUUCGUCGGCGAAGAACCUGAGGAGGGGAGACAUCCUAUGGUGGAUGUGGAAGCAGCGGACGAAGGCAACUGGGGUUGGAACUGAGGUGCGCCAGGGCUUGCGGAUGAGGGAGGAGCGGGGCAGCGAUGAGGGGGGCGCGGGAGCCACUGCGGUGCAGGGGCGACGGGGAUGGAAAGGAGGCGACAUGGGAGAGCAUGGGGAGAGGCGACGAGGGUGUUCACGCGGGUGUGGUGUCGAGGGAGAGGAAUUUCGGGAGGGGGAGGAAGCGUCUGGAAGUCUCCGGCAAUGUGGAGACUGGAGAUGCAGAGAAUGUGUUUAUUUGUGUGGAGGCAAGUGGGAGGAGUAGGACGGAUUGCGUCCACUGGAUCUGAAUCUUACGGUUGAUAUUAAUUUGAUGACGUGGAUAGUGUGAGAAGCGCCGUUUUCGUUCUGCUUUCAUAAUUAGAGUUGGAAUAUAUUGGAGAGGGUCCUGUUAAAAUGCAAUGUCUAUGGGACAUAAUAAAAUAGAACCUAAAUAUAGUUGAAGGUGCGUGCAACAUGAUCUUUGUGCUUAUUUAAGAAUGUUGGGGCUAUGAGGAAUGCAGGAAAGAAAAAUGUAUUAACUUGCAAUGAGAUAUUACUGGCAGUUUAGGAGCUGCUUACUGAAGUAUACAGAAAGCAUAACGAUGGUGAAGAUUUUGGAAGUUGUUAAAGCGUGAGCCAUCUUCAUCCCAUAGACGCUUCAUUUUCUAAGCCUCCCCUUUUCCAACUCAUACUGAUCUCUCUCUCUGUCUCUCAUAUAUUGUUCUUCCUUUCUGAAAUACAACCAUAGAAAGCGGAUUACCAUCGUCCAGAACACCACAUUCUGUUGGGGCAUAACAUCGAGCGUCUUUCGCACGUCGGUGAUGCGUUCGAACUGGCGCAGCAUGACCAUGAACUCGAUGUCGUCGUCUUCGUCGGCGAAGAACCUGAGGAGGGGAGACAUCCUAUGGUGGAUGUGGAAGCAGCGGACGAAGGCAACUGGGGUUGGAACUGAGGUGCGCCAGGGCUUGCGGAUGAGGGAGGAGCGGGGCAGCGAUGAGGGGGGCGCGGGAGCCACUGCGGUGCAGGGGCGAUGGGGAUGGAAAGGAGGCGACAUGGGAGAGCAUGGGGAGAGGCGACGAGGGUGUUCACGCGGGUGUGGUGUCGAGGGAGAGGAAUUUCGGGAGGGGGAGGAAGCGUCUGGAAGUCUCCGGCAAUGUGGAGACUGGAGAUGCAGAGAAUGUGUUUAUUUGUGUGGAGGCAAGUGGGAGGAGUAGGACGGAUUGCGUCCACUGGAUCUGAAUCUUACGGUUGAUAUUAAUUUGAUGACGUGGAUAGUGUGAGAAGCGCCGUUUUCGUUCUGCUUUCAUAAUAUAGAAAAGGUGCGCAUGUAGUAGAAUUGGUGUCCUCCAUAUUGAAAACUGAACACAUGGAGAAGAGGACAACAUAUCGAUUAAGAUACUUGCAGCUCUCUUUGAAUGAAAACAAUAAGACAUAAUCAAUGGGCAGAAAGGGAUGACAUUUAAGAAUACAAUUAUCAGUUGCAAGUUGCAACAUCUGGUGACCUAGUACCCUAUAACAAAACAUACCCUAGAAAAAAUAAACCAUCAUGGCUACAAAAGAUUAGGAUCUACAAUAAGAGGGAAAAUAAAAGAGGGAAAACUGGACGAACCACCAUUCAAAGUUCACCAGAAAUUAUAAAAAUAAAAGAAACUAUUAUCUAACAUCAUGGCUACAAAAGAUUAGGAUCCGCAAAAAAAUAGGGGAAAAUUUGGAUGGUCUACCAUUCAAAGUCCACCAGAAAUACUUAAAAUAAAAGAAACUAUUACCUACCAGCAUUAUCUUCUUAGCUAUAUCAGCAAAUUUGAGGGAGAUCCUUGUAUCAAAUACUGAAAUUACUGCUGUAAUAUGACGCGCCAGUUUUCCAAUUUGAUGCUUGUUGAACAGAGUGAGUGCUUUCACAAAAUGCUAGAUGGAUAUUUUGAAGCGACAGUUACUUCAAGGUUGGACUCAAAACCACUAAUGACACAUGAAGACAACCAAUUCUUAAAAGCAGAGAAUGGGCUCAGUAUUCCAUAAAAAUAUUGUGGUCAUCUUAAGGUACUUAAAUAGAGCAGCACGUGUAGGAUAUAGUGCUUGAAAGUCCGAGGAGCAAGAUUCGGUUCGCCUGGCGACAAAGGAACCAAAACUAAUCCGUCCAAUCAAAGGCCGACCAGGAAUGACUUACCAAUAGAGGGAGAAACAAAUCCACCGACUCUCGGGUGGAUCUCUUUGCAUUCCACUGGGCGGGCGGAGGAGGAACGCUGCCGAGGGCAGGGUGGUGCAGGAGCACGGAGAAUCCGGCACUGAGUGUUUGGAGCGAGUGUCAUGAUGAUGAGUGGAGAUCCCCCUCUCGCUCCCGGCUCCUCCCCUAGGAGAGCGAGGUCAGAGAGAGCACAAUCAGCAGUACCGACCAUGGGAGGUAGAGCACGUCGAGGAGGGGAAAGACAUCGAGGCGAGGAGCGGGGUGGGGGUGGGACUGCUGCUGGUGGUCGCCAUCGGCGAUUUAGAUGGAUCUAGGAGAGGGGCAUACCAGUUUGAAGUUGCACAUCAUCAAAAAAAUGAACCAGGUAGCCCCUGUAUCUGUUACACAUGAAAAUACACCACUGCGUCAAGUGGUACUAAACAUGCAAACAAACAAAUAACUCUUGUAUUGUAUUUCUACUAAACAUGCAUCAUCAAAUGGUACUAAACUGUAUCAAAUGGUAUUAAACAUGCAUCGUCACGACUUGCAGAUGUCGCAGCCGCAGGCAUUAGAAUUGUAGCCUAUGAAUUAUUUACGCCUAAAUUGAGAGAAUAAACAAAUCUAAUAGUUACAACAUCUGUCAUACCUGAGUAUCCAUCAAAUGGAAUCUUAUGAUUCCUGUCAUGCCAAAAUCAUACUGCAUCUUUCUUGUAGCAGUUUCUUUUGCUUUUUCGUCCUGGGAAGAAAUCAGCCUGGCAUUGAUAUAGAAACUUGGAUCAACUGUAAACAAAAACAAAUAUUAGUUCAAGGAGGUGUACUUUCAAUAAUUUGCAGUUUUUUUUGUUUUUUUAACUAACUAUUGCUUAUCCUCGGGUCUUGUCUGUUUUUCUUACCACUUCAGGAUUCACACAGCUAACAGCAUGUCCAAAUGAAACCUGAUAAGCAGGCAUCCAAAUUCAGUUGUUGGCAGUACAUUAGCUUUCCUCUUAAAUUCGUUUUUCCUGUUCCAGGGCAAAACCAGCGCGUAACUAUCGUCUAUGAUUGAACUAUAAAUAGAGCGGACAAUAGUCAUAAAUUAACAAAAAACAAAUGCAAAAGGGGAAACGACUAUCUUCUUCUGUAACAAAUGCGACAGUACUUGCCUCUUUUGUGACAAAUGCAAUGAAGAUGGUUGACAUAGUAUAAAUUUGAUUGUAAAUAUUUGGAUAGAGUUAGAGUUGGAAUAUAUUGGAGAGGGUCCUGUUAAAAUGCAAUGUCUAUGGGACAUAAUAAAAUAGAACCUAAAUAUAGUUGAAGGUGCGUGCAACAUGAUCUUUGUGCUUAUUUAAGAAUGUUGGGGCUAUGAGGAAUGCAGGAAAGAAAAAAUGUAUUAACUUGCAAUGAGAUAUUACUGGCAGUUUAGGAGCUGCUUACUGAAGUAUACAGAAAGCAUAACGAUGGUGAAGAUUUUGGAAGUUGUUAAAGCGUGAGCCAUCUUCAUCCCAUAGACACUUCAUUUUCUAAGCCUCCCCUUUUCCAACUCAUACUGAUCUCUCUCUCUGUCUCUCAUAUAUUGUUCUUCCUUUCUGAAAUACAACCAUAGAAAGCGGAUUACCAUCGUCCAGAACACCACAUUCUGUUGGGGCAUAACAUCGAGCGUCUUUCGCACGUCGGUGAUGCGUUCGAACUGGCGCAUCAUGACCAUGAACUCGAUGUCGUCGUCUUCGUCGGCGAAGAACCUGAGGAGGGGAGACAUCCUAUGGUGGAUGUGGAAGCAGCGGACGAAGGCAACUGGGGUUGGAACUGAGGUGCGCCAGGGCUUGCGGAUGAGGGAGGAGCGGGGCAGCGAUGAGGGGGGCGCGGGAGCCACUGCGGUGCAGGGGCGACGGGGAUGGAAAGGAGGCGACAUGGGAGAGCAUGGGGAGAGGCGACGAGGGUGUUCACGCGGGUGUGGUGUCGAGGGAGAGGAAUUUCGGGAGGGGGAGGAAGCGUCUGGAAGUCUCCGGCAAUGUGGAGACUGGAGAUGCAGAGAAUGUGUUUAUUUGUGUGGAGGCAAGUGGGAGGAGUAGGACGGAUUGCGUCCACUGGAUCUGAAUCUUACGGUUGAUAUUAAUUUGAUGACGUGGAUAGUGUGAGAAGCGCCGUUUUCGUUCUGCUUUCAUAAUAUAGAAAAUAUAUUCCUAGCGGUCUCUAUUGUGCUCGGAUUCAAAAUCACUACAAUCCUGCCAAAUGAUCAAAAUGGCCCUAAACUCUUACCAUUAACACUUCAUUGUAAACCCUUAGACAAUCUCUUGCACUUGUUAGUGAAAUAAAUAACAAGUAGAUAUGUGCUAUCGAUGCAUAUGGAAAAGGAGUUACACACUUCUCUACUCUUAGAAGUCUUUCGCUCCAAAUCUCAGGACGAGAUUCUUUUAAGGGGGAGAGAUGUAACACCCUAGGUGUUUGUCUUAUGUUAAUCAACAAAUAUGGACCUAAUCUAUCGAGAUUAUUAAAAAGAUUCCUCAGACUUAGGAAUUUAAUAAUCUCAUAAGAUGAGAAGUUCUGUGUCGUUCGGAUCGAUCGAGUAAGCGAGUGUGAUUUUGAAAAACCUCUGUUGUUUGUAAUCCAGAUCGCACGCGUUACCGAGAAUUCGUGCACAAGGUUUUGAAUUGAAAUUUGUUUUCCAGCAAAUUAUCAAUGGUAAAGAAAUCGAGUGUUUGAAUAUCAGAUAAAGUUUUUCGGGUUGAAUCGAAUCAAACGUUGAUUAAAAUAUCAUAUUCGAAAUCUUUUUAAUCCAGCGUUUUGCUUCUCACCCAAAUCAUAAUUUGAGAGUGUUCUAGCCGGUCCAUUUCGACCUCUCAAACACUAGUCCCAAACCAAAAUGUGUGAUAAAUGUGUCUUUACUUUAUUUGAAAAUAGUGGGAAAAUCCUCUAUCUUUUUUCUCUCCACCACCUCUGGUGGUUUCCUGAAGCCGCUCAGCAGGUCUCCUGUCCUUAUCCAUACGUUGGACGCCUCUCUUCAUCUUCCUUAUCCCAACAUCCAUCAUUCACUCUCUCUUCCUCAUUUCCUCACCACCGUCUCUCCUCCUCAUAGCGCUUGGCCUCAUCAGCGCCUCUCCCCUCAAGCUCGGCACGGCGACUGCCAGCCACCAUCCCCAGCUCAUUCUUCCCCUCAUCCUUCUCACCCAUCACGCCUAGGUCCGGCGUGUUUCCAUGUGUUACCAACGACGGUUUGUGUGAAGGGGAAGGAAAGGUAGGGAAAGAGAGAAGGAGCAGGUAGGAUGGAGAGACGACGACUUAGGGUUUCUUUUAGGGAAUUCUUGUUCAAAGAUAGUUACACCAUGCCUGCAGCGCUACUUAAGUUCUCAGCUUCACCACACACAUCACACCUUAUAUCCUCCAUUAUGAGCCUGAGACACGGACAUUGGGCUUCCUGACGCGACUUGAGACCCUAGGGUCGUUGCGGCUGCUUGCUAGGCCUGCUAUCUGUCCAUGAACACCACCAACUUCUGAUGUCGCGAUGUCUCCCUCCUCACAUCCCUGGGCAGUGUCUGUAACAAUCCCCCGGCGAUGAGAGCUUGCUUGCCCCCAAGCAGGAGCAAAUGGAAACUUCUGGCGCAGUCUUCCCACGUAGCCAAUGAAGGAGGCAUGCCGGACCACUGGAUGAGCAAUUGAGACAACCCUGCAGAGUUCAGACGACAUUGUAAAAUUUUGUCAGGUACCUGCAACCCUUCCAGGGACUGAGGAAGUUGAGCAACAACAACAGUUGGAGAGAUAGCCUUCUUUAGCUGGGAAACAUGGAAAAUGGGAUGUAUUUUAGAUGAAGCCGGUAAAUCCAAUUUGUAAGCAACCGAUCCCACUCUGUUGAGAACAGUGAAGGGCCCAAAAUACCGGAAAGCAAGUUUUUGGUUCGAUCUGGGAGCAAGGGAAGACUGAAUAUAUGGUUGUAAACGCAGGUAGACUUGAUCCCCACCGCAAACACUCUUUCAAAUCUGCUUUUAUCAGCCUGGGCCUUCAUACGCAAUUGAGCACGGUGCAGGUGUUACUGAACUAAAGUUGUUAUGACAGCCUUGUCUUGAAGCCAUUCAUCCAGAGACUGAUUUUGAGAAUUACCAACAACAUUCAACCCAAAUGGUUUUGGUGAGUAACCAUAUAAUACUUCAAAGGGGGAGAGACCCAGGGCUUCGUGCUUGCUGGAGUUGUAGCAGAACUCGGCUAGGUAAAGCCAAUUGAUCCAUUUGCUAGUGCACACGUUGACAAAGCAACGGAGAAAGGUUUCCAUACACUGGUUAACACGUUCCGUUUGCCCGUCUGUUUGUGGGUGGUAGGAAGAACUCAUGUGAAGCUUAACAUCAGCUAGCUUAAACAAAGCUUGCCACAAUUGGAUGGUGAAUAUGCUGUCACGGUCAGAAACAAUCGCUACUGGCAUGCCAUGGAGCUUGCAUAUAUGCUGCAUAAAGUGUUGGGCCACAACCAGUGCUGAAAAGGGGUGUUUGAGGGCAAUAAAGUGACUGAAUUUUGAGAACUUGUCGACCACUACCAUUACACAGUUCUUGUUGCCAUAAGUUGGGAGACCCUCCACAAAAUCCAUUGUAAUUGUCUGCCAAGCCCCAUUGGGUACAGGUAGAGGCUGCAAGAGUCCAAGAUACUUGAUCCUCCCCGGCUUGGACUGUUGACACACAGAGCACGAAGCCACAAAUUGUUUAGCAAACUUCCUCAUACCGGGCCAUGCAAACAACUGUUUCAGCUUGGGAUACGUGGCAGGGAAACCCGAGUGCCCACCUACAACAGAACUGUGUAUGGCCUCCAAGAUGGCUUGGUGCAUUGACCAGUUGUUACCCACCCAUAUCAUGUUUUUGAAUUUGAUAAUACCAUCCUAAAGAGAAAAAUGAGGAACUGAUGAUCCAUUCACCACCAAUUUGGCUAAAAGUUGUUUAGCUUCUUCAUCCCACAGAUAGCCAUCGAUGAUGUCUUGAGACCAUUGUGGGGAAAAUGCCGAGAUGGCCAGGACAUUAGGUGUAUCAUGCACUCGUCUUGAUAGUGCAUCAACAACCCUAUUGUCUGAGCCUUAUUUGUAAACUAUCUUGUACUGCAUGCCAAGUAACUUUGUAAAGACCUUCUGUUGCCAAGGGGUGUUAAGCCUUUGUUCAUUGAGAGCACCUAGAGGGGGGGUGAAUAGGUGAUCCUGUAAAACUUAAACUUAUAGCCACAAAAACUUGUUAAGUGUUAGCACAAUAAUUGCCAAGUGGCUAGAGAUGAGUCUCAACAAAACACAAUACCACAAGAGAUCAAACACAGAGAUGACACAGUGGUUUAUCCCGUGGUUCGGCCAAGACCAACGCUUGCCUACUCCACGUUGUGGCGUCCCAACGGAUGAGGGUUGCAAUCAACCCCUCUCAAGCGGUCCAAAGACCAACUUGAAUACCACGGUGUUUUGCUUUGCCUUUCAAUAUCCCGUUUGCGAGGAAUCUCCACAACUUGGAGUCUCUCGCCCUUACACUUGAGAUUCACAAAGAAAUACGGAGUAAGGGGGGGAAUGAGCAACGCACACAAGACUUCAAAAGAUCAGAGCAACAACACGCACACAAGUAGCAACAAGAGCUUGCAACACAACUCAAAGAGUUCACAACUCCACAAGAGCUCUAUAUGCUAUCACAAUGAAACGAAUGCGCGAGAUCGAUGUCUUGGUGCUUAGGAAUGUUGUAGGAAUGCUUGGUGUUCUCCUCCAUGCGCCUAGGGGUCCCUUUUAUAGCCCCAAGGAAGCUAGGAGCCGUUGAGAACAAAUCUGGAAGGCCAUCCUUGCCUUCUGUCGUCGGGCGCACCGGACAGUCCGGUGCACACCGGACACUGUCCGGUGCCCGAUUUCCUUCCUUAAACAGCGCAGCCGACCGUUGCAGAUCUGGGAGCCGUUGGCGCACCGGACAUGUCCGGUGCACACCGGACAGUCCGGUGCCCCCUUCCGACCGUUGGCCAGGCCACGUGUCGCGCGCAGAUUCCGCGACCGACCGUUGUCUCGGCCGACCGUUGGCUCACCGGACAGUCCGGUGCACACCGGACAGUCCGGUGAAUUAUAGCCGUACGCCGUCGGCGAAUUCCCGAGAGCGGCCACUUCGCGCCGUGUCAGCCUGGCGCACCGGACACUGUCCGGUGCACCACCGGACAGUCCGGUGUGCCAGACCGAGCUGAGUCUUGGCUGUACACAGCCAAGUCUUUGCACCUUUCUUCUUUUCUUUUUCUUUCUGUUUCUAACACUUAGACAAGUAUAUUAGUACACAAAACCAAUGUACUAGGGCUUAGAAACAUACCUUUACUCAUGAUUUGCACUUUGUUCAUCCAUGGGCAUAAAUUCACAUUUAAGCACUUUGUGUUGGCACUCAAUCACCAAAAUACUUAGAAAUGGCCCAAGGGCACAUUUCCCUUUCAAUCUCCCCCUUUUUGGUGAUUUAUGCCAACACAACAUAAAGCAACUAAAACAAGUGCAAAAUCACUUCAAAUAAAACUCAAAUUUAUUUUGAUUCUAUUUUGGCAUAUAUGGAUCAUCCUUUGCCACCACUUGGUUUGUUUUUGCAAAUCAAACUCAAAUCUCUAUCUCUAAGUCAAACACACAUGUUGAAGCAUAAAGAGAGUCAUUCCAAAAGAGAUUGAUCAAGGAUUUCAAAAACUCCCCCUUUUUCCCAUAAUCACUACUUCUCCCCACAAGAAGCCAACUUUUGACAAGAGUGACAAUAAAAGAGUGUUUUGACAAACUAAAAGCUCUACUCUACUAUUUUCAAAUCUGUAAAAGCUCUACUCUACUAUUUUCAAAUCUCUCAAGUGGUAGCUGAUCCAUUUAUUGCUUUGGCCUUUAUUUUCUCCCCCUUUGGCAUCAAGCACCAAAACGGGAUUAAUCUUGGCCCUUUAACCCCAUUGCCUCACCAAAAUCUUCAAUUAAGAGCAAAUGGCAAUAAGAGUUCAUGAGAUGGACUUGGAAUAAGUUACCCUCUCAUCGGAGUGCAGUGGAAGUCUUUCAUGGUCCAAGUCCACCUUUUCCCUUUUAAUUCUCCUUCGAGACUAAAUCAAGCAAACUCAAGCAUAUGGUUAGUCUCAAAGGGUCAAGUUGUAAUACAUCCCCCCCCCCUAAACAUGUGCAUUACUUUGCAACGGACUUGUGAGGUCCAGGGAGUGUUUGUACAACUUGAGCACCACAAUAAGCAACAAAAAUGCAGAACGAACAUGAUCAAAGGCAUAAACACAUGUAUGCUAUACUUCAAUCCAAGUUCCGUGAAUCUAAGACAUUUAGCUCACUACGCAGCCUGCAAAAGGUCUUCUCAUCUAGAGGCUUGGUAAAGAUAUCGGCUAGCUGGUUCUCGGUGCUAACAUGAAACACUUCGAUAUCUCCCUUUUGCUGGUGGUCUCUCAAAAAGUGAUGCCGGAUGUCUAUGUGCUUUGUGCGGCUGUGCUCAACAGGAUUUUCCGCCAUGCGGAUAGCACUCUCAUUAUCACAUAGGAGUGGGACUUUGCUCAAAUUGUAGCCAAAGUCCCUGAGGGUUUGCCUCAUCCAAAGUAGUUGUGCGCAACACUUUCCUGCGGCAACAUACUCGGCCUCAGCGAUGGAUAGGGCAACGGAGGUUUGUUUCUUAGAAUUCCAUGACACCAGGGACCUUCCUAAGAAUUGGCACGUCCCCGAUGUACUCUUCCUAUCGACCUUACAUCCAGCAUAGUCGGAAUCUGAAUAUCCAAUCAAGUCAAAGGUAGACCCCUUUGGAUACCAGAGCCCGAAGCAAGGCGUAGCAACUAAAUAUCUAAGGAUUCGCUUCACUGCCACUAAGUGACACUCCUUAGGAUCGGAUUGAAAUCUAGCACACAUGCAUACGCUAAGCAUAAUGUCUGGUCUACUAGCACAUAAAUAAAGUAAAGACCCUAUCAUUAACCGGUAUGCUUUUUGAUCAACGGACUUACCUCCUUUGUUGAGGUCGGUGUGUCCGUCGGUUCCCAUCGGAGUCUUUGCGGGCUUGGCGUCCUUCAUCCCAAACCGCUUCAGCAGAUCUUGCGUGUACUUCGUUUGAGAGAUGAAGGUGCCGUCCUUGAGUUGCUUCACUUGGAACCCAAGGAAGUAGUUCAACUCGCCCAUCAUCGACGUCUCGAAUUUCUGCGUCAUCACCCUGCUAAACUCUUCACAAGACUUUUUAUUAGUUGAACCAAAUAUUAUGUCAUCGACAUAAAUUUGGCACACAAAUAAAUCACCAUCACAUGUCUUAGUGAAAAGAGUUGGAUCGGCUUUCCCAACCUUAAAAGCAUUUGCAAUUAAGAAAUCUCUAAGGCAUUCAUUGUUGGAACUUGCUCUCUGCUGCAAGUGGGCCAACGGGGGUGAACAAUGGCGACAACAGGGUUACGUGCACGGGGGCAAUAGCUCUGUUGAUCUCGCCUCUCACGGGCACUGUGCGGGGGUAUUUAUAGGUGUCUGAGUGCCCAGCGUCUUGUCUUAAGGACGCAUGUGCCCUCAGACGCCUAGUUUAUCCCCGGAAUAUUCCCAUAAAGCAGGGUUACAAGCUGUAAUUACAAGUAUGCCUUUACAAGUCAGGCCCGUAAUACAGAGGCGGCCACGCGGGGCCCGUUACAAUGGGCCAGAUCACACGUGGGCCUUGGGGCUGAAUGAGGCCGCGCCGUGUGAGGACGUCGCCGCAGGUCUUCGUCAAAGUGUCGAGUCCUGCGAAGGGUGUCCCUGCCCGCUUUGCCUCCGUCGGACCAGCGGCUGCAGCGAAGGCCUGGAGCGAAGGGUGGCGUCUUUGCCUUCGCCCCAACAUUUGCCCUCCGAGGGACCAGUUCGACAAAGUCACCUGGUGCCGAAGACGUCGCUAGAUGGCGGAGACGCUGCCCUCGCUCGAAGUGGUUCCGCGGGGGUUUUUGAUGUGACCGUUGAUGGACGGCGUACUGUUGGAUUGCGGGUUUCCCGAAGCGUCGCGGCCUGUCGGGUUGUGGGUUUCCCGAGGAGCCGCGCCCUGCCUAUAAAAGGGGGGCGGGGGCGGCGCUGUUUGAAUUCUGCUUUCCGCGCUCCGUAAAACCCUAGCCGCCCGCCGCCUUGCUGCUCCUUUUCCUCCGCUGCUCCCUUUGUUCGCCGUCGUUCUGGCUCGAGUGAAGCAAACCGCCCGCCGCCGCCGACGGUACGUAGCCAUGCCAUCCUCUUCUUCUUCCGCCACCGCCACGCCGCCGGCCGCCGCCUCGUCUGAGGAGACGUUGAGUGACGCGAUGGUGGAAGAGUUGCGCGUCGGCGACUCUGUUGAAUUCGGUGUGUCACGGAUGACGUCAGGCCGUAUUGAAGAUAUGCAGCGGUUGGGCUACUUUGGCGACGGAGUCGCUCGGGCCCCGGGGACGGAGGAAGUCCCCGAGCCGGAGGGCGAGUUGGUUGUUUUCGAGGCGUUCUUCGCCGCCGGACUCCGCCUGCCUGCGCACCGGUUUGUCAGCGAAGUCCUGCGCAGAUUCAGUGUUCAAAUACAUCAGCUUACGCCGAACGCCAUAGUGGCGCUGGCGAAGUAUGUCUGGGCGACGACUUCGUACGGCGGGCAGCCGUCGGUUGAAGUUUUCGCGAAGAAUUAUUGCUUGCAUUGGCAGAAAAGGGUGGUUGAGGGCGGAGUUGCGCAGUUCGGGUCGUGCACUUUCACGCCGAAGACCGGCAAGACCACGAUGCCAGUAGUGGAGUUGGUCCCGUGCGCCCGCAACAAGUGGGGCAGUUGGAAUGAGUUUUGGUUUUAUGUUUCUGAGGCAACUGUCGAAGGCCAUCAAGGGCUCCCCGUGUCCGUAAUGUGCUCUCACUAUUACUCUGCGUAUCCGCCUUUCGAAGUGGCAGAAGAGGAUACAGACGAAGAGGCCCUACGGUACGCCGCCGGUCAGAGCAGCGGGCGUGAUUUGGUUGAAGAGUUUGCGGCGUACGGGGUCUGGCCCUUGGCGCACGGCUGGGCGCUGGGCGAAGUAUGCCCUCGCCAGAUGCCCUUUCACGGAGGAAGGGAGGUGCGAAGUCCUGCCUUCGCACUGAGUUUGCGGAACCGUGACCCGGCCGCCUUCGUGCGUGAUGCAGAAGACUUGGCGGUGCGACUCGUGGGGCGCUACGUGCCGAAGACGGAAGGCCAGCGCAGUUUCGAUAUCCGUGGGUCAAACGAUCGCUUGAACAGGGUCUUUGAAUUAAAUCAACUGCCGUACGACGGCUACCCUGGUCAGGACGAAGCAGACCGCCGCGGGAAGAAACCGGCGGUGGAGGCCGGAGGCGACCCUGCGCUGGCGGCCGCCGCCUCUUCGAAAAAGAGAAAAUUAGGUACUGCGAUGGGAGGGCUUGGGGUGUCUGAUAGUUUCGCUAGAGAGUUAAUGAGGACGUGUGCGGCCCCGGGGGAGAGGAUGUCUUCGCCCGAGCUCCGGGAGUCUUCGGCUCGGAUGCUGAGGGUUACCGGGGGUUGCUGGCCUAAAAACAUUCCUAUCCCCUGGGAUGAAGAGGACUGUUUUACAUCUCGUAUGGCUCGUCGGUGGAAAGUUUUUCCUUAUGGGCGAAAUAUCGGUCAUGUUGUGUGGGCAGUGAUGGACAAGGAUCGCCAAGCGGCGGCGCGGAAACGCCAGGCGACCGUGAGGGUUCAUGAAGCCCGGCCGAAAAGGCAGCGGGGAGCAUCGAAGGCUGAGGCCUCCGGCGGAGGCAAGCCGCCAUUGCCGGCGAAGGCGGGUGCCUCCGCGCCUGGCAAGGCGCCGGAGGCGACGGUGGGCGCCGGAGGCCCCAAGCUGUCGAAGGUGGUGCCGUCCGCCAGCGGAGUGGCGGAGGCUGCGAAGGCGGCCCGAUCGCUACCGCCGCCCGGCAAACGCGUUGCCGACUUCGGCACUGAGAUUGAUGUGGAGGAUUAUCUUGGGGGUGAGUCUAUAUGUAUACACUUUUUUUUUUUUUUAAUCUGUUGAUGCGUUGCAGGGUUGGACGAGGGCCCGCUCGCUCUAGUUGUGCCUGGCGCGGCGGUCGCGACGGCUGCGCCAGCGCCGAAGGCGGGGGUAGAGACCCUUGGCGCUGGAGGCGAGGUGACUGCCCUCGCGUUGGUCAGAGACGAGGCGGACGCGGCGACCCGCCGGCUGAAAGGAGCAAUGGAGGCGCUGAGUCAGGUCUGCCGAGCUUUUUUUUUUUUUUUUUUUUUUUUUUUUUAACACGGGCCUUAUGUGUGUUCUGCAGGUGGCUGACUUCACCAGCCGUACUGCGUCGGGGGCCCUUACGGCGACGUUGUCUGCCGAGGUCGAGAGACUUCGGACGCAACACGCGGACGCUGUCCGUGAGAAGUCGGCCUCCGACAGCAAGUGCCGCAAGCUGGCGGAGAAGGUGGCCGCCCUUGAGAAGGAGAAGGCAGACCUCCGGCGCCAGCUGAUGGAGGAGAGAAGGGAGGCCAACGAAGCCAUCGCCAAGGAGCAGUCUGCGCAGGCGGAGGCCAGGCUGGCGCGGGCGGAGGGCAAUGUCGCCAAGGAGCUCGCCGGGGAGCUGCAGCGGCGGCUUGCUGCCUUCGAGAGCCGCGCGGAGGGGGCCGAGGCCGCGGCGCGAGCGGAGGCCGAACGGACGCGCACGCAGCUCAUGACUUCAUAUCGCGAGCUGGGUGUGCGGACGAGCGACUUCGAGGUGCCGGAGCGAGAGGCCGGACUUCGCUGUCUGGAGUGGGUGCAGGAGGAACUGCAGGAGCUCCCCACUGUCUUGGCGGGGUUGAUGUCGUUCACCUCCCUGGUCACCUGCGAGGCAGCGAUGAACGCGCUCUCUCGCGAAGGCUGCCGGCACUUUGAGGCCCUCGACCAGGUGGAUGAAGAUUUUGGGCGAGAUAUCUUUGAGGUCGAAGACCCCGUGGUGAAGGAGUCCGGCGGGGCCCUCUUUGACCGGAUGUGGGGUUCAUACGGUCGAGAGGUGGUCCGGGCGCGGGCCGAGGCUGCAAGGGCUCAGGUAACGUUGUCGUUUACUCGGUGCUUGCUGGAUGCGGUUUGUGCGUGUGUUUGCUGAAUUUUUUGUACGUUUUGUCUUAGGCGGAGCGCGGCGAGCGGGUGGACGAUUUUGGGGCGCUGAACAGCGCGCCGCCUGAGCCGGAGACCACCCCUGCGGAGGCCGCCACUGGAGUCGCCCCGGUGACCGCGGAAGAUGCACCAGGCGCCCUUGUACCUGCUGCGGCCGGCGAAGGCCUACUCCCAAGGGUGGCCGAAGGCGCGUCUGAUGCCCCCGCAGCUGCUGUGCCGGGCGCUGAAGAUCCGGCGGAGACAACGGCGGAGGCGGCGGCGGAGGCUCCCGCAGCGGCAGGGCCUUCGCAGGUGGCGUAGGUGGUGUUUAGGGUUGAGGGAUUUUUGGAUGAUGUACUGAAUUUUGGUUGCUGCGCAGGUUCAAGAUUUUGGGCCUGCGCACGCAACCGCUACUACUGGUUUUUUGGCGGCUUCGACCGCGGAAGGUGGAAAUGAAUGUGGUGGGUCUGUUUCUGAGUUUUUUGAUUUUACUGACUCUGGGAGCUCGGCUGAAUGGACCGAGGAGUCGUCGGAGGAGGACUUGGACUAUUUUGCGGCCCUGGACGAGGCUGCGGCGGAGGCUGCGCUACAUGCUGCGGACGCGCCAGGCGUGCCCGGUCCUAGCACCGGGCACCGACGACGAAGGGCGGUUGCGAAGCGUAGGAUUAGUGCGGAGGAAGGGGCUCGUCUUCGCGUUAGUAGGGUUGGUCGGCAGGAGCUGCUGUCUUUGCCGGCCGUCUCGGGUGUGGGGGAAGGGGAGCUGCGAAGCCUUUUUGCUGGUGAGGAGCUUAGGAUAAUGUUAUUUAAUUAUAGAGAGAUGGGGAUUAUUCCUAAGGUUGAGCCGAUGUAGGGCGUGGUGCCCUCGCUUGUGUAUGUGCAAGGGUUUGUAAAAUGGAGUGGUGUGCCCUCGCGUGCUUGUGCCUGCGAGGGCGCUGUGUACUUUGACUGGUGUGAUUGAUUGUGCUGUGCCAGUGUGAUUAUAAUUGGUCUUGCUGUCGCUUCUGCUUUUGCCAUACUGGGUCGGCUGCGCCCUUGGGCGGUUUUUGCGGUAGGCUCCGGCUGCGCCUUUUAGGCGACUUCUGCGCGAAAAGCCUUCGCGAUAGACUUUGAUUUUUGCGCACUUGUGGAGCUAAGUCCGGCUGCACCCUUGGGCGACUUCUGCGCGGUUAGUCUUCGCGAUAGACUUCGAUUCUUGCGCACUUGUUGUGCUAAGUCCGGCUGCACCCUUAGGCGACUUCUGCGCGGAUAGUCUUCGCGAUAGACUUUGAUUUUUGCGCACUUGUUGUGCUAAGUCCGGCUGCACCCUUAGGCGACUUCUGCGCGGAUAGUCUUCGCGAUAGACUUUGAUUUUUGCGCACUUGUUGUGCUAAGUCCGGCUGCACCCUUAGGCGACUUCUGCGCGGAUAGUCUUCGCGAUAGACUUUGAUUUUUGCGCACUUGUUGUGCUAAGUCCGGCUGCACCCUUAGGCGACUUCUGCGCGGAUAGUCUUCGCGAUAGACUUUGAUUUUUGCGCACUUGUUGUGCUAAGUCCGGCUGCACCCUUAGGCGACUUCUGCGCGGAUAGUCUUCGCGAUAGACUUUGAUUUUUGCGCACUUGUUGUGCUAAGUCCGGCUGCACCCUUAGGCGACUUCUGCGCGGAUAGUCUUCGCGAUAGACUUUGAUUUUUGCGCACUUGUUGUGCUAAGUCCGGCUGCACCCUUAGGCGACUUCUGCGCGGAUUGGUCGCACGCGAGGGUGGCUAGCGCUUAGCCUCGCGGUGACUUCGAAUUGGUCGAAUGCCGAAGACCGUUGUCGCGGUCUUUUUUCGACACAUGCUUUUGCGGGGGAUUUUUCUCACAUAUAUUACAUGGCUCCGCCUCGUUAAAAACCUCACCCCCCGGGAGGAAAAGAGUGCGGGCCGGUACAAGAUUGUUUGCGGUGAAUUACAAGGGCGAACUCAGCCCUAGGAAUUAAACAAAAAAUUUACGAAGGUUGUCAAUGUUCCAGGAGUGCUCCAGGUCCUCGCCAUCUGGCGUUGCGAGCCUGUAAGCGCUGGGGGAAGCUUUUGUCUUGACUAUGAAGGGGCCCUCCCACUUGGGCUCCAGCUUGCCCUUGGACUCCGUCCGAGCUGUUCGGAUGAGUACGAGGUCCCCCGCGCUGAACUCCUUUGGGAUGACUGCGCGGUCGCGCCAUGCUUUGGUCUGGGCUUGGUAUUUGUUUAAGGCCUGCAGGGCGAAGACCCGGUCUCCGUCAAUGAGAUCUUUGGAGGUUGGCUCAUCCACGUCAGGGGUGGCUGACGGAGCUGUGCGCGGAGACCCGUGUUUUAUUUCUUGCGGUGUCAUUGCCUCUGAUCCGUAUAGAAGGCGGAAAGGAGUGAACCCGGUCGCCCUGCACUCGGUUGUGUUCAGCGCCCAGACUGCCUCCGGUAGCAAGUCGGUCCAUCUGCCCUUUUUCUCGUCGAGGAGCAUCUUCUUGAUGGCUGUGAAGAUUUUCCCAUUGGCACGCUCCACGACUCCGUUGGACUGCGGAUGAUAGACUGAAGCGAAGGCAAGCUUGGUGCCAAUGGAAAAACAGAAAUCCUUGAAAUCUUGAUUGUCAAACUGCUUGCCGUUGUCAACUGUUAGCUCGGACGGUACUCCGAAGCGGCAAACAAUGUUCUGCCAAAAGAAUUUUUGGGCAGUCUUUGAUGUGAUUGUGGACACAGCCCUCGCUUCAAUCCACUUGGUGAAGUAUUCGACGGCUACGAAGGCGAACUUGAGGUUCCCCUGAGCGGUGGGCAAGGGCCCGACGAUGUCCAGGCCCCAGCGCUGAAGAGGCCAUGUAUGGGCGACCAGCUUUGUGUAUUGCGAGGGGUUGCCUGACCGAGGAGAGAACUUCUGGCAGGCUUCGCAGGACCUUGCGACUCGAUUUGCGGCGCAGAUCAUUGCAGGCCAGUAAAACCCUUGUCGGAUCACCUUAGCAGCCAGGGCCCUUGGCCCCGCGUGCGAGCCGCAAGUUCCACUGUGGACCUCGCGCAAGAUUUGGAUGCCUUCGGUUUCGGUGACGCAUUUAAGCAUUGGCUGACUGACCCCCUUCUUGUAUAAUUGGCCCUCGAUUAGCGCGAAGUCCCGGCUCCGAUGCUCGAGGCGCUUCGCCUCACUGACGUCGGUUGGGUGAUAGUAUCCCUGUAGAAACAGGGUUAUUGGGGCCCGCCAGUCCUCGGUCAUGAUUAGGUGGACUAUACGGUGGCCCUCGCUAUCAUUUGUUAUUUGGAGCCCUUCGGGGCUCCGGACGGCUGGCGUGCCGAUGGUGUGAAAGAAUACGUCGGAGGGCAGGGGCUCGCCCCUGGCGGCGGCCUUGGCUAAUGCAUCGGCCUCCUCAUUCUUGGCCCUGUCCACAUGCUGUAGGGUGAAUCCCUUGAACUGCCUCUCGAGACUUCGGAUAGCCGCGAGGUAUUGCAUGAGCGCGGGGUCUUUUGCUGCAUAGUCUUUUUCGACCUGACCGGCGACUAUCUUGGAGUCUGUUUUGAUGAUACAGGUGGUGACUCCGAGGGCCCUUAGCUUGCGGAGGCCGAGGAUGACUGCUUCAUACUCUGCUAUGUUGUUUGUACAUUUGUCGGAUUCCAGAGCGAAGCUGAGGCGUGCUGCAUAUCUGUGUUUGACUCCGGCUGGUGAGGUGAUGACUGCAGCGACGCCUGCCCCCGCAUGACACCAUGCACCGUCGCAAUGGAUAGUCCAGACCUUUUUGUGGAUGGGUCCGGCUGUGUUACUGGCCCAGUCCAGUCGACGACGAAGUCUGCCAGGACUUGCGAUUUGAUGGCUGUCCUGGGCUCGAAGCUGAUAUGGUAGCCGGAGAGCUCGGCUGCCCACUUGGCGAUUCUCACUGAUGCCUCCGGGUUCCUGAAUAGUUCGCCGAGUCCCCUGUCCGAGGUGACUCGGACCUUGAAUGCUUCAAAAUAAUGGCGCAGCUUGCGCGAGGACAUAACAACUGCGUAAGCAAUCUUCUCCAGCUCUGUCAUGUUGCAUUUGGAUGGUGUCAGGACUUCGGAGACAUAAUAAACAGGGCACUGUCUGACUGCGCCUUCGACUGUCUGCUCCUGCACUAGUGCCGCGCUGACCGCGUGCGGCGAAGCCGCGACAUAGAGCAAUAAGGGGAGCGAGGAGUCUGGGCUUGUGAGGAUGGCCAGCUCCGCCAGGUACUGUUUUAAUGAGGCGAAGGCCGCUGCUUGCUCCGGUCCCCAAGCGAAGUCCUUCGCGCCGCGGAGGGUUUUGAGGAAGGGGAGACUUCGCUCGGCGGACCUGGAGAUGAAUCUAUUGAGGGCGGCCAUCCUGCCUGUCAGGCGCUGGACGUCCCUGGCGGACUGCGGAGGCGACAUGUCGACGAUGGCCUGGAUCUUGGUUGGGUUGGCCUCGAUGCCUCGGCGGGACACCAGGUAGCCCAAUAUCUUGCCCUGGCGGACACCGAAAACGCACUUUUCCGGGUUUAGGCGGAGUCGUGCAUCUCGCAUGCUCGCGAAUGUUUCCGCCAGGUCGGCGAGGUGGUCCUCCUUAUUUUUGCUGGCGACGACGAUGUCGUCCACAUAUGUGAAUACGUUUCUGCCGACCUGCCCUUCGAGCACCGUUUUGGUGAGUCUGGAGAAGGUGGACCCGGCAUUCUUGAGACCCUCCGGCAUUCUGACAAAGCAAUAAGUGCCGAAGGGUGUUAUAAAGCUGGUGCUGGCCUUGUCUUCCUCCUUCAUGUAUAUCUGGUGAUAGCCGGAGAAGCAGUCGAGGAGGGACAUGACCUCGCAUCCGGCCGCGCUAUCGACUAUUUUGUCGAUCCGUGGCAACGGGAAAUUGUCCUUUGGGCAGGACUUAUUGAGACUGGUGAAGUCUAUGCACAUGCGCCAUUUUCCGCUUUUCUUCUGCACCAUCACAACAUUGGAGAGCCACGUGGGGUAAGCCACCGGCUCGAUGAAUUUAGCCUCCAGGAGGCGAUGCACCUCCGCCUUGGCGGCUUCUGUCUUUUCAUCUGACAUCUUGCGAAGCUUCUGCUUUUUGGGUCGCACCGAAGGGUCAAUCUCCAGGCUGUGUUCGAUUAUGGCUCGGCUGACUCCGACCAGAUCGAGGGCAGACCAGGCGAAGACAUCUUUAUUCUUGGCCAGGCAGCAGAGAAGUUUCUCUUCUUCAAGUGACGUGAGGUCUUCGCUGAUAGUUACAGUCUGUUUGGGCGUGGCCUGAUCGAGGGGACAGUCUUGGUCCCGUCUUGGCACUGCAACUGUGCCUUGUCGUGCUGCUUGUCGGUUGGGCUAGCCGGCGCAGGGACUUCGCGCUGGGUCGUGAGACAGUGUACAUUUCUCUGACCGGGCACGAAGUCCCGCUCUAUGUUGCGCGCCGUCUGCUGGUUGCCGUAGAUUGUGAUGGCGCCCAGCGGGCCUGGUAUCUUCAUACAUAGGUACAACCGUGGAUGGCGGCUUCGAAUUUGUUGAUGGAGCCUCGGCCCAUGAUGGCGUUGUAUGGAUAUACCAUGUCGACAAUGUCGAAGGUUAUUUGCUCACUUCGGGCAUUGGGUGCUACACCGAAGGAGAGGGGCAACUCUAUCUUGCCAACUGGAAAGGUGCCCUUGCCGCCGAAACCAUACAACGGGUUGUCCGAAGGCUUCAGCAAGCUGUGGCUUAUGCCCAUGCGGUCGAAGGCGUGGAGGAAGAUGAUGUCCGCUGACUGCCGUUGUCGACGAGGACUUUGUGUAAGUCCCAACCUGCCACGCUGCAGUUGAUGACCAUUGCGUCGAUGUGGGGGGGCGCUGCGUAGGUCGACGUCUCGCGCGUCGAAGGUUAGCGGUAUGUGGGACCACUUCGUCUGCACGACUGGGCCAGUGACGGCGACAUGGUUGAUGCUGCGGUAGUGGUCCCGCUUCUGCCGCUUGGUGUCGAAGUCGGUGCUUGACCCCCCUGUUAUCAUGUGAAUGACUCCGCGAUAAGGUUGAUCGGCGAAGUCUUCUUGCUUUGGGGGAUGGGGAAUGUUUGGUGUUGCUGGUGUGGUGGUGGGGGUGGAGGAGGUACGAUUUGUACUUCCUGAUGAUGUGGUAAGCGUGGUGCGGUGGGAUGCGGAGCGGGGGCGUGGACGUAUGGUGGAGGGUGGCUGGUAGUUAUGCGCGACAAUUCUGGGAUUGUCGGCCGGCUGCGCCCUCGCCAUUCUAUCUCUGGUGGCCUUCGUCUCGGGGCAGUCUUUGGUCUGGUGGGCGCAGUCUUCGCCGUGGAAAAGGCAAUAGAACCGGCGCGGCGGCUGCUGCGCCCGCCCUCGACCCCUGCCGCGCGUUCCAUUUCCCGGCCUUGGGGGGGAUAUUCCUGGCGGCAGAGGGGGGUCAGCAGCAGGCUGUUGGGUUGACGAUGUUGUGGACUUGCUGCUGACUGCGGCUGCUCGACUGGAGUCUGGCUGCGAAGUCCUUGUCCACGGUGCGGCUGGACUGCGGAGUCUGACCUGUUGGGUUUCCGUUGCGACUCGACCUUGCGCUGGUGGAGCUCUUCGGAUUUGGCAUAUUUUUCGAAGAGCUGAUAUAGCCCUGCAACUCUUGGGUGGACCCUGAUACAAGGCUGUAGAGGACGCCGGCCCGAAGGCCAUUGAGGCGUAGUGGAUAGCGAUCUGAUCGUCGACAGAGGGCAGCUGUGACUUGAGUGUUAAGAACUUGCGGUAAACUCCCGCAGAGUCUCCUUUUCCAGCUGUUUGCAAAGCGAGAGCUUGGCCAAAGCCGUUCGGUGUCUGGACGGUACCCUUGGAAGUUGAGGAGGAACUUGUCCCUGAGACUUCGCCACGAAUCAAUGGACAGCGGGGGCAAUCUGGUGAACCAGGUGAGUGCUGGGCCCUCUAGGGCGAUGAUGAAAGACUUUGCCAUUGUGGCCUCGUCCCCUCACGGCUGAUGCAACGGCGACUUGGUAACUCAUGAUGUAUUGCGCCGGAUCGGUGCUGCCGUUGUACUUGGGGUAUGCCCCGCUCGAAAGUUGGCUGGCCAAGGCGUCACUUGCAGGUGUGGCGCCAGGGGACUUCGCUCGUCGAGGUAGUUGAUCCCUUGGAAUGGCGCGCCGUGCUGGGGGGCGUAGUCAUGCUGGGGGAAACGCGGGUUCUCCGGCUGCGCCCGGUGCUGCAGGGGUUGGCCGUGCUGUCGGCCGAGGUAGCCUUCCGCGCAUGUCCUCCGGCUGAGCGCGUUGUUGGAGGGUGGUUCUUGCUGCAAACCGAGGUGGCCUUCGCGCUGCAUCAGCGCGAUCUCGCGCUCGAGGUCUUGGGGUUUUCUGCUCCUCGUCGCGUAUCAUUUGCCGGCACUUUGGCUAAUGCGGAAACACGUUGGCGCUUGGCCUCCCAGUAUCUCUUUCUGCCUCUGGAGAUUGCGGUUCCUGAGGCGCAGGGCGCGCAGCUGCAAGCUGUUCUUCUGUUGAGACGCCGAGGGCCUCAACCAUCCUCGGUGAGGGUCGGCGCCUUCCAGUGGGGCGAAGCCUGGGGGCGCUGCGACUGUCCUUCGGGUUCCGCAGGGUGCGGAAAGGUGUCGUCUUCGCCGGUGUGGGGAACAUUGUCCUCAAUGGGCCUCUUGGUGGGUGGAUUGGGUGAGGGGCGAGGGCCUUGCCCUUUCUUGCGGCCAGCAGUGCUGCCUUCGCAGCCUCGUCAGCCUUGGGGUUAGCUCUCUUGGGUGCCAUCGCGGGUGGUUUUGUCGUAGCAACGAACGGUGGGCGCCAAUGUUGGAACUUGCUCUCUGCUGCAAGUGGCCAACGGGGGUGAACAAUGGCGACAACAGGGUUACGUGCACGGGGGCAAUAGCUUGUUGAUUAGCCUCUCACGGGCACUGUGCGUUGUUUUAGGUAGUGUCUGAGUGCCCAGCGUCUUGUCUUAAGGACGCAUGUGCCCUCAGACGCCUAGUUUAUCCCCGGAUAUUCCAUAAAGCAGGGUUACAAGCUGUAAUUACAAGUAUGCCUUUACAAGUCAGGCCCGUAAUACAGAGGCGGCCACGCGGGGCCCGUUACAAUGGGCCAGAUCACACGUGGGCCUUGGGGCUGAAUGAGGCCGCGCCGUGUGAGGAGUCCGCAGGUCUUCGUCAAAGUGCGAGUCCUGCGAAGGGUGUCCCUGCCCGCUUUGCCCUCGUCGGACCAGCGGCUGCAGCGAGGCCUGAGCGAAGGGUGGCNNNNNNNNNNNNNNNNNNNNNNNNNNNNNNNNNNNNNNNNNNNNNNNNNNNNNNNNNNNNNNNNNNNNNNNNNNNNNNNNNNNNNNNNNNNNNNNNNNNNUGGAUCGGCUUUCCCAACCUUAAAAGCAUUUGCAAUUAAGAAAUCUCUAAGGCAUUCAUUGUUGGAACUUGCUCUCUGCUGCAAGUGGGCCAACGGGGGUGAACAAUGGCGACAACAGGGUACGUGCACGGGGCAAUAGUCUGUUGAUCUCGCUCUCACGGGCACUGUGCGGGGUAUUUAUAGGUGUCUGAGUGCCAGCGUCUUGUCUUAAGGACGCAUGUGCCCUCAGACGCCUAGUUUAUCCCCGGAAUAUUCCAUAAGCAGGUUACAAGCUGUAAUUACAGUAUGCCUUUACAAGUCAGGCCCGUAAUACAGAGGCGGCCACGCGGGGCCCGUUACAAUGGGCCAGAUCACACGUGGGCUUGGGGCUGAAUGAGGCCGCGCCGUGUGAGGACGUCGCCGCAGGUCUUCGUCAAAGUGUCGAGUCCUGCGAAGGGUGUCCUGCCGCUUUGCCUCCGUCGGACCAGCGGCUGCAGCGAAGGCCUGGAGCGAGGGUGGCGUCUUUGCCUUCGCCCCAACAUUUGCCCUCCGGGGACCAGUUCGACAAAGUCACCUGGUGCGAAGACGUCGCUAGAUGCGGAGACGCUGCCCUCGCUCGAAUGGUUCCGCGGGGGUUUUUGAUGUGACCGUUGAUGGACGGCGUACUGUUGGAUUGCGGGUUUCCGAAGCGUCGCGGCCUGUCGGGUUGUGGGUUUCCCGAGGAGCCGCGCCCUGCCUAUAAAAGGGGGGCGGGGGCGGCGCUGUUUGAAUUCUGCUUUCCGCGUCCGUAAAACCUAGCCGCCGCCGCCUUGCUGCUCCUUUUCCUCCGCUGCUCCUUUGUUCGCGUCGUUCUGGCUCGAGUGAAGCAAACCGCCCGCCGCCGCCGACGGUACGUAGCCAUGCCAUCCUCUUCUUCUUCCGCCACCGCCACGCCGCCGGCCGCCGCCUCGUCUGAGGAGACGUUGAGUGACGCGAUGGUGGAAGAGUUGCGCGUCGGCGACUCUGUUGAAUUCGGUGUGUCACGGAUGACGUCAGGCCGUAUUGAAGAUAUGCAGCGGUUGGGCUACUUUGGCGACGGAGUCGCUCGGGCCCCGGGACGGAGGAAGUCCCGAGCCGGAGGGCGAGUUGGUUGUUUUCGAGGCGUUCUUCGCCGCCGGACUCCGCCUGCCUGCGCACCGGUUUGUCAGCGAGUCCUGCGCAGAUUCAGUGUUCAAAUACAUCAGCUUACGCCGAACGCCAUAGUGGCGCUGGCGAAGUAUGUCUGGGCGACGACUUCGUACGGCGGGCAGCCGUCGGUUGAAGUUUUCGCGAAGAAUUAUUGCUUGCAUUGGCAGAAAAGGGUGGUUGAGGGCGGAGUUGCGCAGUUCGGGUCGUGCACUUUCACGCGAAGACCGGCAAGACCACGAUGCCAGUAGUGGAGUUGGUCCCGUGCGCCGCAACAAGUGGGCAGUUGGAAUGAGUUUUGGUUUUAUGUUCUGAGGCAACUGUCGAAGGCCAUCAAGGGCUCCCCGUGUCCGUAAUGUGCUCUCACUAUUACUCUGCGUAUCCGCCUUUCGAAGUGGCAGAAGGGAUACAGACGAAGAGGCCCUACGGUACGCCGCCGGUCAGAGCAGCGGGCGUGAUUUGGUUGAAGAGUUUGCGGCGUACGGGGUCUGGCCCUUGGCGCACGGCUGGGCGCUGGGCGAAGUAUGCCCUCGCCAGAUGCCCUUUCACGGAGGAAGGAGGUGCGAAGUCCUGCCUUCGCACUGAGUUUGCGGAACCGUGACCCGGCCGCCUUCGUGCGUGAUGCAGAAGACUUGGCGGUGCGACUCGUGGGGCGCUACGUGCCGAAGACGGAAGGCCAGCGCAGUUUCGAUAUCGUGGGUCAAACGAUCGCUUGAACAGGGUCUUUGAAUUAAAUCAACUGCCGUACGACGGCUACCUGGUCAGGACGAAGCAGACCGCCGCGGGAAGAAACCGGCGGUGGAGGCCGGAGGCGACCCUGCGCUGGCGGCGCGCCUCUUCGAAAAGAGAAAAUUAGGUACUGCGAUGGGAGGGCUUGGGGUGUCUGAUAGUUCGCUAGAGAGUUAAUGAGACGUGUGCGGCCCGGGGGAGAGGAUGUCUUCGCCCGAGCUCGGGAGUCUUCGGCUCGGAUGCUGAGGGUUACCGGGGUUGCUGGCCUAAAACAUUCCUAUCCCUGGGAUGAAGAGGACUGUUUUACAUCUCGUAUGGCUCGUCGGUGGAAAGUUUUUCCUUAUGGGCGAAAUAUCGGUCAUGUUGUGUGGGCAGUGAUGGACAAGGAUCGCCAAGCGGCGGCGCGGAAACGCAGGCGACCGUGAGGGUUCAUGAAGCCCGGCCGAAAAGGCAGCGGGAGCAUCGAAGGCUGAGGCCUCCGGCGGAGGCAAGCGCCAUUGCCGGCGAAGGCGGGUGCCUCCGCGCCUGCAAGGCGCCGGAGGCGACGGUGGGCGCCGGAGGCCCCAAGCUGUCGAAGUGGUGCCGUCCGCCAGCGGAGUGGCGGAGGCUGCGAAGGCGGCCCGAUCGCUACGCCGCCCGGCAAACGCGUUGCGACUUCGGCACUGAGAUUGAUGUGGAGGAUUAUCUUGGGGUGAGUCUAUAUGUAUACACUUUUUUUUUUUUUAAUCUGUUGAUGCGUUGCAGGGUUGGACGAGGGCCCGCUCGCUCUAGUUGUGCCUGGCGCGGCGGUCGCGACGGCUGCGCCAGCGCCGAAGGCGGGGUAGAGACCCUUGGCGCUGGAGGCGAGGUGACUGCCCUCGCGUUGGUCAGAGACGAGGCGGACGCGGCGACCCGCCGGCUGAAAGGAGCAAUGGAGGCGCUGAGUCAGGUCUGCCGAGCUUUUUUUUUUUUUUUUUUUUUUUUUUUAACACGGGCCUUAUGUGUGUUCUGCAGGUGGCUGACUUCACCAGCCGUACUGCGUCGGGGCCUUACGGCGACGUUGUCUGCCGAGGUCGAGAGACUUCGGACGCAACACGCGGACGCUGUCCGUGAGAAGUCGGCCUCCGACAGCAAGUGCCGCAAGCUGGCGGAGAAGGUGGCCGCCUUGAGAAGGAGAAGGCAGACCUCCGGCGCCAGCUGAUGGAGGAGAGAAGGGAGGCCAACGAAGCCAUCGCCAAGGAGCAGUCUGCGCAGGCGGAGGCCAGGCUGGCGCGGGCGGAGGGCAAUGUCGCCAAGGAGCUCGCCGGGGAGCUGCAGCGGCGGCUUGCUGCCUUCGAGAGCCGCGCGGAGGGGCCGAGGCCGCGGCGCGAGCGGAGGCGAACGGACGCGCACGCAGCUCAUGACUUCAUAUCGCGAGCUGGGUGUGCGGACGAGCGACUUCGAGGUGCCGGAGCGAGAGGCCGGACUUCGCUGUCUGGAGUGGGUGCAGGAGGAACUGCAGGAGCUCCCCACUGUCUUGGCGGGGUUGAUGUCGUUCACCUCCCUGGUCACCUGCGAGGCAGCGAUGAACGCGCUCUCUCGCGAAGGCUGCCGGCACUUUGAGGCCCUCGACCAGGUGGAUGAAGAUUUUGGGCGAGAUAUCUUUGAGGUCGAAGACCCCGUGGUGAAGGAGUCCGGCGGGGCCCUCUUUGACCGGAUGUGGGGUUCAUACGGUCGAGAGGUGGUCCGGGCGCGGGCCGAGGCUGCAAGGGCUCAGGUAACGUUGUCGUUUACUCGGUGCUUGCUGGAUGCGGUUUGUGCGUGUGUUUGCUGAAUUUUUUGUACGUUUUGUCUUAGGCGGAGCGCGGCGAGCGGGUGGACGAUUUUGGGGCGCUGAACAGCGCGCCGCCUGAGCCGGAGACCACCCUGCGGAGGCCGCCACUGGAGUCGCCCCGGUGACCGCGGAAGAUGCACCAGGCGCCUUGUACCUGCUGCGGCCGGCGAAGGCCUACUCCCAAGGGUGGCCGAAGGCGCGUCUGAUGCCCCCGCAGCUGCUGUGCCGGGCGCUGAAGAUCCGGCGGAGACAACGGCGGAGGCGGCGGCGGAGGCUCCCGCAGCGGCAGGGCCUUCGCAGGUGGCGUAGGUGGUGUUUAGGGUUGAGGGAUUUUUGGAUGAUGUACUGAAUUUUGGUUGCUGCGCAGGUUCAAGAUUUUGGGCCUGCGCACGCAACCGCUACUACUGGUUUUUUGGCGGCUUCGACCGCGGAAGGUGGAAAUGAAUGUGGUGGGUCUGUUUCUGAGUUUUUUGAUUUUACUGACUCUGGGAGCUCGGCUGAAUGGACCGAGGAGUCGUCGGAGGAGGACUUGGACUAUUUUGCGGCCCUGGACGAGGCUGCGGCGGAGGCUGCGCUACAUGCUGCGGACGCGCCAGGCGUGCCCGGUCCUAGCACCGGGCACCGACGACGAAGGGCGGUUGCGAAGCGUAGGAUUAGUGCGGAGGAAGGGGCUCGUCUUCGCGUUAGUAGGGUUGGUCGGCAGGAGCUGCUGUCUUUGCCGGCCGUCUCGGGUGUGGGGGAAGGGGAGCUGCGAAGCUUUUUGCUGGUGAGGAGCUUAGGAUAAUGUUAUUUAAUUAUAGAGAGAUGGGGAUUAUUCCUAAGGUUGAGCCGAUGUAGGGCGUGGUGCCCUCGCUUGUGUAUGUGCAAGGGUUUGUAAAAUGGAGUGGUGUGCCCUCGCGUGCUUGUGCCUGCGAGGGCGCUGUGUACUUUGACUGGUGUGAUUGAUUGUGCUGUGCCAGUGUGAUUAUAAUUGGUCUUGCUGUCGCUUCUGCUUUUGCCAUACUGGGUCGGCUGCGCCCUUGGGCGGUUUUUGCGGUAGGCUCCGGCUGCGCCUUUUAGGCGACUUCUGCGCGAAAAGCCUUCGCGAUAGACUUUGAUUUUUGCGCACUUGUGGAGCUAAGUCCGGCUGCACCCUUGGGCGACUUCUGCGCGGUUAGUCUUCGCGAUAGACUUCGAUUCUUGCGCACUUGUUGUGCUAAGUCCGGCUGCACCCUUAGGCGACUUCUGCGCGGAUAGUCUUCGCGAUAGACUUUGAUUUUUGCGCACUUGUUGUGCUAAGUCCGGCUGCACCCUUAGGCGACUUCUGCGCGGAUAGUCUUCGCGAUAGACUUUGAUUUUUGCGCACUUGUUGUGCUAAGUCCGGCUGCACCCUUAGGCGACUUCUGCGCGGAUAGUCUUCGCGAUAGACUUUGAUUUUUGCGCACUUGUUGUGCUAAGUCCGGCUGCACCCUUAGGCGACUUCUGCGCGGAUAGUCUUCGCGAUAGACUUUGAUUUUUGCGCACUUGUUGUGCUAAGUCCGGCUGCACCCUUAGGCGACUUCUGCGCGGAUAGUCUUCGCGAUAGACUUUGAUUUUUGCGCACUUGUUGUGCUAAGUCCGGCUGCACCCUUAGGCGACUUCUGCGCGGAUAGUCUUCGCGAUAGACUUUGAUUUUUGCGCACUUGUUGUGCUAAGUCCGGCUGCACCCUUAGGCGACUUCUGCGCGGAUUGGUCGCACGCGAGGGUGGCUAGCGCUUAGCCUCGCGGUGACUUCGAAUUGGUCGAAUGCCGAAGACCGUUGUCGCGGUCUUUUUUCGACACAUGCUUUUGCGGGGGAUUUUUCUCACAUAUAUUACAUGGCUCCGCCUCGUUAAAAACCUCACCCCCCGGGAGGAAAAGAGUGCGGGCCGGUACAAGAUUGUUUGCGGUGAAUUACAAGGGCGAACUCAGCCCUAGGAAUUAAACAAAAAAUUUACGAAGGUUGUCAAUGUUCCAGGAGUGCUCCAGGUCCUCGCCAUCUGGCGUUGCGAGCCUGUAAGCGCUGGGGGAAGCUUUUGUCUUGACUAUGAAGGGGCCCUCCCACUUGGGCUCCAGCUUGCCCUUGGACUCCGUCCGAGCUGUUCGGAUGAGUACGAGGUCCCCGCGCUGAACUCCUUUGGGAUGACUGCGCGGUCGCGCCAUGCUUUGGUCUGGGCUUGGUAUUUGUUUAAGGCCUGCAGGGCGAAGACCCGGUCUCCGUCAAUGAGAUCUUUGGAGGUUGGCUCAUCCACGUCAGGGGUGGCUGACGGAGCUGUGCGCGGAGACCCGUGUUUUAUUUCUUGCGGUGUCAUUGCCUCUGAUCCGUAUAGAAGGCGGAAAGGAGUGAACCCGGUCGCCCUGCACUCGGUUGUGUUCAGCGCCCAGACUGCCUCCGGUAGCAAGUCGGUCCAUCUGCCCUUUUUCUCGUCGAGGAGCAUCUUCUUGAUGGCUGUGAAGAUUUUCCCAUUGGCACGCUCCACGACUCCGUUGGACUGCGGAUGAUAGACUGAAGCGAAGGCAAGCUUGGUGCCAAUGGAAAAACAGAAAUCCUUGAAAUCUUGAUUGUCAAACUGCUUGCCGUUGUCAACUGUUAGCUCGGACGGUACUCCGAAGCGGCAAACAAUGUUCUGCCAAAAGAAUUUUUGGGCAGUCUUUGAUGUGAUUGUGGACACAGCCCUCGCUUCAAUCCACUUGGUGAAGUAUUCGACGGCUACGAAGGCGAACUUGAGGUUCCCCUGAGCGGUGGGCAAGGGCCCGACGAUGUCCAGGCCCCAGCGCUGAAGAGGCCAUGUAUGGGCGACCAGCUUUGUGUAUUGCGAGGGGUUGCCUGACCGAGGAGAGAACUUCUGGCAGGCUUCGCAGGACCUUGCGACUCGAUUUGCGGCGCAGAUCAUUGCAGGCCAGUAAAACCCUUGUCGGAUCACCUUAGCAGCCAGGGCCCUUGGCCCCGCGUGCGAGCCGCAAGUUCCACUGUGGACCUCGCGCAAGAUUUGGAUGCCUUCGGUUUCGGUGACGCAUUUAAGCAUUGGCUGACUGACCCCCUUCUUGUAUAAUUGGCCCUCGAUUAGCGCGAAGUCCCGGCUCCGAUGCUCGAGGCGCUUCGCCUCACUGACGUCGGUUGGGUGAUAGUAUCCCUGUAGAAACAGGGUUAUUGGGGCCCGCCAGUCCUCGGUCAUGAUUAGGUGGACUAUACGGUGGCCCUCGCUAUCAUUUGUUAUUUGGAGCCCUUCGGGGCUCCGGACGGCUGGCGUGCCGAUGGUGUGAAAGAAUACGUCGGAGGGCAGGGGCUCGCCCCUGGCGGCGGCCUUGGCUAAUGCAUCGGCCUCCUCAUUCUUGGCCCUGUCCACAUGCUGUAGGGUGAAUCCCUUGAACUGCCUCUCGAGACUUCGGAUAGCCGCGAGGUAUUGCAUGAGCGCGGGGUCUUUUGCUGCAUAGUCUUUUUCGACCUGACCGGCGACUAUCUUGGAGUCUGUUUUGAUGAUACAGGUGGUGACUCCGAGGGCCCUUAGCUUGCGGAGGCCGAGGAUGACUGCUUCAUACUCUGCUAUGUUGUUUGUACAUUUGUCGGAUUCCAGAGCGAAGCUGAGGCGUGCUGCAUAUCUGUGUUUGACUCCGGCUGGUGAGGUGAUGACUGCAGCGACGCCUGCCCCCGCAUGACACCAUGCACCGUCGCAAUGGAUAGUCCAGACCUUUUUUGUGGAUGGGUCCGGCUGUGUUACUGGCCCAGUCCAGUCGACGACGAAGUCUGCCAGGACUUGCGAUUUGAUGGCUGUCCUGGGCUCGAAGCUGAUAUGGUAGCCGGAGAGCUCGGCUGCCCACUUGGCGAUUCUCACUGAUGCCUCCGGGUUCCUGAAUAGUUCGCCGAGUCCCCUGUCCGAGGUGACUCGGACCUUGAAUGCUUCAAAAUAAUGGCGCAGCUUGCGCGAGGACAUAACAACUGCGUAAGCAAUCUUCUCCAGCUCUGUCAUGUUGCAUUUGGAUGGUGUCAGGACUUCGGAGACAUAAUAAACAGGGCACUGUCUGACUGCGCCUUCGACUGUCUGCUCCUGCACUAGUGCCGCGCUGACCGCGUGCGGCGAAGCCGCGACAUAGAGCAAUAAGGGGAGCGAGGAGUCUGGGCUUGUGAGGAUGGCCAGCUCCGCCAGGUACUGUUUUAAUGAGGCGAAGGCCGCUGCUUGCUCCGGUCCCCAAGCGAAGUCCUUCGCGCCGCGGAGGGUUUUGAGGAAGGGGAGACUUCGCUCGGCGGACCUGGAGAUGAAUCUAUUGAGGGCGGCCAUCCUGCCUGUCAGGCGCUGGACGUCCCUGGCGGACUGCGGAGGCGACAUGUCGACGAUGGCCUGGAUCUUGGUUGGGUUGGCCUCGAUGCCUCGGCGGGACACCAGGUAGCCCAAUAUCUUGCCCUGGCGGACACCGAAAACGCACUUUUCCGGGUUUAGGCGGAGUCGUGCAUCUCGCAUGCUCGCGAAUGUUUCCGCCAGGUCGGCGAGGUGGUCCUCCUUAUUUUUGCUGGCGACGACGAUGUCGUCCACAUAUGUGAAUACGUUUCUGCCGACCUGCCCUUCGAGCACCGUUUUGGUGAGUCUGGAGAAGGUGGACCCGGCAUUCUUGAGACCCUCCGGCAUUCUGACAAAGCAAUAAGUGCCGAAGGGUGUUAUAAAGCUGGUGCUGGCCUUGUCUUCCUCCUUCAUGUAUAUCUGGUGAUAGCCGGAGAAGCAGUCGAGGAGGGACAUGACCUCGCAUCCGGCCGCGCUAUCGACUAUUUUGUCGAUCCGUGGCAACGGGAAAUUGUCCUUUGGGCAGGACUUAUUGAGACUGGUGAAGUCUAUGCACAUGCGCCAUUUUCCGCUUUUCUUCUGCACCAUCACAACAUUGGAGAGCCACGUGGGGUAAGCCACCGGCUCGAUGAAUUUAGCCUCCAGGAGGCGAUGCACCUCCGCCUUGGCGGCUUCUGUCUUUUCAUCUGACAUCUUGCGAAGCUUCUGCUUUUUGGGUCGCACCGAAGGGUCAAUCUCCAGGCUGUGUUCGAUUAUGGCUCGGCUGACUCCGACCAGAUCGAGGGCAGACCAGGCGAAGACAUCUUUAUUCUUGGCCAGGCAGCAGAGAAGUUUCUCUUCUUCAAGUGACGUGAGGUCUUCGCUGAUAGUUACAGUCUGUUUGGGCGUGGCCUGAUCGAGGGGGACAGUCUUGGUCCCGUCUUGGCACUGCAACUGUGCCUUGUCGUGCUGCUUGUCGGUUGGGCUAGCCGGCGCAGGGACUUCGCGCUGGGUCGUGAGACAGUGUACAUUUCUCUGACCGGGCACGAAGUCCCGCUCUAUGUUGCGCGCCGUCUGCUGGUUGCCGUAGAUUGUGAUGGCGCCCAGCGGGCCUGGUAUCUUCAUACAUAGGUACAACCCGUGGAUGGCGGCUUCGAAUUUGUUGAUGGAGCCUCGGCCCAUGAUGGCGUUGUAUGGAUAUACCAUGUCGACAAUGUCGAAGGUUAUUUGCUCACUUCGGGCAUUGGGUGCUACACCGAAGGAGAGGGGCAACUCUAUCUUGCCAACUGGAAAGGUGCCCUUGCCGCCGAAACCAUACAACGGGUUGUCCGAAGGCUUCAGCAAGCUGUGGCUUAUGCCCAUGCGGUCGAAGGCGUGGAGGAAGAUGAUGUCCGCCUGACUGCCGUUGUCGACGAGGACUUUGUGUAAGUCCCAACCUGCCACGCUGCAGUUGAUGACCAUUGCGUCGAUGUGGGGGGGCGCUGCGUAGGUCGACGUCUCGCGCGUCGAAGGUUAGCGGUAUGUGGGACCACUUCGUCUGCACGACUGGGCCAGUGACGGCGACAUGGUUGAUGCUGCGGUAGUGGUCCCGCUUCUGCCGCUUGGUGUCGAAGUCGGUGCUUGACCCCCCUGUUAUCAUGUGAAUGACUCCGCGAUAAGGUUGAUCGGCGAAGUCUUCUUGCUUUGGGGGAUGGGGAAUGUUUUGGUGUUGCUGGUGUGGUGGUGGGGGUGGAGGAGGUACGAUUUGUACUUCCUGAUGAUGUUGGUAAGCGUGGUGCGGUGGAUGCGGAGCGGGGGCGUGGACGUAUGGUGGAGUGGGUGGCUGGUAGUUAUGCGCGACAAUUCUGGGAUUGUCGGCCGGCUGCGCCCUCGCCAUUCUAUCUCUGGUGGCCUUCGUCUCGGGGCAGUCUUUGGUCUGGUGGGCGCAGUCUUCGCCGUGGAAAAGGCAAUAGAACCGGCGCGGCGGCUGCUGCGCCCGCCCUCGACCCCUGCCGCGCGUUCCAUUUCCGCGGCCUUGGGGGGGAUAUUCCUGGCGGCGAGGGGGGUCAGCAGCAGGCUGUUGGUUGACGAUGUUGUGGACUUGCUGCUGACUGCGGCUGUCUCGACUGGAGUCUGGCUGCGAAGUCCUUGUCCACGUGCGGCUGGACUGCGGAGUCUGACUGUUGGGUUUCCGUUGCGACUCGACCUUGCGCUGGUGGAGCUCUUCGGAUUUGGCAUAUUUUUCGAAGAGCUGAUAUAGCUCCUGCAAGCUCUUGGGUGGAUCCCUGAUACAAUGGCUGUAGAGGACGCCGGCCCGAAGGCCAUUGAUGGCGUAGUGGAUAGCGAUCUGAUCGUCGACAGAGGGCAGCUGUGACUUGAGUGUUAAGAACUUGCGGUAAUACUCCCGCAGAGUCUCCUUUUCCAGCUGUUUGCAAAGCGAGAGCUUGGCCAAAGCGUCGGUGUCUGGACGGUACCCUUGGAAGUUGAGGAGGAACUUGUCCCUGAGACUUCGCCACGAAUCAAUGGACAGCGGGGGCAAUCUGGUGAACCAGGUGAGUGCUGGGCCCUCUAGGGCGAUGAUGAAAGACUUUGCCAUUGUGGCCUCGUCCCCUCCGGCUGAUGCAACGGCGACUUGGUAACUCAUGAUGUAUUGCGCCGGAUCGGUGCUGCCGUUGUACUUGGGGUAUGCCCCCGCUCGAAAGUUGGCUGGCCAAGGCGUCACUUGCAGGUGUGGCGCCAGGGGACUUCGCUCGUCGAGGUAGUUGAUCCCUUGGAAUGGCGCGCCGUGCUGGGGGGCGUAGUCAUGCUGGGGGAAACGCGGGUUCUCCGGCUGCGCCCGGUGCUGCAGGGGUUGGCCGUGCUGUCGGCCGAGGUAGCCUUCGCGCAUGUCCUCCGGCUGAGCGCGUUGUUGGAGGGGUGGUUCUUGCUGCAAACCGAGGUGGCCUUCGCGCUGCAUCAGCGCGAUCUCGCGCUCGAGGUCUUGGGCUUUCUGCUCCUCGUCGCGUAUCAUUUGCCGCACUUUGGCUAAUGCGGAAACACGUUGGCGCUUGGCCUCCAGUAUCUCUUUCUGCCUCUGGAGAUUGCGGUUCCUGAGGCGCAGGGCGCGCAGCUGCAGCUGUUCUUCUGUUGAGACGCCGAGGGCCUCACCAUCCUCGGUGAGGUCGGCGCCUUCCAGUGGGGCGAAGCCUGGGGGCGGCUGCGACUGUCCUUCGGUUCCGCAGGUGCGGAAGGUGUCGUCUUCGCCGGUGUGGGGAACAUUGUCCUCAAUGGGCUCUUGGUGGGUGGAUUGGGUGAGGGCGAGGGCCUUGCCCUUUCUUGCGGCCAGCAGUGCUGCCUUCGCAGCCUCGUCAGCCUUGGGGUUAGCUCUCUUGGGUGCCAUCGCGGGUGGUUUUGUCGUAGCACGAACGGUGGGCGCCAAAUGUUGGAACUUGCUCUCUGCUGCAAGUGGGCCAACGGGGGUGAACAAUGGCGACAACAGGGUUACGUGCACGGGGGCAAUAGCUCUGUUGAUCUCGCCUCUCACGGGCACUGUGCGGGGGUAUUUAUAGGUGUCUGAGUGCCCAGCGUCUUGUCUUAAGGACGCAUGUGCCCUCAGACGCCUAGUUUAUCCCCGGAAUAUUCCCAUAAAGCAGGGUUACAAGCUGUAAUUACAAGUAUGCCUUUACAAGUCAGGCCCGUAAUACAGAGGCGGCCACGCGGGGCCCGUUACAAUGGGCCAGAUCACACGUGGGCCUUGGGGCUGAAUGAGGCCGCGCCGUGUGAGGACGUCGCCGCAGGUCUUCGUCAAAGUGUCGAGUCCUGCGAAGGGUGUCCCUGCCCGCUUUGCCUCCGUCGGACCAGCGGCUGCAGCGAAGGCCUGGAGCGAAGGGUGGCGUCUUUGCCUUCGCCCCAACAUUCAUACCAUGCUCUUGGGGCUUGCUUAAGUCCAUAGAGCGCCUUAGAGAGCUUACACACGUGGUCAGGGUACCGUUCAUCCUCGAAGCCAGGGGGUUGCUCCACGUACACCUCCUCCUUGAUUGGCCCGUUGAGGAAGGCACUCUUCACAUCCAUUUGGAAUAACCUGAAAGAAUGGUGAGAGGCAUAUGCUAACAAGAUACGAAUGGACUCUAGCCUAGCCACAGGAGCAAAAGUCUCCUCAAAGUCCAAACCUGCGACUUGGGCAUAACCUUUUGCCACAAGUCGAGCCUUGUUCCUUGUCACCACUCCGUGCUCGUCUUGUUUGUUGCGGAACACCCGCUUGGUUCCCACAACAUUCUGCUUGGGACGAGGCACCAACGUCCAAACUUCAUUCCUCUUGAAGUUGUUGAGCUCCUCUUGCAUGGCCAACACCCAGUCCGGAUCUAGCAAGGCCUCUUCUACCCUGAAAGGCUCAAUAGAAGAGACAAAGGAGUAAUGUUCACAAAAAUUAACUAAUCGAGACCGAGUAGUUACUCCCUUGCUAAUAUCUCCCAGAAUUUGGUCGACGGGAUGAUCCCUUUGAAUCAUCGCUCGAACUUGGGUUGGAGGUGCCGGUUGCGUUUCUUCCCCCAUCACAUGAUCAUCUUGUGCUCCCCCUUGAUCACACAUCUCCUGUUGAUGAACCUGUUCAUCGUCUUGAGUUGGGGUAUGCACCAUAGUUGAGGAAGAAGGUUGAUCUUGUUCAUCUUGUUCCUGUGGCCGAACUUCUCCAAUCGCCAUGGUUCGUAUAGCGGCCGUCGGAACAUCUUCUUCAUCUACAUCAUCAAGAUCAACAACUUGCUCUCUUGGAGAGCCAUUAGUCUCAUCAAAUACAACGUCGCUAGAGACUUCAACCAAACCCGAUGAUUUGUUGAAGACUCUAUACGCCUUUGUAUUUGAGUCAUAACCUAACAAAAACCCUUCUACAGCUUUGGGAGCAAACUUAGAAUUUCUACCCUUCUUCACUAGAAUGUAGCACUUGCUCCCAAAUACACGAAAGUAAGAUACAUUGGGUUUGUUACCGGUUAGUAGCUCAUACGACGUCUUCUUGAGGAGGCGAUGAAGGUAGACCCUGUUGAUGGCGUGGCAAGCCGUGUUCACGGCUUCAGUCCAAAAGCACUCGGGGGUCUUGAACUCUCCUAGCAUCGUCCUCGCCAUAUCGAUGAGCGUCCUGUUCUUCCUCUCUACCACACCGUUUUGCUGUGGUGUGUAGGGAGCGGAGAACUCGUGCUUGAUCCCUUCCUCUUCAAGGAACUCCUCCACUUGAAGGUUCUUGAACUCGGACCCGUUGUCGCUCCUUAUCUUCUUCACUUUGAGCUCAAACUCAUUUUGAGCUCUCCUGAGGAAGCGCUUGAGGGUCCCUUGGGUUUCAGACUUAUCCUGCAAAAAGAACACCCAAGUGAAGCGGGAAAAGUCAUCAACCACUACACCAUGACACAAUUUUAGCGUCAAACAUCUGACGGUAAAAAUAGAUGUUUGGCGACAGCAAGUAUGUCACAAAAUAAUACCAUCACACUAUCUGUCGGUAAUUAUUGCGUUGGCGUCAACAAAUCUGUCGGCAAUAAUUUCGAGUUAUUGUGGCGGUUCAUCUGUCGGUAUAAAUGGUUAUGCGUGGCACACCGACUGUCGGGAAAACAUAGCAUCAGAUCAUCUGUCGGUACAUGAAUGUCUUGAGUAAUUAAUAAAUUAAUUUCAACUAAUAUAUUUAAGUAAUUACUAAAUUUCAACUAAUAUAUUUAUAUACUGUACGACUGUACCAAUUAAGCUCCUGCCCACGCCUGGCCUGUGGGCAGCACGCUACAAGCCUAAAAGGCAACAAAAAAAAAAGACAAAAGCAACCCAGGAUUCGAACCUGGCACCAAUCGCUCCUAAGGAACAACUCAAACCAGCUGAGCUAGAGUUCACUUGUGUUACAUGGUGGAGAAAUAUUCUUAAGAAGUAAGAUCUAUAGGAAUAAAUUAAUGAACCGUUUUCCCUGGCCGAAGCGCUCUCUGUUAUUCUGUACGCAUCUUCUCCUAUCCGUGAGUCCUAAACCACCGCGCCGCUGCCAAAAACCUAAACCACCGCGCCGCUGCCCCCGACGCCGUCUUACUUCGCCCUGUUCUUGCCCCUUGAGACUCGGACCUCCAGCCGCCUGUCCUGUGGUGCGCAGACGUGUUCUUGCUCCUGUAGGAUCUUUGAUCUCUUGUUGCUCGGCUAAUCAAAACGGAAGCGCCACCAUCUCUGGACUUCGACCACAGGCGACGGUGCACGCCCUGCGCCGACGCGUCCUCCUCCGGUCCCUCCCCCAUCGACCACCGCAGCACCGUCCAACGCUGUGCCCUGUGAUCGUGCGGUGGUGUAGUCUGCUGCUGGUGCCCAAGACUGAAGAAAGAUAGUUCAGGUUUCAGAAUAUUUAUUAGUGCCAUUGUAAAUUUGUGAUAAAAAAUUUAUGGUGAAGAACUGAAGAUAUUUAUUUGUGUUUGGCAUAAGUCUACUGCUGCUGCUAGCGAGGACGAGGGCGGGCGCCGGACCACCUGAAGGAGAAGUGCGUGAACAACGCUUGGACGACAUCCAUUGAUCAGUGGUAAUCUUUACUUGUUACUUUUCCAUCUCCUGUUGAUUUGCACCGGAAAAAACUAAUUAAUUCAGCUUUUAUCUUUGAUACUUGUAAUGAUUCGUCCUUUUCCACCCUUUUUGCACUUACAUUAUGAAGCUGUGAAGGGUACAUUUCAUCUUAUUAUUUGUUAAGGUACAACAUGGAUAAAAGGUGGAUGAAUGAACCUAGGUAUAUUUCUAACAAUGUACUAUAAACCAUUAUUUUGUAGUAAUCACCUUUGACCAACAUAUUGUUAUUGUACCUAAUAUUUAUAGGCACACAAAGGUCUACAUAGAUGGGGUAGUUGGAUUUAUUGAGUUUGCGUUUAGCAAUUCUAUAAGUGGAAACAAAAUUCUAUGUCCAUGUAGAAAAUGUGUUAAUUCUCUAUGGAAAGAUGAAAAUGAAGUUCGUGCGCACUUGAUAUGUGAUGGCUUUCAAGAGGGAUACAAAAGGUGGACUUAUCAUGGGGAAAGAGACUCUGUGCCUAUUAAUAGUCAUGACUACACUGAUACAGAGGCUGUAAACAAUUCAGACGAAGAUGACAUAGCCAAUUUGGUUCAUGACUUAGCUGGUGGUCUAGAUGAUAAAGGGGAUUUUGAAGUAUCUGAUGGUUUAGAUGAAACUGAUGUAGAUUUAGAAGCCAUCAAUCAGUUAGCGAUAGAUAAUACCCAAGACCUAUACCCCGGGUGUAAGAAGUUCUCAAAGUUGCAUUUCUUAAUAAGAAUUCUUCACUUGAAAUUGCUUGGAGGGUGGACAGAUAAAAGUUUUGAUAUGCUACUAGAUCUACUAAUGGAGGCUUUCCCUGAUGGCUUGGCAUUACCAAAAAAUUUCAAUGAAGCAAAGAAAGUAAUUAAGUGUCUAGGACUCGGGUAUAUCAAAAUUGAUGCAUGUGAAAAUGAUUGUAUUUUGUUUAGGAAGGAGUAUGCUAAGUAUGAUGCAUGUCCCACAUGUGAAAGGUCACGCUGGAAAUCAAAAAGGAUAAGUUUAAAUGGAAAACGUGUACACAAGGUUCCAUGCAAAGUUCUUCGUUAUUUUCCAAUAAAAAGAAGGCUUCAGAGGUUAUUUCUGUCAUCUAAGAUAGCAAGUGACAUGAGGUGGCAUGAUGAGGAGCGUAUACAAGAUGGAUUACUAAGGCAUCCUGCAGAUUCACCUCUCUGGAAGGAUUUUGACCAAAAGCACCCAGUGUUUGCUUCUGACAGUCGCAACAUUAGACUUGCUUUAGCUACAGAUGGUUUUAAUCCGUUUAGGUCCAUGAAUGUUAGUUAUAGCAUUUGGCCUGUUAUUCUCAUCCCAUAUAACUUUGCACCAUGGUUGUGUAUGAAGCAAACGAAUUUCAUUAUCUCAUUGCUCAUUCCAGGCCGUAGAUCUCCUGGUAGUGAUAUAGAUGUUUAUUUUGAGCCACUAAUUGAUGAUCUGCUAGAUAUGUUUGUUGAAGGGGUGAGAACAUAUGAUUCUGCAAAGCAUGAGUAUUUUCAAUUACGUGCUGCAAUAAUAUGGACCAUAUCUGAUUAUCCAGGCCUAGGGUACAUUGCAGCAUGUACUACAUCAGGUGAAGUAGCAUGUAUUGAAUGCCACUCAUAUACAUGUUCUCUACGAUUGAAACAAGGUACAAAAAAUUGUUAUAUGGGACACCGUAGAUUCCUGGGCCCAAACCAUCCAUAUAGAUUUGAUCUAGAUUCGUUUGAUGGUAAAGUUGAGGACAGGCCAGCGCCUAGACCACUUUCUGGAGAGGAAGUUUUAUUGCAAACAGAGAAUAUGCACACAGUGCAUGGGAAAGGUUGCCAACAUAAAAAGAAAGCAAAAAAGAAGGAAGGGGAGCCUCCUAUCAUAUGGAAAAGGAGGUCUAUUUUUUUUAGGCUUCCAUAUUGGAAGGAUUUAAUGUUACGACAUAAUUUAGAUGUCAUGCAUAUCGAGAAGAAUGUGUGUGAUAACAUUGUCAACACCCUCCUAGGCAUUCAACGGAAGUCCAAGGAUAACUUGAAAUAUCGUUUGGAUCUUCAGUCCCUAGGCAUUCGAACUGAGCUUCAUCCUAUUCCAGUGGGUGACAAGUUAUAUUUACCACCAGCAUCAUAUACAAUGAGUGCAUCUGAGAAGACGUUAUUUUGUGAGGUAUUGAAAGGAGUAAAAUUUCCAGAUGGAUAUGCAUCAGAUAUAAGAAACAAUGUGGAUGUGAAGGAGAAGAAGCUUGUUGGGCUAAAGAGCCAUGAUAACCAUGUUCUGUUACAGUAUUUACUCCCACUUGCUGUGAGAAGGAUUUUACCAGAAAUAGUUAGUGCUGCACUGAUUCGUGUGAGCAAUUUUUUCAAGCAAAUCUAUUCGCCAGUUAUUCGUAUAAGCGAUAUGCAUAAGCUAGAGUCAGAAAUAGCUGAGACUCUAAGCAUUCUUGAGACUAUAUUCUUGCCAUCCUUUUUUGAUAUUAUGGUACACUUAAUGGUUCAUCUCCCUACUCAAGUCAGAAUUGCUGGCCCUGUUCAAUUUCGUAAUAUGUACCCAGUGGAGAGGUAAAUUUUGAUAUAUUUUAGAAAUAAAUUAAACUUAGUUUUACUCAAAGGGAGGUUUAACAUAUAUGCCAUUUCUCCUUUAUAGGUUUUUAAUGAGAUGUAAGGGCCAUGUUCGCACUAGGAGUCACCCAGAAGGGUCAAUUGCAGAAAGUUAUCUAUUUGAUGAGAGUCUCACAUUCUGUUCUCGCUAUUUACAUUGUGAAACUAGAUUUAACCGGAAAAAAAGAAAUGAUGAUGGCUUGGAUGUUGAUUUAAUCAAUACCACCCCUUUCUUCCAUAACAUAGGUCGUGGAUUGGUUGGUAAGCGUAGUGUCACAUUAGACCACAAAACAUGGCUUCAAGCACAUAGAUAUGUCUUGUUCAACUAUGACCAUAUAGAGCCUUACUUGAAGUAAGUUGAACAUUAUAUUUUAUAAUCAAUAUCAUUCAUUUAUUUCAUGAUUACUAAAUUAUAAUGUUUGUUUAGGAAACAUAUAGAAUACCUUUACUCUGCUGGUCAUCAAAAUCAAAGAGCAAUCAGUCGUUUACACUAUGAGACUUUUCACGAGUGGUUUAAGUCACAUGUAAGUAUCUAGGAAAAUGUUUAUAUAGAAUAUAGUUCCACAUUAUUUUUUUAGUACAAUAACAAUCUUCAAAAUCAUCAGGUGGAAACAACGAGUGAGGAAGUACCUGAGGAGAUAACAAUAUUAGCUAAGGAGCCUAACAUGGUUGCACAUUCUUAUGAUAGUUAUUCUAUAAAUGGGAUAAAUUUCCAUACACAUUCUUAUGAUGUGGGUAGGUCAGUGCAGUGUAGUGGUGUAGCCCUAGUUGCACAUGCAACAAGUUUUGAUGGGACAAACAAUAAUAACCCAGUAUCAAUGAGCAAAACUUAUUAUGGUGUUAUAAAAGACAUUCUUGAGCUGAACUACCAUCACCAGGGAAAAAUAGUAUUGUUCAAAUGUGAUUGGAUUGAUAACCGAGUACGAGACAAAUGGGUCAAAAUAGACAAGUUUGGGGUGACAAUGGUCAACUUCAAGCAUUUAUUCAAUACCGGUGACAAGGAAUUAGAUGAGCCAUUUAUUUUUGCAUCUCAGGCAACUCAAGUUUACUAUGUGCAAGAUCCUAUUGAUGCUGAUUGGUUUGCUGUUUUAAAGUCAAAACAACGUGACAUGUAUGAUAUGGAAGAAAGGCUAGACAAUAGUACAGAAAUAGGUUCUUUCUUGCCAGAUUUGGAUGCAAACACACAAGUUAAUGUAUCUUUUGGUGGUAGUUGUGUUAGGACUGAUAUAGAUGGAAUAAUGAUUGCCGAAAACCAACCUAGCAAGUAAGAUAUGUUUAUAUCUGUUUACACAAAAAUGUUUCAUUUUACGUUGUAAUCUCUUUGUCUUGAUUGUAAUCUCUUUAUGUCUUGAUUCAGGAGGAAAGUUUGUAAGAGGAAGAGGAAUGGGUAAAGAAACGGAGGUCAAUGAAUAUGAACUACAAAGGGCUGCCAACAUAAAAGAAAAUAUGAAGAGGAUGAGAUCUCUUAAUCUCCAUGUACCUAGUACUAUGGUUAAUAAAGAAGGAAAUGGAUCACAUCGAGCCAAUAAGAAACAUAAGGUUAAUAUAUUUCCCUAUUUAAUAAGUUCAUGUUUUUUACAUUUAAUUUAAUAGUACAGUUAUAGAGUUUCCAAAACCAAGCAAAUUUCAUGUGUUGAGAUUUUCAAGUUUUGAAGAGAAAUUUGGAGUAAAUUGCAGAUUUCCAACUUGAUACAGUUUUGGUUCAGCUAAAAACAGUUUGCUUUACCUAUUUCUGGACCCCUGUAUGAUUUAAUCUGGGGGAUUUUGGCAAAAGGUUGCUAUAGUAAACUUGUAGAUUAACUAUAGGAGAACAACUUUUAUUAAGUGUUAAAGCUCUAAAUUUAUAUGGAAUUGGUAUAAAAAGGAGUCUAAAGAUGUAGUGUUCAGUUUGGAAAAUCAGACUUAAAUUCAGUCCUGCUGAUUUUUCAGUCUGAAGCAGAUUUGGGAUACUCCUUAAGGGCUGAUCCAUGUAGUUCUGGGCUGUGAGUGCUGUACCAAAGUGGAAGACCAUACUUUGGUGUGCAAGUUGGAUUAAGGGUAAUGCCACUAAAACCAGUUGGAACUGACAGUAACAGUAGUUCAAAGAUUCAAUGUGCUAAAUCUGAAAUUCAGACUUAGUCUUGUUUCAGCACACAGACAUUGUGUGUUUGGCUCAACUUUGGAGCUCUCUAGUGCUUGAUCCUUGGAGUAUUAAGCCAUAUCUUUAUAAGAAGAGUUGAAGAACAUAUAUUAGUGUGCAAGUUUGAUGUAGGGAGGUAGCUCUGUCCCUAUAAAAGAUGAAUUUGGCUCUGCAGUCGAACUGAAGAAGUUCAGUGCAGUUAGUGUAGUCUGAAUUUUCAGACUCGAAAUAGUAUCUGGCAGAGACUGAAUUUCAGUGUUAGUGAUCAGUUUAGAGUCUUGGUGCAGCAAAUUCUUGUGGUUUUGGACUGAGAAUUCUGUAGCAAAAUGGAAAAAUAAAGAAUAAAUCAAAUGACAUGCAUUAGAAACCAAAUAUCCAAAACUAGAUACUUUCAGUUGGGAGUGAGGCUUCUAGACAUCAGGCAUCCAUCCCAUACACAUCUCAGCCUAUAAACACAAACAAGGGCGAGCAGCAGGAGAUGAUCUUGUUCAGUUUCCAAACCAAACUCUGAACGUGACUGAAACAGCCCUGCUGCACCAUCUGCACCUCCCUAUUCAAGCCUUGUUAUUGCACAAAUCACCAUGGCAACAAACCCAUCCCUUUCAACCAAAAGCAUUCUCCAACCAUAGCUCUAUUAGUUUGUUGCAUUAGUCCAAGACCAAAAAUGAAAGGAUCAAAAGUUACAGUGCCCCAAAGUACAGCCAAUGUCACUGAAAAUUCAGUUUCAGAAAUCUGAAACAGCAUCACACUGAGUCUCACAGAGGGUUUUGUCACUCCUUUUUCUCCAAAUUCUACACAAUAACAAGUCAACCCUUUGCAUAAACAUUGUUCCCAUUCAUAUGGACUUUGACUUUACUACAUAACUCUUAACUAAAAUCUCCAUAAAUUAAUUAUCAUAGAGCUCCAAACUGGGCAACUUGCUGCCAUUCAGGUUUCAGAACUGAAUUAAAAUUCAGUUAUUAACCAAUCUGAAACUUCAGAAAUACGUGUCAUUGAAAUAUAACGAAUCUGAAUUUGUGUUAAGUUCAACUACUCUAUGUUUGACCAAUUCUGCAAAGAAAUCAUUAACACUUACAAUCGGCAGAGAAACCAAGUCUGAAUUUGUGCUAAGUUCAACUACUCUAAGUUUGACCAAGUCUGAAUUUGUGCUAUGUUGCUUGUAUCUAGAUGAUCUUUAAUUAGUUUAAACAUGCACAUACAAUUUCGCAUGCUAGAUCUAUUGAUUCUCUCAUUAUUACUCGGGCAUGUACUCCUCAUGUCUUGACGAUUAGUAAUGUUUUCAUUUCUUUGUGUGUAGACGAGGACAUUAGCAGCUUCAACUAAUGGUCCUACUUUGCGAUCAAGGACUGAAAGGGAUAUUGUUGAUGAUAACCACGAGGAUAGUACUUCUGAAAAUAGUUAUGAAGAAUCUGAAAAUCCCAUCAAUGAUGAAGGUAAAAAUCAAACAAACUUUAAAUUUAUUGUAGCAAUUUUGAAAAUAGUUAUCUAGAAAGGUUUUCAUCUGUUUUAUCUUCUGUAAUAAGCAGAGCAACCUAUUGGGCAUCAAAAUAUAAGGAAAGGAAGGGGCCCAACCUUGAAGAAGAACAUAUAUUCAAGUAGUGGUGGGCCUAAAAUCUGCAUUACCCUUAAUGAAUAUGGACAACCAGUUGGUAGGAACAGCAAAGAGUUUGGUAAUUUCAUAGGAACUUUGGUGAGGAAAAAUAUCCCGGUUUCUUGUGAGGAUUGGAGACUAGUUGAUUCUAAAAAGAAGUUUGAGUUAUGGACAAAAGUGAAGGUAAUCUGAUUUAGUGAGAUAAUUUGGCUUAGCCUAUUGUCAGUAGAUUUGGUAAUCAACUACAUUUUUGUUGAAACAGGAAUACUAUGAAGUGGAUGAAUCUGGUAUAGAUUAUGUUAUAACAUCUGCAGCAAAAAAGUGGAGAGAGUUUAAGGCCGACCUAAAGAGCAAAUAUUUUGAUGAAACAUUGAGUUUUGAAGAGCUUAUUGCUAAAAGGGAUGAAAGGGUGAAAGAAUCUGAUUGGGAGUGGUUGAUAACUUAUUGGAUGUCUCCAGAAGCCGAGGUACAUGCUGAUUUGUUUUGAAUUGCUUUUUGAGAUAUAAACCUUCAUUAAACUAUUGUAUGAAUGAAUUUGUAUUAUUGUUUUGAUAGAUUCAUAUUUAUGUUGUAGGUUCGUACAAACAGAGGUAAAGAUAAUCGUUCAAAGCUGACUAUGUCGCAUGCAGCUGGUAGCAAGAGUUAUGCUCGUGUGGGGCAUGAACUGGUAAAAAAAUUAUAAUCACUAGUUUGUAUAAUCAUUAGUUUAAUUUAUGAAAAUUCUAGUCAAUUACUGGACCAAAUCAUGUUUUCUUGUAGGCCGAGCAACAAGGACGCCCUGCGAGAAGAGAUGAAAUAUAUGUUAGAACACACACGCGUAAGAACAAAGAAGGGGAUAUUGUGCCUCUACCUGGAGCAGAAAUAUUCAUUGUGAGUACACACAUAUUUUUGAUUUGUGUAAUAAUUAAAAUAUAAGUGAACAAAAUAUAAUAUAUGUGUGGUCCUCUUAAGAAUAAAUUUGAAGAAGCUGUUGCUGAGAACCCAGAACUGAAGGACAGAAGUAUUGAAGAUGGUGAUUUAUAUGCACAUGUUUUUGGAGAGAAAGAACCAAGAGGUCGUAUUCGUGGUUUAGGCUUAGGACCAACUCCACAAGAUGUAGGCACUCCUGGAACUCAAAUGAAAAUAUCAACAAAGCUUCAAAUGGCAUUGCAAGCUCGCAGUCAGUCUGAGCAAGAGGUUAGAGCCUUAAGACAGGAUAUGAAUCAAAUGAAAGAGAAAAUGGAUCAAAUUUAUCAAAUGAUGGUAGCAGCUCAAGGGGUGCAACAUAUAGAAAGCCCAUCACAACAUGGGUCUAAUUCUCGACAGGUGAUAUAAUAUUGCAUAUGUUUAGCCAGUGUAGCAUAUAUCGAGCAGUUCGCCGUCUAUCUUGUUAAUUAGGCUUGUUUCCUUUAUCUCACUAACACUUUUUCCCUUUUUAUUUUUCUUUAGAACUCAAGGGUGCAUCGGUCAGAUGAGGUGGCACAUGGUUACAAUGGUAAUGACCAUUCACCAAAUAUGGUUGAAGAUGACUUGCACCUUACUAGGCGAGUUGCAAGCACUAUGGGCCGUCCAAGGAAUCGUGAAGAUGUUAAUACUAUUGAAGAGCAAAGUCGCAGGCGAGACAUUGCAACAACGGUACCUCAAAGAAAUCAUGGAUCGCCUCAAAAUGCAGAUGAUAAUCAUGUAAUUUCUCAUCUAUCACUUCAUAUUUAUGUUUCAUUAUUAUUUGAACUUUGUAAUCUUACUUCGCAUAUUUUAUUAGGUUGGUAAAGAAGUCAUAUUAUAUUCUAUGAUGAGAUCAGAAGUUCCUGUUGCAAUAGCAAAUAUUAUCUCAACCGACCCAACCACAAAGGUUGCAGAUGUUCCUCUUGGAAGGGAGUUUACACAGGUUUUUGUGACUCGUGUGCUAAAAAGGGAAAGUACUCUACCACGACCAUACUUAGGUGUAGAGAGUAUGGGGGAUGCUCUUUUUAUGCCCGUUGCAUGGCCAACGAACAAGGUAAUACUACAACCUUGUAUUUUAUUUAUGUAAUUAAUAGAACAAGCUUCUAAUGUUCUAUAUUUUUAGAUGAGUCGUAAUAAAAAAUCAACAUUGACCCAAGGUUCUACAGCAGCAGCAGGUAAAUAUUUUCUUCAUAUAUAUUUGUGUAUAAGUGUAGAGAUGGAUUAAAAACUGAGUGAAUGGUACUAUUGCAUAACUGUGCAUCUGAAUCAUUCUCUGAUUUUGUAGACAAUUCUUGUCUCUAAUAUGUAAUUGUUUGCAAUGGAUCAUAAUUGUUUGCUUGGAUGUUUGGCUCUUCUGCUGGUGCUUUAGGAAACCUCCUAGGUGGCAUUGCUCUCAGCUAUUUUUCUCCCAAAGUCUUGUUUCUGUUUUUCACAAUCCUUCUCCAGCUCUUCAGUACAUCACUUCAGCUCAGUUCUGUUCAUUUCUGUUUUGUUCAGUACAUCAUUUCUGCUCAGUUCUGUUCAUCAGUACAUUAUUUCUGCUCAGUUCUGUUCGAUCAGUUCAGUUCUGUUCAGCCACUCGGUUGAUACAUUUUCUGGUUACAAGCCAUUCACUGAUGCAACACUUUAGCAUAAUCUAAAAUCUGAAAUCUGAAAUCUGUAAUAGCUUCAGGAACUCGGUUUAUACCAAACCUCCUAGGUGGCAUUGCUCUCAGCUAUUUUUUCCCAAAGUCAUGUUUCUGUUUUUUUUGCAAUCCUUCUCUUGCUGCAGUUCUUCAGUACAUCACUUCAGCUCAGUUCAGUUCUGUUUUGUUCAGUACAUCAUUUCUGCUCAGAUCUGUUCAUCAGUACAUCAUUUCUGCUCAGUUCGGUUCGAUCAUUUUAGUUCUGCUCAGUUCUGUUCAGCCACUCGGUUGAUACAUUUUCUGGUUACAAGCCAUUCACUGAUGCAUCUCUUCAACAAUCAGGUAGUAGACAUGAAUCUGAAAUCUGCAAUCUGAAAUCUGUAAUAACUUCAGGAACUCGGUUGAUACUAGGAAUCUGAAAUCUAUACACAUAAAUCAUUCACUCACACAUGUUGAAAUAGCUUCAGGAACUACUCUAUACAAUCUAUACAAUCACUUCCAUGUCGAAAUAGCUUCAGGAACUACUCUAUACAAUCUCUGAAAAAAACACUAUGAAAAGAAUUCUUGAAGGCCACCAGCUUGAAGGCGCCCGGCUUGAACCAUCACAUCUUCUACGACGAUGCAAGCGAGAUCAUUUGUUGGAUCAGAGAUCAAUGACUGAGAUUGUAUAUGUGCACUAUAUAUAUGCACCUCUCCAUCAUUUGCAUUGGAUAUUUUCCCUUCUUUGUAAUCAUGUGCAUUCAUUACAUAAAUAUAUGUAUUAAUAGACCUUUAUUGCACUUUCAGUUUGUAUUUUCUGUUGGGAGUUUAUAGACCUGCUGAUACAAUAAUUGACAUAUUAUCAAAUUAUGUUGUAGGAAGAGGAGCUGGAAGCAAGGAUCAGAUUGCUUGAAGUGUGAAAAAAAUGAUUACUCGCAUGCAUGCUAGCUGUUGGCGUAACACCCAGCCGAUGGAGAGAUUUUAGUUUGCUAGAUGUAUAUUUAUACUUUUGCAUGUAAUAGAACUGAAAGAUCACUUCAAAAAAUUAGGAAAUUCGUGUAUGCUAUUAUUUUUAUAUGUUCAUCACAGGAAUCGUGUUCUAAACAAAUAUAUGUUGGAAUUCAAAGUCAAAGAUUGAUCUCUUUCUUUUACUAAUCAAAUUUCAUAUAUUCUGAGCUAAAUAUUAUUCAAGUUGUCCUGCAAUGUGCAUCAUAAUCGGUUUAUUAUUUGUUUCAUUAGCAUAUAUUUGUAUGCAUGGAUUAUUUUUUUUAAACUGCACAUAGGGAAUAACAUCAGACAAUCUGUCGGCAUAUAGACUUUUAGCGACACACAAGCCGUCGACACAUAUAUGUCUGUCGGCAAAAGUAUGUCUGACGGCAAUGAUAUGUCUGUCGGCAAAAACAUAAACAUUGCCGACAGAUAGUAUGUCGGUACAUAUAUGUCUGCCGGUAAAGCGUAUUGCCGACAGGACUUUCGCCGACACACAUUAUCUGUCGUUAAAACUUUUUACCGACGGACUGUGAGACGUUAUUCAGGUGUUUUACCAUCAGAUAGUUCGUAGGCAAUAAUGUGUCAUGGUGUAGUGAACAAUAACUAGACCAUACUUACUUCCUCCUAUGCUCAGAUAGGCGACGGGUCCGAAGAGGUCCAUAUGCAGCAGCUCCAAUGGUCUUGAGGUGGUCAUCACAUUCUUGCUGUGAUGUGCUCCUCCCACUUGUUUACCUGCUUGACAAGCUGCACAAGGUCUAUCUUUUUCGAAUUGAACGUUAGUCAGACCUAUUACGUGUUCUCCCUUUAGAAGCUUGUGAAGGUUCUUCAUCCCCACAUGUGCUAAGCGGCGAUGCCACAGCCAGCCCAUGCUAGUCUUAGCUAUUAAGCAUGCAUCUAGACCGGCCUCUUCUUUUGCAAAAUCAACUAAAUAAAGUUUGCCGUCUAAUACACCCUUAAAAGCUAGUGAACCAUCACUUCUUCUAAAGACAGACACAUCUACAUUUGUAAAUAGACAGUUAUAUCCCAUAUUGCAUAAUUGACUAACCGAUAGCAAAUUAUAUCCUAGAGACUCUACUAAAAACACAUUAGAGAUAGAGUGCUCAUUAGAAAUUGCAAUUUUACCUAACCCUUUUACCUUGCCUUGAUUCCCAUCACCGAAUAUGAUUGAAUCUUGGGAAUCCUUAUUCUUGACGUAGGAGGUGAACAUCUUCUUCUCCCCCGUCAUAUGGUUUGUGCAUCCGCUGUCAAUAAUCCAGCUUGAACCCCCGGAUGCAUAAACCUGCAAGGCAAAUUUAGGCUUGGGUUUUAGGUACCCAACUCAUGUUGGGUCCUACAAGGUUAGCACAAAUAUUCUUAGGGACCCAAAUGCAAGUUUUGUCUCCCUUGCAUCUUGCCCCUAACUUCCUAGCAAUUACCUUUCUAUCCUUUCGACAAAUUGCAAAGGAAGCAUUCAAAGCAUGAUAUAUUGUAGAAGGCUCAUUAACUUUCCUAGGAAUAUUAACAACAUUUCUCCUAGGCAUAUUAUGAACAACAUCCCUUCUACCAACAUUUUUAUCAUGCACAUAUGAAGAACUAGAAGCAAACAUAGCAUGAGAAAAAUCAUCGUACGUAUUAUAACUCCUAUAAGCAUUUCUAGUUUGUCUCCUAUCAUGAUACAAAAAGGCAUGGUUCUUUUUAGCACUAGUUGCCAUAGGGGCCUUCCCUUUCUCCUUAGCGGGAAUGGGAGCCUUAUGGCUUGUUAAGUUCUUGGCUUCCCUCUUGAAGCCAAGUCCAUCCUUAAUUGAGGGGUGUCUACCGAUCGUGUAGGCAUCCCUUGCAAAUUUUAGUUUAUCAAAUUCAUUCUUGCUAGUCUUAAGUUGGGCAUUAAGACUAGCCAAUUCCUCAGUUAAUUUAGAAAUUGAAACUAAACGAUCACUACAAGCAUCAACAUCGAAUUCUUUACACCUAGUACAGAUCUCAACAUGUUCUACACAAGAAUUAGAUUUACUAGCUACUUCUAGUUUAGCAUUUAAGUUAUCAUUAACACUCUUUAAAGUAGCAAUGGUUUCAUGACAAGAAGAUAGUUCACUAGAAAGCACUUCAUUUCUUUUAACUUCUAAAGCAUAAGACUUUUGUGCCUCUACAAAUUUGUCAUGCUCUUCAUACAAAAGGUCCUCUUGUUUUUCUAAGAGUCUAUCUUUUUCAUUCAAGGCAUCAAUCAAUUCAUUAAUUUUAUCUACUUUAGUUCUAUCCAAUCCCUUGAACAAACUAGAGUAAUCUAUUUCAUCAUCACUAGACUCAUCAUCACUGGAAGAAUCAUAAGUGACAUUGUUUUGAUUACAUACCUUCUUCUCCCUUGCCAUAAGGCAUGUGUGACGCUCGUUGGGGAAAAGGGAUGACUUGUUGAAGGCAGUGGCGGCGAGUCCUUCAUUGUCAGAGUCGGAGGAGGAGCAAUCCGAAUCCCACUCCUUUCCGAUAUGUGCCUCGCCCUUGGCCUUCUUGUAAUGCUUCUUCUUUUCCCUCUUGCUCCCGUGUUCCUGGUCACUAUCAUUGUCGGGACAGUUAGCAAUAAAAUGACCAAGCUUACCGCAUUUGAAGCAUGAUCGCUUUCCCUUGGUCUUAGUCUUGCUUGGCUGUCCCUUGCGACCCUUUAGUGCCGUCUUGAAUCUUUUGAUGAUGAGGGCCAUCUCUUCAUCAUUAAGACCGGCCGCCUCAAAUUGCGCCACCUUGCUGGGUAGCGCCUCCUUGCUCCUUGUUGCCUUGAGAGCAAUGGGUUGAGGCUCAUGGAUUGGGCCAUUCAACGCGUCGUCCACGUACCUCGCCUCCUUGAUCAUCAUUCGCCCGCUUACAAAUUUUCCAAGAAUUUCUUCGGGCGACAUCUUGAUGUACCUAGGAUUUUCACGAAUAUUGUUCACCAAGUGAGGAUCAAGAACGGUAAAUGACCUUAGCAUUAGGCGGACGACGUCGUGAUCCGUCCAUCGCGUGCUUCCGUAGUUCCUUAUUUUGUUGAUAAGGAUCUUGAGCCGGUUGUAUGUUUGUGUCGGCUCCUCGCCCCUUAUCAUCGCGAAUCGUCCGAGCUCGCCCUCCACCAACUCCAUCUUGGUGAGUAAGGUGACAUCAUUCCCCUCAUGAGAGAUCUUGAGGGUGUCCCAAAUCUGCUUGGCAUUGUCCAAGCCGCUCACCUUGUGAUACUCAUCCCUGCACAAAGAGGCUAGCAACACAGUAGUAGCUUGUGCAUUUUUAUGGAUCUGUUCAUUAAUAAACGAAGGGCUAUCCGAGCAAUCAAAUUUCAUUCCACUUUCCACAAUCUCCCAAAUGCUUGGAUGGAGAGAAAAUAGGUGAGUACGCAUUUUGUGACUCCAAAAACCGUAGUCCUCUCCAUCAAAGUGAGGAGGCUUGCCAAGUGGAAUGGGGAGCAAAUGAGCAUUUGAGCUAUGCGGAAUGCGCGAAUAAUCAAAAGAAAAGUUUGAGUUAACCGUCUUUUGUUUGUCAUAGUCGUUGUCGUUGUUAUCCUUUUGGGAAGAGGAAGAUUCGUCGCUGUCGUCGUAGUAGACGAUCUCCUUGAUGCGCCUUGUCUUCUUCUUCUUCCCUUCCUUCCGUCUAUGGCCCGAGCCGGAGUCGGUAGGCUUGUCAUCUUUGGGCUCGUUGACGAAGGACUCCUUCUCUUUAUCGUUGAUCACGAUUCCCUUCCCCUUAGGAUCCAUCUCUUUGGGCGGUUAGUCCCUUUCUUGAAGAGAACGACUCUGAUACCAAUUGAGAGCACCUAGAGGGGGGGGGUGAAUAGGUGAUCCUGUAAAACUUAAACUUAUAGCCACAAAAACUUGUUAAGUGUUAGCACAAUAAUUGCCAAGUGGCUAGAGAUGAGUCUCAACAAAACACAAUACCACAAGAGAUCAAACACAGAGAUGACACAGUGGUUUAUCCCGUGGUUCGGCCAAGACCAACGCUUGCCUACUCCACGUUGUGGCGUCCCAACGGACGAGGGUUGCAAUCAACCCCUCUCAAGCGGUCCAAAGACCAACUUGAAUACCACGGUGUUUUGCUUUGCCUUUCAAUAUCCCGUUUGCGAGGAAUCUCCACAACUUGGAGUCUCUCGCCCUUACACUUGAGAUUCACAAAGAAAUACGGAGUAAGGGGGGGGGGAAUGAGCAACGCACACAAGACUUCAAAAGAUCAGAGCAACAACACGCACACAAGUAGCAACAAGAGCUUGCAACACAACUCAAAGAGUUCACAACUCCACAAGAGCUCUAUAUGCUAUCACAAUGAAACGAAUGCGCGAGAUUGAUGUCUUGGUGCUUAGGAAUGUUGUAGGAAUGCUUGGUGUUCUCCUCCAUGCGCCUAGGGGUCUCUUUUAUAGCCCCAAGGAAGCUAGGAGCCGUUGAGAACAAAUCUGGAAGGCCAUCCUUGCCUUCUGUCGUCGGGCGCACCGGACAGUCCGGUGCACACCGGACACUGUCCGGUGCCCGAUUUCCUUCCUUAAACAGCGCAGCCGACCGUUGCAGAUCUGGGAGCCGUUGGCGCACCGGACAUGUCCGGUGCACACCGGACAGUCCGGUGCCCCCUUCCGACCGUUGGCCAGGCCACGUGUCACGCGCAGAUUCCGCGACCGACCGUUGGCUCACCGGACAGUCCGGUGCACACCGGACAGUCCGGUGAAUUAUAGCCGUACGCCGUCGGCGAAUUCCCGAGAGCGGCCACUUCGCGCCGUGUCAGCCUGGCGCACCGGACACUGUCCGGUGCACCACCGGACAGUCCGGUGUGCCAGACCGAGCUGAGUCUUGGCUGUACACAGCCAAGUCUUUGCACCUUUCUUCUUUUCUUUUUCUUUCUGUUUCUAACACUUAGACAAGUAUAUUAGUACACAAAACCAAUGUACUAGGGCUUAGAAACAUACCAUUACUCAUGAUUUGCACUUUGUUCAUCCAUGGGCAUAAAUUCACAUUUAAGCACUUUGUGUUGGCACUCAAUCACCAAAAUACUUAGAAAUGGCCCAAGGGCACAUUUCCCUUUCAAUUCAUUUAAUUGGAUCAAGCUUUUUUGAUCUGUGAAUAUGAUGAACUCGACGUGUAACAUAUAGUGGCGCCACUGGUCAACAACAAUAAGAAUGGCUAGAUAUUCUUUCUCAUAUGUGGAUAGACCCUGUGUUUUGGUGCCCAAAGGUUUACUGAGAAACGCUAAUGAAUGACCUUCUUGCAAUAAAACAACCCCCACUCCAUUUUUACAAGCGUCUGUUUCCAAGCAAAAUGGUUUGGCAAAGUUUGGUAAUGCCAAGACAGGAGCUGAGAUGAGAGCUUGUUUCAAGGUAGAGAAUGUCAGCAGGUGGUCUUGAGUCCACACAAAGAGAGCUCCCUUUUUCAACAGAUUGUGUAGGGGUUUUGCAAUAAUGGCAAAAUGUUUCACAAACUUGCGGUAAUAUCCUGCAAGACCGAGGAAGCUUCUCAAGCCUUUGGCAUUGUUUGGUAUGGGCUAGGACAACACUGCCUCAACCUUGACUUCAUUGGUGGCUACCCCUUCCUCACUGAUAACAUGCCCGAGGUAAGAAAUUUUUCAUUGGGCAAAUUUACACUUAGACAGUUUGACAAACCAAGUGUCUUGUUGGAGGAGGGAUAACAGCUGUUGCAAGUGGACUAAGUGGUCCUCCAGAGUGGUACUAUAAAUCAAAAUGUCAUUAAAGAACACUAUAACACAUUUUCUGAGUAAUGGUGCUAAUGUAGUGUUCAUAGCAUCCUGGAAGGUGCUCGGAGCUUCGCAUAAACCGAAAGCCAUGACCAGGAAUUUGUACUGCCCUUGAUGAGUUUGGAAAGCUGUUUUGAAUUCUUCUCCAGGUUUCAACCUUACUUGGUGGUAUCCCGACAAAAGAUCCAAUGUGGAGAACCAUGAUGCACCAGCGAGUUCAUCCAUUAUCUGGUCAAAAACAGGGAUGGGAAACUUCCAUUUGAUAGUCAAGGCAUUGAGAUAACGAUAGUCCACACUAAACCUGAAACUGCCAUCCUUCGUCCUUACUAUCAACACCGGGGAAGAAAACUAAGAGGAGCUAGGUCUUAUAAUACCCUUUUGAAGCAUCUCUGCAAUAUGUUUGUCAAUCUCAUCCUUCAUCGAUGGUGGGUAUCGAUAGGGCCUGAUAUUAACUGGAGUAGCACCGGGUACCAAGGGAAUUGCAUGGUCACAUGCCCUGACAGGGGGAAGAGAAUUUGGAGGUGCAAAAACCCGGUGGAACUGAGCUAAAAUAGUAAAUACUGUUGGGUGCAUCACAUCAAGUGGGGUAUCCAGAGCAGCUGCCUAAACAGGUGUAAUGUGCAAAAGAGUUUCAGUAGCAUGUGCUGCACAACCGUAAAGCACCACUUGUCUGUCCUGGUAGGGUAUACACAACCAUCUGUGUUGCCAGUGUACCUUCAUGGGGCUAUAAAAUUCUAACCAAUCCAUUCCCAGAAUGAGAUCAAACGUUGGCAGAGGCAACACCCUCAAGUCUUGAGAGAAUUCACACCCUUGGAUGCUCCAAACUGCAUGAUGUACCACCUUGUCACAGGAUAGCAGCCCACCAUUUGCCACUUGAACUCUGAAAGGAGUUGCAGCCACUGAAACAAUUGCAUGAUGUAGAACAGUCGACUAGUUAAUGAAGGAAUGUGUACUACCAGAAUCCACCAAAAUCAGGACAUCCUCCCCCAGCAUGCUCCCAGAAAUCUCAUGGACCUUUUUGCAGAAGACCCUGUCACAAAUUCAGCCGAAAUAGCCAUUAUAACGGGUUCUUCGAGUACUGUUCAUGAACUGAUGAGUCCUCCACUGAGUUUUCUGACAAUAAUUCCGUCACCUCCUACAAUGCAUGCAGCUGCUCAGUUGCGUUACAUGUGUAUCCAUGAUGCCACUUCUCAGCACACCUAUCACACAACCCACGAGCACGUCGGUAAGCCUUGAGUGCAGCAAGUUUACCAUCCACAGAUGACGGAACACCAUCUAUUUUCUUCUUAUAAGAAUCUGGCUUAUGAACUGAAGAUGUGGGUGGAGGUGGUAGUGGCAUGGGUCGGGCACUCAAUGUAGCAGAUUUCAGCCAUGGCUGAUAAGCUUCCUUGCGAUGCUCCUGUCGUCCCGACGGCAAUGCCACCUCUUCCUGCAACAAAGCCAAGGAACAUGCGGAGUCCAAGUCUAGAGGACGUUGAAGCAUAACCACUGCUCUAAUGUCGGUAUGAAGACCAUCUACAAAGCGAGUAGCAAAGAAUAAUGGAUCUGGCACUGACUCAUAAAUGGCCAGCUGAUCAACUAAUGUAACGAAACGAUCCUGGUAUUCAGUUACACUAUUCUACUGAUGAAUACGAAACAAUUGUCGCAAUAGAGACUGGUACUGAUCCCGACCAAACAUCUCGUGCAACAAUCUACAGAGUAAUGACCAAGACAAACUGGGUUGUUUGCGCUCAACAGAUUGGAAUUGUAACAUCCCAAAAUUUAAUCCCAAGGUUAGAAACUCUAAUCUUCUAACCCCCCCUUGAUUAUCCCCUAGACCUUACCUCAUGAGACAUUUCAUCAUAUGCAUACACCAUGAUUGUUAGUAGCACCUCACAUAGAAUAUUUUUGACACCUAAGAAUAUAUAGCUAAAUAUUUGUUCAAAAGAAAAAGGAGAUAAAAGGAAUAGAAAUAGAAAAAGGAAAAUCUUCUCCCCCUCGGCUGGGCCGAAUCCGGCCCAACCCCCUCUCUCCCACGUGCCCGUCUCCCCCCCCGCUCGGCCCACUCGGCCCAUCUCCGCUCGCGCGCCCGCGCUUCCCCCUCCGCCGCUGUCAGCCCGGCCCCACCCGUCAGCCACGCUCGCCCUCGGCCCCUCGCAACUGCCCUCUCUCUGGCAAGCGGGCCCCGCUUGUCAGCCCCUUCCUCGCGCCCGUGACCAAGCUAUCGGCGCGAUCGCCGCCGGUCGCCACCCACCCCGUCGCCUCGCCAUUAACACGCUCGCCAGCAAGGUUGGCGCCUUGCGGCCCUGUCUCCUUGCGCCAGCCCGAGCCAUCCCGUCACCCGCCUGCCCGAGCCAUCCCGUCGCCACCACUGUGCGCCAUCAUCGCCGCCGCGACAAGCUUGCCGGUGCUCGCCACCUCUCCUCCCUUCCCCGCCCCGAGCGCCUAUAAAAAGGACCGCCCGAGCUCCAUCCUUCUUCACACCGGCCUCGGCCACUCCCACACCCCUUCCCCGAGAUAAAUCGAGCCGCGCCGCCUCGCCUUUCCUCCGCUCCGGUGAGCUCCCCUUCCUUCCUCUGUUAGCCUAGCAUUCAAUUGGUUGGGCUCGCAAGGUUCACCACUCCCUCACAAACACGACACACCCCUCCCCUCCACCUAUUGCGUCCGGCAGCCUCACCGGCGAUCUCACCGCCAUGGACGCCCGCCACCUCGCUGUGGACCGGCCGUCCCGGGCACCCUUCGGCCAAAUUAACCCCUCCACCAUGAUCCCCUACCCCCACCCGUGCUUAGCCACCUCCCCAACCACCCGAAACCAGAACCACGGCGGAGAACCACCGUGGAACCUCGUUGGCGGUCGGUUUUUCCGACCUCGGCCGGUUCGCCCCCUCCCCCGUCUGACCACCCGACGUCGUCAGCCUCCCCCUCCCUCUAGCACGUGGGCCCACGCCCACGGCGCCAUCCCUGCGUCGUUCCCUGCUGGUGGGCCGGCUGGGCCGCCUGCCUGCGCGCGCACGUCCGCGCUUGGCUGUGCCGAAAAUCCCCCCUGGCCCAGCUAGCAGGAAAUCCCUUUUCUUUUUCCUUUUUCCAUUUCUUUUUCCUAUUUUCAUAUAUUUAUGCAUAUAUUGAUAUUUUAUGCACCAAAAAUAGUCUAAAUAAAUUAUAGGGCACAAAAUAAUAACAUCUAAAAGUGGCACACUCCACCAAGUCACCAUGGUUGAUGUAUUGUUCAUUACCUAUUUUUGCUAGGAGAAGAGGGAUCCGAUCCUCCGGAAUUUGUAGCUCCGUUAGAAGGGCGGGAACCUGACCUCUCCGAAAUAGAUCUUUUGUGCCAGGAGAACUUCGACGAAGGCAAGUCCAUUCUUCCCUUGAUGCAUAAAUUACCUACUCUUUCUACCACUACCUAAGCCGGGAAUAAGGGAUGGGUCUUUUGCAUUGUGAGAAGAGAGAUAGCCCGCAUUAAAGAAUAUCUUUUGAAUACAAAAUGUGGGAUGAGAAAAGGGCGGUGUUUUUACCAAACGAUGUUUUCAAAAAAGUGUAUGAUGAAGGGUAUUCACCCUUAUCACCUUUUGAGUGGGAUAAUCAGGGACUCCCUAGUUUAGGGGAGGGCCUCAAGUGUUGGCUCAGCCGGGUUAGGUGUGAGCAGAAGGAUUGUCCCCUCACAUAAGGACCAAUUUGUCAUCCUUCACUACCUGUACUCAUGACAAAUACAACCACUCGAGACUGUAUGGGCAGUCACUCAAUCUGAACUCGUAUGGUCCAAACCCCAGGGUUAUGAUGGAUGGGGAGCACCGGGAGGAUAAGGAGGGGGAAUGUUUUGUCUGGUUUGGACAUGGCGGUGGCCUGACUCCUUCCGGUAUAACCGUUAAGGUAAGGACAUGCGAGGAAAGAAAGAGAUUCGGAUUCGGAUCUCAUUGGCCAUGAGAUCACAGAGCCGGACUAGUGGGUAAAGUGUACCCCUCUGCGCAGAGUUAAAACCUAUUCGAAUAGUCCGUGUCCACUGUUAUGGACGAGUCUGGUGUGGUAUGACAAUUAGUGUUUAUAACCUCCGCGAACAGCGAAAUGUGUGAGUGGGUGUGUUUUUGGAAAUAAAAACAAUGCCAUGGGAGCAGGAAGCUCAGUGGUGGUUGAGUGUGAAAAUGUGCUACUUCUUUCUUUGGGGGAAAACCAUCAAAGUAUUGCCUUUCUUUGGAAAAGAAGAGUGACUUGAACUCCACCAUAUGAAGCAUGUAUUAUAUAGGUCCCUCUCUCUUUACGGGCGGGAUGGGCUUGCGAAAUACCUAGUGUAUUCACCCAGAUUUAUUUAUGUUUUUCAGCAGCUGAAGACUUCUUUUCUGCAUUGCUCGACUAGAAGGGGGUUGUGUCUGCACCCAGUUCUGCCUAUGGCUUGGGCUAGUUUAUUUUCCACUGCGCUUUGUAUUUCAGGCUCCUUAGAGCUUGUACCCUGGUAUUGUAAUAACUUUUAUUCGAACUCUGUACUAUUUGAAGUAAGGAAUGUGAUUACUAGCCUCUUAGGACUAGUAUUUGUAUCACAUUUGAGUCCCAGAGGAUUGGGGCGCUUCAGGUGGUAUCAGAGCCAUAGGACUGGCCGUAGAUCGCAGCCCCAACCUUAAAAGUUUGCCUUAAAAAGAAAAGACCUCUUACCUCUAAGAAGAAUCCUCUCUCCUUUCCCCGAUAUUAACAGACCCUUCUUUUCUUCUACCAGAUGGAAGGCUCUUUUGUCAUUAGAACAUCCUACUGCUCAGAGGUGGAAGGAUUCCCUCACCUUCUGCAGAGUUGCGCGCUUCGCAUGGGGAUUCGCAAGAAGCUGGAGUACAUCUGGAAAGAAUACCACGAGAAUGGAACAGAGAAAUGCUCUAUGGCAGUCUACCUGGGAGAAAGCCGAAACUACCCAAAUCACCCUCCUUUCCAGGUCACCUUCACCGGACACCGCUUCCCAGACACUUGCCAAAAUGUUGCCCGAAAAGCCCUCCGCCAGCUAUGCCAAAACUACAAUAGGGAAGUCUUUGAGACCCCCCUUCGUUACUUCCCACCUAGCAACAAAAAUACCCCUACCUGGAGGAAAAGACUUCAGGCCCUAUCAGGAAGAGAUCCUACUAAAGAUGACCCCACCAUAGUCUACAUGGCCGGAUAUCUCCACACACUUGAUAACCACUAUGACAACCUUUUCUCCCACUACACCCACCUAAACUUCCGGGUGGAAAGCUUAGAGCAACAGAUCAAGGAACUUAAAAAGGAGAAGGCGUCCCUCCAAGAAAGUCUCGAAAUAGAAGAAGGUGAAGAGGCCAACACUCGUGAAGCCUACCGAACCCUGAAGAUGGAUUACGAUAAGAAGUUAAAAAAGCUCGCCCCCACUAAGAAGAUCCGGAAGCGGACCAAGAGCCAAGGAUGCCAGACUGAAUGGAAAAAGGAAGCCCCACUAGCACUGCCUCCCUCCAGGAUAGAAAGCUUGUCAGACGUUGAGGAUAUGUCCCUAGCUAGCCUUGACGACCUUCUCAAGGAAUUUGGGGACACCUUAGAAAAGGAGUUCGGAAGCACCUUAGAAAGCACUCGUAUGUAGUAUGACUUGUGGUAACUAUAUGCUUGUAAUGAACUUGUGUGAUGAAUAAAAUAACAUGUUUGAAGAAAAAAAAUUGACAUGUGCAUAGUAGUAAUUCUCUCCCCCUGGCAGAUGGCUUCGGAUAAAACCACGCCUACCACCUCCGGGAUUGGAGCAAGGUUUCCCCUAGGAGCUGAAGGAGAAGCCGGUGGAGAAGGGAGUGAGACCCACCUCCUCGCACCUCCGGAUCUGCCAUUAGAUUUAGCCCAAGUUCUGGCCAACCAAACCCGACUCAUUGAAGUCCUCACCAGAAGCCUUGAGAACCAGCGCCCGAAUGGUGGAAGGCCUCAGGACAUGAUGAGAGAUUUUCUAAGACUCAAGCCUCCCACAUUCGCUGGAUCCAGCAAUCCGCCCGACGCUGAUGACUGGCUGCGCACAAUAAAAAGGAAGUUAGAAGCCAUCGGAUGCCCCGAGAACCAGCGUGUUCAUCUGGCUGCUCAUCAACUUUCUAGGAUGGCCCUAUCCUGGUGGGAUACCUUCAGUACUGCCGUCAGAGAUGCUACCUGGGCAGAAUUUGAAGCCGCUUUUCGAGAGCAUCAUGUGCCCCAAGGGAUCGUCCAGCUCAAGGAAGAUGAAUUUCGGGAACUAACUCAAGGUGGAAGAUCUGCCAGUGAGUAUGUGCACAAAUUCACAGAAUUGGCUCGCUAUGCGCCUGACGAUGUCAGCACAGAAGCCAAGAAGAUGGCCCGUUUCUUGAAAGGGCUAAGACCAGAACUCAAGACUAUCCUUGCCAGCCAAGAUUUCCUCAGCUUCUCACACCUCUCAAACAAGGCCAUACAAGUGGAAAGAGCUAGAGAAGAAGAAAAGGGUCACCUCAAGAGAAAGUUCCAGGUCCUCCGAGCUUAGCAGCAGGACAGGCACCAGAGAAUUCGACCCUUUGGGUUUCCACCCAAGGGACCAAGCUUCAACAAGCCAGCUUGACCCACUCCAUCACGUUUCAGUCAGCAGGGUCAAAGCUCCUUUCAGCCCCCCUCCGUUGCAAGCAACCAACCUCCAGCUAAUGCAUGUUGGCACUGCGGAGACCCCAGUCACUACAAGAAUAAUUGCCCCCAGUUGAAGACAUCUGGGCCUACUUCAACUCGGUGAAUGGCCCCAAGAAUGCCCCAGCACCUGCCUCCAAGGCACCCUCCUCCAACAGCCAGCAAAGCAAGAGCCAGUAUCAUGGCAGGGCACGAGUGAACCACGUCGACGCUCAAGAGGCUUAGCAAGCCCCGGGAGUAGUGCUCGGUGAGUUCCUAGUUGAAUUUACUCCCGCCACUGUACUUUUUGAUUCAGGAGCAUCUCAUUCUUUCAUAGCCACUAGUUUUGUGCAAAAGCAUGGGAUUCCCACUACACACCUAGAAAUUCCCUUGGUCACCCGAACCCUAGGGUCAGACCUUCUAUGCCAGCUCAAAUGCUCCCAAGUCAGGAUUCUUUUAAGUGGGGUAGUGUUCUUGGCAGACUUAGCAGUCUUGCCAUCCCAAGGAAUUGAUGUGAUCUUAGGAAUGGAUUGGUUAACCAAGAAUAGGGGCAUCAUAAGUUGCGCAAAUAAGACAGUUCUUCUCACUGACCACCAAGGAAGGUCAGUUUCAUGUCAGGCGCCGCCACCCGCCCAAGAUCCAAUGGUGUUUAAUCUAGCAGCAGAAAGCAUAUAUGUACUAGAAUUCAUGGAUGUAUUCCCAGAAGAAUUGCUAGGAAUGCCGCCAGAAAGAGAAGUAGAGUUCUACAUUGAUCUAAUUCCCGGCACAGCACCCAUCGCAAAGAGACCAUACCGCAUGGCUCCCACCAAAUUAGCAGAACUAAAACUCUAGAUUGCAGAACUCCAACAGAAAGGGUACAUUCGUCCUAGCUCAUCUCCUUGGGGAGCACCAGUCCUUUUCGUCACCAAAAAGGAUGGAAGUAUGAGGAUGUGUAUUGAUUACCGAUCCUUGAAUGAGGUUACAAUAAAAAACAAGUACCCACUACCUCGGAUCGAUGACCUCUUUGACCAGCUUCAAGGGGCCAAGUAUUUCUCCAAGAUAGACCUGAGGUCAGGAUAUCACCAGCUGAGAAUCAAGGAAGCAGACAUUCAGAAGACUGCAUUUGUCACCUAGUACAGACAGUAUGAGUUCACAGUAAUGCCCUUCAGACUAACCAACACACCCGCCUUUUUCAUGAAUCUCAUGAAUAAGGUAUUUAUGGAAGAGCCAGAUAAGUUUGUCGUAGUCUUCAUUAACGACAUCCUUAUCUACUCCAAGAGUCGCGAAGAUCAUGAGCAUCACCUCCGGAUUGUCCUCGGAAGACUCAUGGCACAUCAACUCUAUGCUAAGCUCAGCAAAUGUGAAAUUUGGUUAGAAAAGAUAGCCUUCCUCGGGCAUAUCUUAACUACAGAAGGAAUAGAAGUGGACCCGUCCAAAGUUGAAGCAGUAUCCAAAUGGAAGCAGCCAUCCAACGUUAGUGAAGUUCGAAGCUUCUUGGGAAUGGCAGGAUAUUAUCGCCGUUUUAUCAAAGGGUUCUCCAGCAUAGCAAGACCUAUGACCGAGAUCCUCAAGAAAGACAAUAAGUUUGUGUGGACCCCGAAGUGUGAGGAAAGCUUCCAAAUCAUAAAGAAGAAGCUCACAACCGCACCCGUUUUGACACUGCCAGACAUCCACCAGGAUUUCGUCAUCUUCUGUGAUUCUUCAAGGCAAGGUUUAGGAUGUGUACUUAUGCAAAAUGAGAAAGUCAUUGCCUAUGCAUCACGCCUACUCAAGCCGCAUGAGCAAAAUUAUCCAACACAUGAUUUGGAAUUGGCAGCCAUAGUGUAUGCCCUAAAAAUAUGGAGGCACUACCUGAUUGGGAACAAAUGUCACAUCUUCACAGAUCACAAAAGCCUGAAGUACAUUUUCACUCAGCCAGACCUCAAUCUCCGUCAACGAAGAUGGUUGGGACUGAUCAAAGAUUAUGACAUAGAGAUCCACUACCACCCCGGAAAGGCCAACGUGGUAGCAGACGCCCUCAGUCGAAAACCUUUCAGGAAGAAAGAAACCAACUUCUUGGAAGACUGGAAGAAAGAAUCAGCUCAACUGAAUACUUGUCUGGGAAACAAUGGCAGCCUAGAAGUCAAGCCAAUGCUAGAAGACCUCAUACGCAAGGCUCAGCGCCUGGACACUAAGACGACAAGUCUUAUGGAGAGAAUUCGCAAAGAACAAAUCCCGGACCACAGGACAGAUGAAGGAGUCCUUUGGUUCAGAAACCGUCUAUGUGUACCAAAAGGAGAGGCACGAGAAAUUCUGCUUGACGAAGCUCACAACUCAACCUACUCUAUCCACGCAGGGACCACCAAGAUGUACCUCGACCUCAAGACCAGAUACUGGUGGAGAGGAAUGAAGAAGGAGAUAGCACAGUAUGUGGCCCGGUGCGACACUUGCCAGCGAACUAAGGCAGAGCAUCAAAAGCCUGCAGGUCUACUGCAACCCCUCCCAGUACCCAAAUGGAAGUGGGAAGAAAUAGGCAUGGAUUUCGUAACCGGACUGCCUCGGACCCAAAAAGGGAACGAUUCUAUCUGGGUUAUAAUUGACCAUCUUACCAAGGUAGCUCAUUUCAUCCUAGUAAAAACUACCUUCGGAGGAGCCACCCUUGCCCGGAUAUACCUUAAGGAAAUAGUCAGACUUCAUGGUAUUCCACGGAAGAUAGUGUCAGACAGAGGAACACAGUUCACCUCAAAAUUCUGGAUAAGCCUUCAGUAAGCUAUGGGCACCAAGCUAGACUUCAGCACCGCCUAUCACCCCCAGUCAGAUGGUCAGACAGAAAGGGUCAACAAGGUUCUCGAGGAUUUGUUAAGAGCCUAUGUGUUGACGUUUGACAGAAAUUGGGAGUCCAGUUUGCCAUAUGCAGAGUUCUCGUAUAACAUCAGCUACCAGGCCAGUAUCAAGAUGUCACCGUUUGAAGCCUCGUAUGGGCGAAAAUGUCAGACCCCUCUGAUGUGGUCUAAUGUAGAGGAAAAGACACUAGAAGGGCCUGCCUUCGUUAAAGAGGCAGAAGAGAAAGUUGCCCUGAUCCGCAAAAGAUUACUUGAAGCUCAGAGUCGGCAGAAGAGUUAUGCAGACAACAGGCGGAGAGAACUCCGGUUUGAGGAAGGAGACUUCGUCUACCUCAAGGUCUCCCCAAUGCGUGGAGUCAAAAGGUUUCAAGUGAAAGGAAAGCUAGCUCCGCGGUUCAUCGACCCCUAUCCUAUCAUUGGCAGAGUAGGACCCGCAGCCUACCACCUUGAAUUGCCAGAAUCCAUGUUAGAUAUCCACAAUGUGUUUCAUGUAUCCCAGAUCCGCAAAUGCCUGCAAGUGCCAGAAAGUCACAUCGAAGAAGAGUCAAUUCAGAUUCAGAAGGAUCUGCAGUACCGAGAAAAGCUAGUGAAGAUUUUUGACUCAACCAUCCGAAAGACCCGAAACUCAGAAGUGAGGCUCUGUAAAGUUCAAUGGAGCAGAGAAGGAGAAGAAGAAGCUACCUGGGAGAGUGAGGACUCUUUGAGGAGGGAAUACCCUUACUGAAAGGGAAAUGUGCCCUUUGGCAAUUUCUAUAAGUAUUUUGGUGAUUAGAUGCCCAACACAUUAUUUGAGUACUUAUGUGCUAAAUGUGUGAAAGGUGCAAAACAAAGUAAAAGGUAUGUUUCAAGACUUUGUACAUUGUUUUUGUGAACUAACAUUGAUCGUCUAAGUGCUAGAAACAGUGCCGAAAAGAGAGGAAUCAGAUUGCAAAAGACUUGGUUGUGAGCAGCCAAACUUCAGCUCGGACUGGCACACCGGACUGUGUCCGGUGCGCCAGGCUGGUCCGCGUGAACUCGCCGCUCUCGGGAUUCGACGGCGGCAUACGGCUAAAAAUCACCGGACCGUCCGGUGGUGCACCAGACUGUCCGGUGAGUCAUCCGCGGCGAACUCGUCGCUCUCGGGAAACGGAAAAGGUGACAUGGCUAUAAUUCACCGGACUGUCCGACGGUGCACCGGACUGUCCGGUGAGCUAACGGUCGCCAGCGCCAACGAUCGACCGCGCAAUCUUUGUGCGACACGUGGUCGCGCCAACGGUCGGCAGGGGGCACCGGACAGUGUCCGGUGUGCACCGGACAGUGUCCGAUGCGCCAACGGGCUCGAAGCUGCAACAGUCGACUGUGCCCGAAUUGGAAGGAAAUCACGCACCGGACAGGCUACAGUAGUUGUCUGGUGGCGCACCGGACUGUCCGGUGCGCCACUUGACAAAAGGCAAGGAUGGCCUUCCAAGUUUUCUCCAACGGCUCCUAGCUGCCUUGGGGCUAUAAAAGGGACCCCUAUGCGCAUGGAGGAGUAACCUAAGCAUUCUAAGACUCCCACACUGCGCCUCCGCACAUUUGAUCGAUUGUGUUAGUGAUUUGAGCUCCGUUCGAGUUGUUAACUCUCUGUGCUACGUUUUGAGCUCAAGUCUUGGCUUGUGUGCGUGUGUGUGCUGAGGAUUUGUGUGUUGUGUGUGUUGCUCUCCUAGCCUUACUGUUGUGCCUUCUUUGUGAUCUUUAUUGUAAGGGCGAGAGGCUCCAACUUGUGGAGAUUCCUCGCAAAUGGGAGAAAGACUAUAAGGAAGAAAGCCGUGGUAUUCAAGUUGAUCAUUGGAUCACUUGAAAGGGGUUGAGUGCAACCCUCGUCCAUUAGGACGCCACAACAUGGAAGUAUACAAGUGUCACUUGGCCGAACCACGGGAUAAAAAUCGCGUGUCUCUUGUGUUGCUUUCUCUGUGAUUGUUUUGUCCACAAGAACUCGCCUCAACAUUACUUAGUCACACUAACACGUCUAUAACUAAGUUUUGUGGUUAUUUAGUGUUUGAUUUUACAGGAUCACAUAUUCACCCCCUCUAGGUGCUCUCAAGUGGUAUCAGAACCGUACUCUUCAUCUAAGGGACUAACCGCCCAAAGAGAUGGAUCCUAAGGGAAAGGGGAUGGUGGUCAACGACAAGGAAAAGGAGUUCGUCUUCAACGAGCCAAGAGACGACUAGCCUACUGACUCAGGCUCGAGUCAAAAGAAGAGAGAAGGGAAGAAGAAGAGGCGCAUCAAGAAGAUCAUCUACUACGACAGCGAUGCCUCGUCUUCUUCACCACACGACGAUGACUCUUCAAAGAAGAAAACGGUUAAUCAAAACUAUUCAUUUGAUUACUCCCGUAUUCCAUUUAAUUCAAAUGCUCAUUUGCUAUCAAUUCCACUUAGGAAACCUCCACACUUUGAUGGAGAAGGCUACUCUUUCUGGAGUCAUAAAAUGCGUAGUCAUUUAUUUUCUCUCCAUCUUAGUAUCUGGGAGAUUGUUGAAAACGGAAUGCAUUUUGAUAGUACUGACAAUCCCAUUUUCAUAAAUGAGCAAAUUCAUAAAAAUGCACAAGCUACUACUGUCUUGCUAGCUUCACUUUGUAGGGAUGAAUAUAAUAAGGUGAGCGGCUUGGACAACGCCAAACAAAUCUGGGACACCCUCAAGAUAUCUCAUGAGGGAAACGAUGCCACCAUGAUCACCAAAAUGGAGCUGGUGGAAGGCGAGCUGGGGAGGUUCGCGAUGAUUAGGAGAGAGGAGCCAACUCAGACUUACAACAGGCUCAAGACCCUUGUCGGGGACCAUAAUUAGGGGUACCCUCAAGGCUCCUAAUUCUCAGCUGGUAACCCCCAUCAGCAUAAAGCUGCAAAGGCCUGAUGGGUGCGAUUAAGUCAGGGAUCGGUCCAUUCGAGGGACACGAUUGCGCCUCGCCCGAGCCUAGCCUCGGACAAGGGCAGCCGACCCCGGAGGAUCUCCGCCUCGCCCGAGGCCCCCCUCCAGCAGCUAACGUAUUUCCGGCUCGCCCGGGGCCCUGUCUUCGCCAAGAAGCAACCCUGACCAAAUCGCCGCGCCGACCGACCAAAUCGCAGGAGCAUUUAAUGCAAAGGCGGCCUGACGCCUUUAUCCUGACGCGCGCCCUUCAGCCGACAGAGCCAAAGUGACCACCGUCACUUUGCCGCUCCACUGACCGGCCUGACAGAAAGACAGCGCCGCCUGCGUCGCUCUGACUGCGGUGCCACUUGACAGAGUGAGGCUGACAGGCAGUCAGGCCCAGCCGCAGGCGCCAUAGGAAGCUCCGCUUCGCCCGACCCAGGGCUCAGACUCGGGCUAAGUCCCGGAAGACGGCGAACUCCGCUCCGCCCGACCCAGGGCUCGGACUCGGGCUAAGUCCCAGAAGACGGCGAACUCCGCUCCGCCCGACCCAGGGCUCGGACUCGGACUCGGGCUAAGUCCCGGAAGACGGCGAACUCCGCUCCGCCCGACCCAGGGCUCGGACUCGGGCUAAGCCCCAGAAGACGACGAACUCCACUUCGCCCGACCUAGGGCUCGGACUUGGGCUCGGCCCCAGAAGACGACGAACUCCGCUUCGCCCGACCCAGGGCUCGGACUCCGCCCUGGCCUCAGCCGACGGUCUCCGCCUCGCCUGACCCAGGGGCUCGGACUCGACCUCGGCCACGGAAGACAAACUCGACCUCGGCUUCGGAGGAGCUUCCACAUCGCCCAACCUAGGGCGCAGACCAGCCACGUCAACAGGAGGCGCCAUCAUCACCCUACCCCAAGCUGACUCGGGCCACGGGGAACAAGACCGGUGUCCCAUCUGGCUCGCUCCGCCAGAUAGGCAAUGAUGGCGCCCCGCAUACUCUGUGACGACAGCGGCUCUCAGCCCCCUUACGGAAGCAAGAGGACGUCAGCAAGGACUCAACAGCUCCGACAGCUGUCCUUCCGCUAGGCUCCAGCGCUCCUCCGACGGCCACGACAUCACACCAGAUGGGUGCCAAAAUCUCUCCGGCUGCCACAACGGCAUGUACUUAGGGCGCUAGCUCUCCUCCGCUAGACACGUAGCACUCUGCUACACCCCCCAUUGUACACCUGGAUCCUCUCCUUACGCCUAUAAAAGGAAGGAUCAGGGCCCUCUUAGAGAGGGUUGGCCGCGCGGGGACGAGGACGAGACAGGCGCUCGCUCCCUCUCCCGCAUGGACGCUUGUAACCCCCUACUGCAAGCGCACCCGACCUGGGCGCGAGAUGAACACGAAGGCCGCGGGAUUUCCACCUCUCUCACGCCUGUCUCCGGCCACCUCACUUCCCCCCUUCGCGCUCGGUCUCGCGUCGACCCAUCUGGGCUGGGGCACGCGGCGACAUUCACUCGUCGGCUUAGGGACCCCCCAGUCUCGAAACGCCGACAGUUGGCGCGCCAGGUAGGGGCCUGCUGCGUGUUGACGAACAACUUCCCGUCAAGCUCCAGAUGGGCAGUCUCUAGCAACCUCUCCAACCCGGGACGGUGCUCCGUUUCGGGAGUCUUGAGUUCAUGUCCCUCGACGGCAGCUACGACAUGAUACUCAUUCCACCGCCGGGCGACAACGACAAUGGCGGCCGACAGCCCGCCCGCCGGCGGCGGAAUCGACGACGUCUUCCCCGCGUGGUGGAAGAACAACCUUCGAGCUCACCCCGCCCUCUUCCCCGCCGACGGAGGGGGAGGCGGGGCAACCAAGGCCAAGCAGGAGGCAGCGCCUCAUCGGCUGUCGAGCGAGUCGAUAGCACCAGCACCCCAACGGGGGGCGCACCGGGCAUCGACCUCGCGCUUGAGACGAAGACGAGCGCCGUCUCCCCGCAACGCGCCGAUUCCGGGCAAACGGACGAUGCCAGCACGCUCGCGAAAGGCUUGCUGGACGUCACCCUCGUACCUGAGACGACGGUGCAGUCAGUCCCCGACGUGACUUCAUCACCGCCCGUCGACCAAGAGGUACCGACCGAUUCCCAACCCACGCCUUUCGGAUUCAGCCUCGACCCGCCUAGCGGCUUCGCUUUGGCGGGCGUGCUCGUAGAAGCGAGUCCAAACCCUCUGGGGUUUCGUAUGCGGUCACCUUGGGACCGGCUGACGGACGUCUCGACCUACGGGCCCUCUGGGUCCGAGGAAGACGACGAGCCCAGCUUCUGUUGGGAUUUCUCUGGACUUGGCAACCCCAGUGCCAUGCGGGACUUCAUGACCGCAUGCGACUACUGCCUUUCUGACUGUUCCGGCGGUAGCCGUAGCCUCGGCGACGAGGACUGCGGCCCAAGCCGCGAAUGUUUCCACGUCGAUCUAGGGGGUCCCUCCGAAGGCAACCAUCUCGGCAUGCCAGAGGACGGUGAUCUCCCUAGGCCGGUGCCUCGCGUUGACAUCCCACGGGAGCUAGCUGUGGUCCCCGUUCAGGCGAGGGGCCAUGACCCACAGCUCGAGCAAAUCCGCGGGGUGCAGGCCAGGCUCGACGAGGGAGCAGGAGCGCUUGAGCCGAUCCGCCGGAACGUCGGGCAGGCAUGGGUGGGCCAACCCCCGGCCGGAGAAAUGCGUCAUCUACCCCAGGGCUUCCAGCACCGCAUCGCCGAUGAUGUCAGGGUCAGGCCGCCACCCGCAUCCAGUGGGGUUGGCCAGAACCUGGCUGCAGCAGCAAUGCUCCUCCGCACGAUGCCGGAGCCAUCAACCACCGAGGGGCGGCGAAUCCAGGGAGAGCUCAAGAAUCUCCUGGAAGGCGCCGCAGUCCGACGGGCCGAGAGCUCCGCCUCCCGAAGGCAGGGGUACCCCUCGGAACCUCAUGCCGCGACUUCCCGAUUCAUGCGGGAAGCCUCGGUCUACACCGGGCGCACGCGCAACACAGCGCCAGCGGCCCCGGGUCGCCUCGACAACGAGCACCAUCACCGCGACCGUCGGGCCCACCUCGACGAGAGGGUGCGCCGAGGCUACCACCCCAGGCGUGGGGGACGCUACGACAGCGGGGAGGAUCGGAGUCCCUCGCCCAAACCACCCGGUCCGAAGGCCUUCAGCCGGGCCAUACGACGGGCGCCGUUCCCGACCCGGUUCCGACCCCCGACUACUAUCACGAAGUACUCGGGGGAGACGAGACCGGAACUGUGGCUCGCGGACUACCGUCUGGCCUGCCAACUGGGUGGAACGGACGAUGACAACCUCAUCAUCCGCAACCUCCCCAUGUUCCUCUCCGACACCGCUCGCACCUGGUUGGAGCACCUGCCUUCGGGGCAGAUCUCCAACUGGGACGACUUGGUCCAAGCUUUCGCCGGAAAUUUCCAGGGCACGUACGUGCGCCUCGGGAAUUCCUGGGACCUUCGAAGCUGCCGACAGCAGCCGGGAGAGUCUCUCCGAGACUACAUCCGGCGAUUCUCGAAGCAGCGCACCGAGCUGCCCAACAUCACCGACUCGGAUGUCAUCGGCGCGUUCCUCGCUGGCACCACCUGUCGCGACCUGGUGAGCAAGCUGGGUCGCAAGACCCCCACCAGGGCGAGCGAGCUGAUGGACAUCGCCACCAAGUUCGCCUCCGGCCAGGAGGCGGUCGAGGCUAUCUUCCGAAAGGACAAGCAGCCCCAGGGCCGCCCAUCGGAAGACGCCCCCGAGGCGUCAGCUCAGCGCGGCGCCAAGAAGAAGGGCAAGAAGAAGUCGCAAACGAAACGCGACGCCGCCGACGCGGACCUUGUCGCCGCCGCCGAGUAUAAGAACCCUCGGAAACCCCCCGGAGGUGCCAACCUCUUUGACAAGAUGCUCAAGGAGCCGUGCCCCUAUCACCAGGGGCCCGUCAAGCACACCCUUGAGGAGUGCGUCAUGCUUCGGCGCCACUUCCACAGGGCGGGCCACCCGCGGAGGGUGGCAGGGCCCAUGACGAUGACAAGAAGGAAGAUCACCAGGCAGGAGAGUUCCCCGAGGUCCGCGACUGCUUCAUGAUCUACGGUGGGCAAGCGGCGAAUGCCUCGGCUCGGCACCACAAGCGAGAGCGCCGGGAGGUCUGUUCGGUGAAGGUGGCGGCGCUAGUCUACCUAGACUGAUCCGACAAGCCCAUCACCUUUGACCAAGCCGACCACCCCGACCAUGUGCCGAGCCCGGGGAAAUACCCGCUCGUAGUCGACCCCGUCAUCGGCGACGUCAGGCUCAACAAGGUCCUCAUGGAUGGAGGCAGCAGCCUCAACAUCAUCUACGCCGAGACCCUCGGGCUCCUGCGUGUCGAUCUGUCCUCGGUCCGGGCAGGCGCUGCGCCUUUCCAUGGAAUCAUCCCCGGGAAGCGCGUCCAGCCCCUCGGACAACUCGACCUUCCCGUCUGUUCGGAACACCCUCCAACUUCCGAAGGGAGACCAUGACGUUCGAGGUGGUCGGGUUCCGAGGAACCUACCACGCGGUACUGGGGAGGCCAUGCUACGCGAAGUUCAUGGCCGUCCCCAACUACACCUACCUGAAGCUCAAGAUGCCGGGCCCCAACGGGGUCAUCACCGUCGGCCCCACGUACAAACACGCGUUCGAAUGUGACAUGGAGUGCGUGGAGUACGCCGAGGCCCUCGUCGAGUCCGAGGCCCUCAUUGUCGACCUAGAGAGCCUCUCUAAGGAGGUGCCAGACGUGAAGCGUCAUGCCGGCAACUUUGAGCCAGCGGAGACGGUUAAGUCCGUCCCCCUCGACCUCAGCGGCGACGCCUCCAAGCAGAUCCGGAUUGGCUCCGAGCUCGGUCCCAAAUUGGAAGCAGUGCUCGUCGACUUUCUCCGUGCGAACGCCGACGUCUUCGCGUGGAGUCCCUCGGACAUGCCCAGCAUACCGAGGGAUGUCGCCGAGCACUCGCUGGACAUCCGAGCUGGAGCCCGACCCGUCAAGCAGCCUCUGCGCCGAUUCGACGAGGAGAAGCGCAGAGCCAUAGGCGAGGAGAUCCACAAGCUAAUGGCGGCAGGGUUCAUCAAAGAGGUAUUCCAUCUCGAAUGGCUUGCCAACCCUGUGCUUGUGAGAAAGAAAGGGGGGAAAUGGCGGAUGUGUGUAGACUACACUAGUCUGAACAAAGCAUGUCCGAAGGUUCCCUACCCUCUGCCUCGCAUCGAUCAAAUCGUGGAUUCCACUGCUGGGUGCGAAACCCUGUCUUUCCUCGAUGCCUACUCAGGGUAUCACCAAAUCAGGAUAAAAGAGUCUGACCAGCUCGCGACUUCUUUCAUCACACCCUUCGGCAUGUACUGCUAUGUCACCAUGCCGUUCGGCUUGAGGAAUGCGGGCGCGGCGUACCAGCGGUGCAUGAACCAUGUGUUCGACGAACACAUUGGCUGGACGGUCGAGGCCUACGUCGAUGACAUCGUAGUCAAGACGAGGAAAGCCUCCGACCUCCUUUCCGACCUUGAAGUGACAUUCCGAUGUCUCAAGGCGAAAGGCGUCAAGCUCAAUCCCGAAAAGUGUGUCUUCGGGGUGCCCCGAGGCAUGCUCUUAGGGUUCAUCGUCUCCGAGCGGGGCAUCGAAGCCAACCCGGAGAAGAUCGUAGCCAUCACCAGCAUGGGGCCCAUCAAGGACUUGAAAGGCGUACAGAGGGUCAUGGGAUGUCUCGCGGCUCUGAGCCGCUUCAUCUCACGCCUCGGCGAAAGAGGUCUACCUCUGUACCGCCUCUUAAGGAAGGCCGAGUGCUUCACUUGGACCCCUGAGGCCGAGGAGGCCCUCGGGAACCUGAAGGCACUCCUCACGAAGGCGCCUAUCUUGGUGUCCCCGGCUGCCGGAGAAGCCCUCUUGAUCUACGUCAUCGCGACUACUCAGGUGGUUAGCGCCGCGAUUGUGGUCGAGAGGCAAGAAGAGGGGCAUGCAUUGCCCGUUCAGAGGCCAGUCUACUUCGUCAGCGAGGUACUGUCCGAAACCAAGAUCCGCUACCCACAAGUUCAGAAGCUGCUGUAUGCGGUGAUCCUGACGCGGCGGAAGCUGCGACACUACUUCGAGUCUCAUCCGGUAACUGUGGUGUUGUCCUUCCCCCUGGGGGAGAUCAUCCAGUACCGAGAGGCCUCGGGUAGGAUUGCAAAGUGGGCGGUGGAAAUCAUGGGUGAAACAAUCUCGUUCGCCCCUCGGAAGGCCAUCAAGUCCCAGGUCCUGGCGGACUUCGUGGCCGAAUGGGUCGACACCCAGCUCCCAACAGCACCGAUCCAACCGGAGCUUUGGACCAUGUUCUUCGACGUGUCGCUGAUGAAGACAGGAGCCAGCGUAGGCCUACUCUUCAUCUCGCCCCUCGGGAAGCACCUACGCUACGUGCUACGCCUCCAUUUCCCGGCAUCCAACAAUGUGGCUGAGUACGAGGCUCUGGUCAACGGAUUGCGGAUCGCCAUCGAGCUAGGGGUCCGAUGCCUCGACGCUCGCGGUGACUCGCAGCUCGUCAUCGACCGAGUCAUGAAGAACUCCAACUGCCGCGACCCGAAGAUGGAGGCCUACUGCGAUGAGGUUCGGCGCCUGGAAGACAAGUUCUACGGGCUCGAGCUCAACCACAUCGCUCGGCGCUACAACGAGACUGCGGACGAGCUGGCUAAAAUAGCCUCGGGGCGAACAACGGUUCCCCCAGACGUCUUCUCCCAAGAUCUGCAUCAGCCCUCCGUCAAGAUCGACGGCACGCCUGAGCCUGAGGCACCCUCGGCCCAGCCCGAGGUACCCUCGGCACAGUCCGAGGCGCCCUCGGCUCGGCCCGAGGCACCCUCGGUCCAGCCCAAGGUACCCUCGGCACAGUCCGAGGCACCCUCGGCUCAGCCCGAGGCACCCUCGGUUUGGCCCGAGGUACCCUCGGCCCCCGAGGGCGAGACGCUGCACGUCGGGGGGAGCGAAGCGGGGUCACACCUGAUCAAAACUGGCAGACCCCGUACCUGCAAUAUCUCCACCGAGGAGAGCUACCCUCCGACCGAGCCGAAGCUCGGCGGGUGGCGCGGCGUGCCAAGUCGUUCGUCUUGCUGGGAGAUGAGAAGGAGCUCUACCACCGCAGCCCCUCUGGCAUCCUCCAGCGAUGCAUCUCCAUCGCCGAAGGUCAGGAACUCCUGCGAGAGAUACACUCGGGGGCUUGCGGCCAUCACGCAGCGCCUCGAGCCCUUGUCGGGAAUGCUUUCCGACAAGGCUUCUACUGGCCCACGGCGGUGGCCGACGCUACUAGAAUUGCCCACACCUACGAAGGGUGUCAGUUCUACGCAAGGCAGACCCACCUGCCUGCUCAGGCUCUGCAGACGAUACCCAUCACCUGGCCUUUUGCUGUGUGGGGUCUGGACCUCGUCGGCCCCUUGCAGAAGGCACCCGGGGGCUACACGCACCUGUUGGUCGCCAUCGACAAAUUCUCCAAGUGGAUCGAGGUCCGACCCCUAAACAGCAUCAGGUCCGAGCAGGCGGUAGCGUUCUUCACUAACAUCAUCCAUCGCUUUGGGGUCCCGAACUCCAUCAUCACCGACAACGGCACCCAUUUCACCGGCAGGAAGUUCCUGGACUUCUGCGAGGAUCACCACAUCCGGGUGGACUGGGCCGCCGUGGCUCACCCCAUGUCAAAUGGGCAAGUAGAGCGUGUCAACGGCAUGAUUCUGCAAGGACUCAAGCCUCAGAUCUACAACGACCUCAACAAGUUCGACAAGCGAUGGAUGAAGGAACUCCCCUCGGUGGUCUGGAGCCUGAGGACAACGCCGAGCCGAGCCACGGGCUUCACGCCGUUCUUUCUGGUCUAUGGGGCCGAGGCCAUCUUGCCCACAGACUUAGAAUACGGUCCCCCGAGGACGAGGGCCUACACCGACCAAAGCAACCAAGCUAAUCGAGAGGACUCGUUGGACCAGCUGGAGGAGGCUCGGGACAAGGCCUUGCUACACUCAGCGCGGUACCAGCAGUCCCUGCGACGCUACCACGCCCGAGGGGUCCGGUCCCGAGACCUCCAGGUGGGCGAUCUAGUGCUUCGGCUGCGACAAGACGCCCGAGGGCGGCACAAGCUCACGCCCCCCUGGGAGGGGCCGUUCGUCAUCGCCAAAGUUCUGAAGCCCGGAACGUACAAGCUGGCCAACAGUCAAGCCGAGGUCUACGGCAACGCUUGGAACAUCCAACAACUACGUCGCUUCUACCCUUAAGAUGUUUUCAAGUUGUUCAUAUACCUCGCUCCCACGCAAAGUUUAGUCAUCAAGGAAGGGUCGGCCUUGCCUCGGCAAAGCCCGACCCUCCCUCGGGGGCUAAAAGGGGGGAACCCCCUCUGCGUCGAAUUUUUUCCUCGAAAAAAGAUCCUUUCUGCCAGAAUGUCUUUCGUGCUUUUUGACUACUUCGAAAGUGGAUCCUGAAAACGACGGAGUACACGUAAGCAGCCAAGGCUAACCGAGCCGAGGGACUCCUACGCCUCCGGGAUAUGGAUACCUCACUCAUCACCUUCUGCGAUAAGUAACUCACGUUCGGAUAAGUGAUUCCGCAGACCGAACAAGUCUUCACGUUCGGAAGCUCUUCUGCCAAAGCGAUUCUUCGAGCCUUCUCGACUGCGUCGGUGACAGAACCCCAUGGACGGGUAAGAGUGCGCGUAAGCGGCAAGGCCGACCGAGCCGAGGGACUCCUACGCCUCCGGGAUACGGAUACCUCACUCAUCACCUUCCGUGAGAAGUGACUCUCGCUCGCACAAGCAAUUCCGUUACCGACAAAAAAGUCUAGAUACUCGAAACAAGAGGAAAAGGGAUGCAGCUUUACAACACGGCGAGGGUGUGUGUUGGCCUCGGCGGCCGCAGAAAACACACGCUACAAGAUAAUCCGAUCCUGCAGGCUCGGAUCUUGACGGCUAAAGGGAGCAGCAGCACCCUCGGCGUCGACAACACCUUCGGCGAGGCCCGACCUAGCCUCGGACGGCGACGCGGUCCAAGGGUCUCUGCUCUGAAGGACAACGUCAUCACCAAGCCCGGGCCAUCGCCGCCAGGGUCUUCUCCGAGAAUCCGGCCCGAGCAGGAGGCUCGGCCGAUCACCCCAGGGCCUCGGCCAGCUGGCCUCCGAGGACAUCAGCCCGGCCCGAGGCCUCGGCAGUUUAAUUCCGGCGUCGAUCCCGCUAACGGAUGACCCGGCCAGGCUCCGGCCGACCAGGUCUCCUUUUUGAGCCAACUCUGCCUCUGUUCACGCUGACACCGGUACCCCUGGCCUCGGCUCAUCGAAGAGCGGCCGAGGGGUUUCCUCUAACUAAGCAAGGGAAGCCUCGGACAACAAGGCUGACCGAGCCGAGGGACUCCUACGCCUCCGGGAUACAUAUACCUCACUCGUCACCUUUACACGGGGCGGCUCACGCUUGGUGAAGCGGUUCAGACAACCAACAGGCGAGUCUUAGUGCUCGAAAAUGAGGAAAAAACACGGCUCCGUGCCGUAAUUACAUACAUGUUCAGGCCUCGACAGCCACAAUGAACAAAAACACUGGCAUUCAAAGUGCCAUUACAAAAUGGAACUCCGGUUCCACCUCCGCAGGUACGAACAACCCCACUCGACGGGGGGGGGGGCUGCGGAGCAACAGAAGACCAACGGGCGGCUCGUCGUCGCCCGCUCCGGCAUCAACGACUACGACCCCCGCUCCGGGUGGCCGAACUGCAGCAGCGGGGGCGUCAGGGCGGACGCUGCUGCAAUCUUGCCCUCGCCCACGCCGACGCUCGAGGGGCGAGGACAAGUACAAAGAGCCGGAGGCCCGAAGCGCGGAUGGUGACGGUGAUCCCGUCGGCAACGGGGACUUCUCGAGCCGCCUCCACCUCGGCACCGACGACAGGGGCCGUCAGCCCUCCGGCAGAUCCCCACUCAGAUCCUCCCGGACGAGUGGGGCACCGACCUCCGCGCGGGGGCGCCGUACCGGUGCAAAGGCAGGACCACCCCAGAACACGAACGCCGCCCUGGCAGCGCACAAUAUCUUGGGCGGUCCUCCCGCGCACACGGCGCGGCAGCCGCCUUCUUGCAGGAGGAGGCACCGGGAGCCAAGCCGACGAGCCCGACGCGCUGAGGCUGACGACGCCCGCCGUCGACCAGCCCCACGUUGUCGAAGUCCGGCCCGCCCGUAGGGCCAGUGAGCGCCCUCUCCCUCGAACGCCGAAGGAGAGGCCGACCCACGAACCCGCGCGGGAGGUAGAGCUCCGGCUCAGCCCGGCCCCCACCCCAGCGAGGAUGAUGAACAUCCUUGAAGCUGAGGGUGGGACCAAGAUCGCAGCCCGGCUUGCUUCUCCCCACCCAGGGGCUGUGGUCACCGUCUCGGGUGACCGCCGGCGGAGGGGUGCAGCCGGGCUGGCUGAUGAAAAUCCUUGAAGCCGAACGAUGGCUGAAAGGUACCAACUCCCACGGAGUUGCGUUCCCCCAACGACAAGGCGGAAAGACGGCGAGUAUCCCCCAUCCGGGGGCUUGGAAGGUGGAAAGACACUAUGCAUAAGGAAGCGCGAAGACAUGGUCGCCUUCUAAGGGGGUCACCCUCCUUUUAAAGGCGACUCUCCUUACUUGCGUCCCCAGCCGUCGCGGGCUGAGUCUUCUCCAACACGCUCCAAGGCCCUCCUCCUACGGCGCGGGGGCUGGGUCCCACACGUCAUGCAAGCCGACUCAAAGGAGAAGAAGACAAACCGCCGUGCAAGAUGCGUACAACCGCCCAGUGGUUACAAGUGGCUCUCCACUUUUGCCCAGACCAGCGGGCGAAAGGGCGGGCAGCCAUGCAGGCGGCAUGCAACCGCGCCAAGUGGGCGCACUUCUCCGACUCCCAACACGCCCAGCAUGGAGGCCCAGGCCCACGCGUCAUGCAACCGGCGCGCCGAAUGCUUCGUGCAUGCAACUGCACCGCCACUUGCGCCACCACCGCGCCUCCUCGACUGCGGAACCAGUACCGCGACUCGAGGCGACCCAGAACACGACCCAACAGCGCCAGCCUGGCGCGACGGUCAAUGCGACCAAAAAUGGGCCGGCAGUAAUGGCGGUGGCAGGCGGGCAGGAGCAGCGGUCACGUCGUCAGCCAAGCCUACGUCCCAUCCAGGAGCGACGAGAGAACCCUCUCUCACGGCGUGAAGACAACGCGCCCGUGUUCCGUUCCUCGAACGGCUCGCGCACGCGCAACGGCCACCCCGCGAACCGCUCGCCCCGUCGCAUUAACUCGCGGCGGGACAGGCGGCGCCUCUGGCAGGAGAAGCGGGCGACGCUUCGCCUUCGCCAUAAUGACCGCGUCAGAAAAGGUACGCCGCGCCGUUCGAUUUCGUAUCCUUUUCCUUUUUUCCUCUUGCUCUCUCUUGCAACAGGGACCGGGAAAGGGGGAUACCCCGAAAAGGAUCCUUCCCCGUGAAGGAACAGGCUCCGAGCCUCCCUACUGAUCAGAGGAUCGAAGGCUGGCCCCUCGGAAGGGUUCAACAGUCGCCUCAUAUCGCGUGGGCUCCACACCCACUACUGGUCAGAGGUUCGAAGGCCGGCCCCUCGGAAGGGUUCAAUGGCCGCCUCAGGCUACUCGGGCUCCGCGCCCACUACUGAUCAGGGGUUCGAAGGCUGGCCCCCGAAGGGUUCAUAGCCGCCUCAGACACAGAGCGAGGGAUGACCAUGGGUACGUUCGAUACAUAACCAAGGCUCGGGCUGUGCUCCCGAGGUACCCUAGGACAUUUCCGAGACCGGCGGGAACGAUCUUGUAAUGGAAUCCCAUCGGAGGGAGGCAUCGAGCCCUCGGACCUCGUCGCCAGGGGACCGGGUCCGGCAGAUCACCCGCAGGUACUUUUGGGCGUGCCUCUGGGCCCCUAGCCGACCCCUAACGAAUGGGGCACGGACAUCCACUCGAAUUACCCGCCUGCAGCUCACCGGAGACACCAUGUUCGGCGCCCACCGAGGGCAACAUGGCGCUCUCCCCCCCUCCUCUUUGCGGAAAGGCGACGCAGGGGCGUAUGUAAAAAGUCGAGUCUGUCCCUGAUCGCCCUCUCGCCCUGUGCAGAGGCUCGGGGGCUGCUCUCGCAAAACCGGCUCCGGCCGAACCGUUGACAGCGUCAACAUACCAGCCCAAGAACUUGGGACCCGACCGUACACCCGGGCUACGGCCAGCUCGCAUGAGGGAACGACCAGACCAGCCGAAGCAUUACGCGAGGCAUUAAGACCUCGGAGGAGUCAAACCACUCCCCCGAGGCCUCGGGGGCUAAACCCGGCGGGUGCGCUCGUGCGCACCCACCGGAACAAAACGCAACCGAGAAAGGUUGGUCCCCUUGCAAAAAAGUGCGACGAAAGCCUCCAAGCGAGUGCUAACACUCCCUUCGAGGCUCGGGGGCUACUGUCGGGGACCAUAAUUAGGGGUACCCUCAAGGCUCCUAAUUCUCAGCUGGUAACCCCCAUCAGCAUAAAGCUGCAAAGGCCUGAUGGGUGCGAUUAAGUCAGGGAUCGGUCCAUUCGAGGGACACGAUCGCGCCUCGCCCGAGCCUAGCCUCGGACAAGGGCAGCCGACCCUAGAGGAUCUCCGCCUCGCCCGAGGCCCCCCUCCAGCAGCUAACGUAUUUCCGGCUCGCUCGGGGCCCUGUCUUCGCCAAGAAGCAACCCUGACCAAAUCGCCGCGCCGACCGACCAAAUCGCAGGAGCAUUUAAUGCAAAGGCGGCCUGACGCCUUUAUCCUGACGCGCGCCCUUCAACCGACAGAGCCGAAGUGACCGCCGUCACAUCGCCGCUCCACUGACCGGCCUGACAGAAAGACAGCGCCGCCUGCGCCGCUCCGACUGCGGUGCCACUUGACAGAGUGAGGCUGACAGGCAGUCAGGCCCGGCCGCAGGCGCCAUAGGAAGCUCCGCUUCGCCCGACCCAGGGCUCGGACUCGGGCUAAGUCCCGGAAGACGGCGAACUCCGCUCCGCCCGACCCAGGGCUCGGACUCGGGCUAAGUCCCGGAAGAUGGCGAACUCCGCUCCGCCCGACCCAGGGCUCGGACUCGGGCUAAGUCCCGGAAGACGGCGAACUCCGCUCCGCCCGACCCAGGGCUCGGACUCGGGCUAAGCCCCAGAAGACGACGAACUCCGCUUCGCCCGACCUAGGGCUCGGACUUGGGCUCGGCCCCAGAAGACGACGAACUCCGCUUCGCCCGACCCAGGGCUCGGACUUGGGCUCAGCCCCAGAAGACGACGAACUCUGCUUCGCCCGACCCAGGGCUCGGACUCCGCCCUGGCCUCAACCGACGGUCUCCGCCUCGCCCGACCCAGGGGCUCGGACUCGACCUCAGCCAUGGAAGACAGACUCGACCUCGGCUUCGGAGGAGCUUCCACAUCGCCCAACCUAGGGCGCAGACCAGCCACGUCAACAGGAGGCGCCAUCAUCACCCUACCCCAAGCUGACUCGGGCCAUGGGGAACAAGACCGGCGUCCCAUCUGGCUCGCUCCGCCAGAUAGGCAAUGAUGGCGCCCCACAUACUCUGUGACGACGGCGGCUCUCAGCCCCCUUACGGAAGCAAGAGGACGUCAGCAAGGACUCAACAGCUCCGACAGCUGUCCUUCCGCCAGGCUCCAGCGCUCCUCCGACGGCCACGACAUCACACCAGAUGGGUGCCAAAAUCUCUCCGGCUGCCACAACGACAUGUACUUAGGGCGCUAGCUCUCCUCCGCUAGACACGCAGCACUCUGCUACACCCCCCAUUGUACACCUGGAUCCUCUCCUUACGCCUAUAAAAGGAAGGAUCAGGGCCCUCUUAGAGAGGGUUGGCCGCGCGGGGACGAGGACGAGACAGGCGCUCGCUCCCUCUCCCGCGUGGACGCUUGUAACCCCCUACUGCAAGCGCACCCGACCUGGGCGCGGGACGAACACGAAGGCCGCGGGAUUUCCACCUCUCUCACGCCUGUCUCCGGCCACCUCACUUCCCCCCUUCGCGCUCGGCCUCGCGUCGACCCAUCUGGGCUGGGGCACGCGACGACAUUCACUCGUCGGCUUAGGGACCCCCCGGUCUCGAAACGCCGACAACCCUGGUCAACAAGAUCCGAAGCUAUGAAAGCACAAGAUGGACGGAUCAUGAUGUCGUCCGACUCAUGCUAAGGUCAUUUACUGUAAUUGACCCCCAUCUUGUCAAUCUUAUUCGUGAGAAUCCCUGGUACACCAAGAUGACGCCCGAGGAGAUUCUUGGAAAAUUUGUGAGUGGGCGCAUGAUGGUGAAGGAAGCUCGAUACGUGGAUGAUGCUCUAAACGGUCCACUACCCGUCUACGAGCCUCAACCUGUUGCUCUUAAGGCAACCAGUAGCAGGGAGACGCUCCCAAGCAAAGUGGCACAAGUGGAGGCUGCUGGCCUCAACGAGGAUGAGAUGGCGCUUAUCAUCAAGCGCUUCAAGACCGCACUUAAAGGACGCAAGGAGUACCCCAACAAGAACAAAACAAGGGGAAAGCGCUCCUGCUUUAAAUGCGGUAAGACUGGUCACUUUAUUGCAAAUUGUCUCGAUAAUGAUAGUGACCAGGGACAAGAAAAGAACGAGAAGAAGGAGAAAAAGAAGAACUACAGGAAGGCAAAGGGCGAGGCGCACCUUGAAAAGGAAUGGGACUCGGAUUGCUCCUCUUCCGACUCUGACGACGAAGGACUUGCUGCCUCAGCCUUCAACAAAUCGUCAUUCUUCCCCAACGAACGCCAUACAUGUCUUAUGGCCAAGGAGAAAAAGGUACGUGUUCGGGACACACCCAAGUACACUUCAUCUAGUGAUGAAGAAUCCUCCGAUGAUGAAGUAGAUUACUCUAGUUUAUUUAAAGGUUUAGAUAGAGCCAAAGUAGAGAAAAUUAAUGAAUUAAUUGAUACUCUAAAUGAAAAAGAUAGGUUGCUAGAGAAGCAAGAAGAUAUUUUGUAUGAAGAGCAUGACAAAUUUAUUAGUGUUCAAAAAUCUCUUGCUCUAGAAAUUAAAAGAAAUGAAAUGCUAUCCUCUGAGUUGUCUACUUGCCAUGAAUCUGUUUCUAGUUUAAGGAGUUUAAAUGAUGAUUUAAAUGCUAAGCUAGAGGAAGUUAAUAAAUCUAGUUCAUGUGUAGAGCAUGUUGUUAUUUGUAAUAGAUGUAAGGAUAUUGAUGUUGAUGCCUGUAAUGAACAUAUUGUUUCUAUUACAAAAUUAAGUAAUGAGGUGGCAAGUCUUAAUGCUCAACUUAAGACUUGCAAGGAUGAUUUUAAUAAAUUGAAAUUUGCUAGGGAUGCCUACACUAUUGGUAGACACCCUUCAAUUAAGGAUGGACUUGGUUUUCGAAAGGAAACCAAGAACUUAACAAGCCAAAAGGCUCUCGUUCUCAACAAGGAGAAAGGGAAGGCCCCCAUGGCUAGUAGUUCUCAAAAGUGUCAUGCCUACAUUUAUGAUAGAAAAUUUUCUAGGAACGCUUAUAAUAAUAGAGACUAUGAUCAUGCUAUGAUUGCUUCCAACUCUACUUAUGAUUGUAGUAGAAAUAGGCCUAGGCGCAAUCAUGUUGUGUCUCAUGCGCGUAGAAGGAAUAAUGUUGUGUCUCAUGUGCCUAGGAAAAUGUGCAAUGAACCCACUAUUGUUUUUCAUGCUUGCAACACUUCUUUUAUUCUUUCAUGUAAGAAUGCAAAAGUAGUGGCUAGGAAGUUGGGAUCCAAAUGCAAGGGAGACAAAACUUGCAUAUGGGUUCCAAAAACUAUUUUGACUAACCUUGUAGGACCCAACAAGAGUUGGGUACCUAAAACCCAAGCUUAGAUUCCUUGUAGGUUUAUGCAUCCGGGGGCUCAAGCUGGAUUAUCGACAGCGGAUGCACAAACCACAUGACGGGGGAGAAGAAGAUGUUCACCUCCUACGUCAAAAACAAGGAUUCCCAGGAUACGAUCAUCUUUGGAGAUGGGAACCAAGACAAGGUCAAAGGCUUGGGCAAGAUAGCCAACACCAACGAGCACUCCAUAUCGAAUGUAUUUCUAGUAGAGUCGCUUGGUUACAACCUUUUGUCUAUAAGUCAAUUGUGUCACAUGGGUUACAAUUGUCUUUUUACAAACGUUGAUGUAUCUGUCUUUAGAAGGAGUGAUGGUUCAUUAGCUUUUAAGGGUGUAUUAGAUGACAAACUCUACUUAGUUGAUUUUUCGAAAGAGGAGGCCGAUCUAGAUGCAUGCUUAAUAGCUAAGACUAGUAUGGGCUGGCUGUGGCAUCGCCGUCUAGCACAUGUUGGGAUGAAGAACCUUCAUAAACUUCUAAAGGGAGAACAUGUGUUAGGACUAACCAAUGUUUGUUUCGAGAAAUAUAGGCCUUGUGCAGCAUGUCAGGCAGGGAAACAGGUGGGAAGCACUCAUCAUAGCAAGAAUGUGAUGACAACAUCAAGACCACUGGAGCUUCUUCACAUGGACCUCUUUGGACCCGUUGCCUACCUUAGCAUCGGGGGAAGUAAGUAUGGUCUUGUAAUUGUUGAUGAUUUUUUCCGCUUCACUUGGGUGUUCUUUUUACAGGAUAAAUCAGAAACCCAAGGGACCCUAAAGCGCUUUCUAAGGAGGGCUCAAAACGAAUUUGAGUUAAAGGUGAAAAAGAUAUGGAGCGACAACGGGUCCGAGUUCAAGAAUCUGCAAGUUGAUGAGUAUCUUGAGGAGGAAGGCGUCAAGCACGAGUUCUCCGCUCCCUACACACCACAACAAAACGGUGUGGUAGAGAGGAAGAACAUGACUCUUAUCGACAUGGUGCGAACGAUGCUUGGAGAGUUCAAGACGCCCGAGCAGUUUUGGUCAGAAGCUGUGAACACAGCUUGCCACGCCAUAAACCGGCUCUAUCUGCAUCGCCUUCUCAAGAAGACCUCCUACGAACUCCUUACCGGUAACAAACCCAACAUCUCCUACUUUCGUAUAUUUGGGAGCAAAUGUUACAUUCUGGUGAAGAAAGGUAGACAUUCUAAAUUUGCUCCCAAGGCAGUAGAAGGGUUUUUACUAGGGUAUGACUCAAAUACAAAGGCAUAUAGAGUCUUCAACAAAUCAUCGGGUUAGGUUGAAGUCUCUAGCAACGUUGUAUUUGAUGAGACUAAUGGCUCUCCAAGAGAGCAAGUUGAUCUUGAUGACAUAGAUGAAUAUGAUGUUCCAACGGUCGCAAUGCGCACGAUGGCGAUUGGUGAUGUGCGACCACAGGAACAACAGGAGCAAGAUCAGCCAUCUUCCUCCACAAUGGUGCAUCCUCCAACUCAAGACGGUGAACAGGUACCUCAAGAAGAGGGACAGGAUCAAGGGGGAGCACAAGAAGAACAAGUGAUGGAGGAAGAAGCACCACGUGCCCCUCCAACUCAAGUCUGAGCAAUGAUCCAACGACAUCACCCCGUUGACCAGAUUCUGGGUGACAUAAGCAAGGGAGUAACUACUCGCUCAAGAUUAGCUAACUUUUAUGAGCAUUACUCGUUUGUCUCUUCUAUUGAGCCUUUCAGGGUAGAAGAAGCCUUGCAGGAUCCAGAUUGGGUGUUGGCCAUGCAGAUAGAGCUCAACAACUUCAAGAGAAAUGAAGUUUGGAGUUUGGUGCCACGUCUAAAGCAAAAUGUUGUGGGAACCAAGUGGGUGUUCCGCAACAAGCAAGACGAGCAUGGGGUGGUGACAAGAAACAAGGCUCGACUUGUGGCAAAAGGUUAUGCCCAAGUCGCAGGUUUGGAUUUCGAGGAGACUUUUGCUCCUGUGGCUAGGCUAGAGUCUAUUCGAAUUCUAUUAGCCUAUGCCGCUCACCACUCUUUCAUGCUAUUUCAAAUGGAUGUGAAGAGCGCUUUCCUCAAUGGGCCAAUAAAGAAGGAGGUAUACGUGGAACAACCCCCUAGCUUUGAGGAUGACAGGUACCCCGACCAUGUGUUCAAGCUCUCUAAGGCGCUCUAUGGAUUAUGCAAGCCCCAAGAGCAUGGUAUGAUUGCCUUAGAGAUUUCUUAAUUGCUGAUGCCUUCAAGGUUGGGAAAGCUGAUCCCACUCUUUUUACAAAGACUUAUGAUGGUGAUCUUUUUGUGUGCCAAAUUUAUGUCGAUGACAUAAUAUUUGGUUCUACUAAUCAAAAGUCUUGUGAGGAGUUUAGCAGGGUGAUGACACAAAAGUUCGAGAUGUCGAUGAUGGGCGAGUUGACCUACUUCCUUGGGUUCCAAGUGAAGCAACUCAAGGAUGGCACCUUCAUCUCCCAAACAAAGUACACACAAGAUCUUCUCAAGCGGUUUGGGAUGAAGGACACCAAGCUUGCGAAGACAGCGAUGGGAACCGUCGGGCAUGUUGACCUCAACAAAGGAGGUAAGUCCGCUGAUCAAAAGGCAUACCGGUCCAUGAUAGGUUCAUUGCUUUAUUUAUGUGCUAGUAGACCGGACAUUAUGCUAAGUGUAUGCAUGUGUGCUAGAUAUCAAUCCGACCCCAAGGAAUGUCACCUCGUGGCCGUUAAGCGAAUUCUUAGAUAUUUAGUUUCUACACCUUGCUUCGGGAUCUGGUAUCCAAAGGGGUCUACCUUUGACUUGAUUGGAUACUCAGACUCCGAUUAUGUUGGGUGCAAAGUUGAUAGGAAGAGCACAUCAGGGACGUGCCAAUUUCUAGGAAGGUCCCUGGUGUCCUGGAGUUCAAAGAAACAGACAUCCGUUGCCCUAUCCACCGCUGAGGCCGAGUAUGUUGCCGCAGGACAGUGUUGCGCGCAACUACUUUGGAUGAGGCAAACCCUCUGGGACUUUGGCUACAAUCUGAGCAAAGUCCCACUCCUAUGUGACAAUGAGAGUGCUAUCCGCAUGGCAGAUAAUCCUAUUGAACACAACCGCACUAAGCACAUAGACAUCCGACAUCACUUCCUAAGAGACCACCAGCAAAAGGGAGAUAUCGAGGUGUACCAUAUUAGCACCGAGAACCAGCUAGCCAAUAUCUUUACCAAGCCAUUGGAUGAGAAAACUUUUUGCAGGUUGCGUAGUGAGCUAAAUGUCUUAGAUUCACAUAACUUGGAUUGAUCUAUAGCAUACAUGUGUUCUAUGCCUUUGAUCAUGUUACUUUGAAGAAUUUACAUUCCUCGUUGUAUAUUUGUGGUGCUCAAGUUGUACAAGACCUCCCCGGACCUCACAAGUCCAUAUGCAAAUGGUGCACAUAUUUAGGGGGAGAUUUGCUACAACUUGACCCUUUGAGACUAACCUUUGUGCUUGAGUAUACUUGAUGUAGUCUCAAAAGUGCAUUGAAAGGGAAAGGUGAACUUGGACGAUGCAAAGACUUCCACUGCACUCCGGUAUUAGUGUACUCACUUCCAAGUUCAUACUUAUGCUCUCAUUGCCUUUUUGCUCUUAAUUGACAUUUUUGGUGAGGCAAUGGGGUUAAAGGGCCGACAAUGAUCCCGUUUUGGUGCUUAAUGCUAAAGGGGGAGAAAUUAAGGCCAAAGCAAAUGGAUCAGCUACCACUUAUGAAUUUCGAAAACAAUAGAGUUAGAACUUUUGAUUUGUCCAAAAUACUCUUAGUGCAAAAUUUGGUCUCUUAUGGGGGCGAAUUUUGAUUAUGGGAAAAAUGGGGAGUUUUUGGCACUUGCUCAAUUGUACUCUUGGAAUAACUCUAUAUGUGCCCAAACAAGUGUGUUUGACUUAGAGAUAGUAAAAAGAAUUUGAUUUGUAAAAACAAACCAAGUGGUGGCAAAGAGUGAUCCAAAUAUGCCAAACAAUAAGCAAAAACAAUUUGGUCUUCAAUUUGAUUUGAUAUUGCACUUCUUUUUGAAAGUCGACUAGAGGGGGGGGGGUGAAUAGGGCGAAUCUGAAAUUUAUAAACUUAAGCACAACUACAAGCCGAGUUAGCGUUAGAAAUAUAAACGAGUCCGAGAGAGAGGGCGCAAAACAAAUCGUGAGCAAAUAAAGAGCGAGACACGAUGAUUUAUUUUACCGAGGUUCGGUUCUUGCAAACCUACUCCCCGUUGAGGUGGUCACAAAGACCGGGUCUAUUUCAACCCUUUCCCUCUCUCAAACGGUCACUUAGACCGAGUGAGCUUCUCUUCUCAAUCAAACAGAACACAAAGUUCCCGCAAGGACCACCACACUAUUGGUGUCUCUUGCCUCGGUUACAAUUGAGUUGAUCACAAGAAGAAUGAGAAAGAAAAGAAGCAAUCCAAGCGCAAGAGCUCAAAUGAACACAAAUAUCACUCUCUCACUAGUCACUAUUGAUUGGAGUUGUCUUUGGACUUGGGAGAGGAUUUGAUCUCUUUGGAGUGUCUAGAAUUGAAUGCUAUAGCUCUUGUAAUGUGUUGAAGGUGGAAAACUUGGAUGCCAUUGAAUGUGGGGUGGGUGGGGUAUUUAUAGCCCCAACCACCAAAAAUGGUCGUUGGAAGACUGCUGUCGCAUGGCGCACCGGACAGUCCGGUGCGCCACCGGACACUGUCCGGUGCGCCAGCCACGUCAGCCAGCCGUUGGGGUUCGAUCGUUGGAGCUCUGACAGGUGGGGCCUCUGGGCUGUCCGGUGGUGCACCGAACAGGUCCUGUAGACUGUCCGGUGCGCCAACUGCGCGUCCUCUGUCCUCUGCGCGCGCAGGCGCGCAUUUAAUGCGUUGCAGUCGACCGUUGCGUGCGAAGUAGCCGUUGCUCCGCUGGCACACCGGACAGUCCGGUGUUGCACCGGACACUGUCCGGUGCUUCACCGGACAGUCCGGUGAAUUAUAGCGGAGCGCCCUCUGAAUUUCCCGAAGGUAGCGAGUUCAGCGAUGAGUGCCCUGGUGCACCGGACACUGUCCGGUGGCACACCGGACAGUCCGGUGCGCCAGACCAGGGUGCCAUUUGGGAUGUCUUUUGCUCUCUUUGUUUGAACCCUUUCUUGGUCUUUUUAUUGGCUUAUUGUGAACCUUUGGCACCUGUAAGACUUAUAGACUAGAGCAAACUAGUUAGUCCAAUUAUUUGUGUUGGGCAAUUCAACCACCAAAAUCAAUUAGGAAAAAGGUGUAAGCCUAAUUCCCUUUCAAUCUCCCCCUUUUUGGUGAUUGAUGCCAACACAAACCAAAGCAAAUAUAGAAGUGCAUAAUUGAACUAGUUUGCAUAAUUGUAAGUGCAAAGGUUGCUUGGAAUGAAACCAAUAUGUUCUUAUAAGAUACACAUGGAUUGUUUCUUUAUAUUCUUAAUAUUUUGGACCACGCUUGCACCACAUGUUUUGUUUUUGCAAAUCCUUUUGUAAAUUCUUUUCAAAGUCCUUUUGCAAAUAGUCAAAGGUAAAUGAAUGAGAUUUAGAGAAGCAUUUUCAAGAUUUGAAAUUUUCUCCCCCUGUUUCAAAUGCUUUUCCUUUGACUAAACAAAACUCCCCCUCAAUAAAAUCCUCCUCUUAGUGUUCAAGAGGGUUUUAGACAUUAGUUUUUGAAGAGGGUGUACCAAUUUUAAAUUCUAUCAAAAAUAAUAUACUAGUUGAAAAAUUCAUCAUUUCACAAUCUUUUCUUAACUCAAAUUUUGAAAAUUGGUGGUGGUGCGGUCCUUUUGCUUUGGGCUAAUACUUUCUCCCCCUUUGGCAUGAAUCGCCAAAAACGGAUACUUGAGUGAAAUAUAAGCCCUUUUAAACUACUUUCUCCCCCUUUGGUAAAUAACAUAUGAGUGAAGAUUAUACCAAAGACGAAGAGUUGCUCGGAGCGACGAUGAAGGAUGAGCAAUUUCGAUGGAGUGGAGUGGAAGCCUUUGUCUUCGCCGAAGACUCCAAAUCCCUUUCAAUCUAUGACUUGGUUUGAAAUUCACUUGAAUACACAUUAGUCAUAGCAUAUAAAAGAGACAUGAUCAAAGGUAUAUUAAUGUGCUAUGUAUGCAAGACAUCAAAAGAAAUUCCUAGAAUCAAGAACAUUUAGCUCAUGCCUAAGUUUGUUAAAAGUUUGUUCAUCUAGCGACUUGGUAAAGAUAUCGGCUAAUUGUUCCUUGGUGUUAAUAUAUGCAAUCUCGAUAUCCCCCUUUUGUUGGUGAUCCCUUAGAAAAUGAUACCGAAUGGCUAUGUGUUUAGUGCGGCUGUGCUCAACGGGAUUAUCUGCCAUGCGGAUUGCACUCUCAUUAUCACAUAGAAGAGGAACUUUGGUUAAUUUGUAACCAUAGUCCCUAAGGGUUUGCCUCAUCCAAAGCAAUUGCGCGCAAUAAUGGCCUGCGGCAAUAUACUCGGCUUCGGCGGUAGAAAGAGCUACGAAAUUUUGUUUCUUUGAAGCCCAAGACACCAGAGACCUUCCCAAGAACUGGCAACUCCCCGAUGUGCUCUUUCUAUUAAUUUUACACCCCGCCCAAUCGGCAUCCGAAUAACCAAUUAAAUCAAAUGUGGAUCCCCGAGGGUACCAAAGCCCAAACUUAUGAGUAUAAACAAAAUAUCUCAAGAUUCGUUUUACGGCCGUAAGGUGAGCUUCCUUAGGGUCGGCUUGGAAUCUUGCACACAUGCAUACGGAAAGCAUAAUGUCCGGUCGAGAUGCACAUAAAUAAAGCAAAGAGCCUAUCAUCGACCGGUAUACCUUUUGAUCGACGGAUUUACCUCCCAUGUCGAGGUCGAGAUGCCCAUUGGUUCCCAUGGGUGUCUUGAUGGGUUUGGCAUCCUUCAUCCCAAACUUGGUUAGAAUGUCCUGAGUAUACUUGGUUUGGCUAAUGAAGGUGCCCUCUUGGAGUUGCUUCACUUGAAAUCCCAAAAAGUACUUCAACUCCCCCAUCAUCGACAUCUCGAAUUUAUGUGUCAUGAUCCUACUAAAUUCCUCACAUGUAGAUUCGUUAGUAGACCCAAAUAUAAUAUCAUCAACAUAAAUUUGGCAUACAAACAAAUCAUUGUCAAGAGUUUUAGUAAAUAAAGUAGAAUCCGCCUUUCCCACUUUGAAGCCAUUAGUGAUAAGAAAAUCUCUUAGGCAUUCAUACCAUGCUCUUGGGGCUUGCUUGAGCCCAUAAAGCGCCUUAGAGAGUUUGUAAACAUGGUUAGGAUACUCACUAUCUUCAAAGCCAGGAGGUUGCUCAACAUAGACCUCCUCCUUGAUUGGUCCAUUGAGGAAGGCACUUUUCACGUCCAUUUGGUAAAGCUUAAAGCCAUGGUAAGUAGCAUAGGCAAGUAAAAUGCGAAUUGACUCUAGCCUAGCUAUGGGUGCAUAGGUUUCACCGAUAUCCAAACCUUCGACUUGUGAAUACCCCUUGGCCACAAGUCGGGCUUUGUUCCUUGUCACCACACCAUGCUCAUCUUGCUUGUUGCGGAACACCCACUUGGUUCCUACAACAUUUUGAUUAGGACGUGGAACUAAAUGCCAUACCUCGUUCCUAGUGAAAUUAUUGAGCUCCUCUUGCAUCGCCACCACCCAAUCCGAAUCUUGUAGUGCUUCCUCUACCCUGUGUGGCUCAAUAGAGGAAAAAAAGAGUAGUGUUCACAAAAAUGAGCAACCCGAGAUCGAGUAGUUACCCCUUUUGAAUAUCGCCGAGAAUGGUGUUCACGGGGUGAUCUCGUUGAAUUGCUUGGUGGACUCUUGGGUGUGGUGGUCUUGGAACGUGUUCAUCUUCCUCAUCCCGAUCAUGGGCAUCUCCCCCUUGAUCAUUGCUCUCCUCUUGAGGUGGCUCAACUUCUUGAUCUUCUCCUUCAUCAUUUUGAGCCUUAUCCUCAUCUUGAGUUGGUGGAGAUGCUUGUGUGGAGGAAGACGGUUGAUCUUGUGCAUGAGGUGGCUCUUCGGAUUCCUUAGGACACACAUCCCCAAUGGACGUGUUCCUUAGUGCGAUGCACGGAGCCUCUUCAUCACCUAUCUCAUCAAGAUCAACUUGCUCUACUUGAGAGCCGUUAGUAUCAUCAAACACAAUGUCACAAGGAACUUCAACUAGUCCGGAGGACUUGUUAAAGACUCUAUAUGCCCUUGUGUUUGAGUCAUAUCCUAGUAAAAAGCCUUCUACAGCCUUAGGAGCAAAUUUAGAUUUUCUACCUCUUUUAACAAGAAUAAAGCAUUUGCUACCAAAGACUCUAAAAUAUGAAACAUUUGGCUUUUUACCGGUUAGGAGUUCGUAUGAUGUCUUCUUGAGGAUUCGGUGUAGAUAUAACCGGUUGAUGGCGUAGCAGGCGGUGUUGACCGCCUCGGCCCAAAACCGAUCCGAAGUCUUGUACUCAUCAAGCAUGGUUCUUGCCAUGUCCAAUAGAGUUCGAUUCUUCCUCUCCACUACACCAUUUUGUUGUGGGGUGUAGGGAGAAGAGAACUCAUGCUUGAUGCCCUCCUCCUCAAGGAAACCUUCAAUCUGAGAGUUCUUGAACUCCGUCCCGUUGUCGCUUCUUAUUUUCUUGAUCCUUAAGCCGAACUCGUUUUGAGCCCGUCUCAAGAAUCCCUUUAGGGUCUCUUGGGUAUGAGAUUUUUCCUGCAAAAAGAACACCCAAGUGAAGCGAGAAUAAUCAUCCACAAUAACUAGACAGUACUUACUCCCGUCGAUGCUUAUGUAAGUUAUCGGGCCGAAUAGAUCCAUUUGUAGGAGCUCAAGUGGUCUAUCAGUCAUCAUGAUGUUCUUGUGUGGAUGAUGAACACCAACUUGCUUCCCUGCCUGACAUGCGCUACAAAUCCUGUCUUUCUCAAAAUGAACAUUUGUUAGUCCCAAAAUGUGUUCUCCCUUUAGAAGCUUGUGAAGAUUCUUCAUUCCAACAUGUGCUAGUCGGCGAUGCCAGAGCCAGCCCAUGUUAGUCUUAGCAAUUAAGCAAGUGUCGAGUUCAGCUCUAUCAAAAUCUACUAAGUAUAGCUGACCCUCUAACACUCCCUUAAAUGCUAUUGAAUCAUCACUUCUUCUAAAGACAGUAACACCUAUAUCUAUGAAAAGACAGUUGUAACCCAUUUUGCAUAAUUGAGAAACUGAAAGCAAGUUAUAAUCUAAGGAAUCUACAAGAAAAACAUUGGAAAUGGAAUGGUUAGGUGAUAUAGCUAUUUUACCCAAUCCUUUGACCAAACCUUGAUUUCCAUCCCCAAAUGUGAUUGCUCGUUGGGGAUCUUGGUUUUUCUCGUAGGACGAGAACAUCUUCUUCUCCCUUGUCAUGUGGUUUGUGCACCCGCUGUCGAUGAUCCAACUUGAGCCCCCGGAUGCAUAAACCUACAAAACAAGUUUAGUUCUUGAUUUUAGGUACCCAAACGGUUUUGGGUCCUUUGACAUUAGAUACAAGAACUUUGGGUACCCAAACACAAGUCUUUGACCCCUUGUGCUUGCCCCCAACAUACUUGGCAACUACCUUGCCGGAUUUGUUAGUUAAAACAUAGGAUGCAUCAAAAGUCUUAAAUGCAAUGUUGGAAUCAUUUGAUGCAAUAGGAGUUUUCUUCUUAGGCAAUUUAGCACGGGUUGAUUGCCUAGAGCUAGAUGUCUCACCCUUAUACAUAAAAGCAUGAUUAGGGCCAGAGUGAGACUUCCUAGAAUGAAUUCUCCUAAUUUUGCUCUCGGGAUAACCGGUAGGGUAUAAAAUGUAACCCUCGUUAUCCUGAGGCAUGGGAGCAUUGCCCUUUACAAAGUUAGUCAAUCUUUUAGGAGGGGCAUUAAGUUUGACAUUGUCCCCCUUUUGGAAGCCAAUGCCAUCCUUGAUGCCAGGGCGUCUCCCACUAUAGAGCAUGCUUCUAGCAGAUUUAAAUUUUUCAUUUUUCUAAGUCAUGCUCGGCAAUUUUUGCAUCUAAUUUUGCUAUAUGAUCAUUUUGUUGUUUAAUUAAAGCCAUAUGAUCAUGAAUAGCAUCAAUGUUAACAUCUCUACAUCUAGUGCAAAUAGUGACAUGCUCAAUGGUAGAUGUAGAGGGUUUGCAAGCAUUAAGUUUAACAAUCUUAGCACGUAAAAUAUCAUUGUUAUCUCUAAGAUCGGAAAUUGUAACAUUGCAAACAUCUAAUUCUUUAGCCUUAGCAAUUAAUUUUUUAUUAUCAUUUCUAAGGCUAGCAAGAGAGACAUUUAAAUCUUCAAUCUUAGCAAGUAAGUUAACAUUAUCAACUCUAAGAUUGGGAUUUGGAACAUCACAAAUAUUAGAAUCAACCUUAGCAAUUAGUUUAGCAAUUUCAUUUCUAAGGUUGGCAAUAGUAUCAUGGCAAGUGCUUAGCUCACUAGAUAGUUUUUCACAUUUUUCUACUUCUAGAGCGUAAGCAUUUUUAACCUUAACAUGCUUCUUAUUUUCCUUAAUUAGGAAGUCCUCUUGAGAGUCCAAGAGAUCAUCCUUCUCAUGACUAGCACUAAUUAAUUCAUUUAGUUUUUCUUUUUGUUGCAUGUUUAGGUUGGCAAAAAGGGUACGUAAAUUAUCCUCCUCAUCACUAGCAUUAUCUUCAUCACUAGAGGAUGCAUAUUUAGUGGAGGAUUUUGAUUUCACCUUCUUCUUUUUGCCGUCCUUUGCCAUGAGGCACUUGUGGCCGACGUUGGGGAAGAGGAGUCCCUUGGUGACGGCGAUGUUGGCGGCGUCCUCGUCGGAGGAGGAGUCGGAGGAGCUCUCGUCGGAGUCCCACUCGCGACACACAUGGGCAUCGCCGCCCUUCUUCAUGUAGUAUCUCUUCUUUUCUCUCCUCUUUCCGUUCUUGUCAUUGCCCCUGUCACUAUCACUAGAUAAUGGACAUUUAGCAAUGAAAUGACCGGGCUUACCACAUUUGUAGCACACCUUCUUGGAACGGGGCUUGUAAUCUUUCCCCUUCCUUUGUUUGAGGAUUUGGCGAAAGCUCUUGAUGAUGAGCGCCAUUUCCUCAUUGUCGAGCUUAGAGGCGUCGAUGGGUUGUCUACUUGAUGUAGACUCCUCCUUCUUCUCCUCCGUCGCCUUGAAUGCAACCGGUUGUGCUUCGGGCGUGGAGGGGCCAUCUAGCUCGAUGAUUUUCUUUGAGCCUUUGAUCAUCAACUCAAAGCUCACAAAAUUACCUAUCACUUCCUCGGGAGACAUUAGUGUGUAUCUAGGAUUACCACGAAUUAAUUGAACUUGCGUGGGAUUAAGAAAAAGGAGGGAUCUUAGAAUAACCUUGACCAUUUCAUGGUCAUCCCAUUUUGUGCUCCCGAGGUUGCGCACUUGGUUCACCAAGGUCUUCAAGCGGUUGUACAUGGCUUGAGGAUCCUCGCCUUGGUAGAGUCGGAACCGACCGAGCUCCCCCUCGAUCGUCUCCCGCUUGGUGAUUUUGGUCACCUCAUCUCCUUCGUGCGCGGUCUUGAGUACGUCCCAAAUCUCCUUAGCGCUCUUUAGUCCUUGCACUUUGUUAUACUCCUCUCGACUUAGAGAGGCGAGGAGUAUAGUGGUGGCUUGAGAGUUGAAGUGCCGGAUUUGGGCGACCUCGUCCGAAUCAUAGUCUUCAUCCCCCGGUGAUGGUACUUGUACUCCAAUCUCAACAACAUCCCAAAUGCUAGUGUGGAGUGAGGUUAGAUGAUGCCUCAUUUUAUCACUCCACAUAUUAUAAUCUUCACCAUCAAACAUAGGUGGUUUGCCUAAUGGGACAGAAAGUAAAGGAGUACGUUUGGAAAUGCGAGGGUAGCGUAGGGGAAUCUUACUAAACUUCUUGCGCUCAUGGCGCUUAGAAGUUACGGACGGCGUGUCGGAGCCGGAGGUGGAUGGCGACGAAGAGUCGGUCUCGUAGUAGACCACCUUCCUCAUCUUCUUCUUCUUGUCACCGCUCUGACCCGACUUGUUGUGUGAAGGGGAUCCCUUCAUCUUGUUGGCGGACUCCCCGGAUGGAGCCUUCCCAUGGCUUGUGGCGGGCUUCUCGCUAGUCCCGAUCUCCCUCUUGGCGGAUGCUCCCGACAUCACUUCGAGCGGUUAGGCUCUAAUGAAGCACCGGGAUUUGAUACCAAUUGAAAGUCGCCUAGAGGGGGGGGGGGGUGAAUAGGGCGAAUCUGAAAUUUAUAAACUUAAGCACAACUACAAGCCGAGUUAGCGUUAGAAAUAUAAAUGAGUCCGAGAGAGAGGGCGCAAAACAAAUCGUGAGCAAAUAAAGAGCGAGACACGAUGAUUUGUUUUACCGAGGUUCGGUUCUUGCAAACCUACUCCCCAUUAAGGUGGUCACAAAGACCGGGUCUCUUUCAACCCUUUCCCUCUCUCAAACGGUCACUUAGACCGAGUGAGCUUCUCUUCUCAAUCAAACGAAACACAAAGUUCCCGCAAGGACCAUCACACUAUUGGUGUCUCUUGCCUCGGUUACAAUUGAGUUGAUCACAAGAAGAAUGAAAAAGAAAAGAAGCAAUCCAAGCGCAAGAGCUCAAAUGAACACAAAUAUCACUCUCUCACUAGUCACUAUUGAUUGGAGUUGUCUUUGGACUUGAGAGAGGAUUUGAUCUCUUUGGAGUGUCUAGAAUUGAAUGCUAUAGCUCUUGUAAUGUGUUGAAGGUGGAAAACUUGGAUGCCAUUGAAUGUGGGGUGGGUGGGGUAUUUAUAGCCCCAACCACCAAAAAUGGCCGUUGGAAGACUGCUGUCACAUGGCGCACCGGACAGUCCGGUGCGCCAGCCACGUCAGCCAGCCGUUGGGGUUCGACCGUUGGAGCUCUGACAGGUGGGGCCUCUGGGCUGUCCGGUGGUGCACCGGACAGGUCCUGUAGACUGUCCGGUGCGCCAACUGCGUGUCCUCUGUCCUCUGCACGCGCAGACGCGCAUUUAAUGCGUUGCAGUCAACCGUUGCGCGCGAAGUAGCCGUUGCUCCGCUGGCACACCGGACAGUCCGGUGAAUUAUAGCGGAGCGCCCUCUGAAUUUCCCGAAGGUAGCGAGUUCAGCGACGAGUGCCCUGGUGCACCGGACAGUCCGGUGGCAAACCAGACAGUCCGGUGCGCCAGACCAGGGUGCCAUUUGGGAUGUCUUUUGCUCUCUUUGUUUGAACCCUUUCUUGGUCUUUUUAUUGGCUUAUUGUGAACCUUUGGCACCUGUAAGACUUAUAGACUAGAGCAAACUAGUUAGUCCAAUUAUUUGUGUUGGGCAAUUCAACCACCAAAAUUAAUUAGGAAAAAGGUGUAAGCCUAAUUCCCUUUCACUUUUGUUUUUUUUGAUGUGUUGGCAUAAAUCACCAAAAAGGGGGAGAUUGAAAGGGAAAUGUGCCCUUUGGCAAUUUCUAUAAGUAUUUUGGUGAUUAGAUGCCCAACACAUUAUUUGAGUACUUAUGUGCUAAAUGUGUGAAAAGUGCAAAUCAAAGUAAAAGGUACGUUUCAAGACUUAGUACAUUGUUUUUGUGAACUAACAUUGAUCGUCUAAGUGCUAGAAACAGUGCCGAAAAGAGAGGAAUCAGAUUGCAAAAGACUUGGCUGUGAGCAGCCAAACUUCAGCUCGGACUGGCACACCGGACAGUGUCCGGUGGUGCACCGGAUAGUGUCCGGUGUGCCAGGCUGGUCCGCGUGAACUCGCCGCUCUCGGGAUUCGACGACGGCAUACGGCUAAAAAUCACUGGACCGUCCGGUGGUGCACCGGACUGUCCGGUGAGUCAUCCACGACGAACUCGUCGCUCUCGGGAAACGAAAAAGGUGACGUGGCUACAAUUCACUGGACUGUUCGGUGGUGCACCGGACUGUCCGGUGAGCUAACGGUCGCCAGCGCCAACGGUCGGUCGCGCAAUCUUCGCGCUACACGUGGUCGCGCCAACGGUCGGCAGGGGCACCAGACUGUCCGGUGUGCAUCGGACAGUGUCCGGUGCGCCAACGGGCCCGAAGCUGCAACGGUCGACUGUGCCCGAUUUGGAAUGAAAUCAUGCACCGGACAUGCUACAGUGGUUGUCCGGUGGCGCACCGGACUGUCCGGUGCGCCACUCGACAGAAGGCUAGGAUGGCCUUCCAUGUUUGCCUCCAACGACUCCUAGCUGCCUUGGGGCUAUAAAAGGGACCCCUAGGCACAUGGAGGAGUAACCUAAGCAUUCACUAAGCAUUCUAAGACUCCCACACUCUGCCUCCGCGCAUUUGAUCGAUUGUGUUAGUGAUUUGAGCUCCGUUCGAGUUGUGAACUCUCUGUGCUACGUUUCGAGCUCAAGUCUUGGCUUGUGUGCGUGUGUGUUGAGGAUUUGUGUGUUGCUCUCCUAGCCUUACUCUUGUGCCUUCUUUGUGAUCUUUAUUGUAAGGGCGAGAGGCUCCAACUUGUGGAGAUUCCUCACAAACGGGAGAAAGACUAUAAGGAAGAAAGUCGUGGUAUUCAAGUUGAUCAUUGGAUCACUUGAAAGGGGUUGAGUGCAACCCUCGUCCAUUUGGACGCCACAACGUGGAAGUAGGCAAGUGUCACUUGGCCGAAUCACGGGAUAAAAAUCGCGUGUCUCUUGUGUUGCUUUCUCUGUGAUUGUUUUGUCCACAAGAACUCGCCUCAAAACUACUUAGUCACACUAACACGUCUAUAACUAAGUUUUGUGGCUAUUUAGUGUUUGAUUUUACAGGAUCACCUAUUCACCCCCCUCUAGGUGCUCUCACUUACCUUUUCUCAAACCCAGUCUAAAUCUCGAGGGCGAAAUUCCUUUAAGUGGGGUAGGUUUGUAACAUCCCAAAAUUUAAUCUCAAGGUUAGAAACCCUAAUCUCCUAACCCCCUUGAUUAUCCCCUAGACCCACCUCAUGAGACAUUUCAUCAUAUGCAUACACCAUGAAUGUUAGUAGCACCUCACAUAGAAUAUUUUUGACACCUUAGAAUAUAUAGCUAAAUAUUUGUUCAAAAGAAAAAGGAGAUAAAAGGAAUAGAAAUAGAAAUAGAAAAAGAAAAAGGAAAAUCUUCUCCCCCUCGGCUAGGCCGAAUCCGGCCCAACCCCCUCUCUCCCGCGCGCCCGUCUCCCCCCUCGCUCGGCCCACUCGGCCCAUCUCCGCUCGCGCGCUCGCGCUUCCCCUUCUGCCGCUGUCAGCCCGGCCCCACCCGUCAGCCACGCUCGCCCUCACUCCCUCGCAACCGCCCUCUCUCUAGCAAGCGGGCCUCGCUUGUCAUCCCCUUCCUCGCGCCCGUGACCAAGCUAUCGGCGCGAUCGCCGCCGGUCACCACCCGCCCCGUCGCCUCGCCAUUAACACGCUCGCCAGCAAGGUUGGCGCCUUGCGUCCCUGUCUCCUUGCGCCAGCCUGAGCCAUCCCGUCACCCGCCUGCCCGAGCCAUCCCGUCGCCACCACUGUGCGCCAUCAUCACCACCGCGGCAAGCUCGCCGGUGCUUGCCACCUCUCCUCCCUUCCCUGUCCCGGGCGCCUAUAAAAAGGACCGCCCGAGCUCCAUCCUUCUUCACACCGGCCUCGGCCACUCCCACACCCCUUCCCUGUUGAGCCGCACCGCCGUGCCUUUCCUCCGCUCCGGUGAGCUCCCCUUCCUUCCUCUGGUAGCCUAGCGUUCAAUUGGUUGGGCUCGCAACGUUCACCACUCCCUCACGAACAUGACACACCCCUCCCCUCCACCUAUUGCGCCCAGCAGCCUCACCGGCGAUCUCACUGCCGCGGACGCCCGCCACCUCGCUGUGGACCGGCCGUCCCGGGCACCCUUCGGCCAAAUUAACCCCUCCACCAUGAUCCCCUACCCCCACCCGUGCUUAGCCACCUCCCCAACCACCCAAAACCUGAACCACGGCGGAGAACCGCCGCGGAACCUCGUCGGCGGUCGUUUUUUCCGACCUCGGCCGGUUCGGCCCCUCCCCCGUCCGACCACCCAACGCCAUCAGCCUCCCCCUCCCUCUGGCACGUGGGCCCACGCCCACAGCACCGUCCCCGCGUCAUUCCCCGCUGGUGGGCUGGCUGGGCCGCCUGCCUGCGCGCACGCGUGUUCGCGCUUGGCUGGGUCGAAAAUCCCCCCGGCCCAUCUAGCAGGAAAUCCCUUUUCUUUUUCCUUUUUCCAUUGCUUUUUCCUAUUUUCAUAUAUUUAUGCAUAUAUUGAUAUUUUAUGCACCAAAAAUCGUCUAAAUAAAUUAUAGGGCACAAAAUAAUAAUAUCUAAAAGUGGCAUUGCUAGGAGAAGAGGGAUCCGAUCAUCCGGAAUUUGUAGUUCCGAAAGAAGGGCAGGAACCCGACCUCUCCGAAAUAGAUCUUUCGUGUUAGGAGAACUUCGACGAAGGUAAGUCCAUUCUUCCCUUGAUGCAUAAAUUACCUACUCUUUCUACCACUACCUAAGCCGGGAAUAAGGGAUGGGUCUUUUGCAUUGUGAGAAGAGAGAUAGCCCGCAUUAAAGAAUAUCUUUUGAAUACAAAAUGUGGGAUGAGAAAAGGGCGGUGUUUUUACCAAACGAUGUUUUCAAAAAAGUGUAUGAUGAAGGGUAUUCACCCUUAUCACCUUUUGAGUGGGAUAAUCAGGGACUCCCUAGUUUAGGGGAGGGCCUCAGGUGUUGGCUCAGCCGGGUUAGGUGUGAGCAGAAGGAUUGUCCCCUCACAUAAGGACCAAUUUGUCAUCCUUCACUACCUGUACUCAUGACAAGUACAACCACUCGAGACUGUAUGGGCAGUCACUCAAUCUGAACUCGUAUGGUCCAAACCCCAGGGUUAUGAUGGAUGGGGAGCACCGGGAGGAUAAGGAGGGGGAAUGUUUUGUCCGGUUUGGACAUGGCGGUGGCCUGACUCCUUACGGUAUAACCGUUAAGGUAAGGACAUGCGAGGAAAGAAAGAGAUUCGGUUUCGGAUCUCAUUGGCCAUGAGAUCGCAGAGCCGGACUAGUGGGUAAAGUGUACCUCUCUGCGCAGAGUUAAAACCUAUUCGAAUAGUCCGUGUCCACUAGUAUGGACGAGUCUGGUGUGGUAUGACAAUUAGUGUUUAUAACCUCCGCAAACAGGGAAAUGUGUGAGUGGGUGUGUUUUGGAAAUAAAAACAAUGCCACGGGAGCAGGAAGCUCAGUGGUGGUUGAGUGUGAAAAUGUGCUACUUCUUUAUUUGGGGAAAACCAUCAAAGUAUUUCCUUUCUUUGGAAAAGAAGAGUGACUUCAACUCCACCAUAUGAAGCAUGUAUUAUAUAGGUCCCUCUCUCUUUACGGGCGGGAUGGGCUUGCAGAAUACCUAGUGUAUUCACCCAGAUUUAUUUAUGUUUUUUAGCAGCUGAAGACUUCUUUUCUGCAUUGGUCGACUAGAAGGGGGUUGUGUCUGCACCCAGUUCUGCCUGUGGCUUGGGCUAGUUUAUUUUCCACUGCGCUUUGUAUUUUAGGCUCCUUAGAGCUUGUACCCUGGUAUUGUAAUAACUUUUAUUCGAACUCUGUACUAUUCGAAGUAAGGAAUGUGAUUACUAGCCUCCUGGGACUAGUAUUUGUAUCACAUUUGAGUCCUAGAGGAUUGGGGCGCUUCAGGAACCAACAUGCUACAUGCGGCGCGAGGUACAUGGAAGCCACCUUUACCCAAGCUUCGAGUUUGACUUCGUACAUGUCGAAAUAACUCUCACAACAAUAGAUCCAUAAUCGUGGAUUAUCCCUGUCGAACACAAGAAAUGGCAAUUUCGGUAACGUGCCCAGAGAGCUCAUCGGCAUGUCAGAAUUACAUGUGUGACUACCCACAUGAUCAAAAACAGGACCAUGGUAACGAGGAGAGGGCGGUAGAAGGGGCACAUGAUGCAUACCCUUGACCGGGCCAGGGGUGAAGGUCACCAACCCAUACCCCUGCUCCUGGUGGCGUGAUUCUUCGUGGUGCCCAGUGGGGCCGUCAUGAGUCGGAGCCUGUUGACGAGGAUCGAGCAACGGGUCCGUCUUGCCGAGGAUGCUAGAGUCUGCACCCGCCAUGUAACGCGCUGCGUGUUCCCACUUCUUGUUCAUCUUGUGGAGCUCCAACUUGACAUCUGCCAUGGCAGCGUCGGCCCUGGGACGCCAGCUGUCGAACUCGGCGCACGAGUUCUCUAGGGUUGUCAGGCGACUUCCUUGGCGCAGUUGAAGUCUCCAAACCGCUACUCCCACUUGAGGUCCAUUGCCACCAGCUUCUUCUUGAUCUCCUCGAGGAGAAGCUUGGACGAAGGAUCCAUGGAACCCUUGCAUCGUUGGAGCCUCGUGAAGUGGUCGUGGUUGGCGGCGGGUUCCAGAUCGGCGAUCGCGGAGGAUCGAUCCUCUGAUACCAAAUGUUACCAACGGCGGCUUGCGUGAAGGGGAAGGAAAGGUAGGGAAAUAGAGAAGGAGUAGGUAGGAUGGAGAGCCGAUGGCUCAUGGUUUCUUUCAGGGAAUGCUUGUUCAAAGAUAGUUACACCAUACCUGCAGCGCUACUUAAGUUCUCAGCUUCACCACACACAUCACACCUUACAUCCUCCAUUCUGGGCCUGAGACACGGACAUUGGGCUUCCUGAUGCGACUUGACACCCUAGGGUCUUUGUGGCUGCUUGCUAGGCCUGCUGUCGGUCCAUGAACACCACCAACUUCUGAUGUCGCGAUGUCUCCCUCCUCACAUCCCUAGGCAGUGUCUAUAACCCCAUAGUCAUGCUCUGCUCUUGUCCAUGGCGAUGCCAGUCUUCAUCUACCUUGUUGGGUGCUGCUCAUCCUUGCGCACGCGCCCACGUUGUCAGUUUUCCCUCAAGCCCGCGUCUCUAGCCCCUACUCGUCGUGUAGGCCGGUUGCGUCAUUGCCAGACUCGCCUCCCUCGCCAUGGCCUCGAUCCGGCCUCUCUUGUGGCUACUCCACCAUGUCUAGGCUACACCCCUCUUUGUGGUGCCACGCUGCCGGGGGGUACGCCCUCCUCGGUCACCGUUGAGUGAUCAUUGUCCUUGGCGCCCCUCAUCCCCCAUGGCCGCCAUGAUGUGAGCCCCUUUUGCCACGCCCUAUGCCCAUGGUCGCAACCUCUCAUUGGUGUCCUCCCCUACGUGCUCAAACCUCACCAUCGUCUUGGACUUUGCCAUUGACCCCCCAUCGAUCUGGGCCUUCACGCCCAUCGGUUAUGCUACUGCUGGGCGUCACUACAAGUUGUGCCCGCAAUCCCGUCAGCCCUUGCUCGCUGUCCGCGCCUUGUGUUCAUGUCGGUGAGGUUCCGUUCUCACUCUGUCGUUUCAUCAUCCGACGUGUUUUCCCUUGUGGUUAAUUAUGUGUAUGUGUGUGAAAUUAUGGAGGAGAAAUACCAGGAUGCUUGGAUGGAGAAGAAAAUGAAGCUCCGAUGUGUCGCCCACCAGGUGCUCGGCGUAUUGAUUAAAUCGGAAAUCGUUGUUGUGCUCGCAGUCUUGGUAAGCCAAGCCGCUUCUACUACCGUCUAGUUGAUAAACAGAUUGGACAAAUAUUAAUUACGAUGAUUUUCUUAUUUUUCGCGCAGAGCGUUGCGAUGGUGACCUCCAGAUUCUGGUUGUUGCCUGUGUUUGGUUCCACAAUGUUUAUGGAAUUUCCUCUUUUCUUUUUCAUGAUAUUGUGGUUGUGCGUAAAGUGUUUAUAACGGCGCCUUAUCUCGUGUAGUGUUAUGUUGUGCGCAUAAACGGAAAUUAGUCGUAUUUAUGUGGUGAAGUUUGGUUUUGAGCUUGCGGAUAUUCUGAGAGGUGUUUUGAUGACUAUAUCGAUAAUGGGUGGUGUGUAACAUAGUUAGUAUUGUGUUGGGUGCUUGUUGAAAUGCCUCGUUUCAUGCGGUAAACAUGUAUUGUUGAAAAAUUAAUAGGACCUAAGAUUAAUUUGAUAAUGCAGCAGAAAUCGAAAAACCCAGAUCUAUUGGCAGAUAAUAUUCACGACAUUAGAACAGAACAGAUCUGAACUAACUCAACAAGAUUAACGCAUAAAAGAAGAAUUGACAACAGAUCUAACCAUAAGACCGUCAUCGCAAUAAACUAAAACCGCAGAUUUACUCACAGUUAUUUCCACGAGUGUUGAAGAAGAACCCGAGCGGACGUGCGUGAAGCACUUCCUAGAAAUCAGAUUCGUCGGCACCCGUGCAGGUCGUCAAAACACCAGCGGUGGUUCGGAGACACCGCUCUCCCUUGAUUUGCUGCAUGGUAGACGAAGGGACGACAUGGCAGAGAAGCGACGACACAGAGAAUUGAGAAGAAGAGGACGAGUCGGUUGCUAUUCGUCUGUCCUCCGACUAAAGGACGACUGCCCUUUAUAGAUGGGUUGUCGCAACCCCUUUAUUCGAUCUGCUAAAUUCUAGGAACCACCCCUAUCUCUAUGUGCAACCGCCCGGAGAUCUCGCACAUAACGUGUGUGUCCAUUAUUCCUGGUUGACGUGGUAGUCUAGGUGUGAUAUUUGAUAACCAAAUAAACAAAAGGCAAAAAUUAAACUAUUGUUUAGAACAUGACGCGAUCGCGCAUCGUCGCAAGUCACAAGUGACGCGUUGAAUAACACAGAAAAACUCGAAAUGCGAGCGAGCGCGCGUAUGUGGCAGUCUCCAUAGCCCUUUAUUUGUCUCUUGUGAAGAGUAGGGAACACUCCCACAUAUAAGGUGGUUCUGUCCUAUCUAGAUGGGCGAUGUGGGACUAAAGUCCCAUGCCAUCCCUACACACCACCUUGGCUUCCUUAUUGAAUUGGGCCACACACAAAUGAGCCUAAUUCCAACAAUCCCCACCAAAGCCAAGGUCUCCAAUUGACUCAAUCUCUACGCUUUCAUAUACCAGCUUUACAGUGCAGACCCGAUACGGGUUGAGCUACACCUUACAGUAUAGGAUUCGCCUCCUCACGACUUUGCAAUGGACAAAGCCUUGGGCAUCAUUGAUACUAGGCCACCUAAAGCCAUGCCUCUGAUUGGAGCAUAACGUUCAUGCUCCCAUGUCUUUUAGUGAAAUUAUUUGAGAUUACUCACAUCUUAUAGACUGCGACCUCACAGUCAAACUCACAUAGGUGUAUUCUUAAAAGUGUACCCUACAGGACAGUACCUUGCCUGUUACAGGCCUCAGAAUACAUUAAGACAAAAGUCAACCUCCCUUGUAGUACUUAGAGUACGCAUCUUCUAGCGGGAAACAAGUAAAAUAAUCUACUAUCUUGUUAUACAAAACAAUUUGUUUUUCCCAAUUACUAAUUCACAGGAUCUCCAAUCACAUAGAUUGGGUUACCACUGUAUGAUAACAUCACGUGGGCUUCAAUCCCAUCUCCCUUGAUGCUACAUCAAUCAUAGCACGUGCUAAUCCCUUUGUAAAAGGGUCCGCCAAGUUUCAAGCAAUAUUAAUAUACUCUACGACGAUCUCUCCAGUAUUUCCCAAAUGUCUUACUGAUUUGAUACGCCGUUUCACAUGUCUUGAGAACUUUGCAUUUUCCUUUGUAUUGCAUACAAUUGUGAUCACACUUUGAUUAUCACAAUGCAACAGAAUGGUUGGUACCGGUUUAUCAACCAUUGGCAAGUCCAUCAAGAGCUCUUUCAACCACUCUACCUCAGUAGUGGCUGACUCAAGUGCUACAAGUUCUGCCUCCAUAGUAGACUUCGUUAAGAUAGUCUGCUUACGAGACCUCCAAGAAACUGUAGCCCCACCAAUUGUGAAUAUAUAUCCAGUUGUGGCCUUGAUCUCAGCGGCAUCUGAGAUCUAGUUGGAAUCACUAUACCGUUCAAGUACAACAGGAUACCCAGUAUAGUGAAGUCCAUACGCAGAAGUACCUCUCAAGUAUCUCAUUACACGUUCUAGUGCACACCAGUGAUCGCUUCCUGUAUUAGAAGUGAAUCUGCUCAAUUUGCUCACAGCAAACGAGAUAUCAGGCCUGGUUGCACCAACAAGGUACAUGAGGGAACCAAUAAUUUGGGAGUAUUUCAACUGAUUAAUUCCUUAUCCUCUAUUCUUGCGAAGUGUUAGACUAGGAUCAAAAGGUGUUGGAGAAUCUUUGGAGUCAGAAUACCCAAAGCGGUUUAGAAUGUUCUCCACAUAAUGAGAUUGUUUCAGAAUAAUCCCAUUCUCACCCUUCAUUAGUUUUAUGUUUAAUAUAACAUCUUCCUCUCCCCAAUCCUUCAUAUCAAAAUUUUGAGAUAAAAAUGAUUUCACGUCAUUUAUCACAUCAAUACUAGUCCCGAAGAUUAGUAUGUCAUCCACAUACAAGCACAAUAUUACUCCCUUACCACCAACAAACUGAUAGUACACACAAGUGUCAGCUUCGUUUACCACAAAGCCCGCUGACGUCAGAGUUCUAUCGAACUUCUCAUGCCAUUGCUUUGGCGCCUGCUUGAGGCUAUAUAAGGAUUUCCUUAGUCUACACACCAUGUUCUCCUGUCCAUGCAUCACAAAUCCCUCUGGCUGCUUCAUAUAGAUCUCCUCGUCAAGCUCACUAAUAAGGAAAGCUGUCUUCACAUCCAUUUCAUGGAUGAGUAGAUCAUGAUUCGCAGCAAGUGCUAUUAGCAUGUUCUAGAUGCAAACAUCCCAUGUUGGUUGGAGGUGAUUUUAAUAUCCUAAGGAAAGAUGAGGACAAGAAUAAACCUAGGGGGACGAAUAAAUGGAGCACCCUGUUCAAUUCUAUCAUUGACUUACAUAGAAUGAUAGAGUUAGACUUGAUGAAUAGAUUAUAUACUUGGUCCAAUAACAGACAUCCCCCACCUAUGAAAAGUUGGAUAGAUUCCUUACUAGCCCAGAAUGGGAUUUACAGUACAAAAAUGUUACUUGAAAGGGAAAUAGGGUCAAACCUUUUUCCUAAAUGAUUUUGGUGGUUGAAUUGCCCAACACAAAUAAUUGGACUAACUAGUUUGCUCUAGAUUAUAUGUUCUACAGGUGCCAAAGGUUCAUCUACAACUAUUCUAAAUCGGUUGUCCGGAAUACCGUAGAUUAUUCCGGAAAGGAGAAGCUUUUUGGAAAAACAGACUAAGCGCGGACCGUCUGGGCCCUUGCGGCGGACUGUCCACGACACCAGGAUGACCCUCGGACAGAACCAAUGCAAAAACCCAUGUCUACACUACGAACCGUCCGGAGGGAAAGCAAGGAUCGUCCGAGACCACGCGCGGACCGUCUGGCCUCAGGCGCGGACCGUCCGGUAGGUGAGGAACCGAAAACCCCGAAGGUGAUGGGUUCGGUAAAAUGAAUUAUAGCGUCCUCGUGGACCGUUCGGGGUGCACGACCGGACCGUCUGCAACUGCCUUUAUCUGACAUCUGACGACGCAUUAAAUGCAAUAUAGCCGUUGAUAUAGCCGUUACUGCUGACCGUUGCGUUUUCAGUCGUUGAUGUGCAGGGCCGGACCGUCCGGACCAGGGGCGCAGACCGUCUGUGGUUGGCAGAAUUGGAGCAACGGCUAGGAAGUGGUUGGUGGCUAUAAAUACAACCCCAACCACCUCCAUUCAAUUGAUCCAAGCAUUCCAAACCUCUACAUUCAAUACAAGAGCUUGCACUCCAUUCAAAGACACAAUCAAAGCCUCCAAUCUCUCCAAGUUCCACAAUUGAGACAAGUGAUCAUUAGUGAUUAGCGACUUGAGAGAGAGAGUGAUCCGUGUGAUAUUGGUCGCUCUUGUUGCUUGGCUUUUGCAGUCGUGCUUUCUUCCUUCCCAUUCUUAUUCUCAAGUGACUUGUAAUCAAAGCAAGAGACACCAAGUUGUGGUGGUCCUUGUGGGGUCUAAGUGACCCAUUUGAUUGAGGAGAAAAGCUCACUGGUCUUUGUGAUCGGUGGAGAGAGGGAAAUGGUUGAAAGAGACCCGGUCUUUGUGACCACCUCAACGGGGAGUAGGUUUGCAAGAACCGAACCUCGGUAAAACAAAUCACUGUGUCAUCCGUUCUAUUUCUUUGGUUGAUUUGUUUUCACCCUCUCUUUUGGACUCGACUUUAUUUCUAACGCUAACCCCGGCUUGUAGUUGUGCUUAAAGUUUAUAAAUUUCAGAUUUGCCUAUUCACCCCCCUCUAGGCGACUUUCAAUUGGUAUCAAAGCCUGGUACUUCAUUAGAACCUAACCGUUCGAAGUGAUGUUGGGAGAUCACGCCAAGAAGAAGAUGGUGACCGGCGAGAAGCCCGCCACAAGCCACGGGAAGGCUCCAUCAAAGGAGUCCGGCAACAAGAAAAGGGAGGAAUCACCUCCCCGCGUCAAGUCACACUGGAGUUGCGACAAGAAGAAGAAAAUGAAAAAAGUGGUCUACUACGAGACCGAUUCUUCAUCACCUUCUACCUCCGGUUCCGACACGCCGUCCGUCACUUCUAAGCGCCAUGAGCGCAAGAAGUUUAGUAAGAUCCCCCUAUGCUAUCCUCGCAUUUCUAAACAUACUCCUUUACUUUCCGUCCCAUUAGGAAAACCACCGGCUUUUAAUGGUGAAGAUUAUUCUAGGUGGAGUGAAAUGAUGAAAUAUCACCUAACCUCACUCCACACAAGCAUAUGGGACAUUGUUGAAUUUGGAGCAAGGUACCAUCCGUGGGGGAUGAAGAUUAUGAUGCGGACGAAGUCGCCCAAAUCCAACACUUCAAUUCCCAAGCAACUACUAUACUCCUCACCUCUCUAACUCGAGAGGAGUAUAAUAAGGUGCAAGGGUUGAAAAGUGCCAAAGAGAUUUGGGACGUACUAAAGACCGCGCAUGAAGGAGACGAGGUGACCAAGAUCACCAAGAUAGAAACAAUCGAGGGGGAGCUCGGUCGGUUCAUGCUCAACCAAGGAGAGGAGCCACAAGCCAUGUACAACCGGCUCAAGACCUUGGUGAAUCAAGUGCACAACCUCGGGAGCACAAAAUGGGAUGACCAUGAAAUGGUCAAGGUUAUUCUUAGAUCACUCGUUUUUCUUAAUCCUACUCAAGUACAAUUAAUUCAUGGUGAUCCUAGAUAUAAACUAAUGUCUCCCAAGGAAGUUAUAGGAAAGUUUGUGAGCUUUGAGUUGAUGAUCAAAGGCUCCAAAUAAAUCAUCGAGCAAGGCGCCACCUCCACACCCGAGGUACAACCCGUUGCCUUCAAAGCAACGGAGGAUAAGAAAGAAGAGUCUAUGUCAAGUAGGCUCCCCAUUGACGCCUCCAAGCUCGACAAUGAGGAGAUGGCGCUCAUCAUCAAAAGUUUCCGCCAAAUCCUCAAGCAAAGGAGGGGGAAGGACUACAAGCCCCGCUCCAAGAAAGUUUGCUAUAAGUGUGGUAAGCUCGAUUAUUUCAUUGCUAAAUGUCCAUUAUCAAGUGAUAGUGACAGGGGCGACGACAAGAAGGGAAGAAGGAAGGAGAAGAAGAGGUACUACAAGAAGAAGGGCGGCGAUGCCUACGUUUGUCGAGAGUGGGACACCGAUGAGAGCUCCACCGACUCCUCCUUCGACGAGGACGCUGCAAACAUCACCGUCAACAAAGGUCUCCUCUUCCCAAACGUCGGCCACAAGUGCCUCAUGGAAAAGGAUGGGAAAAAGAAGGUAAAAUCUAGAGCCUCCACUAAAUAUGCAACAUCUAGUGAUGAGGAGAACUCUAGUGAUGAUGAGGAUAAUUUACUUACUCUUUUUGCCAACCUAAACAUGCAACAAAAGGAAAAAUUAAAUGAAUUAAUAGGUGCUAUUCAUGAGAAGGAUGAACUCUUGGAUAUCCAAGAGGACUUCCUUAUUAAGGAAAAUAAGAAGCAUGUUAAGGUUAAAAAUGCUUAUGCUCAGGAAGUAGAAAAGUGUGAAAAAUUGACUAGUGAGCUAAGCACUUGCCAUGACACUAUUUCCAACCUUAGAAAUGAGAAUGCUAAAUUAAUUGCUAAGGUUGAGAAGCUAAAUGUUUGUCGUGAUUCUCUUGUCAAACUUAAAAAUGAUAAUGCUAGUUUGAUUGCCAAAAUUGACAAGUUGAAUGAAUCACUCUCUAGCCUUAAAAUUGAGAAUGAAAAGUUAAUUGCUAAGGCUAAAGACUUAAAUGUUUGCAAUAUUUCUAUUUCCAAUCUUAGAGAUGAGAAUGCUAUUUUACAUGCUAAGAUUGAUGAAUUAAAUGCUUGCAAACCCUCUACAUCUACUGUUAGUCAUGUCUCUAUUUGUACUCGAUGUAGAGAUGUUAGUGUUGAUGCUAUCCAUGAUCACAUUGCUAUGAUUAAACAACAAAAUGAUCAUAUAGAAAAAUUAGAUGCUAAAAUUGCCGAGCAUGAAUUAGAGAAUGAAAAUUUUAAAUUUGCUCGUAGUAUGCUUUAUAGUGGGAGACGUCCUGGCAUUAAGGAUGGCAUUGGCUUCCAAUAGGGAUGCAAUGUCAAGCUCAAUGCCCCUAAAAGAUUGUCUAAUUUUGUUAAGGGCGAGGCUCCCAUGCCUCAGGAUAACGAGGAUUACAUUUUAUAUCCUGCUGGUUAUCCCGAGCACAAAAUUAGGAGAAUUCAUUCUAGGAAGUCUCACUCUGGCUCUCAUCAUGCUUUUAUGUAUAAGAGUGAGGCAUCUAGUUCUAGGCAAUCCACUCAUGUUAAAUUGCCUAAAAAGAAAUAUCCUAUUGCAUCAAAUGAGCCUAUUGUUUCAUUUAAGACUUUUGAUGCUUCAUAUGUUUUAACUAACAAAUCAGGCAAAGUAGUUGCCAAAUAUGUUGGGGCCAAACACAAGGGCUCAAAGACUUGUGUUUAGGUACCCAAGGUGCUUGUUUCUAAUGUGAAAGGACCCAAGACCGUUUGGGUACCUAAGAAAAAAGGCCUAAAUUUGUUUUGUAGGUUUAUGCAUCCGGGGGCUCAAGUUGGAUAAUUGAUAGCGGGUGCACAAACCACAUGACUGGGGAGAAAAGAAUGUUCUCCUCCUAUGAGAAAAACCAUGAUCCCCAAAGAGCUAUCACAUUCGGGGAUGGAAAUCAAGGUUUGGUCAAAAGACUUGGUAAAAUUGCUAUAUCACCUGACCAUUCCAUUUUCAAUAUUUUUCUUGUAGAUUCUUUAGACUAUAACUUGCUUUCAGUUUCUCAAUUAUGCAAAAUGGGCUACAACUGUCUUUUUACAGAUUUAGGUGUUACUGUCUUUAGAAGAAGUGAUGAUUCAGUAGCAUUUAAGGGAGUAUUAGAGGGUCAGCUAUACUUAGUUCAUUUUAAUAGAGCUGAACUCGAUACUUGCUUAAUUGCUAAGACUAAUAUGGGUUGGCUUUGGCAUCGCCGACUAGCCCAUGUUGGAAUGAAGAAUCUUCACAAGCUUCUAAAGGGAGAGCACAUUUUGGAACUAACAAAUGUUCAUUUUGAGAAAGAUAGGAUUUGCAGUGCAUGUCAAGCUGGGAAGCAAGUUGGUGCCCACCAUCCACACAAGAACAUCAUGACGACUGACAGUCCGCUUGAGCUACUCCACAUGGAUUUAUUCGGUCCGAUAGCUUACAUAAGCAUCGGUGGGAGUAAGUACUGUCUAGUUAUUGUGGAUGAUUAUUUUUGCUUCACUUGGGUGUUCUUUUUGCAGGAAAAAUCACAAGCCCAAGAGACCUUAAAAGGAUUCUUGAGAUGGGCUCAAAAUGAGUUCGGCUUAAGGAUCAAAAAGAUUAGAAGCGACAAUGGAACGGAGUUCAAGAACUCAAAAAUUGAAGGCUUUCUUGAGGAUGAGGGCAUCAAGCAUGAGUUCUCUUCUCCCUACACGCCACAACAAAAUGGUGUAGUGGAGAGGAAGAAUAGAACUCUACUUGACAUGGCGAGGACCAUGCUUGAUGAGUACAAAACUUCGAACCGGUUUUGGGCGGAAGCAAUCAACACCGCUUGCUACGCCAUCAACCGUCUCUACCUUCACUGAAUCCUCAAGAACACAUCCUAUGAACUCCUCACCGGUAAAAAGCCCAAUGUUUCAUAUUUUAGAGUUUUUGGUAGCAAAUGUUUUAUUCUUGUUAAAAGAGGUAGAAAAUCAAAAUUUGCUCCUAAGGUUGUAGAAGGCUUUUUACUUGGUUAUGACUCAAACACAAGGGCAUAUAGAGUCUUUAACAAGUCCACUGGACUAGUUGAAGUUUCUUGUGACAUUGUGUUUGAUGAGACUAACGGCUCUCAAGUAGAGCAAGUUGAUCUUGAUGAGCUAGAUGAUGAAGAGGCUCCAUGCGUCGCGCUAAGGAACAUGUCCAUUAGGGAUGUGUGCCCUAAGGAAUCCGAAGAGCCCCACAAGCACAAGAUCAACCGUCAUCUUCCGUUCAAGCAUCUCCACCAACUCAAGAUGAGGAUCAAGCUCAAGAUGAUGAAAAUGAAGAUCAAGAAGAGCCACCUCAUGAGGAGGACAAUGAUCAAGGGGGAGAUGCCAACGAUCAAGACAAGGAAGAUGAUGAGGGUCCAAGACCGCCUCACCCAAGAGUCCACCAGGCGAUACAAAGAGAUCACCCCGUGAACUCCAUCAUCGGCGAUAUUCAUAAGGGGGUAACCACUCAAUCUCGUGUCGCUCAUUUUUGUGAACAUUACUCCUUUGUGUCUUCUAUUGAGCCAUACAAGGUGGAAGACGCAUUAAGGGAUUCAGAUUGGGAGUUGGCAAUGUAAGAAGAACUCUACAACUUCACGAGGAAUGAGGUAUGGCAUCUUGUUACAUGUCCUAAUCAAAAUGUUGUAGGAACCAAGUGGGUCUUCCACAACAAGCAAGAUGAGCAUGGUGUGGUGACAAGGAACAAAGCCCGACUUGUAGCCAAAGGAUAUUCACAAGUCGAAGGUUUGGAUUUCGGUGAAACCUAUGCACCCGUAGCUAGGCUCGAGUCAAUUCGUAUAUUACUUGCCUAUGCUACUUACCAUGGCUUUAAGCUCUAUCAAAUGAACGUGAAAAGUGCCUUCCUCAAUGGACCAAUCAAGGAAGAGGUCUAUGUUGAGCAACCUCCCAGCUUUGAAGAUAGUGAGUACUCUAACCAUGUGUAUAAACUCUCUAAGGCGCUUUGUGGGCUCAAGCAAGCCCCAAGAGCAUGGUAUGAAUGCCUAAGAGAUUUCCUUAUCGCUAACGGCUUCAAAGUCGGCAAAGUCGAUCCUACUCUCUUUACUAAAACCAUUGCAAAUGAUUUAUUUGUAUGCCAAAUUUAUGUUGAUGAUAUCAUAUUUGGGUCUACUAACAAAUCUACUUGUGAGGAGUUUAGUAGGAUCAUGAUUCAAAAAUUCGAGAUGUCUAUGAUGGGGGAGUUGAAGUAUUUUCUAGGAUUUCAAGUCAAGCAACUCCAAGAGGGCACCUUCAUCAGCCAAACGAAGUACACUCAAGACAUACUCACCAAGUUUGGAAUGAAGGAUGCCAAGCCCAUCAAGACACCCAUGGGAACCAAUGGGCAUCUCGACCUCGAUACGGGAGGUAAAUCCGUAGAUCAAAAGGUAUACCGGUCGAUGAUAGGAUCUUUACUCUAUUUAUGUGCAUCUCGACUGGAUAUUAUGCUUUCCGUAUGCAUGUGCGCAAGAUUCCAAGUCGAUCCUAAGGAAGUUCACCUUAGGGCCGUGAAACGAAUCUUGAGAUAUUUAGUUCAUACACCUAAGUUUGGUCUUUGGAACCCCAAGGGAUCCACUUUUGAUUUAAUAGGUUAUUCAGAUGCUGAUUGGGCAAGGUGUAAAAUUGAUAGAAAGAGCACAUAGGGGACUUGUCAGUUCUUGGGAAGAUCCCUGGUGUCUUGGGCUUCAAAGAAACAUAAUUCAGUAGCUCUUUCAACCGCCGAAGCCGAGUACAUUGCCGCAGGCCAUUGUUGCGCGCAAUUACUUUGGAUGAGGCAAACCCUUAGGGACUGUGGUUACAAAUUAACCAAAGUCCCUCUCCUAUGUGAUAAUGAGAGUGCAAUCCGCAUGGCGGAUAAUCCCGUUGAGCACAACCGUACUAAACACAUAGCCAUUCGGUAUCACUUUUUGAGGGAUCACCAACAAAUGGGGGAUAUCGAGAUAGCCUAUGUGAGCACCAAAGAACAAUUAGUCGAUAUCUUUAUCAAGCCAUUAGAUGAGAAAACUUUUACCAAACUUAGGCAUGAGCUAAACAUUCUUGAUUCUAGGAAUUUUGAUUGAUAUUUUGCACACAUAGCUCACUUAUGUACCUUUGAUCAUCUCUCUUUCAUUUGCUAUGACUAAUGUGGUUUUCAAGUGUAUUUCAUGCUAAGUCAUAGAUUGAAAGGGAAAUGGAGUCUUCGGCGAAGGCAAGGCUUCCACUCCACUCCAUCGUAUUUUUCUCCUUCGCUGUCACUCCGCAUCGCUCUUCAACUUUGGUAUAAUCCUUCAUUCAUAUAUUAUUUGCCAAAGGAGGAGAGAGGUUGAAAAGGGCUCUAAAGACUCCGUUUUUGGCGAUUAAUGCCAAAGGGGGAGAGAGUAUUAGCCCAAAGCAAAAGGACCGCACCACCACGCCAAUUUCAAAAAAAAACUCGAAACAAGUCUAAAUUUUAAAUAUUGUUUUCAAUUGGUAUCUAAAACCCUCUUGAACACUAAGAGGAGAAUUUCAUUGAGGGGGGAUUUGUUUAGUCAAAGGAAAAGCAUUUGAAAUAGGGGAGAAAAUGUCAAAUCUUUAAAAAUACUUCUCGAAAUCUUAUUCAUAUACCUUUGACUAUUUUCAAAAAGACUUUGAAAAGAAUUUCCAAAAGUUUUUGCAAAAACAAAACAAGUGGUGCAAGUAUGGUCCAAAAUGUUAAAAUGAAGAAAGCAAUCCAUGCAUAUCUUAUGAAAAUGUAAAUUGGUUUAAUUCCAAGCAACCUUUGCACUUACCUUAUGCAAACUAGUUCAAUUCUGCACUUAUAUAUUUGCUUUGAUUUGUGUUGACAUCAAUCACCAAAAAGGAGGAGAUUGAAAGGGAAAUAGGGUCAAACCUUUUUCCUAAAUGAUUUUGGUGGUUGAAUUGUCCAACACAAAUAAUUGGACUAACUAGUUUGCUCUAGAUUAUAUGUUCUACAGGUGCCAAAGGUUCAUCUACAACUAUUCUAAAUCGACUGUCUGGAAUACCGUAGAUUAUUCUAGACAGGAGAAGCUUUUUGGAAAAACAGACUAAGCGUGGACCAUCUGGGCCCUUGCGGCGGACCGUCCGUGACACCAGGAUGACCCUCGGACAGAACCAAUGCAAAAACCCAUGUCUACACUACGAACCGUCCGGAGGGAAAGCAAGGACCGUCCGAGACCACGCGCGGACCGUCCGGCCUCAGGCGCGGACCGUCCGGUAGGUGAGGAACCGAAAAACCUAAAGGUGUCGAUUUCGGUAAAAUGAAUUAUAGCGUCCUCGCGGACCGUCCGGGGUGCACGACCGGACCGUCCGUGACUGCCUUUAUCUGACAUCUAACGACGCAUUAAAUGCAAUAUAACCAUUGAUGUAGCCGUUACUGCUGACCGUUGCGUUUUCAGCCGUUGAUGUGAAGGGGUGGGCCGUCCGGACCAAGGGCGCGGACCGUCCGCGGUUGGCAGAAUUGGAGCAACGGCUAGGAAGUGGUUGGUGGCUAUAAAUACAACCCCAACCACCUCCAUUCAAUUGAUCCAAGCAUUCCAAACCUCUACAUUCAAUACAAGAGCUUGCACUCCAUUCAAAGACACAAUCAAAGCCUCCAAUCUCUCCAAGUUCCACAAUUGAGACAAGUGAUCAUUAGUGAUUAGCGACUUGAGAGAGAGAGAGAGAGUGAUCCGUGUGAUAUUUGUCACUCUUGUUGCUUGGCUUUUGCAAUCGUGCUUUCUUCCUUCCCAUUAUUAUUCUCAAGUGACUUGUAAUCAAAUCAAGAGACACCAAGUUGUGGUGGUCCUUGUGGGGUCUAAGUGACCCAUUUGAUUGAGGAGAAAAGCUCGCCGGUCUUUGUGAUCGGUGGAGAGAGGGAAAGGGUUGAAAGAGACCCGGUCUUUGUGACCACCUCAAUGGGGAGUAGGUUUGUAAGAACCGAACCUCGGCAAAAUGAAUCACCGUGUCAUCCGCUCUAUUUCUUUGGUUGAUUUGUUUUCACCCUCUCUUUUGGACUCGACUUUAUUUCUAACGCUAACCCUGACUUGUAGUUGUGCUUAAAGUUUAUAAAUUUCAGAUUUACCUAUUCACCCCCCCUCUAGGCGACUUUCAUUACUGUCUCUGGGCAAAAUAGGACUUUUUCUGAUCAUGUUUCCCUGUGUCUUAGAACUGAUUCUGUUACCUCUAUGAGGAGAGACUUUAGGCAUGAACUAUGUUGAAAGCUCAGACCUGAUUUUAAACAGAAAGUCUGGGAAAGCUGGUCUCUUCAAGUGAGAAGCAGAAAGAGCAUCGAUACAUAGAAAAAAAAACAAAAAGAUUGAAGAAAAUGUUGAAAGGUUGGAAUAUUAAUGUUGAAGGGAAGUAUAAGAAGCUAAAGAAAGACCUUAUGGAUAAGAUUGCGAUUCUUGAAAAGAGAAAUGAAUAUGCAGGCAUCUCAGAUUCUGAGAGGCUAGAAAAACUUGAUAUGUAGUGAAAUUUGAAAAAUAUGGUGGCUGGAGAAGGGAUUAAGAGAAAACAAAUUGCUAGAGAAAGAUUCAUUAAUGAGGGUGCUGAAAAUACCAGAUAUUUUUAGCUCAUUGCAAAAGGGAGGAAAAGAAGUGUCAAAAUUCUUUCUCUUCUGCAUGAGAGAUUGACUGUUGAUGAUGAGGGUGGUAUUAAUCAGUUUGCCACUGCUUUCUAUAAAGAUCUUUUUGGUCCCUCUUCUUCUUCUAAUAUUAAUAUGAAGAACCUGUCAAUGAAAAUGUUGGAUGAGGAGGAUAGGAUCCUUCUCACUGCCCCUUUUUUCUUUAGAUGAGAUAAAAAUGUGGUGUUCUCUUUAAAGCAUAACAGUGCCCCUGGCCCUGAUGGCCUCCCUACCGUUUUUUCAAGAUUUUUGGAAGGUCAUUAAGCUUGAUCUCUAGAAUCUGUUCAAAGAUUUUUUUUAAUGGGACUCUGGAUAUUGCUAGGCUCAACUUUGGGGUUGUGAAAGGGAAAUAGGGUCAAACCUUUUCCUAAAUGAUUUUGGUGGUUGAAUUGCCCAACACAAAUAAUUGGACUAACUAGUUUGCUCUAGAUUAUAAGUUCUACAGGUGCCAAAGGUUCAACACAAACCAAUAAAAAGUCCAAGAAAGGAUUCAAAUAAAAACAGCAAAAGACAACCGAAGGCUGCCCUGGUCUGGCGCACCGGAUUGUUCGGUGUGCCACCGGACAGUGUCCGGUGCACCAGGGAGAUCAACUCCGAACUUGCCACCUUCAGGUUUCUGGGAUUGCCUCUCCGCUAUAAUUCACUGGACUGUCCGGUGUGCCAAGUGGAGUAACGGCUACAGCGCCAACGGUCGUCUGCAAAAGGUGAACAGUGAGCUACAGUGCGUGGACAGCGCGCAGAAGUCAGAGCAGGCGCAGAUAGCGCACCGGACAUUGAACAGGACCUGUCCGGUGCACCACUGGACUGUCCGGUGGCCCCACUUGUCAGAGCUCCAACGGUCGAACCCUAACGGUUUGGUGACGUGGCUGGUGCACCGGACAGUGUCCGGUGGCGCACCGGACUGUCCGGUGCGCCCGUCGACAGCAGCCUUCCCCAACUGCCACAUUGGUGGUUGGGGCUAUAAAUACCCCCAACCACCACACUUCAAGGCAUCCAAGUUUUCAGCCAACACAUUCAAUACAAGAGCUAGUGCAUUCAAUACAAGACACAGUUAGAGUGAAUCAAAAUCUCUCCAAGUCCCAAUUCCACUCAAAGCAAUAGUGACUAGAAGAGAGAGUUUUGUCGUGUUCCUUUGAGCUCUUGCGCUUGGAUCGCUUUUCUUCUUCCCCAUUUCUUGUUCCCAAGUUCUUUGUAAUCAAAGCAAGAGACACCAAUUGUGUGGUGGUCCUUGUGGGGACUAAGUGUCCCAAUUGAUUGAGAAGAGAAGCUCACUCGGUCUAAGUGACCGUUUGAGAGAGGGAAAGGGUUGAAAGAGACCCGGUCUUUGUGACCACCUCAACGGGGAGUAGGUUUGCAAGAACCGAACCUCGGUAAUACAAAUCAUCGUCUCACUCUCGCUAUUUGCUUGUGAUUUGUUUUUCGCCCUCUCUUUCGGACUCGAUUAUAUUUCUAACACUAACCCCGACUUGUAGUUGUGCUUAAACUUUAUAAAUUUCAGAUUUGCCUAUUCACCCCCCUCUAGGCGACUUUCAAUGGGUAUCGGAGCCCGGUACUUCAUUAGAGCCUAACUACUCGAAGUGAUGUCGGGAGCUCACGCCAAGAAGGAGAUGGUGACCGGCGAGAAGCUCGCCACAAGCCAUGGGAAAGCUCCAUCGGGAGAGUCCGACAACAAAAGGGAGGAAUCACCUCCCCGCGUCAAGUCACACCGGAGUGGCGACAAGAAGAAGAAAAUGAAGAAAGUGGUCUACUACGAGACCGACUCUUCGUCGCCUUCCACCUCUGGCUCCGACACGCCGUCCGUCACUUCUAAGCGCCAUGAGCGCAAGAAGUUUAGUAAGAUCCCCUUACGCUAUCCUCGCAUUUCCAAACACACUCCUUUACUUUUCGUCCCACUAGGCAAACCACCGGUUUUUAAUGGUGAAGAUUAUUGUAUGUGGAGUGAUAAAAUGAGGAACCAUCUAACCUCACUCCACGCUAGCAUUUGGGAUAUUGUUGAGUUUGGUGCGCAGGAACCAUCCGUGGGGGAUGAAGGCUAUGACUCGGACGAGGUAGCCCAAAUCCGGCACUUCAACUCCCAAGCCACUACUAUACUCCUCGACUCUCUAAGUCGAGAGGAGUAUAAUAAGGUGCAAGGGUUGAAGAGUGCCAAAGAAAUUUGGGAUGUACUCAAGACCGCGCACGAAGGAGAUGAGGUGACCAAGAUCACCAAGCGGGAUACGAUCGACGGGGAGCUCGGUCGAUUUAUGCUCAACCAAGGAGAGGAGCCACAAGCCAUGUGCGCAAACUCGGGAGCACAAAAUGGGAUGACCUUGGUGAACCAAGUGCGCAACCUCGGGAGCACUAAAUGGGAUGACCAUGAAAUGGUCAAGGUUAUUCUUAGAUCACUCAUUUUUAUUAACCCUACACAAGUUCAAUUAAUUUGUGGCGAUCCUAGAUAUAAACUAAUGUCUCCCGAGGAAGUGAUAGGAAAGUUUGUGAGCUUUGAGUUAAUGAUCAAAGGCUCCAAACAAAUCAUCGAGCGAGGCGCCACCUCCACACCGAGGUACAACUCGUCGCCUUCAAAGCGACGGAGGAGAAGAAGGAAGAGUCUACAUCGAGUAGGCUUCCCAUCGACGCCUCCAAGCUCGACAAUGAGAAGAUGGCUUUAAUCAUCAAAAGCUUUGGCCAAAUCCUCAAGCAAAGGAAGGGGGGAGAUUACAAGCCCUGUUCCAAGAAAGUUUGCUACAAGUGUGGUAAGCCCGGUCAUUUCAUUGCUAAAUGUCCAUUAUCAAGUGAUAGUGACAGGGGCAACGACAAGAAGGGAAGAAGGAAGGAAAAGAAGAAGUAUUACAAGAAGAAGGGCGGCGAUGCCCAUGUUUGUCGGGAGUGGGACUCCGAUGAGAGCUCCACCGACUCCUCCUCCGACGAGGAUGCCGCAAAUAUCAUCGUCAACAAGGGUCUUCCCCAACGUCGGCCACAAGUGCCUCAUGGCAAAGGACGGCAAAAAGAAGGUAAAAUCUAGAGCCUCCACUAAAUAUGCAACAUCUAGUGAUGAGGAUAACUCAAGUGAUGAUGAGGAUAACUUACUUGCUCUUUUUGCCAACCUAAACAUGCAACAAAAGGAAAAAUUAAAUGAAUUGAUAGGAGCUAUUCAUGAGAAGGAUGAACUCUUGGAUAGCCAAGAGGACUUCCUAAUUAAAGAAAUAAGAAGCAUGUUAAGGUUAAAAAUGCUUAUGCUCAAGAAGUAGAGAAAUGUGAAAAACUAACUAGUGAGCUAAGCACUUGCCCUGAUAUUAUCUCAAACCUUAGAAAUGAAAAUACAAAAUUAAUUGCUAAGGUUGAGAAGUUAGAUGUUUGUGAUGAUUCAAUUAUUAUUCUUAGAAAUGAUAAUACUAGUUUGAUUGCUAAGAUUGACAAGUUGAAUGCAUCACUCUCUAGCCUUAAAAUUGAGAAUGAAAAAUUAAUUGCUAAGGCUCAAGAUUUAAAUGUUUACAAUAUUUCUAUUUCCAAUCUUAGAGAUGAGAAUACUAUUUUACAUGCUAAGAUUGAUGAAUUAAAUGCUUGCAAACCCUCUACAUCUACUAUUAGUCAUGUCUCUAUUUGCACUAGAUGUAGAGAUGUUAAUGUUGAUGCUAUCCAUGAUCACAUUGCUAUGAUUAAACAACAAAAUGAUCAUAUAGCAAAAUUAGAUGCUAAAAUUGUCGAGCAUGAAUUAGAGAAUGAAAAAUGUAAAUUUGCUCGUAGUAUGCUUUAUAGUGGGAAACGCCCUGGCAUUAAGGAUGACAUUGGCUUCCUGGGAGGCAAUGUCAAACUCAAUGCCCCUAAAAGAUUGUCUAAUUUUUUUAAGGGCAAGGCUCCCAUGCCUCAGGAUAACGAGGGCUAUAUCUUACAUCCUGCUGGUUAUCCUGAGGAUAAGAUUAGGAGAAUUCAUGCUAAGAAGACUCAUUAUGUUUCUCACCAUGCUUUUAUUUAUAAGAAUGAGGCUUCUAGCUCUAGGCGUUCUACCCAUGUUAAAAUGCCUAAAAAGAAAUCUCCUAUUGCAUCAAAUGAUCAUAACAUUUCAUUUAAGACUUUUGAUGCAUCAUAUGUUUUAACUAACAAAUCAGGCAAAGUAGUUGCCAAAUAUGUUGGGGGCAAACAUAAGGGGUCAAAAACUUGUGUUUGGGUACCCAAGGUGCUUUUUUUCUAAUGUCAAAGGACCCAAAACCGUUUGGGUACCUAAGAACAAGGCCUAAAUUUGUUUUGUAGGUUUAUGCAUCCGGGGGCUCAAGUUGGAUAAUUGAUAGCGGGUGCACAAACCACAUGACUGGGGAGAAAAGGAUGUUCUCCUCCUAUGAGAAAAACCAUGAGCCCCAAAGAGCUAUCACAUUCGGGGAUGGAAAUCAAGGUUUGGUCAAAGGACUUGAUAAAUUUGCUAUAUUUCCUGACCAUUCUAUUUUCAAUGUUUUUCUUGUAGAUUCUUUAGACUAUAACUUGCUUUCAGUUUCUCAAUUAUGUAAAAUGGGCUACAAUUGUCUUUUUACGGAUAUAGGUGUUACUGUCUUUCAAAGAAGUGAUGAUUCAGUAGCAUUUAAGGGAGUGUUAGAGGGUCAGCUAUACUUAGUUGAUUUUAAUAGAGCUGAACUCGACACUUGCUUAAUUGCUAAGGCUAACAUGGGUUGGCUCUGGCAUCGCCGACUAGCCCAUAUUGGGAUGAAGAAUCUUCAUAAGCUUCUAAAGGGAGAGCAUAUUUUGGGACUAAGAGCAUCUCCAAAAGCUCCCCAGAAGUCUCCCCUAAAUCUAUUUUUUUGGGAAAAACAUAAAAACAUGUCUCCAACAGUUCCCCUAAAGCGCUCCCAACUUUUUCAUAGCCCUUAAAACUCCCUCAUUUGUAGCUAUAAAUGAGGGGUUUUUUGGGCUCCCCAGAAACAAACUGCUGCUUUAAGGAAUCUGUUGGAGAAAGGAUUAAAAUCUAACCCCACUUAUUAUUUAGAUGUCCCUUAAAACUGAUUUUGAGGAGUCGUUUUAUGGAGAGCUCUUGGAGAUGCUCUAACAAAUGUUCAUUUUGAGAAAGACAGGGUUUGUAGCUGUUGGGGGCCUUCGGCUUCCGAAGGUCCUCAAAAACAUGAUUUGACAAUGUUUCUGGAGUAUAAUACAUGAGCAGGUACCUUCGGACACGAACCCUUCGGACAAGUCAAAAUUGCUGGAUGAAGAAACACAAAGAGAACGAAGGAUGGAACAGAGACGAAGUUGUGUGCAAGGAAGCUUCGGUAGGAUGGCAGAAAGGAGGAAAUCGACUUGAAGAGGAAAAGACUAUUUAGACCCUGAUAGAUUACUAUAGAGUUAUUAUCAAAAGCAAAGGGUCUGAAUGUAAUUUUACAUGGGCUGCGACCUGUGCCUAUAAAUAGGUGAACAGUACUCCCGUACUGUUCACGCUGACUUGGCAUUUACUCUUGCAUCACGCUUGUACUUUUACCUUCUUUCAAGUCAAAGGUAUAUUUGUAACUCAACAUCAUUUCUAUUCUUUUAUAGCAAUAAAAUAAAAAUGAGUUGAUAAUGAUACAUAACUAUUCAUGUUAUAUUUUAUAUUCCAUGUAAUUCCCUUUUCAUUAUGAUAUGUAAUGUUUAUGAAGGUAUGUCCUUCAUAACCUUCGUCCGAAGAUCAUUAUAUCUCAAGGGAAAUAAUGCUUCGAAGGACGAAGGACUUUAACGUUUAAACGUUUUCUGUGUUGCCUUGUUCUUAAUUCUUAGCAUUUGAGAACAAGUCCCCAACAUUGGCGCCCACCACCGGUGAACUCACUUCCACUUUUUGAGUUUCGAACACCUUCGGCAAGCAUCGACCUUCGUCAUGCCGCCAAAGAAAGCUUCAGCGACAGGGGCUACAGCUCUGCAGCCGCUGGACCCGAACCAGGAGACCCUUUCUCUCCGAGAGGCCCGAAGCUAGAAGAGGAAGGCCACCAGUCCAACGCCUCAGGAGGACGACUUGGACCAAGAGAUCAGGAACAUGGAGAUGCUCCAUCAGCAAGUACAAAGGAAGAAGGAAAAGAUGGCUCGGCUAGCUGAUCUGCAAAGGCAGAUAGAUGAAGCUUCUGAAGAAGUUCGUCAUCUAGCUCAAGAUGAGCAGAACCGAAGGCCUCAGCACAGAGAGCUUCAUCAAGAGGGCUUCUUCAACGAGGAUGACUGGUAUGAGGAUUUCCAUCAUGGAAAUUUUGCUUUUGAUGAUGCUUCUCCUCUGUCAGCAGAACUGCAGGCUACACCUUGGCCCCCGUCUUAAAGCCACCUCAGCUUCCCAUGUACGACGGACACUCAGACCCGAAGCAGUUUUUGAUGAGCUACGAAGCAACCAUAUCUUCGUACAGUGGCAAUACUGCAGUCAUGGCGAAGUCUUUCGUCAUGACUGUCAAGAAUGUUGCACAAACAUGGUACUCCUCUCUUCGGCUAGGAACAAUCACGUCAUGGAAGAAGCUGAAGGACAUGCUGAUUACCAGUUUCCAAGGGUUUCAAACGAAGCCGGUCACCGCUCAAGCUUUAUUCCAGUGCACCCAGGAUCACGAAGAAUACCUUCAGGCGUAUGUCCGAAGGUUCUUGCGUCUAAGGGCACAGGCACCAACGGUGCCCAAUGAAAUUGUAAUUGAGGCCAUGAUCAAGGGGCUUCGGCCAGGACCUACGGCCCAAUACUUCGCCAGGAAACCCCCUCAGACCCUGGAAAAGCUGCUCCAAAAGAUGGAUGAAUACAUCCACGCUGAUAAUGAUUUUCGUCAAAGAAGAGAGGAAGCUUAUAGGUUCUCCGAAAUGACCAGGGGCUUCGGAGGGAGAAUCCACCCAAGACAUGUAAGAUCAAUCCAUUCCACUCAAAAUGAUGACAGAGGAAGUCAGCAACAGCGGCCACAAUACUCCUCUCAGGCUUCGGGGCAACAAUAGAGCUAUCUUCGGCCGCCAGCUCCAAGGGGUAGAGGCGCCAGGGGCUUCAGAGGAAGAUUUGGGGACCAGCCCAGGAAAAUUUAUUGCUUAUUCUGCGGUGAGAACAAGGGCCAUACUACCAGGAUGUGCCAUGUCACCAUCCAGAAACAGAAAGAGAUAGCAGAAGCUGCAGCCCAACAGAGCCAGCCGAAGCAAGUUAUGCAUACUGCUUCAUAUCACUCACCAUACAUUCCAGAAUAUGUGGGUAACCAUCCUGCAGCUUCUGUUGCUUCGACAAGCCAACCUCAAGCGUCUUGGCAAUAGCCCCCACCUCCACCACCAAUGCAACGAGGCCAGCAGCCAGAAGGGAACCAGCACUCUCAUCAGCAACGAGACUUCAGAGAGUAGUCCGAAGCUCGCACAGUCAACAGUACUGUGCCAGAGUCGAAGCACAUCCACUAGAGGAUAUCCUACCUCGGCUUUUUGCAUUCGUUUUCAUUUUUCGUUUAAAUAAGGGACAAUCAUUAAAGCUUAAGUUUUUCUUCUCAUUCUCAAUUUCUUGUAAUAGCUUCGUUUUUACCAUAAUGAAAAUAUAUCUUCUCCAUAGAUUUAUGGCGUCAGAAAAAUUGCCGAAGCACGAAAGCUCGGUCUUAAGAGCUCGUGAUUACAGAAAAAAGUCAUUCUACGGAACACAGUGUAAGUUACCGAAGUUACAAAAAGUCGUUCCUAAGGGGGCGCAACGUAAGUUUUCUGCUCAAAAGUCGUUCCAAAGGAAAUGCAGAGCUUACAGCGAAAAAUAAACGCUGAUUCUGCAGAAAUAGAAGGCGAAGAAGCUCCUAAGGGAGGCUUACAGCGAAAAAUAAACGCUGAUUCCGCCAAAAUAGAAGGCGAAGAAGCUCCUAAGGGAGGCUUACAGCGAAAAAUAAACGCUGAUUCCGCCGAAAUAGAAGGCGAAGAAGCUCCUAAGGGAGGCUUGCAGCGAAAAUUCAGUACUGAUCUUCGGCACAAAUAUCAUUUUGCAUAACAUUACAUCAUCACAUCAUUUGUAUAGCAUAACAUCAUACAUCAUAUUGCAUCAAUGGCGCAAGAAGGGGGUUCAAUGUUGAUCUUCGGAGAUUGUUUCGAAGAAGCAGUGCCAAGGCACAAAAUAAUUAUUGAAGAAGCAUACCUUCGUCAAACUCUAAAAUGAAAAGACCUAUUGCUUACGAGGCACAAUAUUUUUUACGAGGAUUGGAUGUUUUUAUAAAAUAUGGAUAUUCUUCACGAAGCAUGAAAAGAAGGGAAGGUGUUUUUUCGCCGAAGGCUCAAAAACGGUAUGUACGUAAAGUUUCAUGCAUCGUAAAGAAUUGAGUUACAAGCAGCUUAUAUAUUACAUUCAAGGUUAUAAAAAUAUUACACACUCUGUCCAACAAAUAUUACAUUCUCAAUGUCUUUACAAUAGCAGCUAAUCUUCUCUUAAGACUACUCCCGUAGCUUCAUUUAGUAGUUGAUCAACAACCUUAUCCAUAAUAGCUUCGGCCAUUUUUCUAAUUUCGUCAUCCCCCUUUGCGUUGGGGUCCGCCAAUGGCCCGGCGGGCUCUGGGGGAGAAGAUAGUGCGGCUGUGUUACAAAGUGUAAAUAAGUCCGAAAUCAUAUAAUUACAACAUAAAGUCAAAACUUAGUAGUCAAUACCUAUUCGCCUUUCGAGAUCCGCACUUUUCUCAGCGGCCUCUGCUACAUUUUUAGCAUCGUGAAUACCUUUUUCACUUCUCCUUAUAAUUUCUUGAGCCAUCUCCCGGCCACCACUUUCCCAGAUGUCGGUGAAAAAUUUACCACCAACCAAGCUUGCUUCGGCCGAGGGGUCUUUUAUAUCUUCUGAAGAUAAGGCAGCCUCGGUUUGUGCCAAGGAUUUCACAUGAUCGCAGCCUCUGCUCUCCAAAAUAGUAGCAACCCCCCUAGCACCCGAAAAGGCGCAUAUGCCUCCGCGGCCAUUCAAAACUUCCUCAAAAGCUUCAGCUUCGUGGCUGGUCCAUUCAAUUGGGCCCUCGGGGUCGCCCUUUACGAAAUUUUCCUCGCUUGAAUACGCGCCAACGUUGGUGAAGCUAGUUUUUAUUUUCUUAACACACUCUAUAGACUUUUCAUAACACCUUUCCUUGGAUGCACGAAGCUCUUCAACGUUUUUCUCUAAAUGAUUUGCCCAUUGUUCACUGAUUUCUCGUUUAGCUUCUGCAACUGCGCAUUUUUCUUUAGCUUCGGCUAGCUAUUUCCGAAGAUCCUCAAUUUCGCGCUUCUGGGCCUCAGCUUGAGCUUUGGAAGCAGCUUCGUCUUCUUUUAUUUUAUUUACCAAUGAAUGUAAUAUUUUAUCUUUCUCAAGACCUUCGUUCCUUAGCUCAAUUAGUUCGGAACGAAGGUUGUUUAAAGCCAUGGCGCACCCUUCAUCUUCGGCACUUUUUUGCGCUCUGAGGGCAUUGCUGAGAAUGAGGCCCUGCAAAAGGAAUGUGAUAUUAAGAAAUAAACACACGAAUUUUUAACCACACAAAAAGUGUAUUUUCUCACCUUUAAGCUGUUAUAUGCUAAGUUGUUGGCCGGUUCAUCUUUUGACAAAAAUGAAAGCCCAUCUUCUAGAGUUGGGAAUCCGAAGUUUCUUGCCAUCUCCCGGCAGACAGAGAUCUCCUUGCUGUCUGGGAGGCAGUACAAGAAGUCUUCUUCUCCGCUGCCAUUGAAUAUCAACGCCCCUUUCGGAUAUUUCAAUUUUUGCGCAUAGAAUUGAGCUUCUCGCUUUUCUUUUUCAGUCAGAUUUUUACCCGAAGCAUGGCGUAAGACAUAGUUGGGAGCUUCGGAAGAUGCUUCGGAAAUAGGGAUGAUAGUUUUCUCAGAUAAAAUUUCUUCUACAGAUUCUUUUUCUAUUUCUUUUCCAGUUUCCAAGAAUUCCCUCUUGGCAGGCUCUGAAAGCCCAGUCUCGGUUUCCACUUGGCUUUUGGCAGCUUCGGCCUCAAUUUGUAUCUUUGGAUCUUCGACAUCUAUCAUCGAAGUAGAGCUUGAAGAUUUUAUUGUUUCUAGCACAUCUAGCAUGUUAACCAUUCUCUUUCUCUUGGGAGUUGUUGUAAGGUCCUUUUGUGCCUUCGGCGUUGGCAUUGGCACCUCAACUCUUGCUGAAGGACUUAAAACUUCUGAUGUCUUCGGCGCUGGCUCUUCAGCCCUCGGUUCUUCCAUUUUUUCUGUCUUCGGCAUUGCAGCCGACUCUUCAAUAAUCUGUAGAUGAGUAGGCUUUUUGGCUUCGGUGGCCGAAGUGGUUUCACCAACAAACUCAGGCAUUGUGGCUGGCUCAAUAUAGUGUGGCCGGUGCGUAAGAACUUUUAUCUUUUUUCUCUUCGGCGCUGGCUCACUAGGAGCGGCCAAAGCAACUUCCUUCACAGAAGUCGUACCUUUUCUUUUCUGACCCCGUAUUGGGUAACGGUAGUCAGGAUAGACGAACCCGAUAGCAUCAAAAACUCGAUUGAGUCUUUUCUUCUUCCGGCCUCCGAAGGCCGCAGAUAGUGUAGUAUCUUCUGCCUUCGAGUAUGGCCCAAGCAGUUCAUCGCUUGUAGCUUCAACGCAUUUCAACCAAUCGUCGUCUGGCUCGAUGAAUUGGUCUACGAACCUGAAGGUAUAUUUUAGUCGAACCAUACCACCUUCGUGUGGGUUGCUGAUAGUUUCCUUCGGCAUUUCCCAGUUAGCUACCAAUGGCCAUAUCCUGUAGGCCACGUGCUCUUGAACUAAGUCUCUCGUCCCGAUGAAAGAGCAGACUAUGCCGAAGGCCCUCUGGCACUCUUCGGCUGCUUCAUCCAUUUCCACCUUCGGUUUCCGGAGUCCGAAACGUUGCCAGAUAGGGCACAUGAUGAUAUCUUUAAUAUCUGCUCGUGUCUUCAAAUCGUUUUUCACAUAGAACCAUUCCUUCAUCCAGUCUCCGGGCCAUCUCUUUCGAAAGGUUGGCACGAGACAGCUUGACCCAGAUCGAGCACCGAAGCUAUAACAACCAAAAUUGUUAUGAUAUUGUUCUUUACCCCAGGGUUUCGUCUCAUAUAAUAGCUCAUGCAUAUUGCAGAAACUUUUUGCAUUUGGCUCCAAACCUUGACUCUUCACGGCCCAUACAAAGAUUCCCAUCCUUAUGAUUGCUUCGGGAGUAAUUUGAUGAAGGCAGAUUUCAAAUAUUUUCAAGACUUCAACCACGAAACUACUUAGAGGAAACCGAAGCCCAGCCUUGAAGAAGCUUCGAAAGAUCACGACUUCAUUUUCCUCGGGAGUAGGACAAGUUUUCUCUCCUUCGUUAGCCCUCACAAUAGACAAAUCCCAAAAAUAUCUACCUCUCAUAUUGGCAAGAUGGCUUUGUUUAAUGGUAGAUUUUCCAAAAACUGCAUGGCUUGGCCGCCAGGGUCGAUCUUCCGAGUCUUCCUCUCCACUUUCGGCAUCAUAACUGUCACUAUCUGAAAGGGAAAUGUGCCCUUGGGCCAUUUCUAAGUAUUUUGGUGAUUAAGUGCAAACACAGGUGCCAAAAUGUGAAAAUAUGCCCAUGGAUGGACAAGUUGCAAAUCACAAGUAAAGGUAUGUUUCUAAGCCUUAGUACAUUGGUUUUGUGUACUAAUAUUCUUGUCUAAGUGUUAGAAACAGAAAGAAGAAGAGAAGAGAAGACUUGGCUGUGUACAGCCAAGAGGCUGUUUCGGUCUGGGGCACCGGACUGUCCGGUGGUGCACCGGACAGUGUCCGGUGCGCCAGGCUGCCCCAGCUGAAGAGGCCGCUCUCGGGUUUUUCUCCGGCGACUUCAGCUAAAAUUCACCGGACUGUCCGGUGUGCACCGGACUGUCCGGUGAGCCAACGGUCGGCCGGGCCAACGGUCGGCCGCGCGAUCGGCGUGCGACACGUGGCCGAGCCAACGGUCGGAAGGAAGCACCGGACUGUCCGGUGUGCACCGGACUGUCCGGUGCGCCAGAUCUGCAACGGUCGGCAACGGUCGGCUUCGCUGUUUAUGGAAACAAAUCGGGCACCGGACAGUGUCCGGUGUGCACCGGACUGUCCGGUGCGCCCGACGACAGAAGGCAAGGAUAGCCUUCCAGAUGUGCUCUCAACGGCUCCUAGCCGCCUUGGGGCUAUAAAAGGGACCCCUAGGCGCAUGGAGGAGUACACCAAGCAUUCCUACAACUCUUCUAAGCACCAAGACAUCAAUCUCACGCAUUCGUUUCAUUGUGAUAGCAUAUAGAGCUCUUGUGGAGUUGUGAACUCUUUGUGUUGCGUUGCGAGCUCUUGUUGCGACUUGUGUGCGUGUUGUUGCUCUGAUUUUCGAGUCUUGUGUGCGUUGCUCAUUCCCACCUUACUUCGUAUUUCUUUGUGAACUCAAUUGUAAGGGCGAGAGACUCCAAGUUGUGGAGAUUCCUCGCAAACGGGAAAAGAUCAAAGGAAAGAAAAACACCGUGGUAUUCAAGUUGAUCAUUGGAUCACUUGAGAGGAGUUGAGUGCAACUCUCGUCCGUUGGGACGCCACAACGUGGAGUAGGCAAGUUUUGUACUUGGCCGAACCACGGGAUAACCACCGUGUCAACUCUGUGAUUGCUUUCUUGUGGUUAUUGUGUUUUGACUCCUCUCUAGCCACUUGGCCAUACUUGUGCUAACUCUUAACAAGUUUUUGUGGCUUAAGUUUUUGAAGUUUUACAGGAUCACCUAUUCACCCCCCCUCUAGGUGCUCUCAAUUGGUAUCGGAGCCGUUCUCUUCAAGAAAGGGACUAACCGCCCGAAGAGAUGGAUCCUAAGGGGAAGGGAAUCGUGAUCAACGAUAAGGAGAAGGAGUCCUUCGUCAAUGAGCCCAAAGAAGACGAGGCGCAUCAAGGAGAUCGUCUACUACGACGACAGUGAUGAGUCUACAUCUUCCCAAAAGGACAACGACCACAUCGACUACGAGCAAAGGAAACCGGUUAAUUCUAACUUUUCUUUUGACUACUCUCGUAUUCCGCAAAGUUCAAAUUCACAUUUGCUUUCCAUUCCACUCGGCAAGCCCCCACACUUUGAUGGGGAGGACUACGGAUUUUGGAGCCACAAAAUGCGUAGUCACCUAUUCUCUCUCCAUCCUAGCAUAUGGGAGAUUGUAGAUAGUGGAAUGCACUUUAAUAGUUCGGAUAGUCCUAUAUUCAUUAAUGAGCAAAUCCAUAAGAAUGCACAAGCUACUACUGUUCUUCUAGCCUCAUUGUGCAGGGAUGAAUAUAAUAAAGUGAGUGGCUUGGAUAACGCCAAGCAAAUCUGGGAUACCCUCAAGAUCUCUCAUGAGGGAAAUGACGCUACCUUGCUCACCAAAAUGGAGUUGGUGGAGGGCGAGCUUGGACGGUUCGCGAUGAUAAGGGGCGAGGAGCCAACUCAAACAUACAACCGGCUCAAGACCCUUGUCAACAAGAUAAGGAGCUAUGGAAGCACGCGAUGGACGGACCACGACGUCGUCCGCCUAAUGCUAAGGUCCUUUACUGUUCUUGAUCCUCAUUUGGUGAAUAAUAUUCGUGAGAAUCCCAGGUACACCAAAAUGUCGCCCGAAGAAAUUCUUGGAAAAUUUGUAAGCGGGCGGAUGAUGAUCAAGGAGGCAAGAUACGUCGAUGACGCGUUGAACGGUCCAAUCCACGAGCCUCAACCCAUUGCUCUCAAGGCAUCAAGGAGCAAGGAGACACUACCAAGCAAGGUGGCGCAAAUUGAGGCGGCCGGGCUUAAUGAUGAAGAAAUGGCUCUCAUCAUUAAGCGCUUCAAGACGGUGCUAAAGGGUCGCAAUGGACAGCCAAGCAAGACUAAGACCAAGGGGAAGCGAUCAUGCUUCAAAUGCGGUAAGCUUGGUCAUUUUAUUGCUAACUGUCCUGAUAAUGAAAGUGACCAGGAAAAGGGGAACAAAAGGGAGAAGAAGAAGCACUACAAGAAGGCAAAGGGCGAGGCGCAUCUAGGCAAGGAGUGGGACUCGGAUUGCUCCUCUUCCGACUCCGACAAUGAAGGACUCGCCGCCACCGCCUUCAACAAAUCAACCCUCUUCCCCAACGAGCGCCACACAUGCCUUAUGGCAAGGGAGAAGAAGGUAUGUACUCGCAACUCUACCUAUGCUUCUUCAAGUGAGGACGAAUCUAGUGAUGAGGAUGAAGUAGAUUAUUCAUGUUUGUUCAAGGGCUUAGAUAGAUCUAAGAUAGACAAAAUUAAUGAAUUAAUUGAUGCCUUGAAUGAAAAGAAUAUACUUUUAGAAAAGCAAGAGGAUUUGUUGUAUGAAGAGCAUGAUAAAUUUGUUGAGGCACAAAAAUCCUAUGCUUUAGAAGUUAAAAGAAAUGAAAUGCUUUCUUUUGAACUAUCUACUUGUCAUGAAACCAUUUCUACUUUGAAAGGUGUAGACAAUGAUUUAAAUGCUAAAUUAGAAGUAGCAAAUAAAUCCAAUUCUUGUGUAGAACAUGUUGAAAUUUGUACUAGGUGUAAAGAUUUUGACGUUGAUGCUUGUAGUGAACACCUAGUUUCUAUUGCAAAGCUAAAUAAUGAAGUGGCUAGUCUUAAUGUCCAACUUAAGACUAGCAAAAGUGAAUUUGAUAAGUUAAAAUUUGCAAGGGAUGCCUACACAAUAGGAAGACAUCCCUCAAUUAAGGAUGGACUUGGCUUCAAGAGGGAAGCCAAGAACUUAACAAGCCAUAAGGCUCCCAUUCCCGCCAAGGAGAAAGGGAAGGCCCCUGUGGCUACUAGUGCUAAAAGGAACCAUGCCUUUUUGUAUCAUGAUAAAAGACAAACUAGAAAUAGAAGUUAUGAUGCUUUUGAUUCAUAUGUUUAUGAUUCUCAUGCCAUGUUUGCUCCUAGUUCUUCUUAUGUGUAUGAUAGAAAUGUUACUAGGAGAAAUGUUGUUCCUAAAAGAAAUGUUGCAAAUGUUCAUAGGAAAGUAGUAAAUGAACCCUCUACAAUUUAUUGUGCUUUGAAUGCUUCCUUUGCAAUUUGUAGAAAGGAUAAGAAAAUUGUUGCUAGGAAGCUAGGGGCAAAAUGCAAGGGAGACAAAACUUGCAUUUGGGUCCCUAAGGAUAUUUGCACUAACCUUGUAGGACCCAACAUGAGUUGGGUACCUAAGACCCAAGCCUAAAUUUGCCUUGCAGGUUUAUGCAUCCGGGGGUUCAAGCUGGAUUAUCGACAGCGGAUGCACAAACCAUAUGACGGGGAAGAAGAAGAUGUUCACCUCCUACGUCAAGAAUAAAGAUUCCCAAGAUUCAAUUGUAUUCGGUGAUGGGAAUCAAGGCAAGGUAAAAGGUUUAGGUAAAAUUGCAAUUUCUAAUGAGCACUCCAUAUCUAAUGUGUUUUUAGUAGAGUCUCUUGGAUAUAAUCUGCUAUCUGUUAGUCAAUUAUGCAAUAUGGGGUAUAACUGUCUAUUUACAAAUGUAGAUGUGUCUGUCUUUAGAAGAAGUGAUGGUUCACUAGCUUUUAAGGGUGUAUUAGACGGCAAACUUUAUUUAGUAGAUUUUGCAAAAGAAGAGGCCGGUCUAGAUGCAUGCUUAAUAGCUAAGACUAGCAUGGGCUGGCUGUGGCAUCGCCGCUUAGCACAUGUGGGGAUGAAGAACCUUCACAAGCUUCUAAAGGGAGAACAUGUGAUAGGUCUAACCAAUGUUCAUUUCGAAAAAGAUAGACCUUGUGCAGCUUGUCAAGCAGGGAAACAGGUGGGAGGAGCGCAUCACAGCAAGAAUGUGAUGACCACUUCAAGACCCCUGGAGCUGCUGCAUAUGGACCUCUUCGGACCCGUCGCCUAUCUAAGCAUAGGGGGAAGUAAGUAUGGUCUAGUUAUUGUUGAUGACUUUUCCCGCUUCACUUGGGUGUUCUUUUUGCAGGAUAAGUCUGAAACCCAAGGGACCCUCAAGCGCUUCCUCAGGAGGGCUCAAAAUGAGUUUGAGCUCAAAGUGAAAAAGAUAAGGAGCGACAACGGGUCCGAGUUCAAGAACCUUCAAGUGGAGGAGUUCCUUGAAGAAGAGGGGAUCAAGCACGAGUUCUCCGCUCCCUACACACCACAGCAAAAUGGUGUGGUAGAGAGGAAGAACAGGACGCUCAUCGAUAUGGCGAGGACGAUGCUAGGAGAGUUCAAGACCCCCGAGUGCUUUUGGACGGAAGCCGUGAACAUGGCUUGCCACGCCAUCAACAGGGUCUACCUUCAUCGACUCCUCAAGAAGACUUCGUAUGAGCUUCUAACCGGUAACAAACCCAAUGUAUCUUACUUUCGUGUAUUUGGGAGCAAGUGCUACAUUCUAGUGAAGAAAGGUAGAAAUUCUAAGUUUGCUCCCAAAGCUGUAGAAGGGUUUUUGUUAGGUUAUGACUCAAAUACAAAGGCGUAUAGAGUCUUCAACAAAUCAUCGGGUUUGGUUGAAGUCUCUAGCGACGUUGUAUUUGAUGAGACUAAUGGCUCUCCAAGAGAGCAAGUUGUUGAUUGUGAUGAUGUAGAUGAAGAAGAUGUUCCGACGGCCGCUAUACGGACCAUGGCGAUUGGAGAAGUACGGCCACAGGAACAAGAUGAACGAGAUCAACCUUCUUCCUCAACUAUGGUGCAUCCCCCAACCAAAGAUGACGAACAGGUACCUCAAGUGGAGGCGCUUGAUCAAGGGGGAGCACAAGAUGAUCAAGUGAUGGAGGAAGAAGUGCAACCGGCACCUCCAACCCAAGUUCGAGCGAUGAUUCAAAGGGAUCAUCCCGUCGACCAAAUUCUGGGUGACAUUAGCAAGGGAGUAACUACUCGAUCUCGAUUAGUUAAUUUUUGUGAGCAUUACUCCUUUGUCUCUUCUAUUGAGCCUUUCAGGGUAGAAGAGGCCUUGCUAGAUCCGGACUGGGUGUUGGCCAUGCAAGAGGAGUUAAACAACUUCAAGCGCAAUGAAGUUUGGACACUGGUGCCUCGUCCGAAGCAAAAUGUUGUGGGAACCAAGUGGGUGUUCCGCAACAAACAGGACGAGCACGGGGUGGUGACGAGGAACAAGGCUCGACUUGUGGCAAAAGGUUAUGCCCAAGUCGCAGGUUUGGAUUUUGAGGAGACUUUUGCUCCUGUGGCUAGGCUAGAGUCAAUUCGAAUCUUGCUAGCAUAUGCCGCUCACCAUUCUUUCAGGUUGUAUCAAAUGGAUGUGAAGAGCGCUUUCCUCAAUGGGCCAAUCAAGGAGGAGGUGUACGUAGAGCAACCCCCUGGCUUUGAGGAUGAACGGUACCCCGACCAUGUGUGUAAGCUCUCUAAGGCGCUCUAUGGACUUAAGCAAGCCCCGAGAGCAUGGUAUGAAUGCCUUAGAGACUUUUUACUUGCUAAUGCUUUCAAGGUUGGGAAGGCCGAUCCAACUCUUUUUACUAAGACAUGUGAUGGUGAUUUGUUUGUGUGCCAAAUUUAUGUCGAUGACAUAAUAUUUGGUUCUACUAACCAAAAGUCUUGUGAAGAGUUUAGCAGGGUGAUGACGCAAAAAUUCGAGAUGUCGAUGAUGGGCGAGUUGAACUACUUCCUUGGGUUCCAAGUGAAGCAACUCAAGGAUGGCACCUUCAUCUCCCAAACGAAGUACACGCAAGAUCUGCUGAAGCGGUUUGGGAUGAAGGACGCCAAGCCCGCAAAGACUCCGAUGGGGACCGACGGACACACCGACCUCAACAAAGGAGGUAAGUCCGUUGAUCAAAAAGCAUACCGGUCAAUGAUAGGUUCUUUGCUUUACUUAUGUGCUAGUAGACCGGAUAUUAUGCUUAGCGUAUGCAUGUGUGCUAGAUUUCAAUCCGAUCCUAAGGAGUGUCACUUAGUGGCGGUGAAGCGAAUUCUUAGAUAUUUGGUUGCUACGCCUUGCUUCGGGCUCUGGUAUCCAAAGGGGUCUACCUUUGACUUAGUUGGAUACUCAGACUCCGACUAUGCUGGAUGUAAGGUCGAUAGGAAGAGUACAUCGGGGACGUGCCAAUUCUUAGGAAGGUCCCUGGUGUCAUGGAACUCUAAGAAACAAACAUCCGUUGCCCUAUCCACCGCUGAGGCCGAGUACGUUGCCGCAGGACAGUGUUGCGCGCAACUACUUUGGAUGAGGCAAACCCUCCGGGACUUUGGCUACAAUCUGAGCAAAGUCCCACUCCUAUGUGACAAUGAGAGUGCUAUCCGCAUGGCGGAGAAUCCUGUUGAGCACAGCCGCACAAAGCACAUAGACAUCCGGCAUCACUUUUUGAGAGACCACCAACAAAAGGGAGAUAUCGAAGUGUUUCAUGUUAGCACCGAGAACCAGCUAGCCGAUAUCUUUACCAAGCCUCUAGAUGAGAAGACCUUUUGCAGGCUGCGUAGUGAGCUAAAUGUCAUAGAUUCGCGGAACCUGGAUUGAAUUGUAGCAUACAUGUACUUAUGCUUUUGAUCAUGUUCCUUUUUGCAUUUUGUUGCUUAUUAUGGUGCUCAAGUUGUACAAACACUCCCUGGACCUCACAAGUCCGUUGCAAAGUGAUGCACAUGUUUAGGGGGAGAUGUGUUACAACUUGACCCUAUGAGACUAACCUUGUGCUUGAGUUUGAUAAUUUAGUCUCGAAGGAGGAUUGAAAGGGAAAAGGUGGACUUGGAUCAUGAAAGACUUCCACUGCACUCCGAUGAGAGGGUAACUAAUUCCAAGUUCAUCUCAUGAAAUCUUAUUGCCAUUUGCUCUUAAUUGAAGACUUUGGUGAGGCAAUGGGGUUAAGAGGCCAAGAUUAAUUCCGUUUUGGUGCUUGAUGCCAAAGGGGGAGAAAAUAAAGGCCAAAGUGAUAAAUGGAUCAGCUACCACUUGAGAUUUUGAAAAUAGUAGAAUAGAGUUUUUGUUUUGUCAAAAGCUUUUAUUGUCUCUUAUUGUCUCUAUUGUCAAAAGUUGGCUUCUUGUGGGGAGAAGUGUUGAUUAUGGGAAAUAAGGGGAGUUUUUGAAAUCUUUGAUCAAUCUCCUUUGGAAUGACUCUCUUUAUGCCUCAACAUGUGUGUUUGACUUAGAGAUAGAGAUUUGAAUUUGAUUUGCAAAAACAAACCAAGUGGUGGCAAAGGAUGAUCCAUAUAUGCCAAAAUUGAAUCAAAACCAAUUUGAGUUUUUAUUUGAAGUGAUUUUGCACUUGUUCUAGUUGCUUUAUGUUGUGUUGGCAUAAAUCACCAAAAAGGGGGAGAUUGAAAGGGAAAUGUGCCCUUGGGCCAUUUCUAAGUAUUUUGGUGAUUAAGUGCAAACACAGGUGCCAAAAUGUGAAAAUAUGCCCAUGGAUGGACAAGUUGCAAAUCACAAGUAAAGGUAUGUUUCUAAGCCUUAGUACAUUGGUUUUGUGUACUAAUAUUCUUGUCUAAGUGUUAGAAACAGAAAGAAGAAGAGAAGAGAAGACUUGGCUGUGUACAGCCAAGAGGCUGUUUUGGUCUGGGGCACCGGACUGUCCGGUGGUGCACCGGACAGUGUCCGGUGCGCCAGGCUGCCCCAGCUGAAGAGGCCGCUCUCGGGUUUUUCUCCGGCGACUUCGGCUAAAAUUCACCGGACUGUCCGGUGUGCACCGGACUGUCUGGUGAGCCAACGGUCGGCCGAGCCAACGGUCGGCCGCGCGAUCGGCGCGCGACACGUGGCCGAGCCAACGGUCGGAAGGAAGCACCGGACUGUCCGGUGUGCACCGGACUGUCCGGUGCGCCAGAUCUGCAACGGUCGGCAACGGUCGGCUUCGCUGUUUAUGGAAACAAAUCGGGCACCGGACAGUGUCCGGUGUGCACCGGACUGUCUGGUGCGCCCGACGACAGAAGGCAAGGAUAGCCUUCCAGAUGUGCUCUCAACGGCUCCUAGCUGCCUUGGGGCUAUAAAAGGGACCCCUAGGCGCAUGGAGGAGUACACCAAGCAUUCCUACAACUCUUCUAAGCACCAAGACAUCAAUCUCACGCAUUCGUUUCAUUGUGAUAGCAUAUAGAGCUCUUGUGGAGUUGUGAACUCUUUGUGUUGCGUUGCGAGCUCUUGUUGCGACUUGUGUGCGUGUUGUUGCUCUGAUUUUCGAGUCUUGUGUGCGUUGCUCAUUCCCACCUUACUUCGUAUUUCUUUGUGAACUCAAUUGUAAGGGCGAGAGACUCCAAGUUGUGGAGAUUCCUCGCAAACAGGAAAAGAUCAAAGGAAAGAAAAACACCGUGGUAUUCAAGUUGAUCAUUGGAUCACUUGAGAGGAGUUGAGUGCAACUCUCGUCCGUUGGGACGCCACAACGUGGAGUAGGCAAGUUUUGUACUUGGCCGAACCACGGGAUAACCACCGUGUCAACUCUGUGAUUGCUUUCUUGUGGUUAUUGUGUUUUGACUCCUCUCUAGCCACUUGGCCAUACUUGUGCUAACUCUUAACAAGUUUUUGUGGCUUAAGUUUUUGAAGUUUUACAGGAUCACCUAUUCACCCCCCCCUCUAGGUGCUCUCACUAUCACCAGUAUCUUCAGAUAAACCUUCCAAAAUUUCCCUUGUAAUCUUUUCUGUAUUCGUCUUUGAUAUUGAUUCAAGAAAGCCAAGAUUCUUCUCCUCAAGAAGGCUUAGCUUUGCUUCAGCAACAACUUUCUUAUCUUUAGACAUCUUCGGAAUCGCUAAAAACCGCUUUAAAAGCCGAAGCUUAAAAAACUUACAAGUUAAGCAAAUCUUGUUGCGCAGGAGCUAAAAACUGAGUAAGCAAGAGCAGAUGGCAAAGAAAGCGUACCAAAUGACAUUGCGGUGUGUUGUUAUUUAUACAUCUGGCGCAUUGAGAACAGGAGGGCCCCGUUUGACAUUGACUGUUGCUAUUCUAGCAAGAGGAAGGUGUUUUUUCGGACCUUCGGCUUAGGGCCUUUGUCCAUAUCGCAAUCUGAAUUUAUUAUCCUAACAAAUUAAUAUCACAAGGGGCUACUGUUGGGGGCCUCCGGCUUCCGAAGGUCCUCAAAAACAUGAUUUGACAAUGUUUCUGGAGUAUAAUACAUGAGCAGGUACCUUUGGACACGAACCCUUCGGACAAGUCAAAAUUGCUGGAUGAAGAAACACAAAGAGAACGAAGGAUGGAACAGAGUCGAAGCUGUGCGCAAGGAAGCUUCAGUAGGAUGUCAGAAAGGAGGAAACCGACUUGAAGAGGAAAAGACUAUUUAGACCCCGAUAGAUUACUAUAGAGUUAUUAUCAAAAGCAAAGGGCCUGAAUGUAAUUUUACAUGGGCUGCGACCUGUGCCUAUAAAUAGGUGAAUAGUACUCCCGUACUGUUCACGCUGACUUGGCAUUUGCUCUUGCAUCACGCUUGUACUUUUACCUUCUUUCAAGACAAAUGUAUAUUUGUAACUCAACAUCAUUUCUAUUCUUCUAUAGCAAUAAAAUAAAAAUGAGUUGAUAAUGAUACAUAACUAUUCAUGUUAUCUUUUAUAUUCCAUGUAAUUCCCUUUUCAUUAUGAUAUGUAAUGUUUAUGAAGGUAUGUCCUUCAUAACCUUCGUCCGAAGAUCAUUAUAUCUCAAGGGAAAUAAUGCUUCGAAGGACGAAGGACUUUAACGUUUAAACGUUUUCUGUGUUGCCUUGUUCUUAAUUCUUAGCAUUUGAGAACAAGUCCCCAACAGUAGCCCAUGUCAAGCAGGGAAGCAAGUUGGUGUUCAUCAUCCACAUAAGAACAUCAUGACGACCGACAGGCCGCUUGAGCUACUCCAUAUGGAUCUAUUCGGCCCGAUCGCUUACAUAAGCAUCGGCGGGAGUAAGUAUUGUCUUGUUAUUGUGGAUGAUUAUUCUUGCUUCACUUGGGUGUUCUUUUUGUAGGAAAAAUCACAAACCCAAGAGACCUUAAAGGGAUUCUUGAGAUGGGCUCAAAAUGAGUUUGGAUUGAGGAUCAAAAAGAUUAGAAGCGACAACAGGACGGAGUUCAAGAACUCUCAAAUUGAAGGCUUUCUUGAGGAUGAGGGCAUCAAGCAUGAGUUCUCUUCUCCCUACACACCACAACAAAAUGGUGUAGUGGAGAGGAAGAAUAGAACUCUACUUGACAUGGCGAGGACCAUGCUUGAUGAGUAUAAGACUUCGGAUCGGUUUUGGGCGGAAGCAAUCAACACCGCUUGCUACGCCAUCAACUGUCUCUACCUUCACCGAAUCCUCAAGAAGACAUCAUAUGAACUCCUAACCUGUAAAAAUCCCAAUGUUUCAUAUUUUAGAGUCUUUGGUAGCAAAUGCUUUAUUCUUAUUAAAAGAGGUAGAAAAUCUAAAUUUGCUCCUAAGGCUGUAGAAGGCUUUUUACUUGGUUAUGACUCAAACACAAGGGCAUAUAGAGUCUUUAACAAGUCCACUGGACUGGUUGAAGUUUCUUGUGACAUUGUGUUUGAUGAGACUAAUGGCUCUCAAGAAGAGCAAGUUGAUCUUGAUGAGCUAGAUGAUGAAGAGGCUCCGUGCGUCGCGCUAAGGAACAUGUCCAUUGGGGAUGUGUGUCCUAAGAAAUUUGAAGAGCCUCCACAAGAUCAACCAUCUUCUUCCAUACAAGCAUCUCCACCAACUCAAGAUGAGGAUCAAGCUCAAGAUGAUGAAAAUGAAGAUCAAGAAGAGCCACCUCAAGAGGAGGACAAUGAUCAAGGGGGAGAUGCCAAUGAUCAAGACAAGGAAGAUGAUGAGGGUCAAAGACCACCACACCCAAGAGUCCACCAAGCGAUACAACGAGAUCACCUCGUGAACUCCAUCCUCGGCGAUAUACAAAAGGGGGUAACCACUCGAUCUAGUGUCGCUCAUUUUUGUGAACAUUACUCCUUUGUGUCUUCUAUUGAGCCAUACAGGGUGGAAGACGCAUUAAGAGAUUCGGAUUGGGUGUUGGCAAUGCAAGAGGAACUCAACAACUUCACGAGGAGUGAGGUAUGACAUUUAGUUCCACGUCCUAACCAAAAUGUUGUAGGAACUAAGUGGGUCUUCCGCAACAAGCAAGAUGAGCAUGGUGUGGUGAAAAGGAAUAAAGCCUGACUUGUGGCCAAGGGAUAUUCACAAGUCGAAGGUUUGGAUUUCGGUGAAACCUAUGCACCCAUAGCUACGUUUGAGUCAAUUCGUAUAUUACUUGCCUAUGCUACUUACCAUGGCUUUAAGCUUUACCAAAUGGACUUGAAAAGUGCCUUCCUCAAUGGACCAAUCAAGGAGGAGGUCUAUGUUGAGCAACCUCCCGGCUUUGAAGAUAGUGAGUACCCUAACCAUGUGUAUAAACUCUCUAAGGCGCUUUAUGGGCUCAAGCAAGCCCCAAGAGCAUGGUAUGAAUGCCUAAGAGAUUUUCUUAUCGCUAAUGGCUUCAAAGUCGGAAAAGCCGAUCCUACUCUCUUUACUAAAACAAUUGCUAAUGAUUUGUUUGUAUACCAAAUUUAUGUUGAUGAUAUUAUAUUUGGGUCUACUAACAAAUCUACUUGUGAAGAGUUUAGUAGUAUCAUGAUUCAAAAAUUCGAGAUGUCUAUGAUGGGGGAGUUGAAGUAUUUCUUAGGAUUUCAAGUCAAGCAACUCCAGGAGGGCACCUUCAUUAGCCAAACCAAUUACAUUCAAGACAUACUCACCAAGUUUGGGAUGAAGGAUGCCAAGCCCAUCAAGACACCCAUGGGAACCAAUGGGCAUCUCGACCUCGACACGGGAGAUAAAUCCAUAGAUCAAAAGGUAUACCGGUCGAUGAUAGGAUCUUUACUUUAUUUAUGUGCAUCUCGACCGGAUAUUAUGCUUUCCGUAUGCAUGUGUGCAAGAUUCCAAGCCGAUCCUAAGGAAGUUCACCUUAGGGCCGUGAAACGAAUCUUGAGAUAUUUAGUUCAUACUCCUAAGUUUGGUCUUUGGUACCCCAAGGGAUCCACUUUUGAUUUAAUAGGAUAUUCAGAUGCUGAUUGGGUAGGGUGUAAAAUUGAUAGAAGGAGCAGAUCAGGGACUUGUCAGUUCUUAGGAAGAUCCCUGGUGUCUUGGGCUUCAAAGAAACAAAAUUCCGUAGCUCUUUCAACCGCCGAAGCCGAGUACAUUGCCGCAGGCCAUUGUUGCCCGCAAUUGCUUUCGAUGAGGCAAACCCUUAGAGACUAUGGUUACAAAUUAACCAAAGUUCCUCUCCUAUGUGAUAAUGAGAGUGCAAUUCACAUGGCGGAUAAUCCCGUUGAGCACAGCCGCACUAAGCACAUAGCCAUUCGGUAUCACUUUUUGAGGGAUCAUCAACAAAGGGGGGAUAUCGAGAUUGCUUAUGUUAGCACCAAAGAACAACUAGCCGAUAUCUUUACCAAGCCAUUAGAUGUGAAAACAUUUACCAAACUUAGGAAUGAGCUAAACAUUCUUGAUUCUAGGAAUGUUGAUUGAUACUUUGCACACAUAGCUCAUUUAUAUACCUUUGAUCAUCUCUUUCAUUUGCUAUGACAAAUGUAUUGUCAAGUGUAUUUUAUACCAAGUCAUAGAUUGAAAGGGAAAUGGAGUCUUCGGUAAAGACAAGGCUUCCACUCCACUCCAUCGUAUUAUUUAUCCUUCGUCGACACUCCGCAUCGCUCUCCAAUUUGGUAUCAUCUUCACUCAUAUAUUAUUUGCCAAAGGGGGAGAGAGUUUGAAAAGGGCUUAUAUUUCACUCACAAGUAUCCGUUUUUGGCGAUUCAUGCCAAAGGGGGAGAAAGUAUUAGGCCCAAAGCAAAAGGACCGCACCACCACCAAUUUCAAAAAUGUAGUCUUUCAUUUUGUAUUAAAGAAGUUUUUCAAUUGGUAUCUUAAUUUUGAUAUAAUUUCAAAUUGGUAUAACCUCCUUCAAAAUUAAUAUCUAAAACCCUCUUGAACACUAAGAGGAAAAUUUCAUUAAGGGGGAGUUUUGUUUAGUCAAAGGAAAAGCAUUUGAAACAGGGGGAGAAAAUUUCAAAUCUUGAAAAUGCUUCUUUCAAUCUUAUUCAUAUACCUUUGACUAUUUGCAAAAAGACUUUGAAAAGAAUUUCCAAAAGAUUUUGCAAAAACAAAACAAGUGGUGCAAGCGUGGUCCAAAAUGUUAAAAUGAAGAAAGCAAUCCAUGCAUAUCUUAUGAAAAUGAAAAUUGGUUUAACUCCAAGCAACCUUUGUACUUACCUUAUGCAAACUAGUUCAAUUCUGCACUUAUAUAUUUGCUUUGGUUUGUGCUGGCAUAAAUCAUCAAAAAGGGGGAGAUUGAAAGGGAAAUAGGGUCAAACCUUUUACUAAAUGAUUUUGGUAGUUGAAUUGCCCAAUACAAAUAAUUGGACUAACUAGUUUGCUCUAGAUUAUAAAUUCUACAGGUGCCAAAGGUUCAACACAAACCAAUAAAAAGUCCAAGAAAGGGUUCAAAUAAAAAGAGCAAAAGACAACCGAAGGCUGCCCUGGUCUGGCGCACCAGACUGUCCGGUGUGCCACCGGACAGUGUCCGGUGCACCAGGGAGAUCAACUUCGAACUUGCCACCUUCGGGUUUCUGGGAUUGCUCUCCGCUACAAUUCACCGGACUGUCCGGUGUAGCACCGGACUGUCCGGUGUGCCAAAAGGAUUAACGGCUACAGCGCCAACGGUCGUCUACAAAAGGUGAACAGUGAGCUACAGUGCGCGGACAGCGAGCGCAUAAGUCAGAGCAGGCGCAGAUGGCGCACCGGACAUUGAACAGGACCUAUCCGGUGCACCAUCGGACUGUCCAGUGGCCCCACUUGCCAGAGCUCCAACGGUCGAACCCUAACGGUUGGGUGACGUGGCUGGUGCACUAGACAGUGUCCGAUGGCGCACCGGACAGUCCGGUGCGCCCGUCGACAGCAGCCUUCCCCAACGGCCACUUUGGUGGUUGGGGCUAUAAAUACCCCCCAACCACCACACUUCAAGGCAUCCAAGUUUUCAGCCAACACAUUCAAUACAAGAGCUAGUGCAUUCAAUACAAGACACAAUUAGAGUGAAUCAAAAUCUCUCCAAGUCCUAAUUCCACUCAAAGCAAUAGUGACUAGAAGAGAGUUUUGCCGUGUUCGUUUGAGCUCUUGCGCUUGGAUCGCUUUUCUUCUUCUCCAUUUCUUGUUCCCAAGUUCUUUGUAAUCAAAGCAAGAGACACCAAUUGUGUGGUGGUCCUUGUGGGGACUAAGUGUCCCAAUUGAUUGAGAACAGAAGCUCACUCAGUCUAAGUGACCGUUUGAGAGAGGGAAAGGGUUGAAAGAGACCCGAUCUUUGUGACCACCUCGACGGGGAGUAGGUUUGCAAGAACCGAACCUCGGUAAAACAAAUCAUCGUGUCACUUUUAUAUUUCUAACACUAACCCCGGCUUGUAGUUGUGCUUAAACUUUAUAAAUUUCAGAUUUGCCUAUUCACCCCCCUCUAGGCGACUUUCAGGUUGUGACUCUUUUGCCUAAGGGUUACACUGCUCUUGAAAUGAAAAAUUUUAGACCUAUUUGCCUCCUGAAUGUUUGUUAUAAAAUCAUUACCAAGGUUCCUAACAACAUGUUAGCUCAUUGUAUUACUAAAGUGAUUAAUGAAUUUCAAUAUGGGUUUAUUCAGGGAAGAUACAUAAUGGAUGGUGUUGUUUCCCUGAAUGAGAUCCUUCAUGAGGUAAAAAAAGAAGCAAAGUGGUGUGGUUUUCAAAGUUGAUUUUGAAAAGGCUUAUGAUAAAGUUAACUGACAUUUUCUUUUCUGCAUGCUAGAGAAAAAAGGUUUUGGGAGCACUUUGAGUGAUUGGGUGAUGAGAACUGUUAGAGGGGGCAAAGUUGCCAUCAAAACCAAUGAUAUUGUUGGCCCUUAUUUCACGACUCACAAAGGGGUGAGGCAGGGGGCCCUUCUCUCUCUUCCUCUUUAAUCUUGUUGCAGAUGGUUUAGCUUGUUUGAUUCAUAAAGCUCAAGAUGAAGGUCUUAUUAAAGGCCUCAUUCCUCAUAUCAUAAGGAAUGGUUGUUGUUGCCUUUAAUAUGCUGAUGACACUAUUUUCUUCAUUCAAGUUGUUUGGAGGGGGCAAGGAAUCUCAAGUUUAUUCUUUGCCUUUUUGAACAAAUGGCUGGGCUUAUGAUUAACUUUCAUAAAGGUGAAGUUUAUUGUUUUGGUGAGGCUAAUGAUGUCAGAGAUUUGCAUGCUAAUAUCUUCACUUGUCCUAUCAGUAAUCUUCCCAUGAAGUAUCUUGGGGUUCCAAUUGAUAACAAAAAAACUCAGCAAAAAUCUUUGGAGUUCUAUUGAAGAGAAAGUGGGGAAAAAACUUGUAGGUUGGCAAGAAAAGUUUUUGAGUUUGGGUGGUUGUCGGGGACCAUAAUUAGGGGUACCCCCAAGACUCCUAAACUCGGCUGGUAAUCACCAUCAGCACAAGCUGCAAAGGCCUGAUGGGCGCGAUUCAGGUCAAGGCUCCGUCCACUCAAGGGACACGAUCUCGCUUCGUCCGAGCCCAGCCUCGGGCAGGAACAGUAGACCCAGACGGAUUCACGCCUCGCCCGAGGGCCUCCUCAAGCAACGGGCGCACCUCCGACUCGUCCGAGGCCCAGCUCGGGCAGGCUUCGCAGUGAAGCAACCUUGGCCGGAUUGCCACGCCAACCGACCAUAUCGCAGGAGCAUUCAAUGCAAGGAUCACCUGACACCUUAUCCUGACGCGCGUUCCUCAGUCGACAGGGCCGAAGUGACCGCAGUCAUUUCGCCCCUCCACUGACUGAAUUGACAGGAAAACAGCGCCGCCUGCCCUGCUCCAAUUGCUGUGCCACCCGCCAGGGUGAGGCUGACAGCAGCCAAGUCCAGCCUCAGGCGCCAUAGGAAGCUCUGCCUCGCCCGACCCCAGGGCUCGGCCCCCGCCUCGGCCUCGGAAGGCGGUAUCCGCCUCGCCUGACCCCAGGGCUCAGACUCAACCUCGACCCCGGAAGACGGUCUCCGCCUCGCCCGACCCCAGGGCUCGGACUCAACCUCGACCCCAGAAGACGGUCUCCGCCUCGCCCGACCCCAGGGCUCGGACUUAGCCUCGACCUCGGAGGAGUCACCGCCUCGCCCGACCUUGGGCUCGGACCGACCACGCUACAAGGGGAUACAUCAUUACCCUACCCCUAGCUAGCUCAGGCUACGGGGAAUAAGACCGGCGUCCCAUCUGGCUCGCCCCGGUAAACAAGUAAUGAUGGUACCCCGCGUGCUCCCAUGACGACGGCGGUUCUCAGCCCCAUACGGAAGCAAGGAGACGUCAGCAAGGAUCCGACAGCCCCGACAGCUGUGCUUCUACAGGGCUCAAGCGCUCCUCCGACGGCCACGACAUCACAUGAACAGGGCACUAACACCUCUCCGACAGCCACGUCGGCAUGUACAUAGGGCUCUGGCUCCUCUCUGCUAGACACGUUAGCACAUUGCUACACUCCCCAUUGUACACCUGGACCCUCUCCUUACAUCUAUAAAAGGAAGGUCCAGGGCCCUCGUACGAGAAGGUGGCUGCGCGGGAGGACGGGCUGACGGACAGUCUCUCUCUCUCCCUCGCGAACGCUUGUAACCCCCUACUGUAAGCGCAUCCGCCCUGGGCGCAGGAUAACACGAGCCGCGGUUUUCCCCCUUGUGUUCCAUCUCACGCCGACCCAUCUGGGCUGGGACACGUAGCGACAAUUUACUCAUCGGUCCAGGGACCCCCGGGGUUGAAACGCCGACAGUUGGCGUGCCAGGUAGGGGCCUGCUACGUGUUGACGAACAGCUUCCCGUCAAGCUCCAGAUGGGUAGUCCCCAGCAACCUCUCCAGCCCGGGGCGCUGCUCCAUUUCGGGAGUCUCGAGUUCAUGUCCCUCGACGGCAGCUACGACAUGGUACUCCUUCCUCUGCCGCGCGACAACGACGGCCGUCAGCCCGUCUGACGGCGGCGGAAUCGACGACGUCUUCCCCGCGUGGCGGAAGAGCAGCAUCCGGGUCUGUCCCGUCACCUUCCCCGCCGAUGGAGGAGGAGGUGGGGCAACCAUGGCCAAGCAGGAGGUGGCGCCUCGUCGGCUGUCGAACGAGUCGAUGACGCCGGCGCCCCAACGGGGGACACGUCGGGCGUUGACCUCGCGUCUGAGACGAAGACGAGCAUCGUUUCCCCGCAACACGCCAACCCCAAGCGGACGGAUGACGCCAGCACGCUCGCGAAGGACUUGCUGGGCGUUAGCCUCGUACCUGAGAUAACGGUGCAGUCCGUCCCCGACGCGACUUCGUCACCAUCCGUCGAUCAAGAGGUACCGUCCGUUUUCCACCCUGUGCCUUUUAGAUUCCGCUUCGACCCACCAAGCGACCCUGCUUCGGUGGACGCUUUCAUAAAGGCAUAUCCUAACCUUCCGGGGUACCAUAUGUGGUCAACCUAGGACCGACUGACGGCCGUCUCGACCUACGGGCCCCCGGGUUCCAAGGAAGAUGACGAGCCCGACUCUGGUUGGGAUCUCUCCGGGCUCGGUAACCCUAGUGCCAUGCGAGACUUCAUGGCCGCAUGUGACUACUGCCUCUCCGAUUACUCCGAUGAUGGCCACAGCCUUGACGACGAGGACUGUGGCCCAAGUCGCGAAUGUUUCCACGUCGAUCUAGGGGGUCUCGACGAAGGCAACCAUCUUGGUAUGCCGGAGGACGGCGAUCCCCCUAGGCCUGCGCCUCGCGUUGACAUCCUUCAGGAGCUAGCUGUGGUCCCAGUCCCUACGGGGGGUCAGGACGCACAGCUCGAGCAAAUCCGCGAGAUGCAGGCCAGGCUCGACGAGGAAGCAGGACAACUUGUGCAGCUCCGGCAGAACAUCGGGCAGGAGUGGGCAGGCCAAGCACCAGCCGGAGAAGCGCGUCAUCUGGCCCAGGACGUCUAGCACCGCAUCGCCGACGAUGCCAGGGCAAGGCUGCCCCCAGCUUCCAGUGGGGUCGGCCAGAACCUCGCUGCAGCAGCAGUACUACUUCGAGCAAUGCCGGAGCCAUCCACCACCGAGGGCGGCGUAUCCAGGGAGAGCUCAAGAAUCUCCUGAAGGAUGCCGCGGUCCGACGGGCCGAAAGCUCUGCCUCCCAAAGGCAGGGGUACCCCCCGGAGCAUCGCGCCGCGACUUCCCGAUUCAUGAGGGAAGCCUCGGUCCACACCGGGCGCACGCGGGACGCAACGCCUGUAGCCCCAGGUCGCCUCGGCAACGAGCACCACCGCCGCGACCGUCGAGCCCACCUCGACAAGAAGGUGCGCCGAGGCUACCACCCCAGGCAUGGGGGACGCUACGACAGCGGGGAGGAUCGGAGCCCCUCGCCCGAACCACCCGGUCCGCAAGCUUUCAGCCGGGCCAUACGACAGGCGCCGUUCCCGACCCGGUUCCGAACCCCGACUACCAUCACCAAGUACUCGGGGGAAACAAGGCUGGAACUGUGGCUUGCGGACUACCGGCUGGCCUGCCAGCUGGGUGGAACGGACAAUGACAACCUCAUCAUCCGCAACCUCCCCCUGUUCCUCUCCGACGCUGCCCGAGCCUGGCUGGAGCAUCUGCCUCCUGCACAGAUCUCCAACUGGGACGACCUGGUCAAAGCCUUCGCCGGCAACUUCCAGGGCACAUACGUGCGCCCUGGGAACUCCUGGGAUCUCCGAAGCUGCCGCCAGCAGCCGGGAGAAUCCCUGCGGGACUACAUCCGACGAUUUUCGAAACAGCGCACCGAGCUGCCCAACAUCACCGACUCAGAUGUCAUCGGCGCGUUCCUCGCCGGCACCACUUGCCGCAACCUGGUGAGCAAGCUGGGUCGCAAGACUCUCACCAGGGCGAGCGAGCUGAUGGACAUCGCCACCAAGUUCGCCUCUGGUCAGGAGCCGGUCGAGGUCAUCUUCCGGAAGGACAAGCAGCCUCAGGGGUGCCAGCAGGAAGACGUCCCCGAGGCGUCCGCUCAGCGCGGCACCAAGAAGAAGAGCAUGUAUUGCCCGUCCAGAGACCGGUCUACUUCAUCAGUGAGUGCCAAAAGGCCUCGGGUAGGAUUGCAAAGUGGGCGGUGGAGAUCAUGGGCGAGACAAUCUCGUUCGCUCCUUGGAAGGCCAUCAAGUCCCAAGUCUUGGCGGACUUUGUGGCUGAAUGGGUCGACACCCAGCUUCCAGCAGCUCCGAUCCAACCGGAACUCUGAACCAUGUUUUUCGACGGGUCGCUGAUGAAAACAGAAGCAGGCGCGGGCCUGCUCUUCAUCUCACCCCUCGGGAAACACCUCCGCUACAUGAUGCGCCUCCAUUUCCCGGCGUCAAACAACAUGGCCGAGUACGAGGCUCUCGUUAUCGGGUUGCGCAUCGCCAUCGAGCUAGGGGUUCGGCGCCUCGAUGCUCGUGGCGACUCGUAGCUUGUCAUCGACCAAGUCAUGAAGAACUCCCAUUGCCGCGACCCGAAGAUGGAAGUCUACUGCGAUGAGGUUCAGCGCCUGGAAGACAAGUUCUACGGGCUUGAGCUCAACCACGUCGCUUGACGAUACAACGAGACUGCGGACGAGCUGGCUAAAAUAGCCUCGGGGCGGACAACGGUUCCCCCGGACGUCUUCUCCCGAGACCUACAUCAACCCUCCGUCAAGACCGACGACACGCCCGAGCCCGAGGAGGCCUCGGCCCAGCCCGAGGCACCCUCGGCCGCCGAGGGUGAGGCACUACGCGUCGAGGAAGAGCGGAAUGGGGUCACGCCUAAUCGAAACUGGCAGACCCCGUACCUGCAAUAUCUCCACCGAGGAGAGCUACCCCUCUACAGAGCCGAAGCUCGGCGACUGGCGCGGCGCGCCAGGUCGUUCGUCUUGUUGGGUGAAGAAAAGGAGCUCUACCACCGCAGCCCCUCAAGCAUCCUCCAGCGAUGCAUAUCCAUCGCCGAAGGUCAGGAGCUAUUGCAAGAAAUACACUCGGGGGCUUGCGGUCAUCACGCAGCACCUCGAGCCCUCGUUGGAAACGCCUUCCGACAGGGUUUCUACUGGCCAACCGCGGUGGCUGACGCCACUAGGAUUGUACGUACCUGCCGAGGGUGCCAAUUCUACGCAAGGCAGACACACCUGCCCGCUCAGGCCCUGCAAACAAUACCCAUCACCUGGCCGUUUGCUGUGUGGGGUCUGGACCUCGUCGGUCCCUUGCAGAAGGCACCCGGGGGCUUCACGCACCUGCUGGUCGCUAUCAACAAAUUCUCCAAGUGGAUUGAGGUCCGACCCCUAAACAGCAUCAGGUCCGAACAGGCGGUGGCGUUCUUCACCAACAUCAUCCAUCGCUUUGGGGUCCCGAACUCCAUCAUCACCGACAACGGCACCCAGUUCACUGGCAGAAAGUUCCUGGACUUCUGCGAGGACCGACACAUCCGGGUGGACUGGGCCACCGUAGCUCACCCCAUGACGAAUGUGCAGGUAGAGCGUGCCAACGACAUGAUUCUGUAGGGACUCAAGCCAAGGAUCUACAACGACCUCAACAAGUUCGGCAGGCGAUGGAUGAAGGAACUCCCCUCGAUGGUCUGGAGUCUGAGGACGACGACAAGCCGAGCCACGGGCUUCACGCCAUUCUUUCUAGUCUAUGGGGCCGAGGCUAUAUUGCCCACAGACUUAGAAUACGGCUCCCCGAGGACAAGGGCGUACGACGACCGAAGCAACCAGGCCAGCCGAGAAGACUCUCUGGACCAGCUGGAAGAGGCUCGGGACAUGGCCUUACUACACUCGGCAAGGUAUCAGCAGUCUUUGCGACGCUACCACGCCCGAGGGGUUCGGUCCCGAGACCUCCAGGUGGGGGACUUGGUGCUUCGGCUAUGACAAGACGCCCAAGGGCGUCAUAAGCUCACACCUCCCUGGGAAGGGUCGUUCAUCAUCGCCAAGAUUUUGAAGCCCGGAACAUACAAGCUGGCCAACAGUCAAGGCGAGGUCUACAGCAACGCUUGGAACAUCCGACAGCUACGUCGCUUUUAUCCUUAAGAUGUUUUCAAGUCGUUCACAUACCUCGUUCUCUUUACAUAUGCAAAAAGAGUCUAACCGUCAAGGAAGGGUCAGCCUUGCCUCGGCAAAGCCUGACCCUCCCUCGGGGGCUAGAAGGGGGGAACCCCCUCUGCGUCAAAAUUUUCCUCAGAAAAAGUCUUUCUGUCAGAACGUCUUUCGCGCUUUUCGACUACUUCGAUAGUGGAAUCCUGAAAACGCGGAGUACACGUAAGCGGCAAGGCCGACCGAGCCGAGGGACUCCUAUGCCUCCGGGAUACGGAUACCUCACUCAUCACCUUCUGCGAUAAGUAACUCUCGCUAGGAUAAGCGAUUCUGCUGCCGAACAAGUCUUAACGCUCAAAAACCUUCCUGGCAGAACGAUUUUUCGUGCCUUCUCGACUAUAUCGAUAACAGAAUCCUACGGAUGAGUAAGAGUACACGUAAGCGGCAAGGCCGACCGAGCCGAGGAACUCCUACGCCUCCGGGAUACGGAUACCUCACUCAUCACCUUCCGUGAAAAGUAACUCUCGCUCGGAUAAACGAUUCUGCUACCGACGAACAAGUCCUGAUACUCGAAACAAGGGGAAAAGAAACGCAGCUCUAUAACACGACGAUGAUAUGUUUGGUCCUCGGUGGCCGCAAAAAACAUACGCACACUACAGAUAAACUGUUCCUGCAGGUUCAGACAUUAGUAGGGGGAGCAGCAGCACCCUCGGCAUCGACUCCACCUUCGGCGGAAUCCGACCUGGCCUCGGACAGCAACACGGUCAGAGGAUCUCCACCUCGAAGGAAGAUGUCAGCACCGCGCCUGGGCCAUCGCCGCCAGGGUCUCCUCCAGGAACCCGACCCGAGCAGAUGGCUCGACCGGCCGCUCCAUAGCCUCAGCCAGCUGACCCCCGAGGACAUCAGCCCGACUCAUGGCCUCGGCAGCCCGACUCCAGGGUUGGUCCCGCCAGUGGACGACCUGGCCAGGUUCCAGUCGCCGCUGCUAGCCUCCUCGGCCUAGGAAGUCCCCUGCUCCUGGGCCGACGAAGUUUCUUCUCCAGCCGACUCCGCCUCUGUCCACGCUCACACCGCUGCCUCCGGCUCCGGCUCAUCGCAGAGCGGCUGAGGGUUUUCUUUAACUGAGCAAGAGAAUCCUUGGGCGGCAAGGCCGAUCGAGCCAAGGGACUCCUACGCCUCCGAGAUACGGAUAUCUCACUCAUCACCUUCUGCACGGGGCAACUCACACUUGGUUAAGCGGUCCAGCUAGCCGACAUGCGAGUCCUGGUGCCCAAAAUGAGGAAGAAACACGGUAUUGCACUCAAAUACCUAGAUGUUCAGGCCUCGACAGCCACAAUGAACAGACACCAGCACUCAAGGUGCCAUUACAAACGGAACUCCGGUUCCACUCCCGCGGGUAUGAACAACCUCCACAUCGGAGAGCCUGCGGGACGACAAACUCUGGGUGACUCGCCGGCGACCUCUGCAGCAGCAGUGAUGGUCCCAGGGCGGACGCUACUGCUGGAAGGCUCUCGUUCGCGUCCCCACUCGAGGGACGAAAACCAGACAUUAAAGCCAAAGCGCACCGGCAGGUCCUCACUCCCGUCCUCGCCACGAGAACGAGAAUGGGACCGUCCCAGAACACGAGUACCGCCCUCGCGGCGUACAACGUGUUGUGAGACCCCCCGGUGCGGCUGGCCACCGUCGCCCGAACAGAGGACGGAAUGCUGCACCCUGGCUGGGCAGCAGCAGUUCGCCUUCCCCGGCAUGGCUGGAGGACGCCUCCUCCGCAGAGCUGGAGGAUGGUUUCCACCCCCAGAAGCCGGAGGAAGAAGCGGGACGCUAGCCCACGCGAAGGCAGGCCCAUACGGGAGGUAGAGCUCCGGCUCAGCUCGCCCCCGCCCCAGCAAGGAUGAUGAAGAUCCUUGAAGCUGAGGGCGGGGCAGAGGCCGCAACCCGGCUUGCUUCUCCCCACCGUCGAACUGGUGGUCACCGUCUUGGGUGACCAUUGGUGAGGGGAUGUAGCCGGGCUGCCUGAUGAAAAUCCUUGAAGCCGAGCGAUGGCUGAAAGGUGUCAACCUCCGCAAAGUUGCGCUCCUCCAACAGCAGCAAGAUGAAAGCAACGCGGGCGCUCCCCAUCCGGGGGCUCGGAAGGCGGAAGGGCACGGUGCAUGAGGAGAGUGCGAAGGUGUGGCUACCACCCGGGGGUCGAUCCCUUUUUAAAGGCGACUCUCCUCACUCGCGUCCUCAGGCGUCGCGGACUAAGUCUUCACCAACGCGCUCCAAGGUCCUUCCCCUACGACACGGGGGCUGGGUCCCACACGCCAUGCAAGUUGGCCGGGACAAAAGAAGCCAAACUGCCACGCGUGGAGCGUGUAACCGCCCAGCGGUUACAAGAACUCCUCCAUCUUCGCCUAAACCAGUGGGUGAAAGGGCGGACCGCCAUGCAGGCGGCAUGCAACUGCACCACAUAGAUGCACCCUUUCGACUUCGACGCAUCCAGCGUGGAGGCCCAGGCCCACACGUCAUGUAACUGGCGCGCCGGUUACUACGUGCGAAAAACUGCACCGCCACUUACGCCAAUGUCGCGCCUCCUCGACUACAGAACCGGUGCCGCGACUCGAGGCAACCCUGCGCAUGGCCCAACAGUGCCAACCAAGCACAUCGGUCACAGGUCAGUCAGCCGCGGGAAAAGGCGCGACGGUCGAUAUGGCCAAAAGUGGGCCGACAGUAAUGGCGGCGGCAGGCGGGCAGAAGCAGCAGUCAAAUCAUCUGCAGGCUCACGUCCCCUCCUGGGGCAGCAGGGGAGCCCUCUCCCACAGCAUGAAGACGACGCGCCCGUGUUCCGUCCCUCGAACGGCUCACACAACGGCUGCCCCGCGAACCACUCGUCCCGUCGCAUUGACUCCGCGGCAGGGCAAGCGACACCUUUGGCAGUCGAAGCGGGCGACGCUUCACCUCCACCAUAAUGUCCGCGUCAAAAAAGGUGCGCCACAUCGUUCAAUUUUGUAUCCUUUUCCUCUUCCCCUUUCUCUCUCUUGCUACAGGGACCGGGAAAGGGGAUACUCCGAAAGGGAUCCUUCCCCGCGAAGGAAGCGGGCCCCGAGCCAUCCUACUGAUCAGAGGUUCGAAGGCUGGCCCCUCGGAAGGGUUCGACAGCCGCCUCAGAGCACUCGGGCUCCGCUCCCACUACUGAUCAGGGGUUCGAAGGCUGGCCCCCCGAAGGGUUCGACAGCCGCCUCAGAACACGUAGAGCGAGGGAUAACUCUGGGUACGUCCGAUACAUGGCCGAGGCUCGGGCUACGCUCCCAAGGUACCCUAGGACAUUUCCGAGACCAGCAGGAGCGAUUCUGUAACGGAAUCCCAUCAGAGGGAGGCAUCAAGCCCUCGGACCCUAUCAAACGGGACCGGGUCCGGCAAAUCACCCGCAGGUACUUUUGGAGCGCGCCUCUGGGCCACUAGCCGACCCUUAUCGAACGGGGCACGGGCGUCCACUCGGAUCACCCGUUAGCAACUCACUGGAGACACCAUGUUCGGCGCCCUCCGAGGGCAAUAUGGCGCUUUCCCCCUCCUCCUUGUGGAAAGGCGACGAAGGGGCGUAUGAUAAAAGCCGAGUCAGUCCUUGACCAUCCUCUCGCUCUGUGUAGAGGCUCGGGGGCUGCUCUCGCAAACCCGGCUCCAGCCAAACCGUUGAUGGCGUCAACAUACCAGCCCGAGAACUCGGAACCUGACCAUGCACCUGGGCUAUGAUCAGAUUGCAUGAGGGGACAACCAGACCGGCCGAGGUGUCACGAAAGGCGCUAAGACCUCGGAGGAGUCAGACCACUCCUCCGAGGCCUCGGGGGCUACACUCGGCGGAUGCGCUCGCGCGCACCCACCGGAACAGAAUGUAACCGAGAAAGGUCGGUCCCCUUGCAAAAAAGUGCGAUAAAGCCUCCAAGCGAGUACCAACACUCCCUUUGAGGCUCGGGGGCUACUAUCGGGGACCAUAAUUAGGGGUACCCCCAAGACUCCUAAACUCGGCUGGUAAUCACCAUCAGCACAAGCUGCAAAGGCCUGAUGGACGCGAUUCAGGUAAGGCUCCGUCCACGCAAGGGACACGAUCUCGCUUCGUCCGAGCCCAGCCUCGGGUAGGAACAGUAGACCCAGGCGGAUUCACGCCUCGCCCGAGGGCCUCCUCAAGCAAUGGGCGCACCUCCGACUCGUCCGAGGCCCAGCUCGGGCAGGCUUCGCAGUGAAGCAACCUUGGCCGGAUCGCCACGCCAACCGACCAUAUCGCAGGAGCAUUCAAUGCAAGGAUCACCUGACACCUUAUCCUGACGCGCGUUCCUCAGUCGACAGGGCCAAAGUGAUCGCAGUCAUUUCGUCCCUCCACUGACUGACCUGACAGAAAAACAGCACCGCCUGCCCUGCUCCGACUGCUGUGCCACCCGCCAGGGUGAGGCUGACAGCAGCCAAGUCCAGCCUCAGGCGCCAUAGGAAGCUCUGCCUCGCCCGACCCCAGGGCUCGGCCCCCGCCUCGGCCUCGGAAGACGGUAUCCGCCUCGCCCGACCCCAGGGCUCGGACUCAACCUCGACCCCGGAAGACGGUCUCCGCCUCGCCCGACCCCAGGGCUCGGACUCAGCCUCGACCUCAGAGGAGUCACCGCCUCGCCCGACCUUAGGCUCGGACCGACCACGCUACAAGGGGAUACAUCAUUACCCUACCCCUAGCUAGCUCAGGCUACGGGGAACAAGACCGGCGUCCCAUCUGGCUCGCCCCGGUAAACAAGUAAUGCUGGUACCCCGCGUGCUCCCAUGACGACGGCGGUUCUCAGCCCCCUACAGAAGCAAGGAGACGUCAGCAAGGAUCCGACAGCCCCGACAGCUGUGCUUCUAUAGGGCUCAAGCGCUCCUCCGACGGCCACGACAUCACAUGAACAGGGCACUAACACCUCUCCGAUAGCCACGUCGGCAUGUACAUAGGGCUCUGGCUCCUCUCUGCUAGACACGUUAGCACAUUGCUACACUCCCCAUUGUACACCUGGACCCUCUCCUUACAUCUAUAAAAGGAAGGUCCAGGGCCCUCGUAUGAGAAGGUGGCCGCGCGGGAGGACGGGCUGACGGACAGUCUCUCUCUCUCCCUCGCGAACGCUUGUAACCCCCUACUGCAAGCGCAUCUGCCCUGGGCGCAGGAUAACACGAGCUGCGGUUUUCCCCCUUGUGUUCCAUCUCGCGCCGACCCAUCUGGGCUGGGACACGCAGCGAUAAUUUACUCGUCGGUCCAGGGACCCCCCGGGGUCGAAACGCCGACAGUGGUAGAUUGACUUUAAUGAAUAGCUGUUUGAAAAAUGUCCCUCUUUACAUGUUAUCCAUUUAUCCUGCUCCUAAGUUUGUGGUUAGGAAAAUGGACAUUUAUAGGAAAAGGCUUCUGUGGCAAGGAGGACAUAAUUCAAGGAAAAUACACUUAGCUAAUUGGGCCACAUUUUGCUCUCCAAAAAAUUAGGUGGGUCUGGGUGCUCUAAACCUUGAAAAUAUGAAUGAUGCUUUGAUGACCAAAUGGUUGUGGAAUAUAGAAAACUUAAAUGGCUUGUGGCAAAAAUUUAUUAAUGAAAAUACAUUAAGGGAAAACCCUUUAUUUCUGUUAAAAAAGACAUAGUAAUUCUCAUUUUUGGAAAAAAGUGUUGGACGAGAGAUGUGUUUUAUAAGCACUGUAGGAUGAUUGUUGGCAAUGGUAGGAAAAUCAGUUUCAGUUUCUGGAAAAACACUUGGACUGGUGAUUCUCCUUUGGCUGCCAGGUUCCCUUGUUUAUUUGAUCUGACGCAUGAUAAAUAUAUUUCAGUCAAUAAAGUCUUGUCUUCAAAUUUUUUGGCCCUCUCCUUUAGGAGAAGGAUCAUGGACAGUUUAAACUUGAUGUAUGAUGAACUGAUUGACUGUUGCAGCAGUCAACAAGUGACUGGCCAGGAAGACAAGAUAGUUUGGACCCUUGGUAAAAAUGGUUUUUCUGUAAACUCCCUUUAUAAAAGAAAAAUAUGCCAUCUGGCAUAUGUGCCUUAUCAGUUUUUGUGGAAAACCAAAUUACCUUAUAAAAUUAAGGUAUUUCUUUGGUUGGUUGUGAGAAACAAAAUUCUCACAAAAGAUAAUCUGAAAAAAAGAAACUGGCAUGGAUUAAGUGAUUGCUGCUUCUGUGGUCACAAUGAAUCGAUUGAGCACUUAUUUUUUUUGACUGUCUUGUUGCUAGAUAUGUGUGGAGGGUAAUUUAGGUUGCUUUAUGUUUGGACUUCAUUCCAAAAAAUAUUAAGGAACUUUCCGGCAUUUGGAUGAAAGGUCCUAAGAAUAAGAUCACUAAUAUGUUCUUGUUUGGGUGCGGUGAUGUUUUAUGGGCUAUUUGGAGAACCAGAAAUGAUUGGUGCUUUGGUGAUAAAUCUUUGUUUGAUCACUCUAACGUCAUAUUUUUUGCUGCUUCUAGCUAGAUUCCUAGGCUAUUCGACAGAAAGAGAAGGAAAAAAUGGUGGUACAAGGAAGCAAGCUCAUCAGAAGGACGACAAGUGAAGUUUUGUGACGUGCCUAUGGUUGAAGACCUAGAAAUCGUCUUAUUACUGGGUAGUGGGUUCCAAAGCUUUUGGCUAUAUUUGCUUGUCUUGCAUCUACCUGUAGGUUGUUAAUGUUGAACUUCUGUGUGUUUGCGUUGCCUAUUGCAUUUGAUGUAAUAAGCAAAGCUUAUGGAUGUUAUCAGGGCUUGUGUCUCGCUACGGUAGAUCUCUUUUCUAUCAAUUUAGCUAGGUAUUAUAGAGGUUUUUUAGUGUUGUGCUUGUGCUAGUCAAAGUAGGCCUGGCUGCUUUUAGUAGCGUUCCUUGUAAUGUACUUGUUUCUAUUUCUUAAUGAAAUAGGGAGCUCUGCUCCGUGGAAAAUAAAAACUAAUUAUCAUGUAAAUUUGUGGACCUUACGCGCCCAGUAAAUUUGUGGACCUUACGCGCCCAGGGAAACUUGCACGAAAUUGUACAUUCAUGAAACUAACCUGUCAAGCCUUGACUCCUGUGCAUGGCACACUGAGGUCUCCUUUUGUAUAUAAGGUACCCAAGUCCGGACUCCGGAGGACACUGCACUGCUCACCGGUCACCACAAGCAGCGAAGAAUCGCCCGACCCAAAACCUUAUUGCCUUGCUGGCUGCAAUGGUCACCAGCCCUCUCCGGCUACUCCCCGUGCUCUUGUCGCUCUGUAUAAUCUCCAUCAUCCACCUGUGUCCUGGCGUCGUCUCCACUUCGCCCCUCUCCUUCGACGUGCAGUUCAUACCGUGGGGCUACGACCCACAGGAAGUCGGCUUCCAUCAGAUCAUCGCCCCAAGAAACCUCAGUAGCAGAAUCCAUGCGAGCCGUCCGUACACGGCCCACCAGAAGAGUCAAGUGCUCCCUCGCAAGAAGCGGAAGAAGUUCGUGCCUGACAGGUGCGACUGCUCAAAGCAGAUCGACGGGGUGAUGUACAUGCGCCCGGCGCCGCUCCGGGACGAGGCCACCGGCGACGUCGCAAGCUUCAAGAUGACCUUGUGUUACAGAAUCAACCCUCGUCAAGCAGAUGAUGGUACCGAAUUCAACCACGGUGGCCGCAACAUUGGUCUGUUCCUGUUCCUCGUACCUUACCCCUGGAAUUCCAAUGAUGAGAGGAUAGAGGUUGGGCUCCACAGCAAGUGCAUAGAGGCGAAGAUGAAGCAGUACAGCAGCAUCGGCGGUGACGCAGUAGUGUGUGCCCAUGUCCACUACGACAGCGCCAAGGAGCUGCUGAUCACCAACGUCCUCGUGGACGACCAUUCCUGCACCUGCGGAAGGAAACUCAACCGGAGCAGCAUGCCCAGGGAGGCGGCCGUCGGUUUUGCCUCGAUCAACGCCGGCGACCCGAUUGAGCUGCGAAACAUUAUUACCUGGGCGUUCCAUUCCAAGCUGGAGUCCAAGGAUCCCCCGCUGAUGACGACGCAGCCUGCUCAAGUGGAAACCCCAACCGGCGGUGAGGAGAGCUCCUGGCCGAUAGACAGGGGGCAGCAGCGAUUCCGUGUGGAUCCUUGGACUAGGAACGCUGAAUUGAAUCUACAGUACCAGCGGAACUGGCAACGGAAUUGGCAGCUCACAUGUAGUCUCAGCAUCUCUGUAGGCUAUGGAAACACAAAUGGUGACAUGGAUUAGAAUUCAAGCUACCAAUUCUACCUGCAGGCUAGGGGGUAUAUGAAACCUAAUGAAAAAUUGAAGUAAUAUGAAAAAGAAAACUUAGAUGCAGGUGGUUUUUUUACAAUUUUCUCGGUAAUAUCGUGAUAUGAAAUGGCUAUUAUUAUAUUACUUGUGCUAUUGUAUGUUUAUAUUUGGAAUUCAGGCUCCGGCCUCCCCAUCCUUUCACUGGUCUCUACUACUACUUAAGACGUUAGUGUAUAGAUGGCCAAUAAGCAGGAGGCCCGCGAGUCUGGCACGAAGCCCGCUGUUUGGGCCCGGUCCGAGUCUGGCACAGCCCGGUUCGAGCCCGGCACGGCCCAGUUCUAUGUGGGCCCGGGCCGGCCCGGCACGAAUAAGCGGGCCGGGCUCGGACAACAAACUAGGCACGGUGGGCUAGCCCGGCACGACCCGUUUACCUCUAAGCACGACCCGCUUUUUGCACUAAAACAUGCUUUUCGACCCGCUUUCGACCCGCUUUUUUCGUGCUAAACUGCGGGCCGGGCUCGGACAAAGAAUCGAGCCCGCGGGCUUAGAAGGCUGAUAGUCGCCUAGAGGGGGGGUGAAUAGGGCGAAACUGAAAUUUACAAAUAUAAACACAACUACAAGCCGGGUUAGCGUUAGAAAUAUAAACGAGUCCGCAAGAGAGGGCGCAAAACAAAUCGCGAGCAAAUGAUGAAGUGUGACACACGGAUUUGUUUUACCGAGGUUCGGUUCUCUCAAACCUACUCCCCGUUGAGGAGGCCACAAAGGCCGGGUCUCUUUCAACCCUUCCCUCUCUCAAACGGUCCCUCGGACCGAGUGAGCUUCUCUUCUCAAAUCAAAGCUGGGAACAAAACUUCCCCGCAAGGGCCACCACACAAUUGGUGCCUCUUGCCUUGAUUACAAUGGAGUUGUGAUCUCAAGAACAAGUGAGAAAGAAAAGAAGCAAUCCAAGCGCAAGAGCUCAAAUGAACACGGCAAAUCACUCUCACUAGUCACUAGGGCUUUGUGUGGAAUUGGAGAGGAUUUGAUCUCUUUAGUGUGUCAAGAAUUGAAUGCUAGAGCUCUUGUAGUAGUUGAGAAGUGGAAAAACUUGGAUGCAAUGAAUGGUGGGGUGGUUGGGGUAUUUAUAGCCCCAACCACCAAACUUGACCGUUGGCUGGAGGUGUCUGCUCGAUGGCGUACCGGACAGUCCGGUGCACACCGGACAGUCCGGUGCCCCUGCCACGUCAUCACUGCCGUUGGAUUCUGACCGUUGGAGCUUCUGACUUGUGGGCCCGCCUGGGUGUCCGGUGCACACCGGACAUGUACUGUUUGAUGUCCGGUGCACCGGUAUGGGCGUGCCUGCCGUCUGCGCGCGCUGCGCGCGCAUUAAAUGCAGCGCAGGGAGCCGUUGGCGCCGCAGGGAGCCGUUGCUCCGCUGGCACACCGGACAGUCCGGUGCACACCGGACAGUCCGGUGAAUUAUAGCGGAGCGGCUGCCACGCGAACCCGAGGCUGGCGAGUUCCGGAGACCGCGCUUCCUUGGAGCACCGGACAUGUCCGGUGCACACCGGACAGUCCGGUGAAUUAUAGCGCGCCGUCUUCCGAGAAUUCCCGAGAGUGAAGAGUUGGAGUCUGAGUCCCCUGGUGCACCGGACAGGUACUGUUCACUGUCCGGUGGCACACCGGACAGUCCGGUGCGCCAGACCAGGGGUGCCCUCGGUUGCCCCUUUGCUCCUUGAUUGAAUCCAACACUUGGUCUUUUUAUUGGCUGAGUGUGAACCUUUUACACCUGUAUAAUCUAUACACUUGGGCAAACUAGUUAGUCCAAAGAUUUGUGUUGGGCAAUUCAAUCACCAAAAUUAUUUAGGAACUAGGUGUAAGCCUAUUUCCCUUUCAAUCUCCCCCUUUUUGGUGAUUGAUGCCAACACAAACCAAAGCAAACAGAGAUGUGCAUAAUUGAACUAGUUUGCAUAAUGUAAGUGUAAAGAUUGCUUGAAAUUGAGCCAAUAUAACUACUUACAAGAUAUGCAUGGAAUGUUUCUUUCUUAUUUAGUAUUUUGGACCACUCUUGCACCACAUGUUUUGUUUUUGCAAAAUUUUUGGAAAUUCAUUUCAAAGAUCUUUUGCAAAUAGUCAAAGGUGAAUGAAUAAGAGUUUGCAAAGCAUUUUCAGGAUUUGAAAUUUUCUCCCCCUGUUUCAAAUGCUUUUCCUUUGACUAAACAAAACUCCCCCUAAAAGAGAUCCACCUCUUAGUGUUCAAGAGGGUUUUGAUAUAUCAUUUUUGAAAUACUACUUUCUCCCCCUUUUGAACACAAUAGGAUACCAAAUGAUAAAUACUUUUGGAAAGCAAUAAGUUUUUUUUUUUGAAUUUGGUGGUGGUGGUGCGGUCCUUUUGCUUUGGGCUCAUUUCUCCCCCUUUUUGGCAUGAAUCACCAAAAACGGAAUCAUUAGAGCCCUCGAAGUAAUUUCUUCCCCUUUGGUCAUAAGUAAAUGAGUUAAGAUUAUACCAAAGACGAAGUCCGGUCCUUUUGCUUUUGAGCUUUUACUCUCUCCCCCAGGGAUGAAGUCCUUUUCUUUGAUGCUCAUUUUUCCCCCCAAAGAAUAGAGAGUUGCUCGGAGUGACGGCGAAGUAUGAGUUACGGAGUGGAAGCCCUUUUUUUCUUUGCCGAAGACUCCAAUUCCCUUUCAAUAUACCUAUGACUUGGUUUGAAAUAGACUUGAAAACACAUUAGUCAUAGCAUAUAAAAGAGAUAUGAUUAAAGGUAUUCAAAUGAGCUAUGUGCGCAAGCUAGCAAAAGAAAUUUCUAGAAUCAAGAAUAUUGAGCUCAUGCCUAAGUCUGGUAAAAGAUUGUUCAUCAAGUGGCUUGGUAAAGAUAUCGGCUAAUUGAUCUUUAGUGUUAAUGUAAGAAAUCUCGAUAUCUCCCUUUUGUUGGUGAUCCCUAAGAAAAUGAUACCGAAUGGCUAUGUGCUUAGUGCGGCUAUGCUCGACGGGAUUGUCGGCCAUUUUAAUUGCACUCUCAUUAUCACAUAGCAAAGGGACUUUGGUUAAUUUGUAACCGUAGUCCCGCAGGGUUUGCCUCAUCCAAAGCAAUUGCGCGCAACAAUGUCCUGCGGCAAUGUACUCGGCUUCGGCGGUGGAAAGAGCGACCGAAUUUUGCUUCUUUGAAGCCCAAGACACCAAGGAUCUUCCCAAGAAUUGGCAAGUCCCCGAUGUGCUCUUCCUAUUGAUUUUGCACCCCGCCCAAUCGGCAUCCGAAUAACCAAUCAAAUCAAAUGUGGAUCCCCGAGGGUACCAAAGCCCAAACUUAGGUGUGUAAGCCAAAUAUCUCAAGAUUCGUUUUACGGCCGUAAGGUGGGAUUCCUUAGGGUCGGAUUGGAACCUUGCACACAUGCAAACGGAGAGCAUAAUGUCCGGUCGAGAUGCACAUAAAUAAAGCAAUGAACCAAUCAUCGACCGGUAUACCUUUUGAUCCACGGACUUACCUCCCGUGUCGAGGUCGAGAUGCCCAUUGGUUCCCAUGGGAGUCUUGAUGGGCUUGGCAUCCUUCAUUCCAAACUUGGUUAGGAUGUCUUGAGUGUACUUCGUUUGGCAAAUGAAGGUGCCCUCUUGGAGUUGCUUGACUUGGAAUCCUAGAAAAUACUUCAACUCCCCCAUCAUCGACAUCUCGAAUUUCUGUGUCAUGAUCCUACUAAACUCUUCACAUGUAGACUCGUUAGUAGACCCAAAUAUAAUAUCAUCAACAUAGAUUUGGCAUACAAACAAGUCAUUUUCAAGAGUUUUAGUAAAGAGUGUAGGAUCGGCCUUGCCGACUUUGAAGCCAUUAGUAAUAAGGAAAUCUCUUAGGCAUUCAUACCAUGCUCUUGGGGCUUGCUUGAGCCCAUAAAGCGCCUUAGAGAGCCUAUAUACAUGGUUAGGGUACUCACUGUCUUCAAAGCCGGGAGGUUGCUCAACAUAGACCUCUUCUUUGAUUGGUCCGUUGAGGAAGGCACUUUUCACGUCCAUUUGAUAGAGCUUAAAGCCAUGGUAAGUAGCAUAGGCCAAUAAUAUGCGAAUUGACUCAAGCCUAGCUACGGGUGCAUAGGUUUCACCGAAAUCCAAACCUUCGACUUGGGAGUAUCCCUUGGCCACAAGUCGUGCUUUGUUCCUUGUCACCACACCAUGCUCAUCUUGCUUGUUGCGGAAGACCCAUUUGGUUCCUACAACAUUUUGGUUAGGACGUGGAACCAAAUGCCAUACCUCAUUCCUUGUGAAGUUGUUGAGCUCUUCUUGCAUCGCCACCACCCAAUCCGAAUCUUGAAGUGCUUCCUCUAUCCUGUGUGGCUCAAUAGAGGAAACAAAAGAGUAAUGUUCACAAAAAUGUGCAACACGAGAUCGAGUGGUUACCCCCUUAUGAAUGUCGCCGAGGAUGGUGUCGACGGGGUGAUCUCGUUGGAUUGCUUGGUGGACUCUUGGGUGUGGCGGCCUUGGUUCCUCCUCAUUCUCCUUUUCUUGAUCAAUUACAUCUCCCCCUUGAUCAUUGCCAUUAUCUUGAGGUGGCUCAUCUUCUUGAUUUUGCCCUUCAUCAACUUGAGCUUCAUCCUCAUUUUGAGUUGGUGGAGAUGCUUGCAUGGAGGAGGACGGUUGAUCUUGUGCAUUUGGAGGCUCUUCGAAUUCCUUAGGACACACAUCCCCAAUGGACAUGUUCCUUAGCGCUAUGCAUGGAGCCUGUUCUUCACCUAUCUCAUCAAGAUCAACUUGCUCUACUUGAGAGCCGUUAGUUUCAUCAAACACAACGUCACAUGAGACUUCAACUAGUCCAGUGGACUUGUUAAAGACUCUAUAUGCCCUUGCGUUUGAGUCAUACCCAAGUAAAAAGCCUUCUACAGUUUUAGGAGCAAAUUUAGAUUUUCUACCUCUUUUAACAAGAAUAAAGCAUUUGCUACCAAAAACUCUAAAGUAUGAAAUGUUGGGCUUUUUACCGGUUAGGAGUUCAUAUGAUGUCUUCUUGAGGAUUCGGUGAAGAUAUAACCGGUUGAUGGCGUAGCAGGCGGUGUUGACCGCUUCGGCCCAAAACCGGUCCGGUGUCUUGUACUCAUCAAGCAUGGUUCUUGCCAUGUCCAAAAGAGUUCGAUUCUUCCUCUCCACUACACCAUUUUGUUGAGGCGUGUAGGGAGAAGAGAACUCAUGCUUGAUGCCCUCCUCCUCAAGGAAGCUUUCAAUUUGAGAGUUCUUGAACUCCGUCCCGUUGUCGCUUCUUAUUUUCUUGAUCCUUAAGCCGAACUCAUUUUGAGCCCGUCUCAAGAACCCCUUUAAGGUCUCUUGGGUUUGGGAUUUUUCCUGUAAAAAGAAUACCCAAGUGAAGCGAGAAUAAUCAUCCACUAUUACAAGACAAUACUUACUCCCGCCGAUGCUUAUGUAAGCAAUCGGGCCGAAUAGAUCCAUGUGGAGUAGCUCAAGCGGCCUGUCGGUCGUCAUGAUGUUCUUGUGUGGAUGAUGGACUCCAACUUGCUUCCCUGCCUGGCAUGCGCUACAAAUCCUGUCUUUCUCAAAAUGAACAUUUGUUAAUCCUAAAAUGUGCUCUCCCUUUAGAAGCUUAUGAAGAUUCUUCAUCCCAACAUGGGCUAGUCGGCGGUGCCAGAGCCAACCCAUGUUAGUCUUAGCAAUUAAGCAUGUGUCAAGUUCAGCUCUAUCAAAAUCCACUAAGUAUAGCUGACCCUCUAACACACCCUUAAAUGCUAUUGAAUCAUCACUUCUUCUAAAGACAGUGACACCUGUAUCAGUAAAAAGACAGUUGUAGCCCAUUUGACAUAAUUGGGAAACAGAAAGCAAGUUGUAGUCUAAGGAGUCAACAAGAAAAACAUUGGAAAUAGAAUGGUCAGGAGAUAUAGCAAUUUUACCAAGUCCUUUGACCAAACCUUGAUUUCCAUCCCCGAAUGUGAUAGCUCGUUGGGGAUCUUGGUUUUUCUCAUAUGAGGAGAACAUCCUUUUCUCCCCGGUCAUGUGGUUUGUGCACCCGCUGUCGAGUAUCCAGCUUGAGCCCCCGGAUGCAUAAACCUACAAAACAAUUUUAGUUCUUGACUUUAGGUACCCAAAUGGUUUUGGGUCCUUUGGCAUUAGACACAAGAACUUUGGGUACCCAAACACAAGUCCUUGACCCCUUGUGCUUGCCCCCAACAUAUUUGGCAACUACUUUGCCGGAUUUGUUAGUCAACACAUAAGAAGCAUCAAAAGUUUUAAAUGAAAUAGCAUGAUCAUUUGAUGCAUUAGGAGUUUUCUUUCUAGGCAACUUGGCACGGGUUGGUUGCCUAGAGCUAGAUGUCUCACCCUUAUACAUAAAAGCAUGAUUAGGGCCAGAGUGAGACUUCCUAGAAUGAAUUCUCCUAAUUUUGUCCUCGGGAUAACCGGCAGGGUAUAAAAUGUAACCCUCGUUAUCCUGAGGCAUGGGAGCCUUGCCCUUAACAAAAUUUGACAAUCUUUUAGCAGGGGCACUAAUUUUGACAUUGUCUCCCCUUUGGAAGCCAAUGCCAUCCUUAAUGCCAGGGCGUCUCCCAUUAUAAAGCAUGCUACGAGCAAAUUUAAAUUUCUCAUUUUCUAAGUUGUGCUCGGUAAUUUUAGCAUCUAAUUUAGCUAUAUGAUCAUUUUGUUGCUUAAUUAAAAUCAUGUGAUCAUGAAUAGCAUCAAUAUCAACAUUUCUACAUCUAGUACAAAUAGUGACAUGUUCAAUGGUAGAUGUAGAUGGUUUGCAAGAAUUAAGUUCAACAAUCUUAGCACGAAGUAUAUCAUUCUUAUCUCUAAGAUCGGCAAUUGUAACUUUGCAAACAUCAAAAUCUUUGGCCUUAGCAAUCAAAUUUUCAUUCUCUAAUCUAAGGCUAGCAAGAGAAAUGUUUAAUUCUUCAAUCCUAGCAAGCAAAUCAACAUUAUCAUCUCUAGGAUUUGAAGUUGAAACAUUGCAAACAUGUGAAUCAACCUUAGCAUUUAAGAUAGCAUUUUCAUUUCUAAGGUUGUCAAUCAUCUCACGACAAGUGCUUAGCUCACUAGAUAAUUUUUCACAUUUCUCAAUUUCCAGAGCAUAAGCCUUUUUAACCUUAACAUGUUUUUUGUUUUCUUUAAUUAGACAAUCCUCUUGGGAAUCCAAAAGGUCAUCCUUUUCAUGAAUAGCACUAACCAAUUCAUUCAAUUUUUCCUUUUGAGCUAUGUUAAGGUUGGCAAAAAGGGAACGCAAAUUAUUUUCCUCAUCACUAGCAUUGUCAUCACUAGAGGAUUCAUAUUUAGUGGAGGAUUUAGAUUUAACCUUCUUUUUGCCGUCCUUUGCCAUGAGGCACUUGUGGCCGACGUUGGGGAAGAGGAGUCCCUUGGUGACGGCGAUGUUGGCGGCGUCCUCGUCGUCGGAGGAGUCGCUUGAGCUCUCAUCGGAAUCCCAUUCCCGACAAACAUGGGCAUCGCCGCCCUUCUUCUUGUAGUACCUCUUCUUCUCCUUUCUUCUCCCCUUCUUGUCGUCGCCUCGGUCACUGUCACUAGAUAUAGGACAUUUAGCAAUAAAAUGACCGGGCUUACCACAUUUGUAGCAAACCUUCUUGGAGCGGGACUUGUAGUCUUUCCCCCUCCUUUGUUUGAGGAUUUGGCGGAAGCUCUUGAUGACGAGCGCCAUUUCCUCAUUGUCGAGCUUGGAGGCGUCGAUUGGUUGUCUACUUGGUGUAGACUCCUCCUUCUUGUCCUCCGUUGCCUUGAAGGCUACCGGUUGCGCCUCGGAUGUGGAUGGUUCGUCAAGCUCGUUGAUUUUCUUGGAGCCUUUGAUCAUGCAUUCAAAGCUCACAAAAUUCCCGAUAACUUCCUCGGGGGUCAUUUUAGUGUAUCUAGGAUUACCACGAAUCAAUUGAACUUGAGUGGGGUUAAGGAAAAUGAGAGAUCUUAGAAUAACCUUAACCACCUCGUGGUCGUCCCACUUUAUGCUCCCGAGGUUGCGCACUUGGUUCACCAAGGUUUUGAGCCGGUUGUACAUGUCUUGUGGCUCUUCCCCUUGGCGAAGACGAAAACGACCGAGCUCCCCCUCGAUCGUUUCCCGCUUGGUGAUCUUGGUGAGUUCAUCACCCUCGUGUGCCGUCUUGAGUAGGUCCCAAAUCUCCUUUGCAUUUUUCAACCCUUGCACUUUGUUGUAUUCCUCCUUGCUUAGAGAGGCAAGGAGUAUGGUUGUGGCUUGGGAGUUGAAGUGCUCGAUUUGGGCCACCUCAUCCUCAUCAUAGUUUUCAUCCCCUACGGAUGGUACCUGCGCGCCAAACUCAACAACAUCCCAUAUGCUUUUGUGGAGCGAGGUUAGAUGAAAUCGCAUUAAAUCGCUCCACCUAGCGUAAUCUUCACCAUCAAAAGUUGGUGGUUUGCCUAAUGGGACGGAAAGUAAAGGUGUAUGUUUGGAAAUGCGAGGGUAGCGUAGGGGGAUCUUACUAUACUUCUUGCGCUCUUGGCGCUUAGAAGUGACGGAGGGCGCAUCGGAGUCGGAGGUAGAAGUUGAUGAAGUGUCGGUCUCGUAGUAGACCACCUUCCUCAUCCUCUUAUGCUUGUCGCCUUUCCGAUGCGGCUUGUGGGAAGAAGAUUUUUCCUUCUUCUCUUGGUGGUGAGAAGAGGAAGCCUUUUUCUCCUUCCGUUUGGAGGAAUCCUUUUUCUUCUCCUUUCUCUUGGUGCGGGACUCUUCCGAUGAAGUGCUCCCGUGGCUUGUAGUGGGCUUUUCGCCGGUCUCCAUCUCCUUCUUGGCGUGAUCUCCCGACAUCACUUCGAGCGGUUAGGCUCUAAUGAAGCACCGGGCUCCGAUACCAAUUGAUAGUCGCCUAGAGGGGGGGUGAAUAGGGCGAAACUGAAAUUUACAAAUAUAAACACAACUACAAGCCGGGUUAGCGUUAGAAAUAUAAACGAGUCCGCAAGAGAGGGCGCAAAACAAAUCGCGAGCAAAUGAUGAAGUGUGACACACGGAUUUGUUUUACCGAGGUUCGGUUCUCUCAAACCUACUCCCCGUUGAGGAGGCCACAAAGGCCGGGUCUCUUUCAACCCUUCCCUCUCUCAAACGGUCCCUCGGACCGAGUGAGCUUCUCUUCUCAAAUCAAAGCCGGCAACAAAACUUCCCCGCAAGGGCCACCACACAAUUGGUGCCUCUUGCCUUGAUUACAAUGGAGUUGUGAUCUCAAGAACAAGUGAGAAAGAAAAGAAGCAAUCCAAGCGCAAGAGCUCAAAUGAACACGGCAAAUCACUCUCACUAGUCACUAGGGCUUUGUGUGGAAUUGGAGAGGAUUUGAUCUCUUUAGUGUGUCAAGAAUUGAAUGCUAGAGCUCUUGUAGUAGUUGAGAAGUGGAAAAACUUGGAUGCAAUGAAUGGUGGGGUGGUUGGGGUAUUUAUAGCCCCAACCACCAAACUUGACCGUUGGCUGGAGGUGUCUGCUCGAUGGCGCACCGGACAGUCCGGUGCACACCGGACAGUCCGGUGCCCCUGCCACGUCAUCACUGCCGUUGGAUUCUGACCGUUGGAGCUUCUGACUUGUGGGCCCGCCUGGGUGUCCGGUGCACACCGGACAUGUACUGUUUGAUGUCCGGUGCACCGGUAUGGGCGUGCCUGCCGUCUGCGCGCGCUGCGCGCGCAUUAAAUGCAGCGCAGGGAGCCGUUGGCGCCGCAGGGAGCCGUUGCUCCGCUGGCACACCGGACAGUCCGGUGCACACCGGACAGUCCGGUGAAUUAUAGCGGAGCGGCUGCCACGCGAACCCGAGGCUGGCGAGUUCCGGAGACCGCGCUUCCUUGGAGCACCGGACAUGUCCGGUGCACACCGGACAGUCCGGUGAAUUAUAGCGCGCCGUCUUCCGAGAAUUCCCGAGAGUGAAGAGUUGGAGUCUGAGUCCCCUGGUGCACCGGACAGGUACUGUUCACUGUCCGGUGGCACACCGGACAGUCCGGUGCGCCAGACCAGGGGUGCCCUCGGUUGCCCCUUUGCUCCUUGAUUGAAUCCAACACUUGGUCUUUUUAUUGGCUGAGUGUGAACCUUUUACACCUGUAUAAUCUAUACACUUGGGCAAACUAGUUAGUCCAAAGAUUUGUGUUGGGCAAUUCAAUCACCAAAAUUAUUUAGGAACUAGGUGUAAGCCUAUUUCCCUUUCAAAGGCCCGGCCCGGUUUCCUAACCGUGCCUGGCGGGCCGUGCCCAAAACGGGGCGUGCUUCACUGGGCCCGGGCCGGGCCGGGCGGCCCGUUUGGCCAUCUCUCCGUUAGUGUAGGCGUCCACAUUUUUUUGGUGCACGGUUCUGCCAUCUGCCGUCGCCCACUCUCCUCUCUCGUGCCCCCGCUCUCUGCUGUUCGCCGCCAGACCCGCAAUCUGCGCGCUGUCUCGCCAACAGACCCGCCCCGCCCCCGCUGUCCUCUCUCGCGCCCCCGCUCUCUCGCCCCGGCUACACCACGCCCCCGCUCCAUCCCUGCAGCGCGUCUGUGGCCCUCCGCCCUCGCCCCCCCUCCCCACAAAUCUCGCCUCCUCACCCAACGCCAUCAGCGCUGCCCUCCGCUCCAUCCCUGCAGCGCAGACCUCCACCACCGUCACCACCCUUCCUCACCGCGCAAUCACCACCCUUCCCCACGUGCCUCGGCCGCCAUCUGCGGCAUCACCUUCCUUCCCCAUGCGCCGAGGUCGCCAUCUGCGCCAUCACCUUCCUUCCCCACGCGCGCGCCCCCUCCUCCGUGCGUGCCCCGCCCCCGUCCUUCGCUCACCCGAUGCCCCACCACCUCCGCCGCGAUAGCCUCCCCCAGAAGUGCCCCCGUGAUGUUUGCCCCGCUGCGAACCCCUCCCCCUAGAUGGAAUAAGCAGAGGUCCAAUGCGGAUCCGUGGCCCCCGACCCUCCACCUUGGUGUGCCGGUCGCGGCUCCGUGGAGGCAACUUGCUCCCUCGCUCCCACCUCCCACGCCGCCACCACUGCCGCCUUCAGCACGCCGCUCAGCCCAAGCCCGCCCGCCUCCAAAUGUGGAUCUGCCGCCCCGGCCCUCCACCUUGGUGUGCCGGUCGCGCCUCCGUGUAGGUGGAUUGCUCGAUGAGGCGCUAGACUCCAACGACAUCGGGUGGGACGAGGCAAACCCAAGCGAGUAUUAUCCCAGGUGCUUUAAAAACUACUUUUGUCUUUUCAUAGCCUUAUCUGAUUCUGCUUCCAUUUCCUGCUAUGUUUCGAUGGAGGCAGAAGUAAAGACGAUAGUACCCGAUGACGUCCUGGGCAAGGCCGAGGCAAGGUGUUCCAUUACUCCGUCGUGUUUUAUUUCAUUUGUACUACUGCCGUCUCCUAUGGUUUAAUUUCAACAGUACAAACGGAGCUCAUCCUGUCUCUUUGGUUGAAGCUUUCCCAAAUAUGAGAUUUUUAAAGGUCGUUAUGAUAUCAAAUUAUUAAUAAUGGAUCUCCCAGGCUUGGUAAAUUAGUAGUUCUAAGGUAUUACCACUACUAUUUUUGGUACAUCUCGAUCCUGUCUCUUGUGCAUUAUCCAUCCAGAUAGGUGAGUUUGUCUAUGUCAAUAGAAUCAUUUGCUGAAAUGAGGACACACUAUUUAUCUAUCAAGACACUUUGUAAUAAAGGUGUCGGAGAGGGAAUUCUCCGGCUGGGUGGUGGAGUGCACCCGCCCUAAAUCCUAAGAUGAGGAAGGGGCUUAAGUGUUUUGCCUGUCCUGCUAAGCAAUCGUUGAGCACAUGAACACGCGAGGAUUUAGAGUGGUUCAGGCCGCCGGAGCGUAAUAUCCUACUCCACUGUGUUUUGGAUUGCUGUCAAAGCUUGAGAGCUGAGAGUUUGAGUUUUGUCUAAGAGAGUCUGCCCUGUGAGAGCUUGUGUUGUAACGUUGCAUACCUCUCCUUUUAUAGCUAAGGGGGGUAUGAACAAGGGUACUGAGCCCCGACAUGUGGGCUCAGGAACAUAACGAAUGUAGUACUUGGAGCUACUAAUGUUUGCUGCUGGGGCAGUCUUCUCGCGCCCUGACAUCCGAGAUCUGCGUAGCAUAGGCGGGCAGGGAAACUUCCUGUAUAAGGGAUGAUGAGCACAGUGCACCGCGCAGCACGGGCGCACUGUUUGACAAUGGAUAGGACAGGAGUGCGCCGUCUACAGGAUGGCCCUGGCGCUGCCUGCCAGCGGAGUGGACAGGACGCAUUAAAUGCCGAGGGGGCACAUCGCUUGUCAGCAGGGCGGACAGGCGGCGCGUCCUUUUCGCAAUAAAUGCAGAGACCGCGCGGCCUAGAGGCCUUACGUCAGGCUCCGCCUGCUGGCUUAUGUCACGGGCAACAACCACGUGGCAGCAUCGGGACUCCGCCUGAGCGGGGAGCGCAAGCGCACAGGGUAAGGCCUGGACACGUGUCAGUACCGGACCCUUGCUUACGCCAGGGUCCCCCUGUCCCGGGACCUCGUUGUGGCCCGGACCUAGACCCCAUCCAAGAGACCCGGUAUGCUUACUUGGGAGUCUCGGGCCGUAACCGGGGGUCCGGGUUGUGCGUACAGGGGUUCGGUGCUUCUUCGCGGAGGUUUGGCCCAAUUGAUACGUCCUGGGAUGUAUCAUCUUUUCCCGCCAUGUGGUGCCCCUUGAGCCGUCCACGUGGUGGAGUCGGGUGCUAUUCACCAUGCAGCUAGAGAACGCCGUAUGGGCACCGCACCUUCAUACUGUAGUAAGGGGUACCCCUGAUUCAGGGUACCGACAGUGGCCCCCGGGCCCGCCUCAGGGGGGGAUACGAGCCUGUAGGUGGGGCCAAAAUUUGAUUGGCGAUUGGCUCGCUGUUUUUGUGCGCCCGUUGGCGUAAUUGCUUCUGUUCCGCCCUUGGUCACGCCGACUGCCAUGCCUGCCCCUGCGGCCAACUGACCCAUGACCUCCGCACUUAAUGGCUUUGUUGGGCCAUGCGCGGGGUGCCUCGAGUCACUGCAUUGGUUUUGAAAAUUUAUCUUCUCAGUCUUCUGUGACGGCCCUGAGGAGACGCGACAUUGGCGCGAGCGGCGGUGCAACUUCUCUGCACCCAAAAACCGGCAUGCCAAGUGUAUGACAUGUGGGCCUGGGCCCUCAUGCCAGAGGUUGGGCCGCUGGUUGCGGCAAAGCCGAGGGGGCGCACAACCGCGGGGCGAUUGCACGCUCCUUGUGCGGCGGUUCGUCCUCUUGACCGUUGGUUGCGGCGAACAUGAAGGGGCGCACAACCGCGGGGCGGUUGUACGUUCCUUGUGCGGCGGUUCGCCUUCUUGACCGUUGGUUGCGGCGAAGAUGAAGGGGCGCACAACCGCGGGGCGGUUGCAUGCUCCUUGUGCGGCGGUUCGCCUUCUUCGCGCUUUGGGCCAGCUUGUAUGACAUGUGAGGCCUGGCCCCCGUGUCAUAGGAUGGGAACCUUGGUGCGCAUUGGGGGAGGCCCUGCCCGUGACGCUUCGGGGUGCGGGCGGGGAAAUCUGCCUUUAAAAGGGGUUCAUCCCUCGAGUAGCAGCCAUGUCUUGCUUCUCUCCCACUCGCGGUGCCCUUUCGCCUUCGAGCUCUCUGCGCCCCUUUGCCUUCAAGGUUUCUGCUUUGUGUCGCCAUAGUUUACCAUGGCCUUGUAAGUCUACCUCAAGCAUGCCCAGACUGAGUGGGUGCUCGAAAUGGUAUAUCGCCUGCUUGGAUGGAAUGCGUCGGCGUUCGGCGAAAGGAUUUGCGCCGGCGUCAUCCACCCCGAUGAGCUUGCCGCUAGAGAGUUUGUGCCUUUUGUCCUCCCUAGUGGGCUGGUGCUGCCGGUCUUGUUUUUCUUCUGCUGGAGGUGCGCGGCCUUGUGGGAGCGGCGCUCUUCCACCGGUGCUUGGCUUCGAGGAUGUUCAUCAGCCUCGCGGUGGUGGGGAGCGAGCUGAGCCGCGGCAUCGCCUCCCACGUGGGCUGGUGCCCGCCUCUUCCUCCAGCAUUCGGAGGAAAAGGAUGAUCACCAGCCUUGUGAAGGAGGCGAACUUCGGCUACGCGGUCCCAGCCAGACCGCAAGCACCGCCUUCCGCCUUGCUCCCAGCUCCAUGGCUUGGAUGGUCUUGUCCUCACCCUUGUAGGGGGAUGGAGGCGAGGACCUCUUCGCCAUGGCGCGCACGCUGAGGUGGUCGCCACCGCUGGGGAGGCUGCCCGGCGCAGAGGUGGUCGCCGCCGCUGGUGAGGCUGCCCGCUGCAGAGGUGGUCGCCUCUGCUGGUGAGCCGCUUGGAGCUGAGGUAGUCGUCGCCGCUGGCGAAUCGUCGGUGCAGAGGUGGUCGCUGCCGUCGGUGCGGAGGUGGUCGCCUCCGCUGGCGAGCCGCUCGGAGCUAGCUACCCAUGCUGCCCUACUGGUGUGGAGGUAGUUCAUACCUGCAAAGUAGAGAUGGAGCUAGGACUCCGCUUGAAAGCGGAUGUAAUACUUUUGCUUUUUGUAACGUACUUUUGAGUACUAUUUAUCAAGCAGUAUUAGCAGUUAUCUGUGUACCACUUGUCCCUGUUGUGUGUGGUGUAACCGAUUCCUCCUUGGUACCUGGCCCCCCUGGGAUGUAGGCUCGAUUUGUCGAGGCUGCAGACCAGCAUACCUAAGAAAGAGUUGGCGAUGGCCUCCAGGAGGUAGCCUCGACUGGGACCUGGGCCUGCACAUAGCUUCGGCUAGGGAGCAUUAGUAGUACACCCACAGGACCCAUCAUCUGAUACUAGCCAUCCUUUGAUACAUGCUCGGGACUUGCAGGGUCUAGUCUGGGAGGUCAAGUUGUGCGUCCGGACCCCUGGAUGGUGGUUCUAGGUACUAGGACACCCGCCGCAGAGUGGUGGAGCGUGCAGGCCCACGGUACGGAACCAGGCUGAGCGGCUACACAGGCUCCGGACCACCCCAGGAGACAAGUGUCCAUUCUCUAGUUCUGGACCCCAGGUUGCCGGACCCACAGGACUUAUAGCUCCAAAUACUAGGGUUCCCGUCACGGAGUGGUGGAGUGUGCAGGCUUUCGGGUACGGGACCAGGCUAAGCGGCCACACAGGCUCCGGACCACCCAUGGAACGGGCUCCCAUUCUUUAGAACCGGCCCCCAGGCUGUCAGGCCCUCCUGCUUUCGCAGAGAGGUCCUAAACUGCAAGCUUGGCUGUUCAAUUCAGAUGUCAUUAUGUCUGAUGGAACGGGAACUGUUUGGGUGGGUUAGAUAAAAUAACAUCCAGAAAACUGCAAGGUAAGACCGUGGAGCAGUAGGAUAAAACUAUCAUAGAGGCACAUCUGAGGGGGUAAAUCUUUUCUUUAUAACUUGUCAUGCAUGGGUGCAGACCAACAGGCCGGGUUUAUGAGGGCGGACCUUACCGGGUUGGCGUACACGUAUGCGGUACCUAGUUACAAAAGAGAGAAAAAUUCGACCCCUCAGAUUUGCUCCUAUGGAUAGAACUUACAGAGAUGCUCCAGUGGUCAGGAAGAGGUACUCCUUCAACCAUAGCAAGGUAGUCACCCCUGGGCUGGCGUAUUUCCCGUCACCUUGAAGGGUCCUUCCCAGCCGGGGAAGAGUUGCGGAGCCCUUCUUGGUUUGGUACUUGCCGUAGGACUAGGUCCUGACCCUGGGUUCCCAUCUGCGUUUGAUGAGGGAGCCCUCGUCCUCGUGCUGUAGCCAUUUCUGCCUGGAUUUGUCAGAAGCCUGGACCCGUGGGGAGUCCAGAAGGGUUUCCGGGGGAAGGCAGGCUUCGGCCCCGUAGACCGGGGAGUUCGGGGUCCCUCCGGGGGUCCAUCUAGUUGUCGCCACCGAAGUAGGAGCCUCUGGCGAAGACAUCCUUCAGGUCCCCCCUCGGGAGACUGAUACCCGAGGACCCGUUCAGCCGCGGCCACCUCGCCGUCGUUGACCUUUUCUUUGCCAGGCCGGCGACGAGGUGGGGAGCCGUCCUUGGAAGACUGCUAACGCCGCUCGCUGACGCGUUUCGCGAGGUCAAUGAUCUUGCGACACUCUGUGGCGCUGUGGCGACCGUUGGGUGCAUAGGGCAUGAGCCGCUGGUACCCCUCUGCGGCCGUGGGCGUUUGUUGCGGUUGCCCUGGCCCCCGGUCGCGGUUGCAACGACUAGAGCGGUGGACCACGGCUUCUGGUAGUCGUGGUCCUUGUUCUUUUUCUUCUUGCCGUCACAGGGGACGGCACCCGAGCCACCCGACUGGGCAGCCCCGGUUUGUGGGGCCGAGUGCCAUGCACGACCCUCGGCGGCUCUGGCGCAUUUGUCGGCCAGAGCGAAUAGUGUGGGGACAGUCUCCACGUCAUGCGUGGCCAACUUCUCCAACAUUUUCUCAUCACGUACUCCCUGGCGGAAGGCCAUGAUGAUGGAAGCAUCAGAAAUGCGAGGUAUAGUACCUCGCACCUUGGUGAAGCGGGAGAUGAACGUCCGGAGAGUCUCCCCGGGCUCCUGCCUUACCGCGUGGAGGUGGGCCUCCACACCGUGCUGCUGGUAAGUGCUGGCGAAGUUCGCAACGAACCGUGCGCCGAGCUCUUCCCUGGAGUAGAUUGACCCUGGGGCGAGGUUCAUGAGCCAAGUCCGGGCAGGUCCAGACAAGGCGACAUGAAAAUAUGUCGCCAUCACAGCGGUGUUUCCACCUGCUGCUGUAAUAGCGGUGACGUACACCUGCAGGAACUCCGACGGGUUUGACGUACCGUCGUACUUUUCCGGCAGGUGUGGCCGAAACUUGGAUGGCCAUGACGCCGCGCGGAGAUAAUCCGCGAGAGCGGCGCAGCCCACUCCGGCCAAAGGGACACCCGCUUGGGACCGGGUGCCCAUUGGGGCCUGCGAUGCUACCGCAGCGAAGUCUUGAUCGAGGUUGCGACCCUCGAUGUUUUGGCGUCGCUCACGUGCCCUUUCCAAAGAGACCCGGGCAUCCUCUCCCGCACGCCUGCGGUUAAGUUCUGCCCGGAGGUUGUUGGUCUGUGCACCCCUCACUGAGGGUGAGCGCACAGACGCCGACGCCUCGUGCUGGCGCCGGGAUGACCGUGGCCUCGACCUAGUCGAGGUAGAAUGUGCUAUGCCGAGCAGUCGGUCGACGUCGUCCCGCCACUGCUUCAUGGCCCCCGGUGAGGCCGUGGAGCUUGGAUGGUGACGCAGCAACUCCCUGGCCACUGACAAUGCUCCCGGAGCCGCCUUCGACGGAGUCCAAGAUGUCUGCGCAGUUGUAUGCUGCCGUGCAGCGUGCACAGCAGCAGUGCCUGGCACCGGGUGGUUGGGAACCUGUGGCGUGGAAGAAACAGCUUCUUCCUCCACCAGGAAAUCCGUUGAAGUCUCGGCGCGGUGCUCCACGAUUUGCACCAUCAUGGUGAGCGAGAAAACAAGCAAAAACCUGAUGCCUAGCCCCCUACCUAGCGCGCCAAAUGUCGGAGAGGGAAUUCUCCGGCCGGGUGGCGGAGUGCACCCGCCCUAAAUCCUAAGAUGAGGAAGGGGCUUAAGCGUUUUGCCUGUCCUGCAAAGCGAUCGUUGAGCACAUGACCACGCGAGGAUUUAGAGUGGUUCAAGCCGCCAGAGCGUAAUACCCUACUCCACUGUGUUUUGGAUUGUUGUCGAAGCUUGAAAGCUGAGAGUUUGAGUUUUGUCUAAGAGAGUCUGCCCGUGAGAGCUUGUGUUGUAACGUUGCAUACCUCCCCUUUUAUAGCUAAGGGGGGUAUGAACAAGGGUACUGAGCCCCGACAUGUGGGCUCAGGAUCAUAACAGAUGUAGUACUUGGAGCUACUAAUGUUUGCUGCUGGGGCAGUCUUCUCACGCCCUGACAUCUGAGAUCUGCGUAGCAUAGGUGGGCAGGGAAACUUCUUGUAUAAGGGAUGAUGAGCACAGUGCGCCGCGUAGCACGGGCGCACUGUUUGACAAUGGACAGGACAGGUGCGCCGUCUGCCAGCGGAGUGGACAGGACGCAUUAAAUGCCGAGGGGGCACAUCGCCUGUCAGCAGGGCGGACAUGCGGCGCGUCCUUUCCGCAAUAAAUGCAGAGAUCGUGCGGCCUAGAGGCCUUACGUUAGGCUCCGCCCGCUGGCUUAUGUCACGGGCAACAACCACGUGGCAGCAUCGGGACUCCGCCUGAGCGGGGAGCGCAAGCGCACAGGGUAAGGCCUGGACACGUGUCAGUACCGGACCCUUGCUUACGCCAGGGUCCCCCUGUCCCGGGACCUCGUUGUGGCCCGAACCUAGACUCCAUCCAAGAGACCCGGUAUGCUUACUUGGGAGUCUCGGGCCGUAACCGGGGGUCUGGGUUGUGCGUACAGGGGUCCGGUGCUUCUUCGCGGAGGUUCGGCCCAACUGAUAUAUCCUGGGAUGUAUCAUCUUUUCCCGCCACGUGGUGCCCCUUGAGCCGUCCACGUGGUGGAGUCGGGUGAUGUUCACCGUGCAGCUAGAGAACGCCGUACGGGCACUGUGCCUUCAUACUGUAGUAAGGGGUACUGAAAGGGAAUUAGGCUUACACCUAGUUCCUAUAUAAUUUUGGUGGUUGAAUUGCCCAACACAAAUAUUUGAACUAACUAGUUUGCUCUAGUGUAUAAGUUAUACAGGUGCCAAAGGUUCACACUUAGCCAAUAAAAAGACCAAGUAUUGGGUUCAACAAAAGAGCAAAGGAGCAACCGAAGGCUCCUCUGGUCUGGCGCACCGGACUGUCCGGUGGGCCACCGGACAUGUCCGGUGCACCAGAGGAACUUCGAGGAUGAACUCUUCACUCUCGGGAAUUUCCAGAGGCAACUCCGCUAUAAUUCACCGGACUGUCCGGUGUACACCGGACAUGUCCGGUGCUCCAAGGAAGAGCGGCCUCCGGAACUCGCCAGCCUCGGGAAUUUAUUGGAGUUGCUCCGCUAUAAUUCACCGGACUGUCCGGUGUACACCGGACUGUCCGGUGUACACCGCGGGGCAACGGCUACUUCGGCGCCAACGGCUACCUGCAGCGCAUUGAAUGCGCGCGCAGCGCGCGCAGAGGUCAGGCACGCCCAUGCUGGCGCACCGGACACUCUACAGUUCAUGUCCGGUGCGCCACCGGAUAUCAAGGCGGGCCCAGAAGACAGAGCUCCAACGGUCGGAACCCAACGGCUUUGGUGACGUGGCUGUCGCACCGGACAUGUCCGGUGUGCACCGGACUGUCCGGUGCGCCAUCGAACAGACAGCCUCACCAAACGGCUAGUUUGGUGGUUGGGGCUAUAAAUACCCCAACCACCCCACCAUUCAUAGUAUCCAAGUUUUCCAGCUUCCAACCACUAUACAAGAGCUAGCAUUCAUUGCAAAGCACACCAAAAGAGAUCAAAUCCUCUCCCGACUCCAUACAAAUCCUUAGUGACUAGAGAGAGUGAUUUGUAGUGUUCAUUUGAGCUCUUGCGCUUGGAUCGCUUCUUUUCUUUCGCAUUCUUUCUUGUGAUCAAACACUCACUUGUAAUUGAGGCAAGAGACACCAAUUGUGUGGUGGUCCUUGUGGGAAGUUUGAUUCCCAAGUGAUUUGAGAAGAGAAGCUCACUCGGUCCGAGGGACCGUUUGAGAGAGGGAAGGGUUGAAAGAGACCCGGCCUUUGUGGCCUCCUCAACGGGGAGUAGGUUUGAGAGAACCGAACCUCGGUAAAACAAAUCCGCGUGUCUCACUUCAUUAUUCACUUGCGAUUUGUUUUGCGCCCUCUCUCGCGGACUCUAUUAUAUUUCUAACGCUAACCCGGCUUGUAGUUGUGUUUAUAUUUGUAAAUUUCAGUUUCGCCCUAUUCACCCCCCCUCUAGGCGACUAUCAAUUGGUAUCAGAGCCUGGUGCUUCAUUAGAGCCUAACCGCUCGAAGUGAUGACGGGAGAUCACGCCAAGAAGGAGAUGGAGACCGGCGAAAAGCCCACUACAAGCCACGGGAGCACUUCAUCGGAAGAGUCCCGCACCAAGAGGAAGGAGAAGACGAAGAACUCCUCCAAAGGGAAGGAGAAGAGAUCUUCUUCACUCCACAAAGAGAAGAAGGAGAAAUCCUCUUCUCACAAGACGCAUCGGAAAGGCGACAAGCACAAGAGGAUGAGGAAGGUGGUCUACUUCGAGACCGACACUUCAUCACCAUCGACCUCCGACUUUGAUGCGCCCUCCGUAACUUCUAAGCGCCAAGAGCGCAAGAAGUUUAGUAAGAUCCCCUUACACUAUCCUCGUACAUCUAGACAUACUCCAUUACUUUCCGUUCCAUUAGGCAAACCGCCAACCUUUGACAGUGAAGAUUAUGCUAGGUGGAGUGAUUUAAUGAAAUUUCAUCUAACCUCACUCCACAAAAGUAUAUGGAAUGUUGUUGAGUUUGGAGCACAGGUACCAUCCAUCGGGGAUGAGGAUUAUGAUGAGGACGAAGUGGCCCAAAUCGAGCACUUCAACUCCCAAGCUACAACCAUACUCCUUGCUUCUCUAAGUAAGGAGGAAUAUAACAAGGUGCAAGGGUUGAAGAGCGCGAAGGAGAUUUGGGACUUACUCAAGACUGCGCACGAGGGUGAUGAACUCACCAAGAUCACCAAGCGGGAAACGAUCGAGGGGGAGCUCGGUCGCUUCCGUCUUCGCCAAGGGGAGGAGCCACAAGAUAUGUACAACCGGCUCAAAACCUUGGUGAACCAAGUGCGCAACCUCGGGAGCAAGAAGUGGGACGACCACGAGGUGGUUAAGGUUAUUCUAAGAUCUCUCAUUUUCCUUAACCCCACUCAAGUUCAAUUAAUUCGUGGCAACCCAAGAUAUACUCAAAUGACCCCCGAGGAAGUUAUCGGGAAUUUUGUGAGCUUUGAAUGUAUGAUCAAGGGCUCAAAGAAGAUCAACGAGCUUGAUGAUCCCUCCACGUCCGAAGCACAACCGGUGGCGUUUAAGGCGACAGAGGAGAAGAAGGAGGAGUCUACACCAAGUAGACAACCAAUUGACGCCUCCAAGCUCGACAAUGAGGAGAUGGCUUUAAUCAUCAAAAGCUUUCGCCAAAUCCUCAAGCAACGGAAGGGGAAGGACUACAAAUCCCGUUCCAAGAAGGUUUGCUACAAGUGUGGUAAGCCCGGUCACUUCAUUGCUAAAUGUCCAUUAUCAAGUGACAGUGACAGGGAUAACGACAAGAAGGGCAAGAGGAGAGAAAAGAAGAGGUACCACAAGAAGAGGGGCGGCGAUGCCCACGUGUGCCGCGAGUGGGACUCCGACGAGAGCUCCACCGAGUCCUUCUCCGACGAGGACGCCGCCAACAUCGCCGUCACCAAGGGACUCCUCUUCCCCAACGUCGGCCACAAGUGCCUCAUAGCAAAGGACGGCAAAAGGAAGAAGGUUAAAUCUAAAUCCUCCCCUAAAUAUGAAACUUCUAGUGAUGAUAAUGCUAGUGAUGAGGAGGAUAACUUGCGUACCCUUUUUGCCAACCUUAACAUGGAACAAAAAGAAAAAUUAAAUGAAUUGGUUAGUGCUAUUCAUGAGAAGGAUGACCUUUUGGAUACCCAAGAGGACUUCCUAAUUAAGGAAAACAAAAAACAUGUUAAGGUUAAAAAUGCUUAUGCUCUAGAAGUAGAAAAAUGUCAAAAACUAUCUAGUGAGCUAAGCACUUGCCAUGACACUAUUGACAACCUUAGAAAUGAGAAUGCUAAUUUGUUAGCUAAGGUUGAUUCACAUGUUUGUAAUGUUUCAACUUCCGAUUCUAGAAAUGAUAAUGUUGAUUUACUUGCUAGAUUUAAUGAGUUGAAUGUUUCUCUUGCUAGCCUUAGAAAUGAGAAUGAAAAAUUGAUUGUUAAGGCUAAAGAGCUAGAUGUUUGCAAUGUUACAAUUUCCGACCUUAGAACUAAAAAUGAUAUGUUGCAUGCUAAGGUUGUAGAAUUAAAAUCUUGCAAACCCUCUACAUCUAUUGUUGAGCAUGUAUCCAUUUGUACUAGAUGUAGAGAUGUUGAUAUUAAUGCUAUUCAUGAUCACAUGAUUUUAAUUAAACAACAAAAUGAUCAUAUGCAAAACUAGAUGCUAAAAUUGCCGAGCAUAACUUAGAAAAUGAAAAGUUUAAAUUUGCUAGAAGUAUGCUUUAUAAUGGGAGACGCCCGGGCAUCAAGGAUGGCAUUGGCUUCCAAAGGGGAGACAAUGUCAAACUUAGUGCCCCUCCUAAAAGAUUGUCCAACUUUGUUAAGGACAAGGCUCCCAUGCCUCAGGAUAACGAGGGUUACAUUUUAUACCCUGCCGGUUAUCCCGAGGACAAAAUUAGGAGAAUUCACUCUAGGAAGUCUCACUCUGGCCCUAAUCAUGCUUUUAUGUAUAAGGGUGAGACAUCUAGUUCUAGGCAACCAACCCGUGCUAAGUUGCCUAAGAAGAGAACUCCUAAUGCAUCAAAUGAUCAUGAAUUUUCAUUUAGAACUUUUGAUGCAUCUUAUGUUUUGACUAACAAAUCCGGCAAGGUAGUUGCCAAGUUUGUUGGGGGCAAACACAAGGGGUCAAAGACUUGUGUUUGGGUACCCAAAGUUCUUGUUUCUAAUGCCAAAGGACCCAAAACCGUUUGGGUACCUAAAAUCAAGAACUAAAAUUGUUUUGUAGGUUUAUGCAUCCGGGGGCACAAGUUGGAUACUCGAUAGCGGGUGCACAAACCAUAUGACCGGGGAGAAGAAGAUGUUCUCCUCAUAUGAGAAAAACCAAGAUCCCCAAAGAGCGAUCACAUUCGGGGAUGGAAACCAAGGUUUGGUCAAAGGCUUGGGUAAAAUUGCUAUAUCCCCUGACCACUCCAUUUCCAAUGUUUUUCUUGUUGAUUCAUUAGAUUACAAUUUGCUUUCCGUUUCUCAAUUAUGUCAAAUGGGCUACAAGUGUCUAUUCACUGAUGUAGGUGUCACUGUCUUUAGAAGAAGUGAUGAUUCAAUAGCAUUUAAGGGAGUGUUAGAGGGUCAGCUAUACUUGGUAGAUUUUGAUAGAGCUGAACUCGACACUUGCUUAAUUGCUAAGACUAACAUGGGUUGGCUCUGGCACCGCCGACUAGCCCAUGUUGGGAUGAAGAAUCUUCACAAGCUUCUAAAGGGAGAACACAUUUUAGGACUAACAAAUGUUCAUUUUGAGAAAGACAGGGUUUGUAGCGCAUGCCAAGCAGGGAAGCAAGUUGGAACCCAUCAUCCACACAAGAACAUCAUGACGACCGACAGGCCGCUUGAGCUACUCCACAUGGAUCUAUUCGGCCCGAUCGCUUACAUAAGCAUCGGCGGGAGUAAGUACUGUCUAGUUAUUGUGGAUGAUUAUUCUCGCUUCACUUGGGUAUUCUUUUUACAGGAAAAAUCUCAAACCCAAGAGACCUUAAAAGGAUUCUUGAGACGGGCUCAAAAUGAGUUCGGCUUAAGGAUCAAGAAAAUUAGAAGCGACAAUGGGACGGAGUUCAAGAACUCUCAAGUUGAAGGCUUCCUUGAGGAGGAGGGCAUCAAGCAUGAGUUCUCCUCUCCCUACACGCCACAACAAAAUGGUGUAGUGGAGAGGAAGAAUCGAACUCUAUUGGACAUGGCAAGAACCAUGCUUGAUGAGUACAAGACUUCGGAUCGGUUUUGGGCCGAGGCGGUCAACACCGCUUGCUACGCCAUCAACCGGUUGUAUCUACACCGAAUCCUCAAGAAGACAUCAUAUGAACUCCUAACCAGUAAAAAGCCCAAUAUUUCAUAUUUUAGAGUUUUUGGUAGCAAAUUCUUUAUUCUUGUUAAGAGAGGUAGAAAAUCUAAAUUUGCUCCUAAAACUGUAGAAGGCUUUUUACUAGGAUAUGACUCAAACACAAGGGCAUAUAGAGUCUUUAACAAGUCCUCAGGACUAGUUGAAGUUUCUUGUGACGUUGUGUUUGAUGAGACUAAUGGCUCUCAAGUAGAGCAAGUUGAUCUUGAUGAGAUAGGGAAUGAAGAGGCCCCGUGCAUCGCGUUAAGGAACAUGUCCAUUGGGGAUGUGUGUCCUAAGGAAUCCGAAGAGCCUCCAAAUGCACAAGAUCAACCAUCCUCCUCCAUGCAAGCAUCUCCACCAACUCAAAAUGAGGAUGAGGCUCAAGAUGUUGAACAAGAAGAUCAAGAAGAUGAGCCACCUCAACAUGACGACAAUGAUCAAGGGGGAGAUGCAAAUGAUCAAGAAAAGGAGGAUGAGCAAGAACCAAGGCCGCCACACCCAAGAGUCCACCAAGCAAUCCAACGAGAUCACCCCGUCGACACCAUCCUCGGCGACAUUCAUAAGGGGGUAACCACUAGAUCUCGUGUUGCACAUUUUUGUGAACAUUACUCUUUUGUUUCCUCUAUUGAGCCACACAAGGUAGAGGAAGCACUUCAAGAUUCGGAUUGGGUGGUGGCGAUGCAAGAGGAGCUCAACAACUUCACUAGAAAUGAGGUAUGGCAUUUAGUUCCACGUCCUAACCAAAAUGUUGUAGGAACCAAAUGGGUCUUCCGCAACAAGCAAGACGAGCAUGGUGUGGUGACAAGGAACAAAGCCCGACUUGUGGCCAAGGGAUACUCCCAAGUCGAAGGUUUGGAUUUCGGUGAAACCUAUGCACCCGUAGCUAGGCUUGAGUCAAUUCGCAUAUUAUUGGCCUAUGCUACUUACCAUGGCUUUAAGCUUUACCAAAUGGACGUGAAGAGUGCCUUCCUCAAUGGACCAAUCAAGGAAGAGGUCUAUGUUGAGCAACCUCCCGGCUUUGAAGAUAGUGAGUACCCUAAUCAUGUCUAUAGGCUCUCUAAGGCGCUUUAUGGGCUCAAGCAAGCCCCAAGAGCAUGAUAUGAAUGCCUUAGAGAUUUCCUUAUUGCAAAUGGCUUCAAAGUCGGAAAGGCCGAUCCUACUUUAUUCACUAAAACUCUUGACAAUGAUUUGUUUGUAUGCCAAAUUUAUGUUGAUGAUAUCAUAUUUGGGUCUACUAACGAAUCUACAUGUGAAGAAUUUAGUAGGAUCAUGACACAAAAAUUCGAGAUGUCUAUGAUGGGGGAGUUGAAGUAUUUUCUAGGAUUCCAAGUCAAGCAACUCCAAGAAGGCACCUUCAUUAGCCAAACGAAGUAUACUCAAGACAUUCUAACCAAGUUUGGAAUGAAGGACGCCAAACCCAUCAAGACUCCCAUGGGAACUAAUGGGCAUCUCGACCUCGACACGGGAGGUAAAUCCGUCGAUCAAAAGGUAUACCGGUCGAUGAUAGGUUCAUUACUCUAUUUAUGUGCAUCUCGACCGGACAUUAUGCUUUCCGUUUGCAUGUGUGCAAGAUUCCAAUCCGACCCUAAGGAAUCCCACCUUACGGUUGUAAAACGAAUCUUGAGAUAUUUGGCUUAUACUCCUAAGUUUGGGCUUUGGUACCCUCGGGGAUCCACUUUUGAUUUGAUUGGUUAUUCGGAUGCCGAUUGGGCGGCGUGUAAGAUUAAUAGAAAGAGCACAUCGGGGACUUGCCAGUUCUUGGGAAGAUCCUUGGUGUCAUGGGCUUCAAAGAAGCAAAAUUCGGUCGCUCUUUCCACCGCCGAAGCUGAGUACAUUGCCGCAGGCCAUUGUUGCGCGCAAUUGCUUUGGAUGAGGCAAACCCUGCGGGACUACGGUUACAAAUUAACCAAAGUCCCCUUGCUAUGUGAUAAUGAGAGUGCAAUCAAAAUGGCCGACAAUCCCGUCGAGCAUAGCCGCACUAAACACAUAGCCAUUCGGUAUCAUUUUCUUAGGGAUCACCAACAAAAGGGGGAUAUCGAGAUUGCAUACGUUAAUACUAAAGAUCAAUUAGCCGAUAUCUUUACCAAGCCACUUGAUGAACAAACUUUUACCAAACUUAGGCAUGAGCUCAAUAUUCUUGAUUCUAGAAAUUUCUUUUGCUAACUUACACACAUAGCUCACAAAUAUACCUUUGAUCAUGUCUCUUUUAUAUAUGCUAUGACUCAUGUGUUUUCAAGUCUAUUUCAAACCAAGUCAUAGGUGUAUUGAAAGGGAAUUGGAGUCUUCGGCGAAGACAAAGGCUUCCACUCCACUCCACAACUCAUCCUUCGCCGUCACUCCGAGCAUCUCUCCGUCUUUGGUAUAAUCUUCACUCAUUUAUUUAUGACCAAAGGGGGAGAAAAUAUUAAAGGGCUCUAAUGACUCCGUUUUUGGCGAUUCAUGCCAAAGGGGGAGAAAGUAUGAGCCCAAAGCAAAAGGACCGCACCACCACCUUAUUUUAAAAUAAUUUUCAAAUGUCAAUUUGGUAUCUUAUUGUGUUCAAAAGGGGGAGAAAGUAGUAUUUCAAAAUUGAUACAUCAAAACCCUCUUGAACACUAAGAGGAAGAUUUCAUUUAGGGGGAGUUUUGUUUAGUCAAAGGAAAAGCAUUUGAAACAAGGGGAGAGAAUUUCAAAUCUUGAAAAUGCUUCGCAAAAUUCUAUUCAUUUACCUUUGUCUUUUUGCAAAAGAACUUUGAAAAGGAUCUACAAAAGAAUUUGCAAAAACAAAACAUGUGGUGCAACCGUGGUCCAAAAUGUUAAAAAUGAAGAAACAAUCCAUGCAUAUCUUGUAAGUAUUUAUAUUGGCUCAAUUCCAAGUAAUCUUUGCACUUACAUUAUGCAAACUAGUUCAAUUAUGCACUUCUAUAUUUGCUUUGGUUUGUGUUGGCAUCAAUCACCAAAAAGGGGGAGAUUGAAAGGGAAUUAGGCUUACACCUAGUUCCUAUAUAAUUUUGGUGGUUGAAUUGCCCAACACAAAUAUUUGAACUAACUAGUUUGCUCUAGUGUAUAAGUUAUACAGGUGCCAAAGGUUCACACUUAGCCAAUAAAAAGACCAAGUAUUGGGUUCAACAAAAGAGCAAAGGAGCAACCGAAGGCUCCUCUGGUCUGGCGCACCGGACUGUCCGGUGGGCCACCGGACAUGUCCGGUGCACCGGAGGAACUUCGAGGAUGAACUCUUCACUCUCAGGAAUUUCCAAAGGCAACUCCGCUAUAAUUCACCAGACUGUCCAGUGUACACCGGACAUGUCCGGUGCUCCAAGGAAGAGCGGCCUCCGGAACUCGCCAGCCUCGGGAAUUUAUUGGAGUUGCUCCGCUAUAAUUCACCGGACUGUCCGGUGUACACCGGACUGUCCGGUGUAACAACGGGGCAACGGCUACUUCGGCGCCAACGGCUACCUGCAGCGCAUUGAAUGCGCGCGCAGCGCGCGCAGAGGUCAGGCACGCCCAUGCUGGCGCACCGGACACUCUACAGUUCAUGUCCGGUGCGCCACCGGAUAUCAAGGCGGGCCCAGAAGACAGCUCCAACGGUCGGAACCCAACGGCUUUGGUGACGUGGCUGUCGCACCGGACAUGUCCGGUGUGCACCGGACUGUCCGGUGCGCCAUCGAACAGACAGCCUCACCAAACGGCUAGUUUGGUGGUUGGGGCUAUAAAUACCCCAACCACCCCACCAUUCAUAGUAUCCAAGUUUUCCAGCUUCCAACCACUAUACAAGAGCUAGCAUUCAUUGCAAAGCACACCAAAAGAGAUCAAAUCCUCUCCCGACUCCAUACAAAGCCUUAGUGACUAGAGAGAGUGAUUUGUAGUGUUCAUUUGAGCUCUUGCGCUUGGAUCGCUUCUUUUCUUUCGCAUUCUUUCUUGUGAUCAAACACUCACUUGUAAUUGAGGCAAGAGACACCAAUUGUGUGGUGGUCCUUGCGGGAAGUUUGAUUCCCAAGUGGUUUGAGAAGAGAAGCUCACUCGGUCCGAGGGACCGUUUGAGAGAGGGAAGGGUUGAAAGAGACCCGGCCUUUGUGGCCUCCUCAACGGGGAGUAGGUUUGAGAGAACCGAACCUCGGUAAAACAAAUCCGCGUGUCUCACUUCAUUAUUCACUUGCGAUUUGUUUUGCGCCCUCUCUCGCGGACUCUAUUAUAUUUCUAACGCUAACCCGGCUUGUAGUUGUGUUUAUAUUUGUAAAUUUCAGUUUCGCCCUAUUCACCCCCCCUCUAGGCGACUAUCAGGUACCCCUGAUUCAGGGUACCGACAAAAGGAGAUGAUUGACAAUGGUUAUAAAAAGUGCAAGAUAAACCUUAUAUAUGUAAAACCCACUAAAGUUUUUAUUUUAUUUCUCUGAGAUUCUAUUAAUUAGUUGGUUAUUUCUCAUCUAAGCUCAACAAGCACAAACAUGGUUUCAGUACGUGCAUGGUAUAUCGGUACAUUUUUGCAUGUCAAUGUGAUAUAGUCAUGAAAACAAGCUAAUAUAUUAUUUGCUUAAUAAAAGAAAACCGAGUGUGCGUAUUGAGGCCCUGAACAUGCUGAUUUUCUACACAUCUUUACGAUCACUCAUACAAUCGUCGAACUUCCAAGUCCUAGUGUAUUUGUUUCUUCAUUGCAAAGAAACUUUUCUCGUUUCUUGGGACUGAAAGCUUACCACAACAAAGGUGAUUUUUGUAGCACCAUUUUGUUCAACUUUGGUCGCUUAUGUUUACAGCAGUUACUUUUCCUUCAAUAAAGGAGUAUUUCUGAAUGUGAUAAACAAUUUUCAAUUGUUGCUUGGUUUCGGGAAUACUACUAAGUGAUACUAGACUUCCUUGGUGGUUUGCGUUCAUCCAUCCAAUAUGGAGGCUCCAACACAUCUCUUCAUUAUUUGUAUCUGGAUUUAUCUGUGUAAUAGCAGUAUGGUGCUCCUAACUUACAAGCUUCAUUAAACAAGGAAACUGAAAGUGUCAGAACUGCAAUUCAUAUAGACUAGAUUUUUAUGAUACAUUGUAACUAAUGCAUUGGUAAGCAUUAAUUUGAAUGUCUGUGUUUUUCCAGGGGUUGAGUGGUAUGUUGUGGUCAGAUUUGGCAAUCAAUGUAUCUGCCAUCAUGUGCUAUAUCGAUAAAUUAUGAUACAAUGUGGUCAGAUUCUAGGUUUAGUUACUGUUUUUGUGCAACCUGUGUGACAUCUGUUUACUGACAACUGGACAAAUAGGACAUAUCGCAAUCGGAUAAAUAACUUGGCACUCUUGGUCAAAAAUUUGAUUUUCCAAUAUUUAGAAUCGUGUAUUUUUCAUUGAGCUAAAUAGGUCCCCUCAUUGUAUUAUGUUUGAAAACCUGUUGUAUUAUGUUUGAAAACCUGAAAUGAUUAUCUACGUUGUCCUAAAAACAUGGUUCUGCAAUCUUCGCCUAGGAUUGGAUUGGAUGGUUGCCAACAUGUUCUGCAACUGCGCUUUUGGAUGUGCUACUAUACCUUCAAGUGAUCAUUAUGUAUUCAUGUCAAUUUUUAAUGUAUCCUGUUAUAACAUGUUGUCACCGUAACAACGUACGGGCACUCACCUAGUUUAUAUAUUAUGUACUAGGUUGAUAGGGAUGCUCCACCACACCUUAUCUUUUCUUCGUGCAACUAUGAAUGAUGAGAAUGAGACACUCCUUUGCCCCCCCUUUUUUCCUCCUAUAUCACUUUUUUGUGUCACAUCAUCAACAUUUCAUCCCCUAUUUUUUUCAUCUCCCGCAGCGGUUCCCCCUAUUUUCUCCCCACUACAACCAUAAAAUAUCAUUUUCUAUACCUACUUUUCACCCCCUAUCAAUUUUUCAUCUACUAACAAUUAAUCACGGACCCAUAACAUAGUAGAAAGGGGAGGAAACGAGCGCACGCUGCAUCCAGCGGGAGAGAGAAGAGGACGGCGCGCAGCUACACCGUGGGGGACACUUUAGGGGGCAGCGGUGCGGCGCCUAGCGGCUUCCUGUUGCCUCUACGGGAGGGGAGGGGGAGCGGCCGCGGGAAGCGCUGCGGGUAGCCUUAGACACUUCUUUAAGAGUUAUCAGGUCAGGAGAUCGACAUUUAUCUCAGGUAGCAAAGCAUAGAUAUUGGCAGUAAUUUACAUAGAUCCAAUAUUGUUGAACACCAUUUGUGACUCUGGGUAUGACCGGACGGUCCGGCCCUAAGGCCUGGAAGGUCCAAACCGUGGUCGGUCCGCGAAUAGAUCAGAUCAGGUGGUUAAAACUCCUAUCUCCUUGCGUGUUUAGCCCUCUUAUCCCUCAUGAGCUGUUGGAGAACGUCUAAGAACGGAUCUAGACCUCUCCCUUAUAUAUUUGAAGGGGUAUAGCUGAUUGAUCAACCAACAAUCGAUCAAACAAUCAAUAUACCUUCAGUUCUUUACAUUUCACCCUAGGAGUAGACAGUAACAUAGUAUCCUCUCUCUAUUCUUCACCUCUCUCCGGGUCUACGUCGUUUAAAGGCGUCUUGGGUGGACUAUCGAUUCCAAAACAAACCGUAGGAUCUCUCCUCCCCGACGGGGUCCCUCCCGAGAGCGAGAUCUUGGUGUUGUUGGCGAUCUCAUCGCCUCUGCGCAAGCGCGGACCGUCCGGCCACCAGACGCGGACUGUCUGGCUCGUCGCGCUUGCCUCUACGCCAAGUCGCGGACCGUUCGGCCCUCGGCCACGAACCGUCCGCACCUCCGCAGAGAGCACCAUCGCCGGUACUCAUCGUAGUGAUUGGCGCCUAGAUCGGCGCCAAAACACUUUUUGGUGACUCCGCUGGGGAAAUCGCGUGAGGAUCUAUCAGUGGUUGGUUCCAAAGAUAGCUCUGACGUCUCCCUAGCAAUAUCAUUGAACCGACUUGAGAAGCCCUACCGGCUCAAAAACAACUGGAGUUUAAGGAGCACGAGGAACAGCUGGUCAAAGAAGCACAAGCGAAGUUUCAAAGAAGUCCGCCUCUAGGGUGUUAGACUUAAAAGGCAGUCAGACCUUCCAUUUUUCCAUUGCUACAAUAGUUGUAAUUUCACUUUCACUGUUUUUCUAUCACAAGCUUCUGGUCGUUUUUUUUGUCCUUGGUGGCUGUAAACUCAUAGGCUGUAGCUUAUUUAGUAUCAUGUAUGUUGGUAAGUCUUAGAACUAUGUGGCUGGUUUAUCUUAAUAAAACAUUUUUACCACAGUCUUUUUUUCAAAAAAAAACUUUUAGAAUUAAGAGGUUUAGAUUUGAGAAGUGGUACAGUGGUUAAAAACUUCUAGAAUUAAGAAGACUAAAUAAGAGCCAUAGCUGAGCAGCCAAAGGUUGGAGAAGAAGCACUAGCAAAAUGAUGGCUUUUAGACCAUCUGCAGCAGUCUAUUUAAAGUUUAUCCAAAAACAUUGUUCUGCAUUGUAGACUACACUAUUUAUAGAAUAAAGUAUUAAUAUGGGUAUGGAAAUGAAUAAGCUGUUGGAGAUAGCAAAAUGAUGCUAAUGACUCCAUGGUCAUCCAUCCAAGUCAUGGAUAGGAAAGCGUGCACAGACCACGAAGGAACUGGGUAGGCAGGUAGCUAGAAAUCAUGGAAAGACUGACACAGUGCUAUCGUGGAACAAUAGAUGGUGUCAUCCUGAUGGACCCUUCCGUGAGUUGAGUAGGAGAGGCCGGAACAAAUCAAAGGUAUAGGUGCCCAAACGGGCGGCCCGGCAUGGGUCCGUUAGGCCUGACAGAUAAACGGGUCGUGCCCGGUCGGCCUGCGUGCCGCAGACGCGUCUUGGUAGCCGUGCCGGGCUGGCCCGUUUAAUUUACCCAUGUUCAGAAAAAUUGCAAAAAAAACUGUGUGUGAUGGGGUUUUGAACCCACAACCUCCCUCUACAAGGAGGAAAGCGCUAUAUAUAACAAACUAACCAGUGGAACUCUAGUGCAUUUGUUAUAAAUAGCAAAUAUAAAAUCUAAAUAUAUAUAUAUAUACUAUGUUUUAUAAAAUAAAAAAAAAAUAUAAUCGUGCCGGGCCGGGCCGGCACUACGGGCCGGGCCGGCACUACGGGCCGAGGCAACGGCCCAAGCACGGCACGUCUGUCGUGCCGGGCCCGGCCCGACACUAUUAAAUGGGCCGUGCUUCGGGCCGGCCCGUCAAACACGGCCUAUUUGGCCAUCUAUAAUCAAAGGAUAGACGAAAGGGACCAUACCUUACUAAUUUAGAUCUUGAUGUGUUUGCUGCACCUCAAAGCAAAUUAUGUUUCUACAACCAUAGUUUCAUAGAUAGCAGUAUAUUGAAAACUACGUUUUAGAAACUUUUACAUGUUUUAUAAACAUUAUGGUUUAUGAUAUUGUUUCCAAACAGUUGGGUGCCGUUUAAUUCACAUAUUGGUAACGUAAUAGGUAAUCGAUAACGUUAUAUUAUGUUUGUUUAAGUUCAAUCGUAAUCAAUACCACACUAUAAAUGGAUACUGGCUUAUUUAAACUUGUUACCAGCGUACUCGGGUGUGAAUCAUUACCAUUACCAUUUAUGUUACGUUACAUUUCGUGAACCAAACGGCACCUUGGUACCUUCAAUAGAACCAAAUCUCUACUACUACUUAUGUUUCUAAUGUAGGCGUUCACAGCAUGGUUCUGCCGAUCUCUCCCACGCACUGACGCACGCGCAUGGAAAGCCUUCCCCGCCGCCCCCGAUCUCGCCCCUCGCGGAUCUCGCGCCAGCCCCCGCCUGCCCUUCCCCCGCCGCCCCGCCACGGAUCUCGCCCCCGCGGAUCUCGCGCUAGCCACAACCGCGCACCCUCCCACGCGCGAUGGAAGCAGCCCGCCAUGCCCCUCCACAACCACGCAUCACCGUCCCCCGCGCCAUCCUGGGCACGGCGCCCCACGCGGGGCCUCAACGAAGAGGGGCUCGGCGGAGGCCGCGGAGGGGAGCGUCGAGAAGGAGAUGAGCAGCGCGCGGGAGGAGGAGAAGGAGAGCGACGCGGAGAUGAGGAGCGACGAGAGCAUCCCUUCCCCACCGCCCCUCGUCCGCGUCGGCCGCCGCCGAGCCCAUUUCAAACCCGGAGCCGAGGAAGCGUCCGUUCCCAUGGCCGCUGGGCUCGGUGGCUUCAAGAAUCCUCGAAUAGUCGAGGUAAUCGGCCAUGUCGUCGCCGACGGCCUGCGAGUCGAGCAGCGCGGCAGCUCGGCGUCCCUGGCACGGCGCACGGCGGCGUCCUCGGGGAAGUUGAGCUUGGUGCGGCGUCCUCCGGUGUCUGCCUGCCUGGCUCAUGCUCCUCGACGUCGCCCCCGCCCCCAUCCUCUGCCUGCCUGGCACUUCCUCCACCCCCUGGUCCACACGCUCGAGCAUGCGCCGCCCUAGGGGAUCCGCCACUGCCUCCCCCUCUUCCUCGGCCGUGGCGGUGAGCGUGGCGCCGGCCCAAGUGUAGAUCUCGAGGCAGCGACGAAGCUUGAAGCCCACACGCCCCUCGAGGUAUGGCUAAGACAUAUUGUUCCCGCACGCUCUCCUCGUUGUCCAUCCAUGGCGCCAAGCUGAGGUAUAUAUAUUAAGAGGGGCCCAAAGUGAUUUGUAUUAUUUAGCCCUACUUGUAAUCCAAUUCCCUCCAUUAGUUUCUUCUAGCUCCUCCAAUUUGUUGUGGAUGCAAAACCUUCCCAAGUGGUCAUGUUAGGCGCAUUUGUCACUUUCAGAAAUGUUUCGUUGGGGUCUAGAAAUUAGCCAGUGAGAACCAAGCAGCCUUUUAUCAGUUGAGUAAAGAUGGUACCAAAAAAUGUCCUGAUCAAAACAAUGCUCAAGAACCAGGUCGCUCGGUAGGUUAGUCAUGCCCUUAUCCUCCUCUCGCAAAUCGUGAUCCGCAUUUGUAACCAUAAUGGUGGACAUGAUAGAAUUGUUCUAUAGGAUGCCCUGGCCAUAUAAUCUCACUGUUGUGCCUUUUUAUUGCCGAUGGCAGAAGAUAAGAAUCACUCAAACCAUGCCUUUUAUUUUCCUGUACAACAGUUGGAAUUGAGUUCGUAUAAUGUUUUUUUUCUAUAGUAUGUUGUGAAACAAAAACACAUGUAUGUUCUAUUCUCUGUUAUGUUCUGGCUAUUGAGUCUAUGUAGGAUCUUCCUGCUGCUAUGGGAAAGAGAGGGGUGAAGCUUGGCAAGGCAUCCUAUCAAGAGCUGACAGGGGUAAAGAAGCCAAAGUUGGAUUAGCAGGGCAUGCUUCACUAGCCUGUUAUUUUGCUCUACCCAUAUGGCAUGCCGAGUGACUUCAUUGAGGGUUUGGCUUAUGAAGAUACUCUCUCGCCCCACCCCUCCUUAAUUACAUGAUGCUUUUUUGGUCGAGUUAAAAUGUGUAGAUGUUCAAGUACCUAUACGGAAUUUAUUGUAAUGGUAUCCUUAACAAACAUGUUCUCAGAAACUUCUUCACCAUUACACUGGAAUGAGAACCACACUUACACUAGGGAGCUUGUCGAACGAACCUGGACGUCGGGCGAGUGCAAGGUGCAGGGUCAGCUCCGAGGGCAAGGCACCAUGGCUUGAUGCACCGCUAAACGCAGCAGCAAUGUAGGUAGAAGUUAUUAUAUAUGUAUUAUAUGUUUUCUUAUUGAUCGCCGUUUAUGCUUGUCUCUUGAAGUAACAUGUAGCACAUGGAGAGCAUGAAUUAAAUCAAGAGUUUAAUUUGAUGCAAUUGCCAGGGAGGAUUUUGAUGUAUCUAAGAUACCUAUAGAUGUUUUGUGGCUUAGUAGCUUGGCGUUGCUUUGGUUUAAUUUGUGAUUGUGUAUUAAUGCUUUUGUACCUACUCUGAGCGGUUACGAGGACGAGAGGGAGAACAGCGGAUUCAUCACCGCCAGGUGUCAGGUGAGGUGCGUGCGCAUACAUCCAUCCACCGCCCUUCACCCGCUCUUCUUUGCGAGGUUUGUUUUGGUUAGAUCACUCUUUGUAUUGUUCUUCUGUCUAUUGGACAUGUCUUGCCUCUUCGAAUUCCAUUCUGCCUAUCUUACCUCUUCGAAUUCCUGCGUUUAGGGUACAUGUUUCAUCCAGAUCUGACCCCUAUAUAUGGUUGCCUUGUUUUACUUGUGCGCUGCUGAUGCAUGCUUAUGCCAGCCCUGUAAUUGUGCCUAAGCUCCAGAACAUAGAUCAGAUACGUUUAGGACUCGUAAUGGAUCGUGGCUAAAUAUGGGGUUAGUUGCUCCGUGGAGCAAACCGGAUGUGAUCCAUAGAACCAAAUGAGUACUCCAGAAGCACCGGUCUGUCCAUACAUGUAAUCCAGCUUCAACCCAGUGCUCCAAUGGAUCGGCUGGGUCUAUUGUAUGAUGAGCUAGCGGUGUGGCGCUACAUGCUCCGAUCGAAGCCAUCUGCCGGCCUGGGUCCAUUGUUGAUUGGAUGUAGCAAUUUGCCCACAUAAUUGUCUUUAUAGAUUUCUAAGAGCUGUUGCCUUCCUGCAAUACCUUGAGCGAUUGUUUAUACACAUGCUUUAUGGUUUUUAACCACACAAGUAGAACAAUCGAAUUGAGAAUUGAACUGACGAAUACAUAUUUUCUUGGCUAUGCCGCAGUUCCAUGGAUUGUCAAAGCUUAACCAGCAAGAACCUGAUGCUGUGCAAGGCAACAACCUUUGAACACAAGUCCACAAACUACAAAAAACAACAAUGAUUUGCCAUUAGUGUAAGAUCACAAACUGAAAAACAGAACACAACUAAGGUUCACCAACACAUAAUUCUUUUCUCACGAACACUAAUAUACUAACAAACACAGUUAUUGCACUGCAUUCAUCAGUAACGAGACUAUAUUUUGCAUAAUUAUUUUGGAGAUAAAUAUUCGUCAGCCUGGAGAAUGCAAGGGAUCCUUGAUGUUCACAUGCUGUCAACUAGCAUCACAAUCUUUAAAAGAUAUUUGAGAUCCUCUACUUCUCACGGAUGCAACUUACUAGGUUGCUCCUCAUUCAAUGCAAAUUGGAUCACCUUUCUUUUCUCCUCCUGCCAGUAAGCAUACACAUGUUAUCAUCACCGACGAAUGUAGGAUCUGUGUGACUUUGUAAGCAUAAGAAAGCAAAAUGAUUGCUUUUUUUGUUUCAUCAUGAACGACCAACUGCAUCAAUGCUACAUGCUGUAGGUAUUUCUUAGCUAUAUUUCAAAAAUAUGGAAUAUCAAAUAUGUGAUACUCGCUAUUGGCAGCCAACAUCAUGUUGUGUUCUCACAGUUGUAGUAGUGAAUGCAAAUAUUGUAAUCUGAACCCCUUUCACUGUCAUGCAGAGUGUGUUAAGACAAGAUGGUGGCGAAUGGCGACACACCUGCUAGAGGGAGUAUGGCGGCAGCUGCAAGCCUGCGCAGGCGUAGGACCACAAGCGCUGCUGCUGCUGGCGGAGGUGGUGCCAGCUCGAUGCUCCAGUUCUACACCGAUGAGGCUGCGGGCCGCAAAAUGUCACCAAACACCGUUCUGAUCAUGGGCAUUGGGUUCAUAGCUAUUGUCGCUAUGCUCCAUGUUUUUGGGAAGCUGUACCGCACCUCCAACUAGGCUGGUACUUACCAUAACCAAGAAAACAGAGGCCACCAAGAGAGGAGCCUUAUAGAGCCAUUUCAAUGGAUAGCAAGUGACUAUCAGAGAGGAACCUUGUAGAGCGAUUUCAAUGGAUAGCAAGUGACUAUCAGA
rnacentral:lncRNA from 1 species